CCGGAUAAAAAUACAAGCAUCAGCACUAGUUACAAACUCUUCAACCGAUUCAUUUGUUGGGGGUUCAUGGAAUUCUAAUGAUCGAGUUGCCUUCUUUACAAGUACAAAACGAUCUACGUUUUGAACAUACUUUUAUGCGUGUGACCAAUAUCAAACAAAAAGUUAGAGGGUGUAAAAUUUUUGAAAAAAGAAAUUCAAUAAAGAGCUUAUGAUAAAACUUGUAAUUGCCAUUAAUUUGUCCGGGAAUACAUUUUGUAUCCGACAAAGUAUCUUGUGUGUAUAAAAAUAGGAAAAUAUGUAAAGAAACUAGCUAACAAAAAUUCUAUUGCUUUAGAACCUAGUCUAUAUAUUAUGUUUUACUCAAGUGGGAGGUGAGAUCAAUGAAUGACUCCUCACUGCAAGGAAUAGUGAGGCCACCCAUCGGAUGAUGAAAUCUGAAUUCUUCUUCAGUUCGGCAUAGCAAUUCUUGAAACAAAGGAUCGUUCAAAUACGUUAAUGGAAUAACAAAUCGCUUAUUUUCACUCUCCCCGACAUAAUCAGCCAAAUGCCCCUUUGGAACUUCUGUUGUCCUCUUUUCAGCCGAUAAAGACCGUCUAAGAAUUUUGUGAAUAGCCAUCGAUUUUUGUUGGAAGAGAUGAAAAUCUUGGUGAGGCUGAAGAUGAAAGCAAAGAAGUAUACGAGAGUUUAGUGAAAAUCUUGAAAAUCGAGUUUUGAAAGCUGGUUGUGAGUUUAGAAAUGUGUCGUGUAAACAUAUAUAUAGAUGAACUUGUAAAUGCCAUAUUCCUCAUAGCUGGAUAGAGUGGUUACGAAGUGGACAAAUGGUAUAUGAUUUAUGACAAACAAAAUCACAUGAAGAAUCACAUGCUUUUGUCUCUAAAAUCUUCAAAACAUUUCAGCAAGAAAAUUUCAUAAGACCCACCGAAUUAAAUGCAGUAUACGUUAGAUGAUGUGAUAUAUGUGUAGGGACUGUAAUUUGUAAGGCUUACAUGCAUUAGUUACAAGAGAAAACUUAUAGGGUGGUUUAAUUAGGGCCAUGUUGCCAUAGUUGGUGGGAUACAAUAUUUAUGAUCUCAUAAGUUCAUGUUAUUGGCCUAAUAAAUUCAUUAUGAAUUUGUUUUUUUAAAGACAAAUCCAUGUGAUUUCAUAUGCUUAUGUUUUUUUCAAUUUCAUAGAGGAUACAUCAUUUGUUUAUAGCCUAUAUAUACAAACAUCAUUUCUUGAUUACAACCAUCAUCAACAACUCCUUACUCACCUCUCACUUAUUUCAAAUACUUCUCCAAGAUUCACUUCAUACAAAAAUGGCCAUCCGCCAAAUACUGAAACGAUCUUUAUCCAACGAAAGAAGAUCAAAUAAAGUUCCAAAGGGUCAUUUAGUUGUUUACGUCGGAGAAAAUGAAAAGAAGAGAUUUGUAAUUCCAUUGUCAUAUUUAAACCAUCCUUUGUUUCAAGAAUUGCUAUGCCAAGCCGAAGAAGAAUUCGGAUACCAUCAUCCAAUGGGCGGCCUUACUAUUCCUUGCAGAGAGGAUUUAUUCAUUGAUGUAACAUCUUGCUUGAGCAGAACAUGAUAUAUAUACAGUUAUGCAUAAACUAGGUCUUAGGGCAAUAGAAUGUUUGUUAGCUAGUUCGUGGACGAUUUUGUUCAUUUUUUUUUUUCGUACACAAAGAAGAUACUUUGUCAGCAGGUAGAAGAUGUACUCAUGGACAUAUAGAUUAACGGUAUUACUUAUGAAAGAUCUUUUGUUUACUCCGAGCCAUUUUGACAUGUGCAUUUUAUGUCGGGUAAAUUCCAUUUUCCCUCUUAUACUUUGACUUGGCAUCACUUUACCCCUUUCUACUCUCGAUUGUAUCGAUUUGACCCCUGCACUUGAAAACUUGUCUUAAUAUGGCUCUCGAUGUUAGUUGUCAGACAUUUGACCUUAACACCUUUCGGUUUAAGCUCUGAAGUUGUGAAUUGAAAGUUGGGUUGUGAGUUUAGAAAUGUGUCGUGUGAAUGCGUAUAGAUAGAUGAACAUGUAAAUGCCAUAGUCCUUGCGAAGAAGCCAAAGGGUAUCUGGUUUAUGACAAACUCGUAGAAACAAAAGCACAUGAAGAAUCACAUGAUUUUGUCUCUAAAAUCUUCACAAGAUAUAUUUUGGAGCAACAUGUAAUUAAUGAUUUGUCAUCUGUGGGGUUAAGGACAUUAUUCAUAACACCACCUGCAAGAAAAUACUCAGCUGAAUUAAAUGCGGCAUAAGUUCAAUUGCAGAACAUAACUUAUAGCAUUCAGGAUAACGAAAUAAAUAGCGAUGAUGAGAUGUGCGGGGCCGCGGCCUUCACUUCUUGAAUUUCUUGUGAAUACAAAAUAAAAAUGGGUUUAAUUGAGAUAGCCUCACUAACUUAGAUAAUGUACGAUAAACCCACGUAUUUUUAUGUUUUUGAGUAAAAUUCAUUUAUUGUAAGUUUCAUUUGAUAUAAACCCAAAUAUUUAGUUUAUACCAUUUUCACCUUUUUUACUCAUUCAAACCCUAAUUAGGGGUUGUAAUUAUUUUUAUCUAUUGAUUUUAUUAAAAAAAUAUUUUAUGUUUUUUUAUUUUAUUACAUUUCUUUUUUAUAGUGGUGGCCCGAGUCGUUGGAGCUCCGUUUACCUGACUCAACAUUAGUUGACAUAUGACAUCCCUUUUUUUUUUUGGCGGCGGGUCGUCGGACCUUUGGUUAGCUGACUCAAUGGUAGUUAACUUCAACAUUAGUUAACAUUUGACAUCACAUUUUUUUUCUUUUAAUUUUUUUUCUGGUGGGGGGUCGUCGGGGCUUCGAUUAGCUAACUCUACAUUAGUUGACAUCGUUUUUUCUCUCUCUCUUUUUUUUUUUUUUUUUUUUGUUUCGGCGGCUUGUCGUCGGAGCUCCGAUUAUUUGACUCAACAUUAGUUAACUUCAACAUUAGUUAACAUACUAUUUUUUUUUUCCGGCGGCGGAUCGUUAGAGCUCAGAUUAGUUGACUUCAACAGGAGGUCCAACUUUUUUUUUUUAAAUUAUUUUUUUCCGGCAACAUGACGUCGUAACUCUGAUUAGUUGAGUUCGCACUAGUUGACUAUGCACUAGUUGAGUUCGCACUAGCUGACUUUGCAUUAGUUGACAUCCGACCAUUUAUUUUUUAUUUUUUUCUUUUAACUCUUUGUCGGCGGCGGGUACUUAGGGCUCUGAUUAACUGACUAAGCAUUAGCAGACACCCGAUUAUUUUAGUGUUGAAAUCAGCUAAUCGUAGCUCCGACGAUCAGCCAUCGAAGGAAAAAAAAAAAAAAGGUUGAAUGUCAAAGUUAACUAAUGUUGAAGUUAACUAAUGUUGAGUGCACUAAUUAACUAGAGAUCCGACGACACGCUGGCGAAAAAAAUAUAUCAACUAAUGUUAAAGUUAACUAAUGUUGAAAUUAACUAAUGUAGAGUCCGCUAAUCAGAGCUCCACCCGCCACCGAAAAAAAAUUAAAAGAAAAAAAAAAUAGAAUGUCAAUAGUCAACUAAUGUUGAAGUUAACUAAUGUUGAGUCAGCUAACCGGAGCUCCAACGAGCCAGACCACCGCCGUAAAAAAAAAUUUAAUUAAAAGAAUAAAAAUGAGGUCGGGUCAGACCAGACCGGACCGGGUCAAACCGACCCGGUGGGCGGGUGGGAUGGGAUGGUGAUGGGUUGGAGCUGAUGACCCUUCGAAAAUUCAUAUUUUUGUGGAUUUAUUUGAAAUGAAAGUUAAAGGAUGAAUUGAUUUGUAGUAAAACUUUAUUCUAUGGACCUAGCUCAAAUUUACCCUUUAAAUAUUGAUCAAUCAAUUCAUUCGCAUCCAACCAACCCUCACUAGGAGAGUUGGUACAUAGCAUUUACUAAUAGGGUAAAGGUCUAGGGUUCGAGUCCCCCCCUCCCCUACUUUCCCUUGUAAUGGACUAUAAUUUACUCAAAAAAAAAAAAAAAUUCAUUCGCAUCCCAAAAUUAAUUAUAGAAACUUUGACUUUCAUAUAGAUGGAAAUGUGAACGCAAGGGUUAAAUUCAUUUUCAUGUUCGACUUUUCCGAAUUCACUCAAUGUAAAUAUGUUCGAUUAGCGAGACCCCCUCAUAUUGUUUAAAUUGAAAUACACCCAUUUUAUUAUGUGUAUUUGAGAGACAUCCCUAACUUCUCAUAUCCCUAUUUUACCCUUAUAUUAUUCCAAUGCCCACUCCUCUUUUCCACUACCUAUAUAUUAUCAUUUUAUUUUCUACAUUUUUCUUUUUUUUUCUUUUUAAUAAAUUUAUUUUUUUAAUAAAUUUGUUUUUUCCUUGGGAGAUUUACCACAUUGUAAACAGCUACAAAUUACAAUAAUCAACUACAAAAUUUCAAUACGACUACAAUUUAUAACAAAAACGACUAUAAAAAUAUCUCAAUCCAACAACAAAUUUUAGCAACCAACUACAAGUUACAAUUUAUAGUAAUCCCCUACAAUUUAUCGAAAACAACUACAAAAUCAUCAAAACCAACACAAAAUCAUCAAGACCAACUACGAAAUCAUCGAAACCAACUACAAUAUAUAGAAAUCAACUAAAAUAUUAUCGUAACCUACUAUGAAAAAUAUCAAAAUCAACUAUGAAUCACCGAAACCAACUAAAAAAACAACUCUAAGUUGCAAGGCGUCGGAAGACCACCCAUUUUCCACUGUCGGAAACAACUAAAUGAAAUAUCUGUUAAAUAACCAAAAUCCCACUGCGUUUCAAGUACAAUGAUGAGCCGCCGCAGAUGCUCCUCCACCGUCACUCCCCAAUUCGACAACCUCCUCCUGCUCCAAUUACUAGUGCCAUGCCUCGAACUCCGCCUCUGAAAUCUCCUCGCCGUGCGGCCGCUCUCCGGUUGUUAUGGAGGGCGAUGAAAUUGACGUGGGUGCGGCAGCUGCUGUUGAGGUUGGAGAGCGGAUUGGCUGCGGCGACGAAAUUCGCGGGGGCGUUUUGACCGAGGGAGAAUGCUAGCUAUGGAGAGAAUGGACUUAGGGGAGGAUUAAUAGGGAAAGAUUGCUUUGGAUCUUGUUAUUGUUGGUUGAAGAUGAGGAGUAGUUCGUCUGGGUGUCGAAAAAGCAGCGGCUGGUGUCGUCGGAAAUUACAAAUUUUGGCGGAAGACAACCUGUCUCUCCAUGUUCCUCAACGAAUCCUCCAACUCUGUGUGGGUAAGAACUCGCGACGGCGAAUUGGAGAGGCAUGAGUGAUUGUUGCGGUGGAAGAUAUCAGUCCACAAAGAGAGUGGUGGAAGAUAAAAGAGAUAAAGAGGAAAGAGAAGCAUUGACGAAGGAGAGAAAGUGAAAAAGCGGUUGAGAAGUAAACAUAGUGGGCAUGUUUGGUUCUAUUUCCAAAAUGAUUUUCCAGUUUUAUACUAUACAUAAAACCGGGAUUAUGUUUGUUUGUGACUUUUCACUUGGAAAUUCCUAUUUUUCUUAAAACAAUUUCCAAUAGAAAUACACUAUUCUUACUUUUCUCAUAUUUCUAAUCUUUAUUAUACUUAUAGAUACUUAUAGAUACUUAUAAUACUAUAUAAUAAUAAUAUUAAUCAUCAUAACAAUAAUAAUAAUAAUAAUAAUAAUAAUAAUAAUAAUAAUCACAAUCAUAAUAAUAAUAAUAAUAAUAAUAAUAAUAAUAAUAAUAAUAAUAAUAAUAAUAAUAAUAAUAAUAAUAAUAAUAAUAAUAAUAAUAAUAAUAAUAAUAAUAAUAAUAAUAAUAAUAAUAAUAAUAAUAAUAAUAAUAAUCAUCAUCAUCACCAUCAUCCCCAAUCAUUAUAUUCUACUUUUGCACGUACUUUCGUAGAGAAAAUUCCCACAACCAAACAUAUUCUCAUUUCUACACCUACAUAAAACUAAAAAUACCACUUCAUCCAAACAUAUUCUCAUUUUCUACACGAAAACCAAUACAUCUACUUUUUCCAUCAUAAAUUUUGAAAACUAGAAAUUCCCAUGGGAAACAUAACCAAACAUCCCCAGUGUUUCUAGGGUUAAACAAAUUAAAAAGGGUAAAAUUGGAUUAUAAUAAAUUAAUGGAGGUAUGUCACAAUUCAUAACAUCAUAUGAUAAGUUUGUCAAAAUGAAAAAAAGAAUUGGGCUAAUAUUGAUAAAUGGGGUUUGAGGGGUUCUCCCUCAUUGUCUUGAAUCAAUAUUGAAUACUAUUAUUCUGGAAAACAAAAUUUAAAAUUUAGAAUUUCCAUAUUUCGCAUUUGGCAAAAGUAAAGCAAGUACAAGGGAGAAAAAUUCUACUAUCUUUGUAAUUUCUGAAAAGUUAGAAGUAUGUUUGAAUAUAUUUUAAAAUAUUUUUAUUAUUUUCCUAAUUAAUUACAUAAUUUAAUGGUCAAUUGCAAAUUGAUAGUUGAUAAUAAUAUUAAUACUAACAUGCAUAGACAAUUGCAUAACAAAAUACAAAUCUAUGAGGCAAUUAUAAUAUAAAAAAGGGGAAAGUACAGUUUGCACCCCUGAACUAUAGGGCUUGUCACAAACACCCCCUUAAACUACAAGUCGUACCAAAAUAGUUAUUAAAAUUCACAAAACCGACAUAGUUAUAUCAUAUAUGGGAGAAAAUUGUAAUUUAGAUCAUCUAUAUUGGCCAAUUCAGUGAUUUAGUCCUUUUGGUUAUGCUAUUUCAAGUUUACAUGCAAUAACUUUGCAAAUUUAGCAAUUUUGGUCCUAUUUUGCCAGAAAUUUUAGUUUUAACAAACUCAUUAAAUUUGUUGAAGAAUUUAUAACUUUUAAAAGUCCAUAAGCAAAAUCCAUCAAGUGCCACAUCAUGAAAUGCAAAAAUCAAGCAACAUAAAACCAAAAAAUCCUAAAUUGCAAUUUUAUUGCAUGUGAAAUUGAAAUAUAAUAACCUAAUUAUAUACAGUAUACACAUUCAAUAAAAAUUACAAAAGUAAAAUAACAUAAUCAAGAAACAAAGUAUAUUACCUCAUUGAACCCGAAAGUCACAUUCCUUAGCUCGGCGCCUUUAGUGUCGGUGAUGCCAAGAUUUCGGAGAGUUUGCACAAAGCCUACGGCCACAUUAGGCACCAUUCUCAGAUCAUCGGAGAUCAAGAAAGAAGUUGUCUUAAUCAUGAAAACUCCAGCGGAUCCAUGAACAGCAGUUUCAGACUCAUCUAAACAAACGCUUUUGUUCUUCGUUUUCCCACAAAGGCAAGUUACGGUAGUAUCUCUUCGCAUUGCUACCUUUGACCAUCGGUGCGUACAAUUCCAGUCCGGGCAAGAAAAGUACUUAUUUAUGUAAAAAAAUACGUAAAAAUAACCUGUUUAUCACCAACUAGCAUUUUUCCUCGUGCGAUGCACAUGGUAUUAUUUAAAUAGUGAAAACAAAAACCAAUUUAAUACAUAAUAAGAAAUUAUAGUACACUAAUAUACUAAAAUUUAAUAAUGUAAUAUUAUUCAUAUUUUAUAUAACAUUAGUUUUUUUUUAAAUUUUACAUAUUAAGAUUUAUAAUCCAAAUAAAUAGACUAAAAUUUAGCAAAUCGAAUUUCUAGCUUUAUCUCUUAAUAUUUUUUGAAAAUUAUAGUUCAAAAAAUUAGUACAGAAAAAAUAUUAAAAAUAAAUAUUUACAUAAGUAGCAAUAAGGUAGUAUUCUUCACGGGUUAGUUUUAAUUUUAAUAAUUGUUAAAAAAUUAAUUAGAAAUUAUUAGAGAAAAAAUAUUAAAAAUAAAUAAUUACAGAAAUACCAUUAGGGUUUUUUAGGGUUGCCUAACGUUUCUUUCUUUUAUAUAUUAGAUAAGAUACCAUUAGAGUUUUUUAGGGUUGACUAGCGUUUCUUUCUUUAUUAUAUAAGAUAUCAAAUAUUGAUAUGAGUUAAGCAUAAAAUUAUAACUCAAACCAUAAAAUAAGAGGGAACAUAAAUCAUAGUCAUCUAAUAAAUCAAAACUCAAAAGUUCACAUUUAAUUUGAACUCAUACAUCUUACUAAUUAAAAAAAAAAAAAAAAAAAGUCUCGCAUCCAAAGCAAAUAUUUAAAAUAAGUCUCACAUCAAAAUUAAAUAUUGAAAGUAAAUAGUAAAUGCAUAAAAGACACUAUCAUCUUCAUAUGUCACUCUUCCUCAUACUCAUCUCCAAUUCCAAUUUCUCUUUUUUUCUUUUUAGAAAAAGGCGUAUGUUGUACUUUUUUUAAAGAAAAAGAUUCUUCUGUUGUCUUUUUUUUUUGGGGCAUUAAAACGACGCCGUUUUGGCCUCCUUAUUUUUCUGAAUUAAUUAAAAACGCGUCUGUGCGGCCAAAAAACCAAUUUUUAGCCGGUUUCCGGGUUUCCGGUCAAAAAACCAGUUUUUGACAUUUUGACCGAUUUUUUGUAAUUUUCGGUUUUAUAGGGCUAACCGGACCGGACAAGGCACCGGUUCGCGGUCGAACCGGCCGGUCCGGUCCGGGUUUCAAACAUUGAUUCUUGUUCCUUUUUUUCCCACUAUUCAUAAACAGAUUCUUAACCUAGGUACCGAUGCUUUCGCGCCUUCCAGAAAAAGUUGCUACUGUUAUUCCAGUCUUGCUCAUUAAUAUUUUCAUUUUUUCCAACUCUUUGCUCCAAACCAGUACAACCAUUUAUGAUCCGUGGGUGACCUGAAAUUAAGAAGCAAAUAUCCAACAGAAAAAUGAAUCGAAACACAAUAAUCAACAUGAGAAAUGCGCUUAAUCAGGGGCGAACCCAAGGUAUGCCUUGGAGGGGCCUCCGCCCCUGCAGAAUAUUUUUUUUUUACCUUUUUUUUAUUAAAUUUUUAAUAUUUUAUGUUAUUUAUCUACUAAUUUAUACCAUUUAGCCCCCCCAAACUUCAAAUUUAGUUUCAUUUUAGUCCAAAAAAAAAUUCUAGCCCCCCACACAAGACUCCCUGGGUCCGCCCCUGCGCUUAAUAUAAUGUAAAAAACUGGCAGACAUAAUAAUGGCUUAUAGGAGUGGACGGAAAAGGGUCUGAAAUGUGAAGUUGAAAGCAAAAAUGGUUGGUGAGCACUUGAAUUGAGGGCCUGAAAAUUCACUUGUCAUUGGUUUCUCAACAUAAGUUACAAUUGUUGAUUGUGUCGACAUCUUAAUAAAUUAUUAUUUGUGUUGACAAACCUGCAAGAAAAACAAAUAUAUUUAAAGAGCUUGAAAUCUCAACAGAAGGAACAAAUUAUUGGUGUGGCGUCUUCGUAUCCAUUGUAACCUUGGUUCGUGAUUUACUGAUCAUUGGGUCAAGGUUCGACAAACUUGUUUCUUUGGGGGAUCUUGGGGUUCCAAAACCAUAUAUUGUUAUUGGAUUUCGUCACAUGUCAGCGUAGUUCAUAUCACUUGGGUGGUUAGCGGCGGCUAGGGUUUUUGGUAGGAGGCGAUUGGGGUGAGAGGUCAUUGGCGGUUUGGUCUAAAAUUCUUAGCAUUUUGAAGCUAUGACCUCCAAAAGAAAGAGCUCGACGAGAGGAAUCCAACGGUAGUUAAACCAUCGAAUUUCGACCACCGGAGAGAGAUAUGACUCCGGGAAGCAACUUUGCCGGUUGGAGAUCUAUGGGGGCCGGAUUUUAAUAUGAGAGUUGAGAGAGGAAGAGAGAGACGACUGUGAGUGGCAGGGUUUAAAAAUGAUUUUAAAAAGGCAUUUUAAGUACAUCAGGGUGGGCUAGGGGGGUCUAUCAAAUUAAUUUCAAAAUGAAGGAGUAGGUACAAGGAUGUAAUUAGUUAGGUGAUUAGUUAUAUAUCAAUGUAAUGUAUAUCUCAGCGCAAAUUUGGGGCCGGUCGGAUCAAUCAAAUGAGCUGAUUGCAUCGACAAACGCGUCGGUCGCGUCUAAUAGUGGCUGAAACUAAGCUAAACGACCUCUUUUCACUGCGAGCGAAGAGUCAAUGGGGCUUUGCCCAACUGACAUGCCGACGGCGCCUGAAAGAGCUUCGCUUUCAUAUGCAGAUCGCCUCGAAACUCAUCCGAGUCAAAAGUUAUCAACGCUUUAAGCCACUACGGCACAAGUUUUUCAACAUAAAACCAAACUACGUGCAUAGACUUAAGGGUGCGAUCAUACCAGCACUAAUGCACCGGAUCCCAUCAGACCUCCGAAGUUAAGCGUACUAAAUAAGGGAGGUCUCUAAAAUAAUCGCUACAAUAUAUAUGGAUAAUUAGCUAGAACCCCCUUAUUUGAAAUUUAUAUAGAUGGGGUCCAUUUUAUUAGUUGAUUAUAGCUAUAAGUCACUUGAUCAAUAAAUAUAAUAUAAAUUAAAUUAAAUUAUUUUUCUAUUGACAUUAAUACCUUUAAUUAUUAUUUAUAUUAAGAUAGUUAGUUAUGGAAAAUAUGAAUAAAAUCUCACAUUUCACUUUCUAUUUAACUCCUCUCUCUUUCCUCUCCCUCACGUCUCUCUCUGAUUUAACUCCUAUCUCUCUCUCCUCUCAAUCACGUCUUUCUCUCUCUCUCUCUCCUUUUUUUUUCUUUUUUUUUCUUUUCUAGUUUAGUAGCCUCACGGCUCUCUCACUCUAAGUUGUGUCAAGUUACAACAACAAAUUGCAAAAUACAAUUACCAAUAUACAAACUGCAAUUUAUAACAACAUAAAUAAAUAGCAAAAUAAAUAUAAUACGGAACCACCUACCAUACGUCAAAAAUAUUAUUUUACAAAUAUCUUUUCACAACAACACAGUAUGAAACUAAUGAUAAUUUGCUCAAACAUCAGAGGUGCAAGUUUAUUCUUCCUUGAACAAUAUAAAAUAUUUUCAAAAUAUAAGAUAUGAAAUAAAAGAUGAUAUAAAAAACCAACAAACCAUUUUUAUUUAGGAAUAAAUCAAUACAUUAAAUACAAAAUAUUGUAAGAUACAAAUCAAUAGAUACAAGCAGUGUUGCAGUAUAGUCGAUGAAAAAACUGCAAUCUAUCAUAACUGAUUAUGGCUGGGGUGAUGUCAUAACGAACAUAGUCUCGACGUCCAACUGAAUUCAUAACUUCCAAACGUCAUCGAGGAUCUUUUAGAACAUGAUCGUGUCAGUAGCAUCAACCUCUAAUGAAUCUCUUGUUUGUUUUCUUCUGACCUAUAGUUGCAACGACGGUAAAAUGCAAGUUCAACCAAAAAAGCUUCCAAUUAUAAUAUGCACACAUUUUCAUCAAUGCAUAUUUACAAUAUCAAAACGCAUCAUAGAAUCCCUAUAGAAAAAUACAAUGUUCGAAGUUGCAAAAACGAGAUGCAAAAAAUACAAUUACUAUUGCAAUAUGCAAUACAUAAUGAAACGGUAAAAUACAAAAGAAAAAAAAAAAAGCUACACACACAUUAAUUUUAAUACGAGUUUACAAAGAGAACCAAAAAAUAUUUCAAACAUUUCUUAGUUAUUCCCAAAGAAGAAGAAAAAACUAAUAUUAAUUUGCAAUAACGAGCUGCAAAUUAAAAUAUGCAGAACUGCCAAAGUGAAAAUGAAAACCGUCUAAAGGGACAACAUCAACAAACUUCACGUUGCAGACAACAACAUAAAAAAUAUAAACUACAACAACAUCAACAAAAUAGUGGCAACAACAACCAAAUAAAAGUAUGCAAAUAACCAUAUCCAAAUGUAAUUGUCAACAGUAAACUGCAAUAUGCAAACGAUACAAUGACAAUAAGUUAUUUUCAACAAGUAUUUUGUUAUGAUAGAUGAAACCAUUUGUUACGACACCAAACUGCAAAUAUUACAGUUAAGUGCAACUUAUACUAUGAUAACAACAAAGUCGAAAUGAAAUAUAAUAUAAAAGCAAAAUAUGCAUCAUAUAAGUAAAAUCCAAAACAAAAAGCAAAGUGCAAAAUAUACUAUGCUAAAAACAAAAAAAAAAAUCCAAACAAAAACCGAUAAAAUGUUGCAAUCGACAUAAAAAAAUUAUGUAAUAAAAAACAACAAAAUCAAAAGCAAGAAACCAAUGAUUUUCACAUAAAACAAAUAUGGUAAUUGGGGUCGAAGAAUCAAUAUCAACAUCUUUGGAUCCAUUGACCAAAAUGUUCAUGACAAUUCGUGCAUAAAUCGCCGUUAAAAACAUAAAAGAACAGACAUAGAAGAGCAAAUCACCUGAACUUUUUCCAUCUUUAAUCAUUGUCUCUGUUUUUUUUUUUUUUUUUUUUUUGAAAUUUACAUCUACGAGAAUAACGAUUAGAAAAAUCAAUUUCACGAUUUUUUCUAGGAUUACAGUAUUUGUUUCGCAUAAAAAGGGAGAAAAUUUUUUGUUUCUAGGAGAGAUUCAACGAUCGAGAUAAUCACGACCCUAUUUUUGCUAGAUGGGUUCAGGGAGAAUAAAUUCGCUAUUUAUUGAUUUAAGAAUAAAAAUUUCCUAUUUUAUUUAAGGGUAUAUUGGCCAUAAUUAAUUGGAGGAGUAAACUGCAAAAACUACCCCUGUGUAAUCUCGAAAUAGCAAAAACCCCCCUGUGAUAAAUAAACUAGCAAAAACCUCCCCUGUGAAAUUAUUUAAAUAGCAAAAACCCCCCUAUGGAACUAUUUGAGAGUUGACUUGAUAUAAAAAGACACAAAUACCCCUGGAGUCUUGCAAUUAAUAAAUUCUUAUAUUUUAUAAAUAUUUUAAUUAUUUUAUUUAAAAAAUAAUCAAUUUCGUUGUUUACUAUUUUUUUUAAUUUCUAAACAAACAAAUUAAAAAGAAUAAAUAUGCAUAUAAUAUGUAUAUAUAUAAAUACAUUUUGAGGGACAAUUUUGUCAUUUCAAGUCUAAAAAAUCAGCUAGGGGGGAUUCUGCCUUUGACUAAAUUCACAGGGGGGUUUUUGCUAGUUUAUUUAUCACGGGGGGGUUUUCGCUAUUUUAAGAUAACACAGGGGUAGUAUUUGCAGUUUACUCUUAAUUGUAGGGAUUCUAAUAAAAUUGGACUUAUAACUUGAGUUAAUACCUGUAGAAUCUAUUAAUGGGAGCCUAUAGAAAAUUACCCCCGAUAUAUAAUACUACAAAAUAAAUGAAGUGGAAAAAACCCCGAAAUGAAUUCAUAACUAUGGUUAAAGGUGAUGCAGAUGGAUUGUAGUAAGUGUUAGAGAAUAUUGAGAAUAUUAUAUUAUAGAACUCUUGUAAUAUUAGGAUUCUAGUAUGAUUCGGUUACCUAGAUUAGUUAGGAUUUAGUUACCUAGUCAAACUCUAUUACCUUGCAAUAUUUCUCUAUAUAUAUUCCAUGUAAUCAACCCAUAACACAAUGGGGGUUUCUAUUCUACGUAUUAUUAUUUCUCUUCUUCUUCUAUUCUAUUCUUCCUAUAUGGUAUCAGAGCACCAGGUUUAGGUUUUUUUAACCUAGCCGCCUUCCUUCUCCAUGGCGGUGAAACCUAGCCGUCUUUCUUCUCCAUGGCGGUGACCACCCAAUUUUCUCCCUCCCCCGGUGGUGGUACUCUAAUAUUUAUCUUUUUCUUUUCUAUCUUCUAUGAACACCACCCAAAUUUUCUCCCUCCCCCGGUGGUUCUCUAUCUUUUUCUUCUUCUUCUCCAUGGUUCUCUAUUUUUUUCUUAUUCCUCUUCUUCUUCUUCUUCUUCUACAUGGCCUAUGGCCUAAAACCUAGCCGAUGCCUCUCUUCUUCUCCAUGGCCGGCGACCACCAAACCAAUUUUCUCCCUCCCCGGUGGUGGUAACUUAUAUUAUUUUCCGACAUCUUCUUCUUCUUAGUCGGUUAAUCUAAUUUCUCUCUCUUUAAUCUCUAUCUUUCUUUUGAUUAUUUUCCCCCAUCUCUCAUAUCUUCUCUCUCUCGAUUCACAAAAAGAAAAAAAAAAAAAAAAUCUCCCCCAUCUCAUAUCUUCUCUCUCUCUCUCUCGAUUAAAAAAAAAAAAAAAAAAAAUUCUCUCCAUAUUAUUAUUAUUAUAUUUUUUUAUCAAUUGGACAGAUAUUUCCACAGAGGAAUUCUGUAGCGAUGUGUUUCGCGGUUUCUGUCCAGUCUUCACGCUUGAAGUUUCCAAGUCUUCACGUUUGAAGUUUCCAGUCUCCACGUUUGAAGUUUAUUCGUUUUGAAGUUUAUUCGUUCCGACUGCGGGAGCGUGCUAGCAAGUUUAUGUCCAGUCUUCACUUUUGGAGUAUAUUCGUUCCGACUGCGGGAGCGUGUUAGCAAGUGAUUGUCCAGUCUUCACGUUCGUCACGUUUCGACUGCGGGGGCGUGUUAGAGAAUAUUGAGAAUAUUAUAUUAUAGAACUCUUGUAAUAUUAGGAUUCUAGUAUGAUUCGGUUACCUAGAUUAGUUAGGAUUUAGUUACCUAGUCAAACUCUAUUACCUUGCAAUAUUUCUCUAUAUAUAUUCCAUGUAAUCAACCCAUAACACAAUGGGGGUUUCUAUUCUACGUAUUAUUAUUUCUCUUCUUCUUCUAUUCUAUUCUUCCUAUAGUAAGAUUGGGCUACAAAAGUUUCUUCAGUUAUGAGCCCAAAAUAUAAAGUUAAGGCCCAAGCAAAGAACAAUUAAGUAUUUUCUAGAACAUGUUCGAAAUCGGUUUGGCUCUUGAAAUUUCAAGAAUUUGCAGGAAUCGUCUGAUCAUCCAUAUAAAUUCGCGUGCUCCUUCAACCAAAUCCCAUCGAAAGUUAGAAACUGAGUUAUCUGCUAUUUCAAACUAUCAAAUUCUUCAUCAACAACCAAAUCAACAAGUUCAUCAUCCAUCCAGCAUUAUUUUUUUAAGAAAUGUCUUUGAUUCCGAGCUUCUUUGGCAAUGGCCGCCGGAGCAACGUCUUCGAUCCAUUUUCAUUGGAUAUUUGGGAUCCAUUUGAGGGCUUCCCAUUCUCCUCCGCCGUUUCCGAUCUCCCUAUCUCCUCCGGAGAAACAACCGCGGUGGCAAACGCUAGGAUCGACUGGAAAGAGACGCCGGAGGCACACUUGUUUAAAGUGGAUGUUCCCGGAUUGAAGAAGGAAGAAGUGAAGGUUGAGGUUGAAGAUGGGAAUAUUCUUCAGAUAAGCGGAGAGAGAAACAAAGAGAAAGAGGAGAAGAACGACAAGUGGCACCGUGUCGAGAGGAGCUCCGGCAAGUUCAUCCGCAGAUUCAGGCUGCCGGAGAAUGCAAAAUUGGAGAGGGUGAAGGCGGCUAUGGAGAAUGGAGUGCUGACUGUCACUGUGCCGAAAGAGGAGGUGAAGAAGCCUGAGGUCAAGUCCAUUCACAUCUCUGGUUAAUUAUGUUUUAAUUUUGUAUUUCAGCAAGUUUUUUGGUUUGUCCGGCUGUGGUAUAUUUUGGGAGUGUAUUUCUUUUUGGUUUUGUGGCAAGUGAAACAUCACUAUGUAGUAUGUACAAUAGAAUAAAGCCGAACUGGUAAAUGAGAAAUUACAUGUUGCUUUUCAGUACAUAACUUUUGAUCAUUUCUAUAUUUUAAACUCUUGUAUCAAUCAGUAUUUCCUUUAGAUCUAAAACAUUGGACAAAUUAUGGCCUGAACUUAAAUUAAAUUAUGAAAAAAAUAAAUUAAAUUAUGAAAAAAAAAAUGGGGCAAAUACUGAUAAAUCCCUAAACCCAAACAUAAAGUGCGGGUCAGUUCCCAACAACAUAUUUUAAGCGUAUUGGACCCUAAAUCAAACAUAAAUAUGCACUUAACACCCUAAUUGGUGUGCAAAGACCGAAAAGCCCUUCACUUUAUUUUGAAAUUACCUGCAAAUUCUGACACAACUUUUCACCUACUUUUCACGCGCCGGUUGAGAAUCACGCUCCAUACCUUUCAACUAUCCGUUGUCAUUCAAUUUUCGAACCAUUUCCUCAACGGUUUCGGACAGUUUUUGUUCGUGCAAGCGAUUCUUCAGAUUCUGCAAAAAACAAACUGUAUGUUCUCAUAUUGAAUGAUUUUGAACAUUUCCAGUAGUGGGUAGUAUCCAACGGCGAGAUUGGGGUUUUCUGAAAUAAAAAAAUCGAACAACCGGUUCCAAUAAAAUGUUGUUUUCUUGUUUAUGCUUGCAAAAAUUGUUCAUUUUCUGUGGAAUUGCAUGAUUUUGAACACUUUCGCUCUUGGGUAUCAUUCGUCUGAAAUAUUAGUAUUUUCCCAAAUCACUUUUUGUCAUAACAAGGGUUUGAUUUUGGGCAUUAGAUGUGUUUAAAUAAUACAAGUCUUACUACACAACGGUAGUGCUAUUGUAGUUAGAAGGUAUAAAAAAAGGUAAUGGCAGUUCUUCUGAUGUAAUUAAAUAGUAUAUGUCGUAUUGCCCAAUAAUAUAAGUACUGUAGGUGUAUGGUAUUGAUACAAUAUAGUGACGGUAUAAUUACAAUACCUACAUAGUACCAUUGUUAUCUUACAAUUGUAUUUUUUCUGAUUAUUGUUUUUCCUUUAUAAUCGUAAUACACUUGCAGAUGAUUACGCCCAACAAGCAUGCAGGUGCUCUCCUAGCGCCUUCAAAGAACAAAUGGACAUAAUUAAACCUAUGAUGACGGCCAGACACUAUGCUGCAUUGGAGGAAAAUCCUUUCGGGCAUUUCUUAAACAUGCCUAAGAUAUACCAUAGUUUCUUAAAGGUGUCUGUUCUGUUGAAGAAGACAUACAACGUGGAGACACGUACGUUCUGGUUUGGAGGUAAAACUAUCCCUGUCGUCUUUGAUCCUAGUGAGUUCUGUAUCAUGAUGGGACUACAGUUUAAGGGGAUACCCAUCGAUAAAAACCUGGAAAUAGAAACUCCUUUCAUUAGACGUGUUUUUCGGGGUAAAUUGACCCAAGUAAAGCGUCAUCAAAUUGCUGAAAAAUUGGAAGAGUAUGCUGUUAGGACCGACCAACAAUCAAUUGAGGAUUUUUGUAGGUUGUACAUUAUUUUCGCUUGCAAUACUUUCUUAUUGCCAAAGGGCAACUUUCAACUGCCGAGGUACGUUUAUCCACAUGUUGACGAAUUGGAGCGCGUAGGAGAUUUUGCGUGGGGAAAGUUGGUGUAUGAUGUGCUCAUUGAAAAUAUUGAGGCACACUUGGCUGGGGCAGGAGGGUAUUUUGAUGGUUGCACCAUUGGGUUGUUGGCAUGGGUGAGUGAAAGGAUCACUUCUUUGGGAUUCGCAAUAAGCGUUUUCGAAUACCCAAGAUUUUUUCGAUGGUCCGACUCUAAAAUACCAGCCGAUGAACGUCAGGCUAAACAUCUUUUUAGAGAACUCACACCAGACAAGGUAACAAUUUUGAUUUAUGCAUUUUCAUUGUGUUAUUUGCUUACGUAAUAAACUAAUGUACAAUUUGUCUAUAUGUUUAUUAGGUGAUAUCAUUCUCCGUGCACAAAGAAGAGAGAAAGUUUUUGGUUUCACCUGUGAAAGAACUAUCUGGUCCUAUUGUUGCAGCUUUGGAGGUCGGUGGAAAAGUCGAAAUCAGGCGUGUAAGUGAAGAGUACUAUUAAUGAGAUGGACAUGUCCCAUUUGUAAACCAACGUGAUGUUGUUUUAUUACAUUAAUCAUUGUUUAUUUUAUGUGAACUGCAGCAGCAUUUUGGAAAUGCACAACAAGUGAAGAGGAAGAAUGUGAGAUUGGAAUAGACAGAGGGGAAGAAGAAGAGAAGAAGAGCUCUUAUUUUUGAAGAGGAAUAGGAGGAAGAGGAAGAGGAAGAGGAGCAAGAUGAAGGGAAAAAGGAAGUGGAUGAGGCAGAUAAAUUUUUUAAUGCUGUUGAAGAACUUGGAGAUGAGGAAAAAAAGAGAAAGAAGGAGAACAACAAGAAGAAGAAGAAGAAGAAGAAGAAGAAGAAGAAGAAGAAGAAGAAGAAGAAACCUUGAUAAAAGUACUGAACAUGGAGAGGGAGAGAAGGUCGAAGGCAAGAGAAGACAAUCGAAGAAGAAAGAGUCGAGGACAAGAAAACAGCGUAGUCUCUGCUAAACUGCCCACAACAGUAAUUAUGCCUUAUAAUUUAAUAAUAAGUAUUAUUAUUAUUAUUAUUAUUGUUAUUACUAUUAUCACUAAUGAUUCCUUUGGAUAUAGGUUGUCGUAGAUAAUUCUACGUACCAGGGGAGAACAGACUAUGUAUGUCGAGAUGAGCUUACUGAUGUAGAGAGGGCAGUACUGGAUGGGUACCUCGUUGAUGUUGAUUUGAGGUAAAAUCACUAACUUACUGAACAUUUGGUAUAUAAUAACUUCUUAUGUAGUAUCGGGGUACUAAACAAAUAGUGCAUGUUUAUUUCUAUUGUAGUGCAAUUGUGAUCGAAAGAGGCCCAAACGUAUUGACUGGAAAGCAUAUGUGCGAUCUUUUGUUUGAUCAGCAUCUGAGUGGGGAGCACAUCGAUAUAUACAUGAGCCUGUUAAAUUCCGAAGCGAUCAUGGAUGAACAUGGGCAUGAGAUUGAUUAUCUCGAGACCCCUGCCCAGGUAUAAACUGGUUUAACAAAUAUGUUGCAUUCUGUGUAUACUGGUUUAACAAAUAUGUUGCAUUCUGUGUAUACUGGUUUAUCUUAUAUUUUUUUUAUUAUGUUUCGUAGUAUGAGAUACUGGCACGAGAUCGAAUGGACUUCAGAAAGAUGGGUGAUACAGAGUUGGAUACCUUUUUAAAGAGCUUAACAUAUUUUAGAUCUACCGUAGUUGAGAAGCUUGGAAUAGCACGUCUCUACAGCAAAAAAUAUGUUCUGAUACCUAUAAAUCCAAAGAUCACUGGUUCUUGCUUGUAUUGGACCCAAACAAAAAAGUUUUUCGGCAUUGGAACUCCCUAGCCCAUUCUCCGACGAGCCCAGGAAUUGCAAAUUAUAUCGUAAGUCCUUAAAUCGAUGAUUACUUCUUUAAUUUAUAUAUUGGGGAAUGUGGUAUAUGUUUUAUUAAUCCAUAGUUUGGGUACUGUGAUUGAACGGUACUGCAAUAUGGUAAUGAAAAUACAUGUAUACUAAUAUAAUAGUAUAUUUUUGUAGGCGAGUUAUUAUAGCAGGGUGAUUGAAAAUAAAACCGUGUUGGAUAUACCUUCACAUGUCGAAUGGGUAGAAGGAUGCAGACAACAAGAAGGGAAUGAUGAAUGCGGGAUUUUUGUCUGCAUGUGGGCAUAUUGCCAUGCUAGAGAUGACGCUGAGACUUGGAAAAAGGCGAAAACUUGCUUGAUCAAAAAACUCCGUCCAAAACUAGCACUUGUCUUCUUAAAGCACCAAGGCGUGGAUAGAGGACAGUAGAUGCUGAUGCUUUGAACAUGUUUUGAACAAUUUUUAAAAUUAUUUUUGAUUAUUUUUUAUUAUUUUUGAACAAUCUGUUUUAUGGGUGUUUUUGGGUUGUGAUUGUCAUGAACAAGUACUUUUAGAUUAGUGUUUGCGUGCGAUGAUGGUUUUAAAACUUGUCCCCUUUUUGUGGUGUUGUGACACCUAUUUUGAAUAGUGUAAGUGUUUUGCAAAUUGGUUUUUAAUACUCUGUUAGUUUCUUGUCGAUGCGUAUAACCUACCCCAUCUAUACCAUUACCUAAAAUGAGGAAUACCAUAAUGUUGAUGACUUGAAUUGCUCAAAUUUGUUUUGCACAUUUGUGAUCCAUAAGUUUGGGAAAGACAUUAAAUAUGUUUUAAAUUAAGGUUGUAAGGUUUUUUCAGGUUAGUUUUAACUUUGGGGUUCAAAAUGGAAAGAAUAUAUCGAAUUCCUUACAAGAUACACUACUAAUGUGCAAUGCUUCUAUGUAUAAGUGAUUGUUUUCAUCACAAGUGACCACAUUCAACAACUAUUAACUCCCAAGUUGUUUCAAUUCUUGUAAAUGAGUCACAAAAUGAAUAAAUGAGGGAUGAGAUGGUUUUCGAUGGUUUUAUUGACCCCAAAUGAUACUAUAACAAGGGUACUAUUAGUAAAGUACAUCAGUACUAUAUCGUUGGCAAACAGAUACAAAACAACGGUUCCGUCCAUCCAUAUACACGCCACCGAUUAUACUAGUCGUUAGACCAAUCAACACCAUAAUAUUGAUGGCUUGAAUUGCUCGAUAUUGUUUUAUACAUUUGUGAUACAUAAGUGUGGGAAAGACAUAUAAUAUGUUUUAAAUUAAGGUUGUAAGGUUUUUUCAGGUUAGUUUUGACUUUGGCGUCCGAAAAGGAACAAAUGUAUCGAAUUCCUUACAAGAUACACUACUAAUGUACAAGGCUUCUAUGUAUAAGUGAUUGUUUUCAUCACAAGUGACCAUAUUCAAUACCUAUCAACUCCCAAGUUGUCUCAAUUCUUGUAAAUGAGUCACAAAAUGAAUAAAUGAGGGAUGAGAUGGUUUUCUAUGGUCGUGUUGACCCCAAAUGGUACUAUAACAAGGGUACCAUUAGUACAGUACAUAAGGACUAUAUCGUGGGAACUAUAAUACGUAGAUAUUGUACGAUCCAUGCGUGAGUUGUGAAUAUGAUAUACAGAACACUAGAAGAACAAUAACUAUCACUAUAUUGUAUGAGUACAUUUCUUACGAACAACAACAAUUGAUUCAUCGAUAGAGUUAAUUUAUUUGUAAGUACCCAAAGUACUUACACAUUGACAUUACAAUACGAUUAACGAGCUACAAUACACGACACUAACUUUUAACUUGUAUUGUUACGGUGAUUAGUUAAGAAACAAUACAUAGGUUUGACAAAUCAUGUAAACUGCAAAUAUUACUAGGUUUAACACUAUCAAACUUUGAAUUACUCCCGCUUCAUCUCUGGAAUUCUUCACUUUACUUUCGCGAUGAACUUGGUUCGUUGAUCCACUCGUAGCUUCACUUUCUUCAUAUCGAGAAUAGUUGUGGGAGAAAGUUUGCCCAAUUUCAAAUGGCUCACACCAAUGAGAAUAGCCAUGGUCUGGGCAACAAUAAAAUAGCCUCCAUGGAUUCAAACUUGUCUCCGAGACCAUGAUUAUUGUUUUUUUCCCACAAUCAUGACGCUUGCAGUUAUCUUUUUUAUAUUUUAAGCUACUCUUUUGAGAGUUGCUACUGGAAGAAGCCAUGAAUGAGAAGCAAAUGAACAUAAUUACGUGCUUUUUAUAAGUUCUGACGACAAAAAUAACGGCUAUAUUAUUGUAACGGUCAUAAAAUUCAAAUCGAUUCACUUAUUAUUUUUCUGUGAACCAUAUUAUGUUGUACGUUAUACUAUAUCAACGUAACAACAAUACCAUUGUAACUAAAACAGUGCGCUCUAUUGUAACUAAAACAGUCAUAUCAUAUUACAUACAAAUGGAUAAAUAGUACGAAGUACAUGUCAACAAAGUACAAACAACAUAAAAAGAAAGUAGAAACAGAGUAGUGCUACGGGACUGGUUGUUUGCACGUACGGCGAUUAUGUCCAGGUUUACCACACCGUGCACACUUCAUAACACGGGUUUCGACUUGCGAUGGAAUUCUUUUCGUCCUUCUACGGCCUGGUUGAGCUUUCGAUGCAGGCGUGGAUUAAUAAAUACAUCUUCCGGGCCAUGAUUUGUUUGUGCAUUGUACAAAUCAAAUUCCUCAUCAAAUGAAGGAAUUGGAUUAAUUGUGUACUUGUAUACUUCUUUGUACAAAUCAACCCGGAAGCAAGGAUCAACAAAUUCAAAUACCGAAUAUCCUUUCGACUCAAUACCUGCACAUGCAUGUUUGCACGAAAGUUUAUCCAACUGCCAAGAUUUGCAAGUACAUGUCCUAGUCUCUAAAUCAACACCAUACAACUUAUCCUCUUCAUACACCUCAUAACGCGUACCACUGGAUCUGGUAUAUUUUAAUAAGCGAGAGGCCGUAUAGUUGAUUAAUAAUCUCUUUUCAACUCUUGGACACACUGUACCAGCCAUGACUAAAGAAUCUUCCCGUCGAUUACCUAUCAUCUUCAUUAUUUUGAUUCGUAUCAUAUCAAUCAUGGAUGGAACUGGCAAGGAUCGUUCAUCUUUAACCCAACCAUUCCAACAUUCAACUUGGUUACUGUUCAUUAUUCCCUAUCUAUCCCCAGAAAAGUAUGCAUUGGCCCAACGAUUGGGAUCAGAGUCUCGGAUAAAUGAUUCCGCACGAGGCAUUGAUUGAACUAUAUGAGAUAUAUGUUCCUCAAACUCUUGCCGAGUAGGAGCAAUUGCAGCCUUAUGUAGAACACUCACCCAAUAUGCUUUGUUGUGCAAUGGAUACGAUCUUAGAACCUUUGUUCUAAAGUUAUCCUCCAAAUGUCGCAAACAAUAAGCAUGGUUGCUACCAGGAAAUACCAGUGGAAUGGCUUUAAUAAGCCCCGAAUGACGAUCAGAGAAAAUUGUGUAAUUUUUCAAUAAACCCCCAUUGUGAUAAACAAGAAUCUCUUUCAGCUUAUUACAAAACCACUCCCAAUUCCUAUCAUUCUCGGCAUCAACAAUUGCAUAGGCCAAUGUGUAUAACUCAUCAUUUGGAUCUUUGGACACAGCAGAAAGUAAGCAACCUUUGUAUUUAUUUUUAAUAUGAGUCCCAUCCAAACAUAUCAUUUGCCUACACCCACGGUGGAAACCCAAAAUAGAAUUUCCAAAACUAAUAAAGAUCCGAAGAAACUUUUGAGUUUGAGGGUCAAUCUCAUAAUCGACACAACUACCAGGGUUAUUCUGUUUCAGUGCACGACAAUAACGUCUCAGUUUAUCAUAACAGCUCGACUCAUCCCCAUGAAUGUCAUACAUUGCUUUCUCCUUACCUCUCCACGCCGUAUAGUACUUAAGCUCCACACCGUACUUUCUUUGGACCUCAUUCAAAAUAGCAAUUGGUUUGUAACCUGGCUCAUCUCUCAAUUUUUGUUUCAUAAGUUGCGAAAUCCACGUAGCAUCGGCUUUGGGAUGACCCCUUGUACGAAGAGUAGCAUCACCACAACUGUGCUCAAGAAUACAUUUGCGAAUGCCAAAUAACUUGUCUAAUUUAUGAACUGAUGCAUAAACCCUCCAUUUGCAAUUUUCAACAAUGCCUACGGCUAUGAUCUUUUGUUGAUCAUUUUUCUUGUACUUAAAGGUUCGAUUGUUAGCAAUGCAGUAAUUUUUUAACAUAAACCUAAAAUCAUUAGCAUCUUUGAAAAUUUGAUUCACCUCGCGUAUGCAAUGUCUCCAUGCAUCAAUUGAAUCUCCAACCGGAUUGUACUCAAUUUGCAACGGACUGUUGGAACUAACAGACUCACUGGAAAAUGCAAAAACAAUGAAACAAAUUGGAUUAUUACAGUGAACUACAAAUAAAUUGUAACAAUUGAAAUAAGUACUUUGAGUGGAAUGCUUGCAUACGAGAACUCAAUUUAUAAGAUACUUGAUAUACAAUCAUUCCAUACUAUUAGUAGCCUUAUAUGAUACUACGAGCUUAGUUAUUCUACACUAUCACUGUAGUAACACGAUACUAUGUAGUAUUAUAUUCUAUGCUAUGAUCACAUAAACAAAUUGAAAAUGCAUACAAAACAGAAUGGCUGCAUACCCGUUGCUGGGGGUCCUCCUUCUACGCCCAUCAAGUUCAUCAGUGCGGCUCACCAUAAUGUCGACUACACUCAUGUGCAUUACCAAAUGCAAUGUAACCAUAUUCACCAUGUCUUCGUCAGAAGUCAGUGUGACAAACAUUCUUUCACGGGGAGCCAAGUAUUGGAGCACCAAUUUGUCGGGAUGUAUAUCGUUCCACUUCACUAAGAUAGAUUCAUAGAUUUCCUUUAAAGUCAAAUCAUUCUUAAUGGAAAUGAUGUGCAGAUAAUCACUGUACCGACAACUUCCAAUAAUACCGGCGAUGGGGUUUGAUUCACCAUUUGCUGCCAUUGUGGGAAAUUACAGUUUUUUUUCGCGGUCGGAAAACAAAAAGUAGUAACAGAGAAUAUGAGGAAAGGAAGAGGAGAGAGAAACAUAAGAGAAAAAAUGGAAGAAAAAGGAGAGAGGAGAGAGAGUGUAGAAGAAAUAGAAGAAAGAUGAGAGAUGAGAGAGAGUGUAGAAGAAAUAGAAGAAAAAGGAGAGAGGAAAGAGGAGAGAGGAGAGAGAGUGUAUAAAGUGAAAAAAAGUGGGGUCAGGGACUGAACUGCAUGUUUAUGUUUGCUGUAGGGACUGACCCGCUAGUAAAACAUUACUGGGGACUGACCCGUAUGUUUGUUUUUGAGUUGGGAAUUUAUCUGUACUUGUCCCAAAAAAAACCUUCUUGUUUAAAUAAUUACAACCUCUCCCAGUUAACUAUUGUCUUACGAAAACUCCCUCAUUUAAUAAGUCAUAAAGAUGGACGUGUAAACAAUAGAUAGUUGAUGAGAGUGAUUGUAAUUACCCAAACAUGAGAAAUUUUUAAAAUUUAAUUUUAUCUUAUGAGUGAUUGUAAUUACCCAAACAUGAGAAAUUUUUAAAAUUUAAUGUUAUCUUAUGGCUGACUGUAAUUUGGCCUUAUUUUAUGAGUGAAUGUGCACAAAAUUGUUGUAUGUAACAACCAAUCAAACACAAGAUUUAACAAAUGAUGAAAUGAGAUUAACCAAACCAUCAAAUACUAAAUAAGAAGAACCACAUUCACACAAACAUCAAUCUUCUCCUCAAGACACAAAACUCUCCGCCGCAUUUCUCCACCUUCUCUUCCCAAACAAUCACUAUCUAAAUUCGAGUCGUUUUGGUAGACGGCGAGGGAAUUGUUAGAGCUGAUGUUCCUUUUAGGAGGGCAGAAUCGAAGUAUAAUGUUGAACAAGUAUGUGUAAUCGUUGAGUUCUAUGGCAGCGAACUCAAUGAAGCCAUUUAUAGUGAUCCUGUUACCGUAAAAAAAUAUGCUAGACGUGCUCAAUUGGGUGAAAUUUUUGAAUUAGAUCGUUCGACUUUGAAAUCCGAUGGUGUUUUUCGUAGCAGUCCAAGGGGAUGGUUUACUGUUGGUGGUAAUACCUACACCCAAGUGCACAUAUCGUACAAGUAAUAAAGUGGAUUUUUAAGUUCAAGUAUCGAUCCCACAGAUAAUAUUUAAUUAUUUAAUCCUAGACGCUAAAUUCUACCAAUUGCUAUCAAGCCCACCCUACACAGUCGAAAGAUGAAUAAUAAACUAAAUUAAAGUAAAGCAAUUAAAACAAAUUAAAAAGGCAAAAACAAGAAAGAAAUUUAGACGAAGAUUUAAUCAAAGUAAACAAGCCUAGGAUUUUAUUCUUCUCCCUAUGUAAUUAUUACUCCCCCAAUUCCUUCAAUUAUGCAAGUAAUUAACUCAGAUUAUUAACAUGAGAUGCUAAAUUAAUCAUAACUCGCUUCCGCGUGUAUUACGAUUCUAAUACUCUAGAUUCAAUUAAUGUAUUCCUACGCAAUUAAUUAUAGAACACAUCAUUAAGCACAAAUCUCAAUAAUGGCUAUUUAAGAGAUUAACUAUAUUCCUAUGUUAAUACCACAAAGGAUCUUCUACCACAGUUCUAAUUAUUAACUCGAUCUUCCGAUUCAUGCGAUUAACAAUAACAUAAAAGCACAUAAGAUGAUCAAAUUCAUGCACUUAAUAAAACAAGUAGAAGAAAUAAUCCGGAAUUAAAACUUACAUAAGAUCAUAGAAUUGCGUUCAUAAAUCCCACAUAGGGUUCGGAUAAAAUUCUAGAAAUAAAGACUUAGCUACUCGUGAUUCUUAUGAUAAAGAAAAAAAAAUUAAAUAAGAAAAAAGUACACUUGAGUCUUCGUUGAUCUUCGUUUCUCGCGUUUUGUGGUGUAUAAAUUCCGUUCCUUAUGGUGUAGAGACUUGUUGCUUUUAUAGGCUUUUCUUGAUAAGGAAGUAGUGGAAACCUAAUAGGAAUCAAUUUUCGCCACUUUUCCCCAUGAGGAUUUGUUCUUCGAUUUCCGCCAUGUUGGAGCCCGAUGUUUGGAAUGUUGCGUGAAUAAAAAUUGUAGCCAAUGCCGCCAAAAUCAGCUGAUUUGGAGUUCGUAUGAGAGAGAUAUGCUCGAAAUGGUGGACACUGCCAAAGCUGUUGCGAGAUUCCUUCUUCCUAUUUGAUUUAUUUCCUUAUUUGCAACUUUUUCCUUUCUUUUUGAUCUUUCUUUCUUCAUGGACACAUAAUUCUCGUUUUAACCUAUAAAACACAAAAUCAAUCAAUUAAAGCACAAAUAUAAUUAAAUCUAAACAAAAGAUCCACUUAAAGUAAACAUAUUGAGAGUAAAAUCUACACUCAACAUUUACUUUUGGGCAUACUUCCUUUGUUUUGCCCUUCUUCUUCAGACAUAUUUGGCAAGGUGCUAGAACCUUGUUCAGAGAUGUUUUUGCUGGUAUUGACCCAGAUUUAGACGCUCAAGUAGAGUUUGGAGCAGCCUCUUCAAUCUCACCUCUCUCCAUCCAACAUUUCUCCAAUUUAAUCCCAGUUUUCCAAACACCAUACACAUACCUCGAAUCCACCAUUUGAUCGCCGAAAAAGGCGACCAAAUUAUCGGUACUCUUUCGCAAAUACUCUUCAGCAUGGGAGGACUGUUCCCAUUGUGUUUCCGCGCGAACCAUGGUCCCAAUAAUUCAUGUUUUAAUAUUAUCAUAUUUAAGUAGAAAAAUUUAGAAAUAUUUAUUUAAAGCGUACUUUUGAUUAAAUUAAAUUAUUAUCUAUCUAUACUAUCUAUAAAAGGAUGAAUAUAAUUGGGGUUUCUUCCAUUUUUUUAUAUACAAAAAUGCCCCUAGGUGAUUAAGUUAGUAAAAACAAUUUAAUUAAAUAAAAAAAUUAACACAUCUAUACGUAGAGGUAAAUCUACAAAUGAAUAGGUACAUGAAUGUUUAAGUAACCGAUUCAAAUAAUGGGUUAAAGAAUUUGAGGAGUUUGGGAGAAUGAAUACUAAAAUCGACCAUUUGACUACCUUUUUGCUACUAUAAAAUGCAUUAUAUUUAGAGUGGAAAGAAGGGCAAUUCUCCACUUUCACAUUUUGGUGUACUAACAGAAACAUGUUUCUCCAUUUUGUUUCUACAAGUUCUUCGGUCAACGGUUGGCAACUAUAUUUGGCAAGUACAAGGAGCUAUGUGUGAUCUCUUUUAUCUGUUUUGUAGAUUUAUCAUUCAUUUUUUAUUUGCUUUUCAAUUUUUUGUUGCAAAUUCGAAAAAAUUGUCGUAAGUCACUACAAAUUUCUUAGCAUUGAAAUAAAAUGGCAACUUCUGUACAAGAGAUUAAACUUAUUUGCUUGAUGUGUAUCGAGAGUUGGAUGUCGGGCUUUUCAGGUUUAGGAAUUGGUUUUGUUCUACGGUGUUUAAUAUCGAAUUUCCUAGAAAUGAUAUUUUGUUUUUUUAGGGUGAGUGGAUUUUCCGGUUUAGGUAGUUGUUUUGUUCAGCAGUGUUUCAUAACAUAGAAUUUUAUAGAAAUGAUAUUUUUUUCUUCUUAUUUAGGUUGAAAUUUUAUUUACAAAUUCGAUGAACUUCAAAGAAACUUUUAUUUAAUAACACUUUAGAGAAUAACGACUAAACGAUAAAAAUAAUGUAUAUUUAGAAUCAUUUAGAAAAUUACUUUGUCUGAGGAUAAAUUUUCACCAUAUUGUUCAAGCAUAAUUCGAUUUCAAAAGAAAAAAUAAGAAUUCAACUUAUGAUUCAAAAAGUUGUAUUCUCAUAAUAAAAUAAAUGAAUAAAGAGAAUAUGGUAUAAUAUAUUAAUAUUAGUCAUCUACUUGAUAAAGGAAGCCUUUGAGAAACAGAAAAUAAAGUAUUAUAUGAAAUUUCGAUGACAUUUAAUAUGUGCAUUUAAUUUAAACUUGAGUAUCAUAAAAUGGCAAUAUCAUCACUUAAUUAUUGAUAAAAAAAUUAGCACAAAGCUAAGAAAAUUACACCACUACGUGAGAUAUUAUGCGUAUUUUUUUAGUUGAAAGUAAAAAAAAUACAUAACAUACAUUAUUAAUAGUAAAACAAGUAGCAGCUACAACUUACAUGAUACAAUUUUUUUUUUAGUAAAAUUAUUGAAACGGUGAGAGUACCUCACUUAUAUGGAGUAUAAUUUAUGCAAAUUAUCUAUCUUUAAGAUUAAAGAAAAGGUAAGGUGUCCAAUUUACAACAACUAGUACUACACCCGUGCGAUGCACGGGGUAAUCAUUUUAAAAACAAAUAUUUAAUAAUAAAGAGUUUAUAAAUAUAGCAAGAUCAAUUGUUGAUAUGUAAUACAAAAAAGUAGUAAAUAUUAAAAAAAAAAAAAAAAAAAAAGUAAUGAUAUAUCUCUGUUCAAACUUUGAAUUCGAUACAAACAAUCAGGUUUUUUAUACCAAUAACUCUAAACGCGUGUAACGACUCCAAUGCAUUGCAGUUGACCUGCAUAUUUUGUGCAAUAAUCAUAUGAAAGAAGUAAAACGUUAACAAAACAAUACCAAUAUAAAUGUUUAAUAAUAUAAAAUAAUUUUAAGAAAUUACUUUUUUGAGCAAGUUUGUAGUACAAAUUCAAUUACGCUACGAAUGAGCAAUAACAAAACAUAUAACUAAUAUAAAAUAAAGGUUGUUAUUUUCUACCGUAUAAAUUUUUAUAUAGGAGUAAUGGUUAUUUCUAUGCUACACCUGGUGAAAACUAACCGGGUGAUUUUUUACCGUUGAUCUACACAUACCAAUGUGGGUGUGGGUGUGUUUGGGUGUAUAUGAAUGGAAAAGAUCUAACCGGUGUAGCAUAGAAUAGACCUAGGAGUACCUUCAUAUACGCUGAAAAACUUCAUUGUAUACAACAUUAUUCAUUGGGAAUCUCAAUUGCCGCAUCACCAUCAUUGACCUCGUCAACAUCGCCAUUACCGAUUCUCAAUAUCCACUCCACAAACACUUUUAUUUCGUCCGCAUUGACGGAAGGGAAUGGCAACUGAAGUCUAUUGUUUUUGUUCAACAUCAUAACCUUAUAUUGUCUCCACAACGGUGAUGAAUUAAUUGUAGGAUGAACAAUGUCUUGUCUCGAUGCUUUCAACAGAACUGGUAGAAUUUGCCGAAAGUCCCCUCCAAGAACUACAACCUUGCCUCCGAAUGGCAUAUCUGAAUCAAGUAUCGAUUUCAUUGUAUUGUCAAGUGCUUCGAAACAGUACUUGUGCAUCAUCGGUGUCUCUUCCCAUAUGAUUAGUUUUGAUCUAGACAAUAAUACCACAUGUGGAUUUUGUUGUUUGAUGCUACACGUGGAGCUCUCAUGUACAAUUAUUGGCAGUCCAAAUCUCGAAUGUGCAAUUCCACCGGAGAGUAAAAGCGAAGCAAUGCCACUGGAAACAACGUUUAUUACUAUUCGCCUCUUGAACGGAUAGCAUCGGAUAAAAUUAAUACUAAUCUAAUAUUACCAUUACCAUUACCGUCCAUUACCUUUACCGUUACCGUUACCAUUACCAUAACAAAUAUUACUACUAAUCUAAUGAUAUUAUUACUAUUAGUAAUACUAAUGCUACUGAUAAUCCUAGUAUGCUAAUGCCAUUGUCAAUGUCAAUGCUAAUACUAAUCAUAAUCCUAAUUCUAAUGCUGAUUUGAAUACGUUAAUGCUAAUGUUAAUCCUAAUAUGCUAAUGUUAAUCUUAAUCCUAGUAUUUCAAUGCUAAUAAACUAAUAAUAAUUCUAAUUCUAAUGCUAAUCAUAACCCUAACACUAAUUCUAAUGCUCAUUCUAACCCAAAUCACAAUCCUAAUAUUAAUCAUAAUCAUAAUCUUAAUCAUAAUCAUAAUAGAAUCCUAAUGAUAAUGUUAAUCUCAAUCUUAAUAAUAAUCCUAAUCCUAAUAAUAAUACUAAUCAUAGUUCUAAUCCUAAUAGAAAUUCACAUAUGCUAAUGCUAACGCUAAUCUUAAUACGAAUUCUAAUAUGGUAAUAUUAACGCUAAUGCUAAUAUUGAUCAUAAUUCUAAUCAAAAUGCUAAUACUAAUAUACUAAUAGUAAUUUUAAUCAUAAUGUUAAUCCUAAUACUAAUAGUAAUCCUAAUAUGCUAAUGUUAAUUCUAAUCCUAAUGCUAAUGAUAAUUCUAAUAUACUAAUGCAAAUGCAAACGCUAAGGUUAAUAUGCUAAUGUUGAUCGUAAUUCUAAUUCUCCUGCUACUGCUAAUGCUUAAUAAACAUAAUCCUAAUGCUGAUGUUAAUGCUAAUCCUAAUGCUAACACUAAUGGUAAUUCUAAUUCUAAUAUACUGAUGCUAAUGCAAACGCUAAGGUUAAUAUGCUAGUGUUAAUCAUAAUUUUAAUUCUCCUGCUACUGCUAAUGCUUAAUAAACAUAAUCCUAAUGCUGAUGUUAAUCCAAAUAUGCUAAUGCUAAUGUUAAUGUUAUACUAAUGUAGAUGAACAAAAUAUGCUAAUUCUAAUGCUAAUUUUAAUUCUAAUACUAAUCUUAAUUCUAAUGCUAAUCUUAAUCUUAAUUAUAAUCCAAAUACUGAUGUUAAUAUUAAAAUCCUAAUCGUAAUUAUAAAGCUAAUACUAAUUCUAAUUCUAAUACUAAUUAUAAUCUUAAUCUUAUAAUCCUAAUCCUAAUCCUAAUCCUAAUAGAAAUACUAAUACUAACACGCAUUCUAAUUUUAAUCGUAAUCAUAAUUCUAAUACUAAUACUAAUCUUAGUCCUAGUACUAAUCCUAAUAUGUUAAUGAUUACUCUAAUAUGCUAAUGUUGAUCCUGUUGGGUUUCGGGCACGCGUACGCAGCGGAAAACAAAAAUUUUAUGCGAAUUAAACAACUUUAAAACACAUAAGCACAUGCCCGAUAAUUAAAUCAAUUAAUUGCGUACCUUUGCGCUUCCAGCGAAAUUAAAAACAACAUACAUUGCGUACCUUUGCGCUUCCAGCGAAAUUAAAACAACAUACAUGCUUAAUUACUUAAUCGAAAUUAAAUCAAUUAGCACGCUCGCGUUUAAAUCAAAUAAUCAUGCUCGCAAUAAUAAAACCAAUUUCAUGUAGUCACAUAAAAUCAUACAAGUUUCUUAUUAAAACGAACAUGCAUAUAUUAAUUUAAACGUAACCGAAUCGAAUGACAAUUGAUUCGAAACAUUACCUCUUGAAGCGUGAGGUAGGCGCACUAAGCAAAGCUAGAUUCCCACGGAAACCAAUCCGUGCAAUCCGGGGCAGCAACGGCGAUGAUCCGAGCUACGGCAGCGCAUGUGAUUCACGCGCAGAGAAGAUGGCUAGCUGCUCUUCCCACUCCUAUUGAUCCAACCUGUUUGCUGAUCUGAAAUUAUAGCCUUGCUCCGACUUCAGUAUCUCCAUGCUUAUUUUCUGGAUGAACAAUUCCUUCUAGAAGAUGGUAGAUUUAUGAGUCGUGAAGCUGCUGUCAAAAUUUCACGUCCAUCGGAUGACCGGUUGAUUUAUGGCGAAUUUUCUCGCUGGGCAGCCCAGAAAAUCCGAGAGCAGUUUUUCGGAAUUGCCUUUUCGCAUCUUCGCAUCUUCGAUCUUCCUCCUCUUGGAUUUCACCUCGUAUACUUCGAUCUACUAAACACGUGGCACUAGACACGUAAUAGUCAGAAUAACGGAAGAAAAGAAAGAAGGAAAGGAAUACCGAAAGAGAUCGGCCAACGGGUGGCUGAUUCCGGCGAAUUUCCGGCGACGACGCGGUGGUGGUGGCCGUGGGAGAGGGUGGCUGAUCGAGAGAGGCAGCGGCUAGGGUUAUGAACGUGUGUUCUCUUAGUUGUGUGUGUGCAAGACCUAUAAAUCAAGUAUUUAUAUGUCUUGCAUAAAACCCUAACGGGCUUAAGUUGGACCGGGCCCAACAGCUUAAGUUCGUUAGUUCUCUUACUUGCUCAUCUCUCUCAAUUCGAUGAUCGGAAAACUGUAACGAUUACAUUUUCGGAAUCAUUAUAAUGUCCUCGUCAUUACGAGUGCCAACUCUCGAUUUCCAACUUUCCAAAAGUGGAAACCCUAAUUCAGUGCACUUUCUAAAUUUGGAAACUUCCCGAUUUAGAAGGUUCACUAAUACGUUCGCCUAUUCUUUUCCUUUUCUUAUUCUCAUUCAUAAUUCCAAAUUACGAAUGUUGGACCCAAUCAUAUUGACUUCCAAUCAUGCAAAGAUAAACAUAUUUUACCUUUGACCGUUUAUUCAAAGAUCUCAUGUGCACGAGCAGUGUGACCCUCGAUGGUUCAGGUGUAAGCUAGCCGUGGGCCCACAACCCUUUGUGGUCAAAACUCGUCCCCUUAGAGUUACGAUUAAGAUGAAACUCAUUUCACCUUAAUCACCCAACGAAUCAAGAUUGGCGUCUAGCAACUACACGUCAUGAUUCCCUAGAUACAAAUGAAGUGCCUGCAAGAACCUUCAGAUAUAGUUAACGUACAGUACGGUCCCUUCGAUUCAUAUGUCCCGAUCGAACUAGAGGCAUUGGUUCAUCGAGACCUCUUUAUAUGUUCGAUGACGGUGCGAUCGUUCCAAGUGUUGUAAUCGUCACGUGCAUGACUUAGAGAAUCGAAUUCUCUAAUCAUCACUUAGUCAGCUCUGGCCAGAGACUUAGAAUGAUUACAAACUAUCAGAACACACAGGACAUCCAAGACUAUUCUAGCGAUCGAAUCCCCGACUACAAUGCACAGACCUCCCACUAGAUUUCGGACUGCACGAACACUGGCCCUUGGGAUGGUCCUCGGUGGAACUCAGGGACAGGUCACGAUACAGCUGGUCCUCUAGUGAAGUCACGGUGAUGUCUAGGUCAUAAGGACUAAUGGUGUACAACUAUACCAUAGAUAUCUCUACUCGAUUAUUGGGAACCACUUAGAGAUUUCUAGGGUGAGGGAGUUCAGUGAACUCGUCAACUUACGAGCACCCACUUAUGCAUGCCGAUAUCACAAUACCGUUUACUGAUGAGAUGCAGUACACAUACACUAAGUGCUAGUCUCUAAUGGGAAAGGCCGAUAUCCUCAUUGGUGGCGUAACCCUUCGACUAGGAACACGUUUAACAGUUAUAAUACUUAAGCAAAUAUCUCACGAUCCUAACGAUCAAUUACUAGUACUUGUAAUAACUGUAAGGACUAUAUCUAUGCUUGUGACAAAGGGACAAAGAUAUAGAAUGCCAAGGUCUUUUAUCAUUAAUACGAAUAAAGGUUCGUUUAUUACCAUAAUAAAUACGAAAGACCACAGCCACAUGUUGGCUUGUUGGUCACCUACUCUAACAAUCUCCCACUUGACCUAAAGCCAACUACCCACGAAUCGCAAUCCCAUCGACUCUCGAUGUUUCUCGUGGAUCGAUUUCGGUAAAGGCUUCGUAAAGGGGUUUGCAACGUACUCUUUCGAGGUGACUCAUUCUACUUUAACUUCACCUCUAUCAAUGAUCUCUCGGAUCACAUGAUACUUUCUCAGAAUAUGCUUCGACUUCUGAUGAGAACGUGUCUCCUUAGCUUGCGCCACGGCUCCGGUGUUAUCACAGUACAACGGUACUGGAUCACUAGCAUCAGGAAUGACACCCAACUCUUGGAUGAAUUUCCUUAUCCAAGUCCCUUCUUUUGCAGCUUCAGAUGCUGCAAUGUAUUCCGCUUCGGUAGUGGAAUCGGCCGUCGUGCUUUGCUUGGAACUCUUCCAACACACGGCACCACCUUAAGCGUGAAUAUAAAUCCAGAAUUCGACUUUGAGUCGUCCACGUCCGAUUGAAAACUAGAGUCGGUAAAACCCUCUAAUUUCAAUUCGGCACCUCCAUAGACCAAAAAUAUAUCCUUAGUCCUUCGCAAGUACUUGAGGAUAUCUUUCACGGCUUUCCAGUGAGCCGGGCCGGGGUUAGACUGAUAUCUGCUUGUGACACUCACAGCAUACGCAAUAUCGGGUCUCGUACAUAGAAUGCCAUACAUUAUGCUUCAUAUGGCAGAAGCAUAGGGCGUCCUUUUCAUCUCCUCGACUUCACUAGGUGUUUGCGGACACAUAGAUUUCGAGAGACGAACCCCAUGGGACAUUGGCAAGAAUCCCUUCUUGGAUUCUUCCAUGCUAAACCGUUUCAUAACGGUGUCUAUGUACAGGCUUUGGGAUAAACCAAGCAUCUUUCUCGCUCUAUCUCUAUGGAUGCGUAUUCCUAAUACAUAAGAUGCUUCUCCCAAAUCCUUCAUUGAGAAACGUGUGGACAACCAUGCUUUCGUUUGUUGCAGCAUUCCUACGUCAUUCCCAAUGAGUAGAAUGUCGUCAACGUAAAGCACUAAAAAUAUCACUGCCCUCCCACUAACCUUCUUGUAUACACAAGGUUCCUCCGGAUUCUUCUCAAAAUCAAACUCUUUGAUAGUUGAGUCGAACCUAAUGUUCCAACUUCGGGAUGCUUGUUUCAAUCCAUAAAUGGAUCGCUGGAGUUUGCAAACUUUUUGCUCACUUCUAGAAGAUAUGAAGCCUUCCGGCUGCGCCAUAUAAAUUUCUUCCUCAAUAUCUCCAUUAAGGAAAGCGGUCUUCACAUCCAUUUGCCAUAUCUCGUAGUCGUACCACGCAGCUAUGGCCAGCAAAAUCCUAAUGGACUUCAGCAUCGCGACUGGCGAAAAGGUUUCCUCAUAGUCAACACCUUGCCUUUGAGUGUAUCCUUUCGCUACCAAUCUAGCUUUAUAGGUCGAUACCUUUCCAUCCACUCCAAUUUUCUUCUUAUAGAUCCACUUGCAGCCUAUAGGAACAAUUCCCUUAGGUGGAUCUACCAAGGUCCAUACCUUGUUGGAGUACAUGGAGUCCAUUUCGGAUUUCAUGGCAGUUAGCCAAUGUCCCAUGUCCGCAUCCGAUACGGCCUCAUUGUAUGUUCUUGGAUCUUGUCCAAGAUCAACAUGAUCUUCAUCAUUCGAGGAGGAAUAACCUAUCCGGCAUUUUCCGAACUCUUUCGGAUCUACGUACCGUAGGUUCAGGAGGUAUAUUAGUGUAUUGUUGUAUUGGUUCGAUUACUUGUUCUUGCGCUUGAACUUCACUUUGUGGUCUUUGAACUACUUCAAGUUCUAUCGUGCUGCUUUUCUAUCCCAUUGAAUCUUCGGGAUACCCCACAAAAUAGCACAAGUCGGAUUUACUAUCCAACUUAUCUCCCACUAAUCGCUUCACAUAAGCGGGAAAACCCCAUAUCCUAAUAUGUUUGUAGUUGGGUUUCCGGGAAUGCCAAAGUUCUUUAUCAUUAAUAUCUCACUACGUUUUGCUGAAUUUCGCCUUAGGGGCCCCCACUACCUUCACCCACUUCGAACUUGUUGUUUUGAAAGGGAACUCUUUCCUUUCUCUUCUUUUGGGGAGAACUAUUCUUUGCAGAAGUAACAGCAAUGAGAACAGACUUCUCUUUCUUAAUGGUGGACUCGAAACUGACCAACAUGUUCAUUAACUAAUCCAAGGGAGGAUCUAGUUUGUUCAUGUUGAAGUUCACUAUGAACGAUUCAUAGGAACUAGGGAGAGAUAACAUGAUCAAAUCCAACGAGAGCUCGGCUGGGAGGGUGACAUCAAGAUUCACUAGCUUUUCAAGGAGAGUGAUCAUUUUGAGACAGUGCUCGUGGACCGAAGUCCCUUCUCGCAGUCUUGCCGUGAUCAACUCCUUUGUAGCAGCGUACCUCGAUGCCCUAAUAUUCUCACUAUACAUGCUAUCGAGAUGAGCCUUUAUAUCGAAAGCAUGCAUGUGAGACUCAUAUUUCCUCGCAAGCGCGGGCUCCAUGGCGGCUAUCAUAUAGCACCUAGCAUGUGUGUCAUCUUUCUUCCAAGCUUCAUAAGUUUCCUUUUCAGCAUCAGUCGCUGUGGCAGGUAUAGUGGCGGGAAGUCUCUCGUUCAAAACAUAGAGACGCCCCUCAACGGUUAGCACAAGCUUAAGACUACGCAACCAAUCUAGGUAAUUAGGGCCAUUGAGUUUAUUGUCGAGGAUUGACAUUAUGGGAUUCAUAGACAUGAUUAUUUGAGACAUAUAGAGAAGAGGAUUAUUAGAGAUUCGCGUUAAAUGAUUGUUACAAUUAAAUGUUUGGACUUGUGUUAUUUAAUUGUUCUCCCACUAAUUUUAUCGAGUUCCACUUCCCUCUAGUAGACAAACGAGAAAACUGAUUUUUCUUAAUGGGCUUUAGGUCCAAUAGACAAAUAUAACCCGUAGUUAAUCUAGCCCGAUUAUAUUUGCCCAAAGGUAGAUCACAAUCAAUCAUAUCCACAAUAUGACCCUAAAUUAAUUUUCCUCACACUUGAUAAUGACCUAAGUUAAUCUCGCGAAUAUCAAAAUCGUCGUGUGUCAAGUCUAACCUACCAAUCAAAGAUGCUCAUAGAACUUGAUUAUGCCAAACUAAUGCAGUCCCUAGUUAAUCUAGCCGACCACGUUAAUUCAACAUAACCCCUUUCUAUGGCUACCUUCAUCGCUAUGUCAAUUGAAUUACAGCUUACUCUACCAUAGCACUCCCCGCUAACACGGCUUACUGCACUAUAGUAAAGGGCUACACAUAAUCCAACCGUUGGCAGAAGGAAAGAAAUAACUCAACAGAUUGGGUUUUUCUUUAUAGCUUGAAAUGAUUCUUAAUUAAAUUAAGAAUGAGGGAUUUUUAUUAAAAUGUUUUAUCUCAUCAGAAGGUUUGGAUUGGUCUAUGUGAUUCCUACAUCUAUGUUCUCUAAAGGUAUAUGGAAGCGCAUAUUGUCCUAAGAGGAACAUACGACCUAAUUUCAUAAUUAAUUACAUUAAUUAAUUAUCGAGUUUUUCAAAAUAAUUAUAGAACCUCAACUAGCAUAAAUCAUUCAAAUAAUGUUGAGGUACUACUAAUUAAGUUGAAUCAUAAUCAAAAUUAUGAAUGUGUUCUAUUAAUUGAAAUCAAUUUAACAAUUUAAAUUAAUUAAUUAAUCUAACACCUAUUUACUAAAAUAGAUGAUUGUCGAUCCAAUUAUCUAAUUGGGAUUAAUUGAAAAUAAUUUUCCGAAAAUUAAAAUCAAUUUGUUUUAAGUUUAAUUUUAGAAAUCUGAAAUAAAUUUUUUUUUUUUUUUUCAGUGAACCGGUUCGGCCGACCGGUCUGACCGGUUCGGACCGAAACGGUCCGGUUCUGCCCGGUCCAAUUGACCCAAAUCAGUGGGCCGGGUCAGUCGGACCGAGAACCGGUCUGACCGACCCGAAUCCACUUGGAUUCGGUCGAUUGGAUCGUGCACAACCAUCGAACCGGCCGGUUCGACCGGUUCGAUCCAAAUAAUUAAAAACCGACGUUUAAAAAAUAAUUUCAGAUCCGUUUUUCCAAUUUCAAACAAUUUUAAAGCUGGAAAAAUUCUAAACAAUAUUUCAAAAAUAUUUUAAACUUACGAAAACUCCCAAUUACAUAAUACAACAAUCACUACUUCAAUAAAUCGAACAUGCAUAAAAUCAUAGCAUAUUAAAACGAACGCAAUUAAUUGCGCAACGAGCUCUGAUACCACUGUUGGGUUUCGGGCACGCGUACGCAGCGGAAAACAAAAAUUUUAUGCGAAUUAAACAACUUUAAAACACAUAAGCACAUGCCCGAUAAUUAAAUCAAUUAAUUGCGUACCUUUGCGCUUCCAGCGAAAUUAAAAACAACAUACAUUGCGUACCUUUGCGCUUCCAGCGAAAUUAAAACAACAUACAUGCUUAAUUACUUAAUCGAAAUUAAAUCAAUUAGCACGCUCGCGUUUAAAUCAAAUAAUCAUGCUCGCAAUAAUAAAACCAAUUUCAUGUAGUCACAUAAAAUCAUACAAGUUUCUUAUUAAAACGAACAUGCAUAUAUUAAUUUAAACGUAACCGAAUCGAAUGACAAUUGAUUCGAAACAUUACCUCUUGAAGCGUGAGGUAGGCGCACUAAGCAAAGCUAGAUUCCCACGGAAACCAAUCCGUGUAAUCCGGGGCAGCAACGGCGAUGAUCCGAGCUACGGCAGCGCAUGUGAUUCACGCGCAGAGAAGAUGGCUAGCUGCUCUUCCCACUCCUAUUGAUCCAACCUGUUUGCUGAUCUGAAAUUACAGCCUUGCUCCGACUUCAGUAUCUCCAUGCGUAUUUCCUGGAUGAACAAUUUCUUCUAGACGAUGGUAGAUUUUUGAGUCGUGAAGAUGCUGUCAAAAUUUCACGUCCAUCGGAUGAUCGGUUGAUUUAUGGUGAAUUUUCUCGCUGGGCAGCGCAGAAAAUCCGAGAGCAGUUUUUCGGAAUUGCCUUCUCGCAUCUUCGAUUCUUCGAUCUCCCUCCUCUUGGAUUUCACCUCGUAUACUUCGAUCUACUAAACACGUGGCACUAGACACGUAAUAGUCAGAAUAACGGAAGAAAAGAAAGAAGGAAAGGAAUACCGAAAGAGAUCGGCCAACGGGUGGCUGAUUCCGACGAAUUUCCGGCGACGACGCGGUGGUGGUGGCCGUGGGAGAGGGUGGCUGAUCGAGAGAGGCAGCGGCUAGGGUUAUGAACGUGUGUUCUCUUAGUUGUGUGUGUGCAAGACCUAUAAAUCAAGUAUUUAUAUGUCUUGCAUAAAACCCUAACGGGCUUAAGUUGGACCGGGCCCAACAGCUUAAGUUCGUUAGUUCUCUUACUUGCUCAUCUCUCUCAAUUCGAUGAUCGGAAAACUGUAACGAUUACAUUUUCCAUUUUCGGAAUCAUUAUAAUGUCCUCGUCAUUACGAGUGCCAACUCUCGAUUUCCAACUUUCCAAAAGUGGAAACCCUAAUUCAGUGCACUUUCUAAAUUUGGAAACUUCCCGAUUUAGAAGGUUCACUAAUACGUUCGCCUAUUCUUUUCCUUUUCUUAUUCUCAUUCAUAAUUCCAAAUUACGAAUGUUGGACCCAAUCAUAUUGACUUCCAAUCAUGCAAAGAUAAACAUAUUUUACCUUUGACCGUUUAUUCAAAGAUCUCAUGUGCACGAGCAGUGUGACCCUCGAUGGUUCAGGUGUAAGCUAGCCGUGGGUCCACAACCCUUUGUGGUCAAAACUCGUCCCCUUAGAGUUACGAUUAAGAUGAAACUCAUUUCACCUUAAUCACCCAACGAAUCAAGAUUGGCGUCUAGCAACUACGCGUCAUGAUUCCCUAGAUACAAAUGAAGUGCCUGCAAGAACCUUCAGAUAUAGUUAACGUACAGUACGGUCCCUUCGAUUCAUAUGUCCCGAUCGAACUAGAGGCAUUGGUUCAUCGAGACCUCUUUAUAUGUUCGAUGACGGUGCGAUCGUUCCAAGUGUUGUAAUCGUCACGUGCAUGACUUAGAGAAUCGAAUUCUCUAAUCAUCACUUAGUCAGCUCUGGCCAGAGACUUAGAAUGAUUACAAACUAUCAGAACACACAGGACAUCCAAGACUAUUCUAGCGAUCGAAUCCCCGACUACAAUGCACAGACCUCCCACUAGAUUUCGGACUGCACGAACACUGGCCCUUGGGAUGGUCCUCGGUGGAACUCAGGGACAGGUCACGAUACAGCUGGUCCUCUAGUGAAGUCACGGUGAUGUCUAGGUCAUAAGGACUAAUGGUGUACAACUAUACCAUAGAUAUCUCUACUCGAUUAUUGGGAACCACUUAGAGAUUUCUAGGGUGAGGGAGUUCAGUGAACUCGUCAACUUACGAGCACCCACUUAUGCAUGCCGAUAUCACAAUACCGUUUACUGAUGAGAUGCAGUACACAUACACUAAGUGCUAGUCUCUAAUGGGAAAGGCCGAUAUCCUCAUUGGUGGCGUAACCCUUCGACUAGGAACACGUUUAACAGUUAUAAUACUUAAGCAAAUAUCUCACGAUCCUAACGAUCAAUUACUAGUACUUGUAAUAACUGUAAGGACUAUAUCUAUGCUUGUGACAAAGGGACAAAGAUAUAGAAUGCCAAGGUCUUUUAUCAUUAAUACGAAUAAAGGUUCGUUUAUUACCAUAAUAAAUACGAAAGACCACAGCCACAUGUUGGCUUGUUGGUCACCUACUCUAACAGAUCCUAAUAUGUUAAUGCUAAUAUUCUGAUGUUAAUUGUAAUACUACUACUAAUCACAAUGAUAAUAAUAAUAAUCCAAAUAUGCUAAUGAAGAUAUUAAUGCUAGUGUUAAUCCUAAUCCUAAUGCUAAUUUUGAUCCUUAUUCUAGUCAUAACCGUAAUCGUAAUCCUAAUGCUAAUGUUAAUUAUAAUACUAAACUUAAUACUAAUCAUAUACUAAUAUUAAUUAUAAUCCUAACACAAAUAGUAACACUAACACCAACUCUAAUACUAACACUAACACUACUAUUACUGACACUAUGACUAACUAAUACUAAUUUUAAUCCUAAUACUAAUACUAAUUUUAAUACUAAUAUUAAUACUAAUAUUAAUACUAAUACUAAUACUAAUACUAAUACUAAUACUAAUACUAAUACUAAUACUAAUACUAAUACUAAUACUAAUACUAAUACUAAUACUAAUACUAAUACUAAUACUAAUACUAAUACUAAUACUAAUACUAAUACUAAUACUAAUACUAAUAUUAAGGCCCCGUUUGGUAGCCAAGAUAAGCCAUGAAACUAAAUAGUUGGACUUAGUUUGAUGUUUGGUAUCCUCAAUAAAUUGUCGGGUCGACCCACCAAAAUUAUAUAAUCAUGGCUUAUCUUGCCUUAUCUUGGGUUAUCUUGUCUUAUAAUGAGUUUUUUUUUUUUUGUUGGACGUUUCAAGCUCCAAUAAAAUAGUUGGGUUUCAUUAGGUUAUUUAAUCUUAUAUUGGCUAAUCUUAUCUUGCCAACCAAACGGUGCCUAAUAGCUUACACUAAUACUAAUACUAAUACUAAUACUAAUAAUAAUACUAAUAAUAAUAAUAAUACUAAUAUUAAUAUUAAGACUAAUUCUAAUACUAAUAUUUAAUGCUAAUACUAAUAGCUAAUACUAAUACUAAUACUAAUACUAAUACUAAUACUAAUACUAAUACUAAUACUAAUAUUAAUACUAAUACUAAGGCCCCGUUUGGUUGGCAAGAUAAGAUUAGCCAAGAUAAGAUAAAAUAAUCUAAUGAGACCUAAUUAUUUUGUUGGAGCUUGAAACGUCCAACAAAAAAAAACUCAUUAGAAGGCAAGAUAAGCCAAGAUAAGGCAAGAUAAACCAUGAUUAUAUAAUUUUGGCGGGUCGACCCGGGAAUUUAUUGAGAAUACCAAACAUCAAAUUAAGUCCAACUAUUUAAUUAAUCAUGGCUUAUCUUAUAUUACUAUUACUAUUACUAUUGCUCAUGCCAUUACCACUACAAGAAAACAGGGCUUCACCGACGAACAUUCAGCGACCAAAUAAGUUGUCGCUAUUUAUUGACAAAUUAUCGACCAAUUUGUGACAGAUUACAAUUUAUUUGCGAGGGAUUCUGAUUUGGUUGGAGACUAGUCGCUGAUUAGCGACGCAUUUACGUUUCAUUGCUAAAUCGUCACUGAUGUUGCAACGCAAUCAAAAGACGUUACUAAUCAGAUGCUAAUUUUGCGACGCAAUCACAUUGAAUCGAUAAAUAGUCACUAUUUUUGUGACGAAUAUCAUUUUCGUCGGACAAUCGUCGCUGUUUCUUCGAUGGAUAUAUUUUUUGUCGGAACUGCGUCACUAAUUGGCGACGAAUUUCAUUUACGUCGGAAAUUUGUCACUACAUUUGGGACGAAUAACCUUUUCGUCGGAACUACGUCACUGAUUUGCGACAACUUUCAAUUCGUCGGUAAUUUAUCACUCUAUUUUGCGACAAAUUUAUUUUUGUUUUUAAUUUGUCACUAAUUGUAUGACGAAUUUGAUUAAAUAAUUCUUAAAGAGCUGAAUGUGUAUACUUUUGUAUUUCUAAUAUUAGGGCUCGGCAAAAAUUAUCAAAUACCGAUUACCACGGUAUACCUACCACAAAUUACCGAAUAAAUACCGAACUAUCGGUUACCACUACAUUUGGUACGGUAUCGGUACCGUACCAUUGUCUUACGGUACGGUAGCGGUAUUGUAUCUUCAAUACCAUAGUAAUACCGUACCGUACCGCAACUUUGUAUUUUUAAAAUUAGUUAAUAUAUUUUUCCUUCUAUAUUGUUAAAUAAAAAAAAUAUAGUCAACAAAUAUUAUAAAAAAAAUAAAAAACAAAAGAAUAACGAUAUGAUACAUCCUAUAUAUAUUAUUUUACAUAAUGAUAAUUUUUUUAUUAUCUUCAUAUAUUCAUGCAAACUCAAUAUUUAGCUCUCGUUAAAGCUUUGUUUAUGUCACGUACUUCUUUAGUUUCAAAGUCCAAUUAAUCUUUUAUUGGUGGAGUACUUUUUGCCAUAAUUUUCUUCUCCCUUUCUUUUCCCCCCGAGUUCCUAGCCUUUUGAUUCAUUUGCAUUAUUGCAAUUUUUUUUAUUUCUCUCACUUAAACCAUGAAACUUUUUUGCUCAUUAUAAGUUUCUACAAUUUUUCUAUAGAUAUCUUAGUAAGCAUUAGUUAAUAAAAACAACAUAUGCUACUACGGUCGUAUAAUGUAUAUUCAUGUAGAUUGCUUGAUUACCACAUUCAUUUGCUUAUUUUUUUGUAUUUAUGCAUUUAUUUAGUAUUCAUCUUAAUUAUGGUAUCAUCCAAGUUCAUCAAAAAAUGAUGUACGGUAGAUUACCACGUACCGAUCAUACCGUACCGAAACUAACGGUAUACCGAAUAACGGUAUACCGCAAUUGUUGGUACGGUAACGGUAUAGAAUUUUUCUAUACCGAAAGAUACGGUAGGUACACGGUAUUGAACAAAAUGUUCGGUAACCGUACCGAAACCACCCCUAUCUAAUAUUAUAAAAGUUAGUAAAUACGCAAUAUAUUUAUUAAAUGUAAAAUAACAAAUUUCAAUAACACCCCCCUAUAAUUCCUUGCAGUUAUUUUCAUUCCCUCUACACUAAUUCUUUUUAGAGUUAACUGCGAAAAAUCCCCUAAACUUUGGACGUUUUUGCGCUUUACCCCCUGAACGGAAAAAAGUUGCACGAGCAUACCUGAACUUGUUAAAUUGUUGCACCGAUGAUUAAAAAAUCCAUUUAUAGCAAAAUUCCUGCCUGAAUUGCACACGUGCAACUCACACGUGAAAAUGAAGGGGCAAUUUCGUCAAUUCACAAGACUUUCAGAUAAAAGAAUAAAAAGAAAAAUUGAAUUUUGUUUUUUGGGGGUAAAGGAAAAAAAAUGAAAGCGGGUCAAAAUAACCCGGAAAAAUUCAUCUGGGAUUCGAUGAGGAGUACAUCGGUGGUGGGGCAGCUUCUUCACAAGGUAAAGCUCUGCCCAAGCUAAUGGUGUGGCUGAUUCUGUUCGUUUCCGCCACGUAUGUUGUGUACGCAUUGAAGCUGGUUUCCACCUCCCACACGGCCGCCGCCGCCUGCGGCGGCGAGGACUUAUUCUCCAAUCGCCACCCACAAACCGUCCGCCUUGCCGAACCGACGGCCGGAAACUUAUUCUCGAGAAAAUGCAUUCAGAGGUACCCUGGUUUGUACGGCUCCGAUGAUAGAAUGCAGGCUUGUAUGGCUGAACUCGGUGUCCCACUCACUAAGGAACUCGGUUUUCACCAGGUCAGACUUCUCGCCUUAAUUUCUUUAUUUUUUUAAUUGAAUUUUUUUCUUUUCUGUAUCCUAUUUAGUGGGGUUUCUGUUUUCAUUUGGGAUUUAGCAUUUAUGCGUGUGUGUGUGUGUGUGUGUGUGUGUUUUUCCCGAAAUCACUACGAAAAAGGGGAAGAAUUUCUACACUUGAAAGCUGUGACCAAAUUAUUAUGAAUUUUCGAUAUGAAUUCAUUGGAGAUUAGGGAUUUUUCAUUUUGAAUUUUUAGUAAUUUUAUAUGAUAAUUUCAGAUGGUGGUGCGGCGGCGGUGGAGAGAGAUGGUGGUGCGGCGGCGAUGGAGAGAGAUGGUGGCGCGGCGGCAGUGGAGAGAGAUGGUGCGGCGGCGGUGGAGAGAGAUGGUGGUGCGGCGGCGCUGGAGAGAGAUGGUGGUGCGGCGGCGGUGAAGAGAGAUGGUGGUGGCGGUGGUGUGAAAAAUCUUCCCCUCUUUUGCAGCAAGAGGGACACGAAGAAGAUGGGUGGGCUUUUUUUCUUUUUCUUUUUUUAUUCUUCCUUUUUCUUUUUUUUUCUUUUUCUGUUCUCCUUUUUUUUUAUUCUUUUAUCUGAAAGUCUUGUGAAUUGACGAAAUUGCCCCUUCAUUUUCACGUGUGAGUUGCACGUGUGCAAUUCAGGCAGGAAUUUUGCUAUAAAUGGAUUUUUUAAUCAUCGGUGCAACAAUUUAACAAGUUCAGGUAUGCUCGUGCAACUUUUUUCCGUUCGUUUAGGGGAUUUUUUGCAGUUAACCCUUCUUUUUAUGUCUUCUCCGUACCCCCCCCUCUUAUUCUCUAUAUCUCGCUCUCACUCCCUCUAUCUCGUGACGGUUCUGGAUCUCGUCAAGUCUCACCGAAAGAGGGGUGGUACCACAUUAUUGCCCGCUCAGUCGCCAUCUACAAGUAGGUAAUUUUUGCAGAGCAUCUUCUUGGGUAAUUUCAUUCUACAGUGCGCAAUUGUCAAAAUUAGGUCUGAGUUACGGGUGUGAAACUAUGAAUAGGUAGUAUUCGCUUAGGUUAUAAUGUGAUUUCUGAGAUUUCUUUCUAGAUAUAUUUUUUUUCUGCGGAUCCAUUUAAACUUUUCUUUUUGUUAAUUGUGUUUUUAAAUUUUCAAAGACGUGCUUGAAUAUUUGGGUUGGGGUUUCAGAAUUUAGUAUAAAUUUAUUUCUUACUUAUAUUUAAAUUGAACAAAGAAAAAAAGGACUUGGUUAUUAGAAGGAAUUCAUUGCCCUAGGUUUCUUUAUAAGGGUUGAAUAUUGUAGCAGACUAUCGGAAUUCAUUGUACUAUAUGCCGGAGAUCCUUAUAUGUGUAUACGUAUGCUUACGAAGGAUAAUAAAUUAAGGCUGAUAGUGUAAUAUUGCUUGAAUUUUUUUGAAAACAAUAUAAUAUAAGUUUCUGAAAACAAUAAUAAUUGAUGCCAUCUACGAGUGUGCUUAUGUGUGUGAAGCAAUAUAAUAAUAGUUUUGAAAGAUGAUGAUAAUGCAAAAAAUGAUUUUGUCCCAACUUUAGUGGUAUCAAAAGUUGGUCAUGGUGAGCAGGAACAGGUGAUUUAAAUAAGUCUAGAGGUAAUUUCUUUGCUCUUCGUUUUUGUGUAUAUUUGCGGUAAGUUCCACGAAAUAUCCGUAACAUAUGCUGCUUGCCUUUCUGACUUCUUAUUAGUUUAGUCUUUUAGUUAUUCAUGGAGUCCCAUUAUUCUCAUCAGAAUGGUCUCUUCAAAUUGAGUUUAAGAAAUGUUUGUUAAAAUAUAGGUUUUCUCGGUAUAUUUUUCGAAGCCUCUGCCUCUAAUAUCAGCAUACAAACUAGUUAUACAUUUAUUUCUUCAAAUCAGGUAAUUUGCUGAUCUUGGUUAUCUAAGUUGUGUGUACUUCUAACUAUAUAUGUAUGUUAUUUUUCCUACUAUUAAACUCUACCUAUUAGAAAUCUUACUUCAUAUGUAUUUUUUCAGUUAUUGGACAUAUUAUUGGCUAAGCUUUUGGCUCGCAAGCACAAAGUACUUGAGUACUUUCGGUUCUUGAUAUGACAUUUGAGUAAUAGUAAGGUACUGAAGAAUUAUUAUUUGGUUCUAUAAGUGCAAGUCAUAAAUUUGUAUUUCUUAAUGAUAACUGUUGUAUGAUUUCAUCUAUUUAUUUUUUUCUAGUGUAGUAUUGAAACAUGCAGGUAGUAUUUUUACCAUGAUAAAGGUUUGUUGCUUUUUAAACAAUGGUUAUUAGGGACUUUGUGAAACUGUAUAGAUUUAGUUCCAUUUUAUGUUAGUAUUUGCAUAAUGUCUUGUUUUCUUGUUUUAACAGAAUUCUUGUUUGAAAUUUCAGAUGAAGUUCAAGGAUUUGGUUCUCUGUUGUUCAAGUGUUCACCAACUAAGAAGGUGAGCAAAAUUCAUUAGAUUGUUGUUGCAUUUGAUUACUCCUUUUGACCGUUUAAAAUCGUAAGAAUAAUGUUACUAUAGUUUUUGUGAUGCAGAUUAUGGGAAUCGACACCGCGCUUGAAAAAUUCCAAACUCUUGGAGAUGAUGACAUUUUGAAGGCAUCGUGUAAAGGUUCUAGAAUAUGAUUUGUUUAGAGAAUGGUGGAUAAAUUAUUGAGAUGGCAUAUGUACAUGGAUAUUGUUUUACAUUUUGAUUUUGAACUUUUUGUGAAUACUGGGAAAUGAUUUAUCAAAUAAUUAGUGAUUUAUAAUAUUUACAUUAUUUAUGCUUGACAAGUCUAUACAUGAAUUCAAAUAGUGUGAAUGGAUAAUAAAUUUCAUUGCUGAAAUUAGUUGGUGGAUCACCGACGAACUGAAUUUUUAUUACCACAUUGGCAGCAAGUGAUUACUGACACAAAACAGUUUGUCAAUAAAAUUACUGAUGGAAUUUGUUAGCGGGAUGUCCGUUGGUAAAUUACUGACCAAAAUACAUAAGUAGUCGGUAAAAAUUACCGAUGAAUAUACUGACAAUAAUAUUCCGUUGCUAAAUUGAACUUUACCGACUGAAAAGAGAUCACGUUUGUAUCCAAUUUUGCGACGGAAAUUUAUCAUAUUACUGACGGGAAUUACGUUGCUAUAUUUCCGACCGAAUAAAUGCGUCAUUAAAAUUUAGCGGCGGGGUUUAUACCGACCGAUUUUUUCUGUUGGUAUAUCCGUCAGUGAGUCAAUUUAGCGACCGAUUUCUUCGAAUCACCGACAUAAUACUAAUCAUAAUACUAAUCCUAAUGUUAACUCUAAUCCUAACUAUUAUAAAUGAUUAAAAAUAUGUACAUAUUCAAAUUAUGCAAACAAUGACAUUACAAUAAACUUUUGAUUAUGAAGAAAUUGUAUCUUAAAAACAAAUCAUAAUAGUGUCAUUAUGCCGUAAAGAGUGAUAAUAUAGUUGCAACUUCAAUGGUAGGUAUUAAAAUGAGACAUCUAAACCCUUAAUUGAUGUUUGAAAUAAUACUUUGGUAUUUCGAAAAAACUUAAAUGCUCCAACCCGUAGGAAUCAAAUAAAUUAUUUUAUUUUUAAAAAUGUAUCAAACAUAAGUUAAUAGAUAUAUUUGGUCCCUAUUCUAUAUGAAUUUGGUAGAAACUUUAUUCUUUCCACGAUGAAAUUGCAGAUCCUAAUUUUCUAGGAAAAUUUGAUACUUGGUUUUUUUGGGUGCAUUUUUGCACCUCUAGGAGAUGAAGUAUAAAAAAAACUACCCCUUUAGUGCUUUCGUUGGAGAAAAAAAAUUAUGUUUUGGGAAUUAAAAUGGAAGUUUUGAUAAAUAUAAGAAUACUGAUAAUAUGUCUAACCGUAGAAAAAGAAAAAGCAAAUGACACCAUUAAUUACAUUUAUCAGGUUGUAUGAUCUAUACUAUUUGUAUAGAAUAUAUAUAUAUAUAUAUAUAUAUAUAUAUAUAUAUAUAUAUAUAUAUAUAUAUAUAUAUAUAUAUAUUUUUUUUUUUUUUUUUUUUUUUUCUCUUCUUUCUAAUUUUUUAUUCUUUUCUUUUUCAUGCUUAAUAUGUUUUCUUUUUUUUUUUUUCCUCUUUUUUUGCUUCUCUUAAUUUUUUCUUUCCUUUAUUACUUUUUUCUAUCCUUUUAUUUUCCUGCCUAUUUNNNNNNNNNNNNNNNNNNNNNNNNNNNNNNNNNNNNNNNNNNNNNNNNNNNNNNNNNNNNNNNNNNNNNNNNNNNNNNNNNNNNNNNNNNNNNNNNNNNNCUCUGUGUGUGUGUGUAUAUAUAUAUAUAUCUCUAUUUUUCUCUCUAUGGGGAUAGAUAUAUAUAUAUAUAUAUAUAUAUAUAUAUAUAUAUAUAUAUAUAUAUAUAUAUAUAUAUAUAUAUAUCUGUAUAUAUAUAUAUAUAUAUAUAUAUAUAUAUAUAUUUAUAUAUAUAUAUAUAUAUAUAUAUAUAUAUAUAUAUAUAUAUAUAUAUAUAUAUAUAUAUAUAUAUAUAUAUAUAUAUAUAUAUAUAUAUAUAUAUAUAUAUAUAUAUAUAUAUAUAUAUUAAAUUAACCAUCGAAACAAUAUGCAAUUAUGCAAGAAAUGAACAAUUGGAAAAAAAUAAGAUUAAACAGUGAUACAUCAAAAAAGUGCAUUAACAUGUUUAUGUAAUACUCACCCCGAGUGUUUCUUUAGUGUAGGUCAAUUUCAUGAUUUACACCUCAAUUUAGCCUAAUUUUAUCAAUUAACUAAUUUUAACCAUAAUUUCAAUUUUGACCUGCCACCAUCGGAGACCGUCGGUCAGCCACCGUUGACCGCCGGAGACCGGCGUUGACUUUUUUUUUUUUUUUUUUUUUAUAAUUUUGUUUUUUCUUAAAAAAAAUAUUUUAAUUAAUAUUACUGUCUUGACACUAAAUAACUGUCUCCAACAGUUAUUUAACUGUUGGAGACAGUAAUUUAACUGUCAAUAAACUUUUUUUUUUCUUCAAAAAUAUUUUAACCAAUAUAACUGUCUUGGCUGCUAAAUUACUGUCUCUAGCAGUUAUUUAACUAUCUGAGACAGUAAUUUAACUGUUAAUUGACUUUUUUUUUUAUAUAUUUUAAUUAAUAUUACUGUAUUCGUUGCUAAAUUACUGUCUCAAGCAGUUAUUUAACUGUCGGACACAGUAAUUUAACUGUUAAUUGACCUUUUUUUUCUUAAAGAAAAUAUUUUUAAUUAAUAUUACUGUCUUGGAUGCUAAAUUACUGUCUCCAGCAGUUAUUUAACUGUCGGAGACAGUAAUUUCACUGUUAAUUGACUUUUUUUAAAAAAAAAAAAAAAUUUCUUAAAAAAAGUUAUUUUAAUUAAUAUUACUGUCUUGGCUGCUAAAUUACUGUCUCCAACAGUAAUUUAACUAUGUGGCACAAGAUUAAUAAUAUUACUGUUCGGGAAAAUAAUAUUCAUAAUAUUACUGUCUCAGACAUUAAUUUAGUAGCAAAGACAGUAAUAUUAAUUAAAAUAUUUUUUUCUAAAAAAAAAAAAAGUCAACACCGGAGACCGGCGGUCAACGGUGGUUGACCGGCCGGAAACAAAUUUCAGAAAAAAAAAAAGUUUUCAAAAACAAAAUAAAUAAAUAAAAUAAAUAAAUAGUCAAUGCCGGUCUCCGGCAGUCAACACCAGAAUCUGGCCGGAAAAAAAAUUUCAGAAAAAAAAAUAUUUUUUCAAAAAAAUUAUUAUUUUGGGAGUUAAUGUGAUAUAUUUGUUUAAAUCCGGGGUCAAUGUGUAAUAUUAAGGAAGUUAGAGCAUAAUGGAUGGAAUUGAUAAGAAUUAUAUUAUGGAGGGUAUUUUAAACUAAAGGCAUGGGAUGAGUUUAUUUGAAAUACUAUUUUUUUUGUGUACCAAUGUUUAAUUCCCAUGUGAUGAGCCUAUUUAUCAUUCGCUCAUGUAAAUAUAUAUGUAUAAAUUACGUAAAUUAAGUUUUGCAUUAUUAAAGAACGAAAGAUAUACCGUAUCUUUUUUUUUGAGUGAAUUCAAGUUCAUUACAAGGGGAAAUAGGGGUGGGGGGACUCGAACCCUAGACCGUUACCCUAUUGGUAAAGGCUAGGUACCAACUCUCCUAAUGAGAGUUGGUAGAUAUACCGUAUCAAUAAAGGACUAUAAUAAUCAACAAAAAAAUAAAAUAAAGGACUAUAAUAGAUUCGGGAAAUAUAUGCAUAUAUAAUAUAAAUACGAUAUUGUUUACCCUACCGUAUAUUAGGUAGAUACCAUAAUUUAAUGAAUACACAUAUAUGAAUCGUACUUGUAUAUUAUAAAUCACAAUUUCAAGAAGGAAAAUAUAUUAAAAUCAAGAUAUAUUAGAUUAAAUAUUAUCAAUCGUGAAUUGAGAGUUGAUUAAUUUAGAUUAUAAUAGAUUGUGGUUGAAAUUGUGAUUAUUUCCAUAUUAGUAUUUCUAUAUAUAUAUAUAUAUAUAUAUAUAUAUAUAUAUAUAUAUAUAUAUAUAUAUAUCAAUUAAUAAAUAGAUAUGAUAUAUAUUAGGAAUUAGUUCCAUAUUUACUGUAAUACGAAUUUUAAAAAAGAGUGGGAAAAUUUAUACAUAUUUACGAAAUAUAUAUAUUUAGGAAAUGUAUUUAAUCUCGUCUAAUAAUUGUAAUUAAUAAUUAGUAUACACUUAUUGAGAUGGGAUUUUUAUGCAAAAGUCCCCAACCAAGCAUGUUUAUUAUUCUAGGUUUAGGGGACAUAUCUCUUUUACCAAUAAGCCCAUCCCUUUAAUAUUUAUUAUAACUAAAGGAAACAUUCAUGUAUAUCCCAAUAUUACCCUCAACCAUUUAUACCCAAUUCUUAAUUGUAAUCCAAAUUAAUCAAUUUUGUCCAUAAAAGUUCAAUUUUGACCACAAAAAUUCAAUUUUGACUUUUUUUUGGAGUAUAAUUUAAUAUGCUCCAAUUUCAUCCUUAACUUAAUUUAAUCUCAAUUUGACCCCAAAUUUCACAAAUUAUUAAAUUUUGACCCAAAAUUUUUUUUUUUUCAAAAAAUAUUUUUUUUUUCAAAAACUUUUUUUUUGCCGCCGGAUUCCGGCGUUGACUUUUUUAUUUUAUUUUUUUAUUUUUUUUUUUCUUUCUUCCGGAUUUUUUCGCCGGUUUCCAGCGUUGACCGGCGGUCAACGCCGGUCUCCGGCGUUGACUUUUUUUUUUUUUUUUUUUUUUUUUUUGCUUUUUUUUUUUUUUUUUUUCUUUUCUUUUCUUCCGGAUUUUUUCGCCGGUUUCCGGCGGUCUCUUUUUUUAGUGUUUUUUUAAGUUUUUUGUUUUGUUUGGUUUGUUUUGUUUUUCCACGUCCGCCGCUAAACGUUGACCGUAAUUGUGCUGUCACUGACAGUAAAUUAACGUAAUUAUACUGUCAAUGAUAGUUAAUUAACGUAAUUGUACUGCCGUUGACAUUACAUUUAUGUAAUUGUGCUGCCGUUGACAGUAAAUUAAUGCAAUAUUAUAUUUUUUUAUUUAUUAUUAUUUUUUUUUAUUUUUUUUUGAUUUGUUGACAAGUCAACGUAAUUAUAUUACUGUCGUUGACAGUAAAAUAACUGUAAACACAAUAAUAUUACUGUCAACAACAUCAAUAUUAUUAUUUUUUUGUGGUGUUUGUAUUAAUAUUACUGUCUAUUAUCGUAAUAUUACUGUAAACACAAUAAUAUUACUGUGGUUGACGGUAAUAUUACUGUUUGUUAUAGUAAUAUUCCUGUCAACCACAUCAAUAUUAUUCUUUUGUUUGGAUAUUUUGUUUGUUUGAGUUAUUCACGGAGUAACGUAAUAAUAUUACUGUCUACUAUUGUAAUAUUACUGUUGCUAUAGUAAUAUUACUGUCACUCACAGUAAUAUUAAUUCUUUUGGUUUUUUUUAUUUUGUUUAAAUUUGUUGAACGGACAACAUAGUAAUAUUACUUUAUUAUACAAUAAUAAUGAAUUUUCUUGUGUUAAUAUUAAUGUGCUAGAGAUUAAUAUAGCAAUAUCACUGUGUUAAACUAUAGUUUAGUUAUUUUUAUUGUGUUUAACAGUAAUAUAGUUAAUAUUACUGUCAUUCAAAGCAAUAUUGUUGUUUAAACGGAAAAAAAAGUUACAGAAAAAAAAAUUAAAAAAAAAAAAAUUAAAAAAAAAAAAAAAGUCAACGCCGGAGACCGGUGUUUACCGCCGGUCAACGCCGGAAUCCGGAAAAAAAAUCCGGAAGAAAAAAAAAAAAAAAAAUUAAAGUCAACGCCGGAAUCCGGAAAAAAAAAUCGNNNNNNNNNNNNNNNNNNNNNNNNNNNNNNNNNNNNNNNNNNNNNNNNNNNNNNNNNNNNNNNNNNNNNNNNNNNNNNNNNNNNNNNNNNNNNNNNNNNNAUAAAAGUUUACGCCGGGAUUCCGUUACCGCCGGAAUCCGGAAAAAAAAACCGGAAGAAAAAAAAAAAAAAAAAAAAAAGUUAAAAGUCAACGGAAUCCGGCGGAAAAAAAAAGUUUUUGAAAAAAAAAAAAUUUGUGAAAAAAAAAGUUUUGGGUCAAAAUUGAAUAAUUUGUGAAAUUUGGGGUCAAAUUGAAGUUAAAUUAAGUUAAGGAUGAAAUUGGAGCAUAUAAAAGUAAGAGGGGUUAUUUUAGUCCUUUACAUAAAUCUGGACCAUGUGUGGACUUAUUGGUAAAGGAGAAUAUUGUCUGGAUCUCUUUAUGAAUAAGUUCCCACUGAUGGGCUUAUUUGUAAUAUGCCCUAUUGAGAUUAAUACCUUACUGUAAUUUAUGCCCUAAUUUAGGUAUUAUAUUUAGAAUAAUAUACACAAUUAAUUACGAUAAAAUUUAAUCUGUAUUAAUUUGAAAAUAUUAAUUCCAUAAUUAACUUUAAUAAUUUAAUCAGUAUUAAAUAGACAUUAUAUAUAUAAUAUAUAGUGACACAUGGCUGAUGAUUAGGAUGCCUACGUGGAUGGUGACAUGGAUGACACAUGUCGUAAUUCUAGACCAUGAGGGUUUCAAUUUAUAUUGAAUCACACAUAUAUUUAAGGGAUUACUUUGAAUUUCUAUGAUCUUAUUGUGUUUUUAAUUGAAAUUGAAUAUCAUUGUUUACGGUAAAAAACUUUUUACUAGCUUGCAAUCCACCCAUCCCAUUUUAAUGUGAUAAAGUAAAUAAUUAACAAAUAGAGAAGAUAAUUAUCCAAUAUAAUGAAAGAUUGAAGAAGGAUUUAUAAACUAUUCGAGAAAAAAAACAAAUGAUCAAAAAUCGAGUAUUUUGAGUUGUUUUCAUUAUUACUAAAUAAAACUUAAUAUGUAAUGGGAUGAUGCCAAGACUUACACGUAAACUCAAAGAAUAAAAUAAGUUUCGAAUAAGCAUAGGAAGUAAUAUUAAAUUAUUUACAAUAAAAUGUAAAACUAAAUAAAAUGAAAUCGGAAACAUAUCACAAUUGGUUUACGAAUGUUCACCAUAAAAAAAAUAUGAUUUAACAAAAUAAAUUUGCCGGUAUCGAAAGACAUAAAAAUACCAUAUUAUAAAGGAUACAAUGUUUGAAUUACAUUGUGUUUGUUACAUUCCUCAAUUCAAUAACAUUAUUUGCUACAUUCAACAUUGUCAAUGUAAAUCAACUCAUCAUCAACUCCUUCAUCGAAAAAGUCUUGUAAUCAUGCACGCGCAUCUUGGUGAUAGUUGAUAUCCAUAUAUCUACAAAUCAAAAUAUUGUAAAGAAAAAUAAGACAAUGCAACAUAAGCAUUACCAAAAUAACAAUUUCAAUUUCUAUAUAACACGAAGAUCAAAUGAUAAUAUAUAACAAUAUCAAUCAAAAAUAGCAACCAAUAAAGGAAAAAAGUACAACAAAUGAAUAAUAUUGAAAAUAUUAUCAAAAAGAUUAAUAUAAUAAUAAUAUAAUGAACACCCAAAUAUUUAAUAGAAUGAGAGGAUAUAUCAAACGAAAAGAACAACGGUGAAUCAAAGAAAUAUCAAGAAGACAACAUAAUAACAAUAGAAGAACAACGAAUAACAUUGUAAACAAUAUCAACAUGAACAACAUAAUAAUAUUAGAAAGAAGAUCAAAUAUUUAAUAGACUGAGAAAAACAAAUGAAAAUAUCAACUACGAAAAAAAUGUGCAAACAAUAGUGUGGUUUGGUGCGCCGGAGAUGUGAAUGAAUGCAAAUGAUGGAGUAUUUAUAGUGUUUGAGAUGAAAUGUAAGAAGAUGUUUGUAGAUUUAGAUAAAUUAAGCAAUUAUAUUCUUAUUGAUAUUACUAUAAUUAGUUAAUUAAUGGAGAUGUUUUUACGGAUUGAUUUAUGAUUGAUUAUGGUUAAAUCAAUAAAAAAAUUGUGGUUUUAUGUAAUAUAUAGUCAAUGAUAGUUGUAGCAUAAUCAUCCAAUUCCUAAAAAAUAGAUAUGUUAAAAAAUCGGAUAGUUAUGUUCCAUAUUUAACGAAUAUGAGAAAAUAUUAAACAAAAAUAGAUUGAAUUGUACCUUAAAAGGUUAAUUAAAUUAUUACCAUAUAUAAAUUGGAACAUUAAUAUAAAGCAAAUAAAAUAAAAUAAUUAUCAAAAUUUUGAAAAAAGAAGUUGGAGUUCAAAAAUAAAAUAGGAUUCGAAUGAAAAAAAUACACAUAAAUGAUAUUUAAACUAAUCCAAAAAGUCUUAAUUAAUAUACAAAUUAACUUCAUAUUAAUAUUCCGUGAAAAUAGUUCUUGGAUUCAAUUAAACAAUUUCCUUAAUUAUAUUAAUUAUUAAAUAAUUAGCUUUUAAUUAGCUUCAUAUUAAAAUAUAUUAAAUAUAUGAGUCAUAUAUUUCCUUAAAUAAUUGAUAUGUAUGGGCGUAAAUAUUGAAAGCAAUAAAUGGUAAAAAUUAGGAUAUAAGUUACAUUAGGAUAUAAAAUAUUUAAUAACUUAUUCAAAUGAAUUAAAUUUAUAUUGAGACAUGGCUGAUGCUUAGAUGCCUACGUGGAUGGCGACAUGGAUGACACAUGUCGUAAUUCUAGACCUUGAGGGUUUCAAUUUAUAUAUUAUAUAGAUAAAGAUUCAUACAAUGUUGAACAUUUAUGAUUUUCAAUUAAUAAUAUUGAGUAAUAUUAGAGCCCGUUUGGCUAAGCUUACUUAAAACAUCUUAUAAGCUCAUACAUCUAAUAAGAUGUUUUAGGAGCUGAUAAGCUGUUAGAUCUUAUUUUAAAAAUUAUUUUUUAAGGUUUUUGGAUAUGUAGCUUAUAAGUUACUUUUAGUUUUUAUAAGUUGUUUAGGUGUUUGGAAAUAAAAUGUUUGUUUAUCGCUUUAAUGAAAGCAAAGAAUAUGACGCUAUUAUAACUGUUAAACUUAUUUGAUUCAAAUACUUUUGUACCUAAAAAAUAUUAUAAUAUUUACAAAUUAAUUUUUCGAAUAAAAUAAUAAUCAUACAUUAAAUAAACCGGAUGAUUUUUUUAUGUAUAUUGAUAUGAUAUUUGACUAUUUUUAAAAUAAAAUGAAGUGUGAUAAAUUGUUUUAAUGAAUUAGGUUUGUGAAAGGUUUGAUUUUUUGUGGUAUUAAUAUAUUAAUAUAAAAUAUAGGUUGUAAAAGAAAUAUUUGUUUUUGAUAGAUAAAAGAAAUAUAAUUUAUUAUUGAGAUAAUAAGAAUAUUCGGGUAUUUUUAUAUACAUAUAAAAUAUAAAUAGAGAUUUUUUUCACAAUUGUUAUGAUAAUUAUGAUAAUUAUAUUUUUACUAAUCUUCAUUAUAAGAAUACGUUGUUUUGUUAAAAUAUAAAUGUUAUUGGCAUUCAUGUAAUAUAACAAAAUAUUUGAGGGUAAUUUUUGUAUUUUGAGUGUUUUAGUAAAGAAGCAAAUAAGAUCUUAAUGAAAAAACGUGGGGUGUAGGUACUUUUGGAAAAAAACAUCUUAUAAUCUUCCUAACAUCUUAUUUUUUUGAAAUAAUAAGAUCUUAUGUAAUUUUUUCACCAAACACCUUUUAACAGCUUAUAAGCUUUUAAGCAUCUUAUAAGAUUUUUACGAGCGUAUAAGCUUAGCCAAACAGGCUCUUAAUUAGAUUAUGUGGAAAUUAAUUAUAUUUAUUUGCUUACUCAAAAUCAUAAACUAAGUUGAGCGAGGACUUGGGAAAUUCGAUUUCUCAAUAGAUUAUUAUGUUUCGGACAAAGCCUUUUUUUAGGCUUUAUUCCACGUUGCACCCUUGAAAUAUAGCUUUUUGGCACCUUGCACCCUUGAAAAAAUAUUAUAGCACUUUGCACCCUCAAAACACAAUAAAUCAUGCAUAAUGCACCUCAAAUGAAUUUUUAAAGUUAAUGAAGGCAACUUAAUAUUUUUAGUGGUAUUUUUUAGGAUGUCAAAUGUCAAAUCAAUUUUUUUUAGUCAUCAAUCAAUUCUAAAUUACGAAGUGCAAAUAUAAAAACACAUUUCAUCAACAUAUUAAAUUAUUAUUAUUUUCACAAAAAAAUUAUAAAAAAACAAAUAUAUCCUUCAGUAUGAAAUUAUUUGAAAAUUAUAUUUUAUUCCAAAGAUUUCUACAAAACAUUUACUAAUUACAAUAUAAAAAUCCAUCAAUCGAAUAAUUUAGUGAUUUUUUUGUUGUUUUAUUUUUAAUAAAAGAAUUUAUAUUUCAGUAAUUUUUUGUCAUUUUUGUUUUUUAGCAUUUCGUACACUCGAAAUUAUGUCCAGGGCGGAAGAAAAUAAUAAUUUAAUUUGUUAUUUGAACCCUAGAAAUAAAAAAAAACCAAUAAAAAAAUAAAUUACCCUCAUUAAGUUUAAAAUAUUCAAUUCAAAGUGCAUUGUGAAUGAUUUAUUGUGUUUCGACGGUGCAACAUGCUAUUAAUUUAUUUCAAGGGUGCGAAGUGUCAAUGUCAUAUUUCAAGGGUGAAAAAUGGGAUUAAGCCCUUUUUAAUCUAUAUUAUAUAUAAAACUAAGAUACACAAUAAAAUUUAUCUACUUGAGGAGAUUGAGUCCACAUUUUUUUAUUCGUUUCAAAAUAACCCCACUUACCAUAAUCACCAUAUUAUUAUGUAAUUAAUUUCACAUAAUUAGUUUUCAAAUUUUAUCUCUCCUACAUGUCAAAAUAGUGUCUUUUUAUUGGUUAUUGAGUUUCCUUUUUUAAUCCAUUUUUCAUAAUAAAUACGUAAAUAUAUAAAUGGAUAUAAUUCUUUUUUUGGUUUAAUUAAUUUUAUACACAAUAUUAUAUUAAUUGCAAAAAAACCCAAUUAUCAUAAUUAUAUAUAUUAUUAAUUAAUUAAUUUCACAUUAUUGAUUUUCAAAUUUUAUCUCUCCUACAUGUCAAAAUAGUGUAUUUUUAUUGGUUCAUGAGUUUCUUUUUUUUUUUUUUUAUAAACAAUAUUUUGAUUUAAAAAACGUAGGACUUAAUUGCAAAUUUUAUAAUUUCACAAUUGAGUAAAUUUUAUGCACAAUAUUAUAUUAAUUGCAAAAAAACCCACUUACAAAAAUCACCCAUAUUAUUGAUGAAAUAAUUAUUAUCGCUACAUAUUAGACGUUAAUACUGUUAUCUUUGUACAAUUAUCGCUACAUAAUUAUAAAUGAAUUUUAUAAUAAAUAGGCUAUUUUGUUAUCACGACAGAUGACGUUUGAGUACUAGCACAAUGGUGCAUCUACAUCAUGUGAAGAUCCAUUCCAAGUUACAAAAUCCUAUUAUGAAUAAAAUAAAAGGUGCGAUCUUAUUUUUUGGUGAGUAAUUUUAUGCCUAAGUUUAAAUGAUUAAGUGUGCAAUACAUGUAGACAAUGUAUUAGUUUUUUCUUUAAUUUCGACAGAAGCUGAAUGCUUACUAUUUUGUUAGUGUUUCGUGCAAAAUGUAAAGGAGAUGUCAAGGAGUCAUAAAACAAUAGACUCUGUAACACGUGUGUUGGAUAUGAAAUCAGUACUUGCUAUGUUGGUAGAUGACGAUUUACAGAUGGUAAGAGAAAUUUCUUCCGACAACGGAGGUAAUUAUCUUUGUCAUUAUCUCAUAACAUAUCUCAUUGUUAUGCGUUAUUGUCAGUAUAUUUUUCUACUGUAAAUGAUAAUUUGUUGUUUUUAAAUGUAGAUUUUGAAUAUGUCUCCGACGAUGUAGUUGACGAUAUUGGUAAAUAUUAUUUUAAUCUAAAAACUUUUAAUCUUUACAUUAUUAAUUAUAUAAAUUCAUUGUAUUAAUUUAUUUAAUAACUAAUAUUAUUUAAUUCAUUUUUGAUAGAUUAUGAAGAUCUUGGAGUCCAAAUGUAUGAAUGUUCGUUUUGCGGUGCAAUGAUGUGGUACGGCGAAAGAAUUGACAAGCACAUACAAACAUGCAGGCCAAAAUUUGGCCUAAGUUGUAUGUCCGGGAAAGUCCAGCUCCCAAAAAUAAGAGAUGCAUCUCCUACACUUAACAAUUUAGUGUUUGGAACUGAUCGAAGGAGCAAACAUUUCCAAUAGCACGUACGAUCGUAUAAUAUGAUGUUUUCUUUCACGUCGCUUGGUGGAAAAGUGCAUACAUCUAUUAAUAACGGAUCUGGUCCAUACACAUUUCUAUUACACGUCCAAAAUUACGAUCUACUGGGCAGUUUAUUGCCGAAAGAAGGCACUAGGCCUAAAUUUGCUCAGCUUUACAUUUUUUACACAAAAAAUGAGAUUCAGAAUAGAAUUGAUGCCGUUUGGAAAAAAAUUGGGAAUUAUAUCCCUGUUUCUAAAGAGUAUAGAUCUUACAAAUUAUAAUUAUAUUUUUUUUUGUUUGGCAGGUCCGGAAAUCAAUCUAAUGAUCUUGGCUCAGCCAUCGCUGCAUCGUUGAAAGAUAUGAUUGAUGGUAAUAAUGUACUUGCACAGUCGUACCGUGUUGUUUGAGAUCGGUUUUCCAAUGAUGGCCAUCAAUGAGUAAAACUUAGAUUGGUAAAGAGUUGCAGUACUGAUGGCAGGACGUACAAUAUUCCUAACACAAGUGAAAAUAGCAGGCUUGAUCAUUGGGAACUUUGACACAGAAGAGGGUGUUAGGGAUAUUGUAGUUGAGACACGCUCAAAUAAGCUUCAACGAAUCAGUGAGCUCCAUCUUCUUUAAUUGCCUAUACAAUAUCCUCUUUUAUUUCCUUACGGUGAAUAUGGUUAUUGAGACAAUAUAAGUUUGAGAGAAUCUUCGCUUGCUGAUAAUAGAAAAUGGAGGAAUGUAAGCAUGCGAGAGUUCUUUGCAUAUCUAACCUAAAAACGACGUGGAUAACAUUUGUUACUGUUGCAUUCCAAGAAGUUAUUUCAACAGUUCUGUGUUGAUGGAUUUUCAAUGGUACAGUCACAGAGGUUGAAUUUCAUAAGGUUCAAUCAGGAUCAACUUAAGGUUGACAUGUACAAAGGUAUCAAAGAAAAGAUUUUUAAAGGAGACACUUAAAUGAUUUUCCAGGGUCGUUCACCGCAGGUCCAAGGUAUAUGUUUAACAACUUCAUUGAUGCUCUUAAAAUAUGUAACUGGAUUGGAUUUCCAACCCUCUUCAUCGCCAUCAUAUGCAAUCCUCAAUGGCCAAAAAUACAAAGGGUGUUGAAAGAUACAAAUCUCAGGCUGGAGGAUCGGCCAGACAUUCUUUGUCGCGUGUUCAAGAUGAAGCUCGAUAGUAUGAUGACAGUAAGCAAGAAGGGCUGUAUAUUCGGACGUAUUAGAGCAUGUAAGUAUUUAAUUAGAUCUCAGUUUAUAAUUAUACAUUUACUACAUUCAUAUAAAUUAAAGAAUUUGGUCAUGUGUGAGUUUAACUACUUAUUGCUUUCUUAACUAAAUUAAUGCAUAUUUUUUUAAUUCCAUAUGUUUAUAUUUUCUAUGCAGAUGUAUGCACAAUUGAAAUUCAGAAACGAAGUCUACCGCAUGCACAUAUUUCAUUGUGGUUCCAUAAUGAAGAUAAGCCCAAGAACUCAGAACAAAUUGACAAAAUCAUAUGUGCUAAAAUCCUGACGAAUAAAACGACCGAAAGAUGUACCAGUUGGUGGAGAAGUAUAUGAUACAUGGACCGUGCGGUCAGGCGAAUUUGAAAUCUCCCUGUAUGAAGGAUCGAGUUUGCACGAAGCGAUUUCCAAAGCCGGUUGUACGGCGCACUGAAUCAGAUGCAUAUGGUUUUACUGUGUACAUGAGAAUGGAAGACGGCAAAACAAUUACGAAGAAGAAGACUACUUUUGACAAUGGGUUUGUAGUCCCGUACAAUCGUAUAUGGUUGAGUAAAUACCGAUCUCACAUUAAUAUUGAGUUAUGCAACCAGAACAAGUCAAUCAAAUACAUGUUCAAAUACGUAAACAAGGGGCAUGACCGAGUUACGGUGGCAUUUUAUGAAAUACGGAAUACAGAUGGCGGUGUUGAGAUUCGUGAUGAGAUAAAGAUGUACUACGACUGCAGAUAUCUUUCGGCAUGUGAAGCAAUGUGAAGGUUGUUUAACUUUGAUAUUCAUUACAGAGACCCGUCCAUAAUUAGGCUAAGCUUUCAACUCCCCGAUCAUCAGCCGCUUGUCUUCAAUGAAAACCAAUCAUUUCAAAGUGUGCUGGAUAGGCAAACUAUGUUCCUAGCGUGGUUUGAGGCCAACAUGAACUAUCCACAUGCUAGGGACUUGAGGUACGAAGAUUUUCCACAACAAUUUGUAUAUAAAGAGGAUUCUUGAACUUGGGCGCCAAGGAAAAAAUGAUUUUCUAUUGGUAGACUUGCGAAUGUUCCCCCUGGAAAAGGGGAAGACUAUUACCUUAGGCUGCUACUUAACAUUCAUAGGGGAUAUACGUGCUACGAGGACAUCAGAAAAGUUUUUGACACCGUCUACCCUACGUUCAGGGAUGCAUGUUAUGUUUUGGGUCUGUUAGAUGACGAUAAAGAAUACAGAGAUGCAAUAAUAGAAGUGAAUACUUGGGCACUGGGGGGUUAUAUAAGAAGGUUAUUUGUAGUUAUGCUUCUUUCCAAUAGCUUAAGUCGGCCCGAACAUGUUUGUCAAAGUUGUUGGUUGGAUUUGGCGGAGGGUAUUGCUUACAAACAACAACGUCUUUAUAAUAAUUCAGGUAUGACAAUUUGUAUAGCACAGUAUUCAAUUAGAUAUUAAAUAUUACUCAUUCUUUUAAUAUUGUCUCUUUACGUUUUGAACUAAAUGCACAUAAUUUAUGCAUUUUUUUUUGAAGAUUUACAUAUAUCGGAUGAAAACUUGAAGAACUAUACUCUCACCGAAAUAGAAAAAAUAUUGCAAAGCAAUGGUAAAAGCCUGCGAAAUUACGCGCCCAUGCCAGUUCCAAUCGAAUUCUCAGCGGAGGAACAAUAAACAUAUUGGUGUUAGAUGAACUGGAUUACGACCGGUUUGAAAUGGGUAGAGAACUUCAAUGGUGUCUUGCUUGAAUUACAGACGAGCAAAGAAAUGUUUAUGAUGUAGUCAUGGAUGUUGUAUCCAAUGACCGUGGUGGAAUGUUCUAUUCUAUAUGGCCAUGGUGGAACAUCAAAGACGAUUCUAUGGUUAACUCUUUCGGCUGCAGUUCGUUCUAAGGGAGAGAUUGUAAUUAACGUUCCAUCGAGUGGUAUAGCAUCGUUAUUGCUCUCCAGUGGAAGAACAACUCAUUCCCGAUUCGGACUACCCAUAAAUGUACACGAGAGUUUCACCUGCAGCAUAUCGCAACAAAGUCCACAUGCGGAGUUGCUCAUAAGGGCAAAGCUUAUUAUAUGGGACGAGGCUCCUAUGAUGCGUAGAGACUGUUUUGAAGUGCUUGACAAGACAAUGAAGUCAAUAUUACAGGUUGACAAACUCUUUGGUGGUAAGGGGGUUGUUCUUGGAGGAGAUUUUAGGUAGAUUUUACCAGUUGUGCUCAAAGCAUCAAGGCAGGACAUAGUAUAUGCUACGAUAAACUCCUCUCUGCUAUGGAAUUUCUGUCGUAUCAUGAAAUUGACUAAGAACAUGAGAUUGCAGUCAUGCUCUUCUCCAUCUAACGUGGAUGAGGUAAAAUAAUUUGGAGACUGGAUACUAAAGGUUGGUAAUGAGGAUGAUGGGGAACAAAACGAUGGUGAAGCUUCGAUAGAGAUUUCCGAUGACAUGUUGAUUGGUGAUUCAGACGAUCCAUUCAGAGACCUACUGGAAUUCAUUUACCCGGAUUUGUUGAGUAACAUGUAUGAUCCAAAUUAUUUUCAUGGGAGAGCAAUUCUUGCACCAACUAAUGAAUUCGUCGAGUCUGUGAACGAUCACUUAAUGUCUCUCCUUCCAGGAGGAGAGAAGGUGUACCUGAGCUCAGAUAGUAUGUGUAGGGACGAGCAAACAAUGAAGGAUAAUGCAGAAAUUUAUUCGACUGAAUUUCUUAACACAAUAAGAUGCUCCGGACUUUGUUCUCAUGCGUUGAAGUUCAAGGUUGGUGCACCCGUUAUGCUAAUAAGAAACAUCGAUCAAGCUAGAGGAUUGUGUAAUGGGACUAGACUUCAAAUUAUUAAAACUGGUAUUCACGUUCUGAGUUGCCAAAUUCUUUUUGGAAAAAAAAUAUCGGUGACAUGGUGUUCAUUCCUCGGAUGACUUUAAUACCAUCUAACUCCGGACUGCCAAUUAAAUUUAAGAGAAGACAGUUUCCAUUAAUUGUUUCUUUUGCAAUGACAAUCAAUAAAAGUCAAGGUCAAACUCUUUCGCAUGUUGGUUUGUAUCUUCCUAGGCAUGUCUUCAGCCAUGAUCAACUAUAUGUUGCACUGUCCAAAGUUAUGAGCAGAGGUGGCAUUAAGAUAUUCAUCAAGUCGGAUUCGGGCGAACUCACCAAUGUCACUAGAAAUGUCGUGUACAAUGAAGUAUUUCAUCGAAUUUGAAGGUAGAAAAUAUUUUCAUAUUUACCAAUUAUUUAUGUAACAUGUUUUUUUUAACAACUUAUUCUUUGGCAGGUGUUUCUUCUCUAUAUAAUUUCCCCCGUGCGAUGUUAUUUUCAGCCAUGUCCCUAGGAUGCUCAGUGCAAAUCUUAUUAUCCUUAAGAUUUAUUUUUGACGAUAUACUAAUAUUUAUAUUAUUCUUAUGAUGUAACUAUGAAGAACAUGAUACUUAAAGCAUAUUUUUAAUAUUGUUGGUCGCGCUUUGUAUUUAAAUUCAAUGAGCGUAAUAAAAUAUGUAUUUCAGACAUGUAUUUCCAGUUGAAAAUAUGCCGCCCCGUGCAUCGCACGGGUGAAUACUAGUAAUUAUAAUUAGUUAAUUAGGCCCAACCAAAUAGUGAGUUAUUUGGCCCAAUCCCAAACUAAUUUCACUAGCCACCUUUGAAUCGGUUGGAAUGAGUUAACAGACAUUGGCUAUUUAAUAUUUAGGUGGUGUUUGCAAAAGCUUUUAGAAAUAGAUUAUGAGCUUUUUUUCUCACACACUUUGUUUUUAGAUGUUUGCAAAGUUGACUUUUGCUUUUGCUUCUCUUAAAAUAAGCUGAUUUAAGCUAUAAUUUUAAAAGCACCCAUGUACUUGUUUUUUUUAUUUAUAUUAAUUUUUCAGAUUUUUUCAAACACCCCAAACUUUUAGAAUUACCCAUUUUGAUAAUCCCGUUGGAGUAGAAAUUGUUAGUUUUGGGAUAUCAAAAAGGUAGUUUAUGGGGUUGAUAAUCCAUUUGAUACUCCCAUUGGAGUUGCUCUUAGAGGGAUAAGUGUUACAAAUGAUACUUUACGGGAUAAGUGUUACAGAUGAUAUACAUUAGGGGUGUAAAUUGUAUUUAAACCUUUAGGUUUUAAUAGAGUGUUGAUUUACACAAGGUUUUAUAUUUAAAAAUUUUAUUGUUUUUUCUUAGAGGGAGAAUCAAAGAACCGGUACAAGCAUACACUUUUACUAUGUAAGUAUGGAAAUAAUGUAUUUUUGGUGUUUUAAUAUUUAACAUUUCCAGCUUUCUAGGUAGUAUUUUUCCGAGAAUGAGCAAAUGCAACCAUGAUAUCGAAGAAGUAGCAAUCAUUAAUAUAAGGGCAAAUUACGGCGACCCCUGAGGUAUGGCUAAAUCACGAAAAAAGUCCCACUUGUUGGAUAAUUACAGCCGCCCACUCCUUUUAAAUAUUUUUACAUUAAAUUUAUGUAAUUCGGUUAUUUAACGAACCAAAUCGUAUAUCCAGUUCCGUAAACGGUAUGAAAUGUUGGCGUACCGAAAUUUCGGUUCGGUUUUACCAAUUUAACAUCCCUAAAUUUACCUCAGCAGGGGUUUUUUCAUAAAAUAAUACAUAGUUGAGAGGGGUGGCUAUAAUUACCCACAACAGGAGUGGGUUUUCGUAAUUUAACCAUAACUCAGGAGGUGGCCGUAAUUUUCCCUUAGUAUAAUUUUAUCAAAUAUAUAUUUCCGCUUAACAUUACAAAUGACAAUAGAUGGAGACAAUCUGAAUUUGGAGAGACUCUGAGUGCAUAAAUUGUUGUUCUCACUUUUUUCUUAUUUUAUUUAAUUACUUACUUUUUUGGAAAAAGUUGUUCUUUCUAAUAUAUUGAUAAUGUAGUUAGAAAUCAACAUUAAUUUUUUUUUUUGAGAAAAGAAUUCAAAAAUUAAUUGAUGUAUUUAGAUAUGAAGUUACAUUAAUCCGUGUACAACAUAUUAUGAUUAAUAUUCUUGCUACGUGUAAGUUAUGGCGCAAUUUAUUUGUGCUACGUACUUUAAUAUUUAACACGUAGCUCCCGGAAAUUUUAGGGCCUUAUGAAUGAAACAACAAAGUGGCUAUAGAUAAGUCAUGGUAUCAGAAAUGCAGUUAGGUGGUGUUGUAAAAGCUUUUGUAAAGUCAAUCUCAGCAUUUUUUGGCUCAAAAUCACUUAGAGAGUGUUUGUAGUACCAACUUCUGCUUCUAAUCUUGUAAAAAUACAUUGUUUUAAGCUAAAUAUAAAAAGAUGCAUGGACCAACUCCCCCUAAAAUAAGUUGCUAAAAUAAGUUCCUAAAGUUGAUUUUUCAUGGACUUUGCAAACACCUCCAAUUAGAAAUAAACAAUUAUCGUUAACUUAACUUUUAAUUACCAACUUCUGUUUUUUUUUUUUAAUGUUUUUACGAGCACCACCUUACUAUGACAAGGUUUGCUUUGUAAUAUAAUUUGCGACAAAGACAACUAUACUACUUUAUAUAUUUCUAUUUGAUUUCCAAUGUUGACGUUGUUGUUUUCUAUUUGAUUUCUAUUGUUGACAUUAUCACGACGCGUACACCGCACGUGCACCUGCCUAGUAAUAUAAAAAGUACAUUACAAAAGUAUAAAAAUAGAAUGUUUCAAUUAAAGUGACAAAAAAUUCUAAAAAAAUACACCAUUAGGAAAAUUCAUAAAAUAUAAAAUAUAUAAGUACCAGAAUUCUUUUUUUUUAUAAGAAUAUGAAUUCGAUUAUUGAUUUAAAAAGCUGAUAGAAAAUCAGUUACAAUAGAUACAUUUUGCUUUUUCAAUAUACAUUUUUUUUUGUUUUACCAAAAUCAAUUCUCUCACCUUCUUCCCCAACAUGCAAAUUGUCUUAUGGAUUGAUCCAACCAAUCAUCCCAGUUGCAAUCGAUGUUGCUGAAUCUGUCUCCACAUUCAUCUCUUCUUCUCUUCGUCGACUUCCGACCUACUACCUCACGUAUUUCACCAAUAACAAAACUCGUAAAUUAUAAAAAUUCCCACCUCAUAAUUGAAUGUGUUUAUUCUUCAUUAUCCGGCUAUUCAGGCUUUUGGAUUGCCGUCGGCCGUCCACCACCAGCAUCUGGACUCGUCGCUCACCGUGAGAGGGCUACGCAGGGGCGUAACAAGGUAGGCCCAGGGGCCAGCCGUCCCCCUCCCCCAAAAAAAAGGGCAAAUGACAAAUAUGCUCAUGACAAGAGCACUUAAUUAAAAAAUAGACAUCCAACACUUUUGUCGUCCAAAUAAGGGUUUUUUGCAAAAACCACCUCUGUGUAAUCUCGAAUUUCUGAAAAAGACUUCGUGUUCAAAUAAUUAGCAAAUACCCCCAAUAAAAAUUAGUCAAAGUUAAUAAGGCCCUUGAGAGCUGACCGUGCACUUCACUCAAAAUGUGACUGGGGGUUUGUUUUUUGACGAAAAUACCAAAAUGCAACCAGAAAUUUCAUAAGUACCAAAAUGAACUUUUUAAAAUUUUCAAUUAAGUCCUUAAUAUUUCAAUUAAGCCCUCUUCUUCAACCUCAGGAGCAGCCCUCCACUUUUUCAUCGUGAUUUUUUCCAGCAAACACCAUCAACCAAACCCAGAUCUGAGCUUGAAGUUCAUUUCUAUUUCAAAUCCAAGAAAACAAAUGGGAAGAAAAACGGCGCCUCAAACUUUUUCGGCACAUCCAUGUCCAAAGAAAAAAAAACCCUUCAAAGCACUUUUUUCCAAUUUGUAAAACUUAAUUCGUAUCCUGAGGAAGAAGAAGAAUGUCAAACUCGAAGAAUCAUUUGUCGUCACUGUGCAGUUACUCCGCCAAACUCGACGCCGACUAUCCGAUUCCACCAUGCCGCCGCCACCGCUUUUGAAUGCCACCGCCGCUACUAUAGCUUCUGAAUCCACAAUUUCCGUCCAUCAAAAAUUGUUGUCGAGGCAUUCUUUUCUUCCGAUCUGAAAAAAAAAUCCAAAAAAUCCACCCCCUCCCCCGCCCCAACAUGCUUUGGGGGGGUUGGGGCCCCCCGGCCCUCCCAAUCUCUCUCUUUAUACGAAGAAUCGAAAAAACGGGGGGUAUGCCCCCUUUUUUCGAGAAAAUUUUGAAAGACUCGGUGGCGGGUGGGAUAAGCUUAAAGAGGAAUAUUUUCAGGGGGGGAAUUAUUUUGAAAGGUUACUACCAUACCCCAGAGCUUGGGGGGGUUUGGUUGCUCCCAAAAAAAAUUCUAACGAGGGUUCUAGGCCUUUUUUUUUAAGCCGCGGGUCUUUCGGGGGGGCAAACACCCCAAAAGAGGGGGGGGCCCCCCCCCAAUGGGGAAUUUUUUUCCCCCGGAAAGAAUAAUAUUUAAUAAAGAAGGGUCGCCCAUAUGUUGUGGUGAAUAUAUGGAGGCCGGUUUUUUUAGAGCCUCCAGGGGGGGAAAUUUUUCGGUAAAAUUCCUCCAAUUUUUCCCGCAUUGCACAAAAAACCCCCCGAAAAUUUUUGGCCCGGUUUUUUGGCUUAAAAAAUUCAAAACCAAAGGAUCCCCCCAGGUUUCCCCGGGGGGGGGGCCCGUUUUUUUGGUUUUUUGCCGAUAAAAACCCGGGGCAUAAGAGGAGUUGAAAAAAUUUUUUUCGCUUUUUGUUUGGAAAAGAGGUUUUUCUUUUUANNNNNNNNNNNNNNNNNNNNNNNNNNNNNNNNNNNNNNNNNNNNNNNNNNNNNNNNNNNNNNNNNNNNNNNNNNNNNNNNNNNNNNNNNNNNNNNNNNNNAAUUUUUUUUUUCACUUUUUAUGUCAAAUUGAAAAUUACUAAAAACUUAUCAGGGGUAGUUUAGUCAUUGCAUACAAGUCAACCAUCAAUUUUGAAGUAAGGACGGUUGCUUCGUAAAACACAACAUAGGGGGGUCCUUGCUAAUAUUUUUAACACGAGGACUUUUUCGGCAAUUCAAAAUUACAUAGGGGGUUAUGUGCAAUUAGCUCUCCAAAUAAAUCCAACUCAUUCAAACUUAUUUGUAAAUAAGGAAAGCCCUUUUAUAUAUACCAAAAUUACCCCAAAUUCCUUGACACCCUAAUUCAACUUCAAUUUCAUGAUUUACACCACAAUUUCACCAAUUAACCAAUUUGGACCCUUAUUCCAGUUUGACCGCUUUUUUUUUUUUUUGUUUUCUAUGAAAAUUAUUUUCCCGCAGGUCAACCUCCGGUCUCCGGCAUUGACUUUUUUUUGUUGUAAACUUGUUUUUUCAUAAAAAAAUUAUUUUAAUUAAUAUUACUUUCUUGGCCUGCUAUAUUACUGUGUCCGACGGUAAUUUAGCUGUCGGAGACAGUAAUUUAACUAUCUAAGACAGUAAUAUUACUGUCAGAAGCAGUAAUUUUACUGUGUAUUGAUUAAUUUUAUCGUCUGGGCCUGCAAUUUUGCUGUCUUCGACCGUAUUAUUACUGUCUCAUGCAAUAAUAUUACUUUUUGGGACAAUAAUAUUAGUAAUAUUGCUGUUCGGGAAAGUAAUAUUCAUAAUAUUAUUGUUCGGGACAGUAAUAUUAGUAUUUGGGACAGUAAUAUUACUAUUUAUGACGGUAAUAUUAGUAAUAUUACUGUUUUGGUACUCAAUAUUACUAUCUCAUACAGUAAUUUUGUUCUUAACACAGUAAUUUAGAGAGAAAAAAAGUUUCAAAAAAUGAUAAUAAUAAAUAAAGUCAACGCCGGAAAUCGGCAGGAAAAAAAAAAUUCAGGAAAAAAAGUCAAUGCCGGAGAACCGUCCGGCCAAUGUCGGAAUCCGGCCGGGAAAAAAAGUUCAGAAAAAAUAUUAUUUUCUGAAAAAAAAUUCAGAAAAAAAUAUUAUUUUCUAGAAAUUAAAGUUCCAAUUCAAAGUAUAAAAAUUCAACUAGGAGGGGUGGAUGCUGUUCUAAUUUUCAGGCCUUGACCAAACAAUAUUAAGAUCAAAAGUUUGAAAACUAACAACGAGGGGCAAAUUGGAAAAACGUACAAAUGCAAGUGAGGAAAUCGAUGUUUUUUUAAAAUAGAAGAGGUAAAUUGAUCUCGACCCAGAUUAUAAGGGAAGAAAGUGGAAUUUGUCCUUUAUUUUUUUUUCUUCACAAUUUGAAAAGUAACACAUAAAACUAUUUUAAUGGUCAAUUAUUUCUUACAAAAUCCAAGUGUGGCCUGUGUCGGCUAAAGACAUUGAAGAUGAUAUAGGAAGUUCCAAGGACUUCUAUAUUUUGUUUUGUUUUCGGCAUUUUAAACCCUCAAAUUACAUGUUUUUAACAUUUUAACCCUUUUAUUGCAAAAUUUGCAAAUAGCCCUUUUCAAAUAUAAAGUGAUUGGCACUUGGCACCCAAAAAUCAAUAUUUUUAGAAUUGUUUCUUGGGUUUAAUAUUUUUCAGUAAAAUCACUUAUGAAGAUGUUUAUAUCAUAAGGAGAACAAAAAAACUAAUUAGAACAAAAAGAUUUUAAUUGUUGAUUUCAUAUAGAAACAAGAAGAACAAUACUUCUUGGAGAAACUAAUUUUACAAAACUGUGGUCCUCCUAAACAUAUGUACAUUCCUCUAUAUAUGUAUAUAUUAUGUUCUGCUCAAGCGAUAUGUAAGAUGAACGAAUAAAUCCUGACUGCAAGGAAUAGUAAGGCCGCCCAUUGGAUGAUGGAAUCCAAAUUCUUCUUCGGCUUGGCAUAGCAAAUCUUGAAAUGAAGGAUGGCUUAAAUAUGACAAUGGAAUAACAAAUCUCUUCUUUUCAUUUUCUCCAACGUAAACAGCUAAAUGCCCCUUUGGGACUUCAGUUGAUCUUCUUUCGUUGGAUAAAGAUCUUUUCAGUAUUUGGCGGAUGGCCAUUUUUGUAUGAAGUGUGAAUCUUUCUUAGCUGAAGUAUUUGAAAUAAGUGAGAGCUGAGAAAGGAGUUGUUGAUGAUGGUUGUAAUCAAGAAAUGAUGUUUGUAUAUAUAGGCUAUAAACAAAUGAUGUAUCCUCUAUGAAAUUGAAAAAAACAUAAGCAUAUGAAAUCACAUGGAUUUGUCUUAAAAAAAAGUAAAUUGGUAAUGAAUUAAUUAGGCCAAUAAGAUGAAUUUAUGUGAUCGAAAAUGUUGUAUCCCACCAGCUAUAGCAACAUGGCCCUUAAACAUAUAUGUGAUUUUCCAUUUGCUAGUGUAGUUGGCAAUGUUAUCCUAAAUGCUAGCUAAGUUAUGUUUUGUAAUCUAACUUAUGCCACAUUUAAUUCGGUGGGUCUUAUCACAUUUUCUUGCUCAAAUUUUGUGAAGUUUUAGAGACAAAACCAUGUGAUUCUUUAUAAAUUAAUAUACCCUUUGGCCACUUCGCAACCACUCAAUCCAGCUAAGAGGAUUAUGGCAUUUAGAUGUUCAUCUAUAUAUAUGUUUACACUACACAUUUCUAAACUGACAACCAGCCUUCAAAACUCGAUUUUCAAGAUUUUCAUCUGCUUCACUAAAGUACUCUCAUAUAUUUCUUUAUUUUCAUCUUCAGCCUCGAUCACCAAGAUUUCAGUUCCAACAAAAAUCGAUGGCUAUUCACAAAAUUCUUAGACGGUCUUUGUCGGCUGAAAAGAGGACAACUGAAGUUCCAAAUGAGCAUUUGGCUGUUUAUGUCGGGGAGAGUGAAAAUAAGCGAUUUGUUAUUCCAUUAUCGUAUUUGAAUGAUCCUUUGUUUCAAGAAUUGCUAUACCAAACUGAAGAAGAAUUGGGAUUUCAUCUUCCGAUGGGCGGCCUCACUAUUCCUUGCAGUGAGGACUUAUUCAUUGAUCUCACCUCUCAAUUGAGCAAAACAUUAUAUAUAGACUAGGUUCUAGAGCAAUAGAAUUUUUGUUAGCUAGUCUCUUUACAUAUUUUUCAUAUCUGUACACACAAUAUACUUUGUCGGAUACAAAAUGUCUUCCCGGACAAAUUUUAAUGGUAGUUACAAGUUUUAUCAUAAGCGUUUUUUCGCAUUUUUGCUUUCAAAAAUUCAUCUCUAACUUUUUGUACUUGUCAGAAUAUAAAUAAGGCAACUCGGUCAUUGAAAUUUCAUGAAACCCCAACAAUUGAAUCGGCUGAAGAGGUUGUACGUAACUAGCUAGUGCGGAUGCUUCUAUUUUUUGAUCCGGACAAAGAAUCCCAAAUAACAAUUUAUAGCCAGGGAUAUAAAUACAAGAGCACAUAGCAAACUAUUCUUUCGGCUUCUUUUUGCAAACAUGGUGUGCUUGCUGCAAUUCAAACAACAUACGCCUCAUUUUGGAGGGUUAAUUUCCAUUUGGGAAUUUGCCCUAAUAAAUUAAUCUAGUUCAAUGUUUACUUAUGUUAAUUUGGUCACUGAUAAGUAACAACAUUCAAAAAUAUUUUUUGAAAGAGUGCCUAUAAUCAAAUUAUAUUAUUAUGUUUCUAACGUCUGAAAAAACAGAUAUAGGACUUGGUUAAACUUGAGAAAUGAUAUGGAACAUUUGAUUUGUGCUCAACGAGAGGUUAACUAUAUAUGGAUAUAAAAUAUAGGAAAAAUUAUAGAAAAGACCCCAUCUAAGAAAUAUAGUUAAAGAAACACCCCAUCACAAAAAUAAUUAGAGAAAAUCACCUUAGCUAAUAUUCCACUCAAAUGCUAUUUUAAUAAUUCCCAAACCACCCUUAUUGAUGUUAAAUCUCAUUUUCACGUUUCACAACCUAAACCCAUUUCAUUUACCGUUUCUUUCUUCUCCUUUUCUCAUCUUCUCAUCUUCUCUCUUCUCUUUUCUCUUCUCGACUGAAAUUCGGAGGAAAAGCAGGACGUCGUCGGAGAAAAUGUUUGACGGCGACCGACGACGGUGGUGAUGGAAGAGUGUUUGCCGCUGCCUCCCGUCGCCGCGUGAUGUGUGGUGACGACGGUUCUGUAGUUGGCGGCGGUGGUUUCCACCGACUACGCUAAAGCAGAUGACUGACGCUUGUCGUCGAGGACGCAGUGGAUUGACUGCUACAAGUGAGGCAUGAUAUAAUCACUGUUGCUAUUGAUGUUGCUAAGGUAUUUUUUUUUUGUUUUUUUUUUGGUUUUUUUUUUAAUUAUUUUUUUAGUUUUAGUUUUGUCAUGUGUUCAGAAAUUAUUUAUGAAGUGCCCAAGAAUGGUUGACAAAUACCUUGAAUCGUUUAUGUUGUUUUUUUGGAUAUUGAAAUGCAAAUUUGUGUUUUUUUUUAUAAGUUAUUUAUUUUAUUCUUGUUAGGGAUUGGUUUUUUUUUUUUUUUUUUUUUGUUGGCCAAAAUAUUUUUAUUCCAUUAUAUACUUGUGAAAGUACAAGAGGGCCUUCCUUAAAAAUCUUAUGGGCCUACACAAGGAAAAGAGUACCCCUACAAUCGGAACGGAAUAAAAACGGGACAAUCGAAGUCCUAUACAAUCGAUUACUAAAAAACCCAAAAAAUGGGUUAAAAAGGAAAUAAACAAAAAUUACUAUGUCUAAUAAAGAAAAUCUUCGAAAAUUGCUCAAGGACCUCAUGUGUGGAUGAAAGUGCAAAUACGCACAAGAACCACGUGUAAGUUGAUAUUCCUGCUCACCAAUACAAAAAUUGCAAUUCGACCCCUUAUUAAAUUGAGAAACCCACAUGUCAUCAUAGGUCCAAAUCAACUUAGGGGCGGAAAUUAGCAAUCCCCAACCUAUCACUGAUCAAAGUAGCCCGAACCUCCACUGAAAGACUAAUUUCGGUAAAAUAUUCUUGACUUGAUUGGUGAUUAUACGCCCAAUUAGCUAAUCGAUCCGUCACCGUAUUCUUUUGACGAACUACGUGCUUGAAAGAAGAAUCCACUUCCUGCAAACAAAGCCGAAGAAUAUAUUCUAACUCCCAUGUAACGACCUUGGUUUUAAUUGCAUUAAUAGCCAACAACGAGUCACUCUCCACCGUAACAUGAAGGAUCCCCAUGUGCCUACACAUUCUUAGGCCAUAAACUAUAGCCAAAAAUUCCGCAGAGUUGUUCGUGCCAUGCCCGAAAAAUGAAGAAUAUCUAGCAACAAUAUCCCACCUCGAAUCUCUAAUAAUACCGCCUCCUGAACUCAUCCCACCUUUUGCCGAACCAUCUGUAUUAAUCGUAUACUUUCCUGUCGGAGAAAAUUCCCAUUUAUGCCAUGCCCCCCGUUUAUGAGGCGGCUGCACCACCGGAAGACCAGCGGCUUGAAUACGAAGGCUUUGAAUCUUGGUAGAAGAUUGCUUGGGACGAUGCAAAGCCACCAAGCUCUGCGUAUGGUAGUAAACCUUACGAAUAAUUUCCGCACUUGACAUAUCCCCAUCAGCAUAUACCACCCAGCACCGAGCAUUCCAAAUUUCACGAAAAAUGUGACAUACCACCGAAUUCCGAAUCAUCGCAUAAAGAGAGAGAUCGGAUGGCCGCGGGACCCAAACGCACAAAGCAUGUUUGGGCGACUCAAACCGAUCUUGGACUUGGAAAAGGGAGCCGAAGUGCUUCCAAACCCGUACCGCAAGCUCUGAGUGCAAAAAUAGGCGAGCAAUAUCUUCCGAGCAAGGCGAUUAGGAGCAAACACAUCUUGAAGCCAAUGGAAUACCCCGAGAAAUUAUUCGUUGAUCAACCGGCAAUGCAUGAUGAAUUACCUUCCAUAAAAAUCCACUAGUUCGAUGAGGUAAGUAAGGCUGCCAAAUACGAGUUGUCCACGAGACGCGCAAACGUGGCAUAUUAAUAUGACGCCAAUAUUCCUUACUCGAAAAUUCACCAGAUUGAGUGAGGGUAAAAAUGAAACGAUCCGGUUUAUUCAUCUCUAAAGUAAUUUUCUUCAUCUUUUUAUGCCAUUCUUGUGGUAUAAUUUGCAGCAGGUCCGCAAAUUGGGGCCAGGCUUCCGCAAUUGUCAAGUUAUUAUCGCUUGGUAAAGGUCCGACUAACACCUCUCCUAGCCAAUUAUGUGUCCAAAAUUUAAUAGCACCACGGCCCACCAACCAUUCAGUACAGUCCGCUAAGCUCUCCGCAUGGCUACAAAUUGACAUCCAUAAUGGAGAGGCGGAUCUCCUUGUAAUAUGAACUCAUUUAUCACAAUACUUCGCCCGAGCAAAUUUGGACCAUAAUGAGGAAUUUUGCAGCACCUUCCAGAAUAGUUUAGCAUGUAAGCACCGCAUGACUUGUUUGAGAUCUCGAAUACCCAAACCCCAUUCGUCAAUAGGGGUACAAACCGUUUUCCAUCUCACCCACUGGGUCCGCGAUUCUCCACCAGAGCUCCACAAGAAAGAAGACAUAAGUUGUUCUAGACGAACAAGAACAGAGGCCGAGACUUUGGAGCAUGCUAGCUAAUAAAUCGGGAUGCUUGCCAUAACUGAUUUAAUCAACGUUAGUUUGCCCGCAAAUGAGAGAAUUUUACCGUGCCACCCUUGAAGUUUACCACGAACUUUUUGUAUUAAAUAUUCGAAGUAUUCAGCCUUGGUACGACCAGAAUAAAUCGGUAUGCCAAGAUAUCGGAAGGGCAGAGAUUUACGACGAAAGCCUGUCAAUUGUUCAAUAGACUGACCCACAAAUUUAACCCACUUACCCACAAACAUGUUGCUUUUAGACACAUUCACCAAUUGCCCUGAAGAGUGUUCGUAAGAUUUUAAAACCUCCAUAAGAGCUUGCAUAGAUUGUGGGAUAAUUAUACUUUUCGUCCCUAUACUUUACCACUUAUUCGUUUUUCGUCCCUAAACAAGUUGGAGUGACAUUAUCCAUCCCUAAACAAGCCAUUUUUCUGCUAUUUUCGUCCCUCCGUCAAUUUGGCUGGUUAGUUUGGACAGAAAAUAGCAUGUGCUUCGCACAUGAUACGUAAGAGCCAACCCCUCUUUAAUUUCAGAUUGCAUCUUCUUUAGAGCAUAAUUCUUCUUUUCCAAAUUGCUAAUUUCUUUAAUAUCACACCUCUUUGGACUAAUAAAUAGCCUCGAUAAUUCCCAAAAGACAAUUUUUUUCCAUCAUACAAAAAUCUGAUGCAAUGCAAUUUCUACUUUGAAUUAAUAUAUUUGGAUUUGUUGAAUGAAAUUUAUAAUAUGUUAAGCUACUCAAAAAGAAUUCUUUGUUUUGUUACCUAUUGAGGAUUUGCACGAUUUGCAAUUCUAUAAACUUUAAUUUAGAUUGCCUACCCUAAUUGGUCAUUAUAUCACCAACUGACUUUGACUACUCAUUUAAACAAAAAAAAUUGUCAUGGCCGGUGUAGGGGAUAUUAAAAAAAAACUGAUGUAGUUGCAUGUCUUGUAUAUUCAUUAAUUCAUGCGCACAUAUUGCAAAAAUUUAUUUCACUGUAUGUUUUGAGUUCAAAUAUGAAAAUUUCAUGCAAAUUCGAAAUAAAUAUUAUUCACCCGACAAUUGUAUCGUUUACAGUCAAUUCUGGUCAGAAUUUCCUUUUAAUUGGGUGGGAAUGGGUCUCUUGCAUGGUGGUGGUUCGUUUCCAAAGUUGAAAUGGGUAUUUUGGGAAUGUGCAUGAUGGCUCGUUUUCUCUAGCAAAGUUUAGAGAUGAGUUUUGGUGGGUGCCAAUGCAUGGGUAAUUUGAGUUAAUAUAUAUGAGUUGGUUUCACUAAGCAUAUCACCAACAACAUACACGUGAGCGGCCACGUGGAUUAAUAAUCAUCCAUGUCAGCAGCAUAUAUUGAGAUUUUCAGGUCCACGUCAGAUUUCCAUCCAAAGUAACAGCAAGAGUUAACGGCAGGACGAAAACUGCUAAAAAAUGGCAUGUUUAGGGACGAAUAAUGUCACUCCAACUUGUUUAGGGACGAAAAACGAAUAAGUGGUAAAAUAUAAGGACAAAAAAUGUAAUUAUCCCCAUAGAUUGUUGCCCUCCAUUCGAGAAAAUAAGUAUGUCAUCCGCAUACAAAAGAUGAGAAACCACCACUUCAUUUCGACCAACCUUGAAUGGAAUAAUCUGUUUCGUCACCAUUUUCCGAUUAAGAUUGAUGGUCAAAAUUUGUUGUGCCAAGAUGAAUAAAAGAGGAGAGAGGGGAUCGCCUUGCCUAACCCCGCGGGAAAAUUUGAUGUUUCCGGUCAGGAUUCCGUUGAUGUUAAAAGAAUAAGAGAUGUUGCAAGUAUUUUGAUAAAUCAAAUCACAUGAUUUAUGGGAGAAACCAAACGAGCACAUGGCCUUCAAGAGAAACCUCCACUCUNNNNNNNNNNNNNNNNNNNNNNNNNNNNNNNNNNNNNNNNNNNNNNNNNNNNNNNNNNNNNNNNNNNNNNNNNNNNNNNNNNNNNNNNNNNNNNNNNNNNUCCGAAAACUCUAGUCAAUAUCUCUCGUCAACUCUUGUGCCAUAACAAUGUGAGUAGUCAUAUUCCUUCCCUGUACAAAUCCAGCUUGCUCCUCAGAGAUAAUAAAAGGAAGAAUCUUGCCUAAUCGGUUCGCUAGAAUUUUAGAAACAAUCUUUCCCGAGAAAUUACCCAAACUAAUGGGUCUGAAAUCGCUCAUACUCCUUGCAUUCUCGACUUUUGGCAACAAAAAAAAUUGUGGAUAGACACAUUUCCUUCAAUAAAUAACCCCCGCGAACGAAAUCAACAAUAAAAUUUGCCAGCUCAUCUUUAAUAAUUUCCCAACAUGUAUAAAAGUGCCCUGUGAAUCCGUCAUUGCCGGGAGAACUAGACGCCUUCAGUCCCUUAAUAGCUUCGAGAAUUUCUUCUAGAUCCGGAACUCUGCAAAAAUUUUCAUUUAAUGAGUUACUCACCACAGUAGUAACCUCAUGGAAUAAAGUCUCGUCGAGUUACUCACCACAGUAGUAAUCUCAUGGAAUAAAGUCUCGUCCAUAUGAUACUCCGACGCCUAAGCACCAAUUUCGUUAGGAAUGGAUCCAUCCUCUCUCUUAAUUUGAAUGGUCGAACGCUUGCACCGAUCUUUGAUGCACGCAUGGUAAAGAGCGGUGUUGCGAUCCCCAUCCUUCUCCCAUGCAAGUCGAGCCUUGGCACUUACCAUCUUCGCUUCCCAGUCUUCGAGACGAUUAAGAUAUUUCGUAGUCUCCACAAGUUGCCCCGAAAUCUCCUCAUUCUAGCCAUGUUGAAGCUCAUUUUCAAGCGCUUGAAUUGUUUGUUGAGAAGCUUUGAUAUUACUUUGUAGGUCACCAAACACUUCCCAAUUCCACCGCUUAAGAACACGCCUGACAUUAUGCAAUUUAGCUGAAAAAUAUACGACGGAGACCCAAAUAUGGGAAUAGUCCACGCCUUCUUGACUGUCUCUGGAAAAGAGCUAUGAUCUACCUACAUACGCUGGAAAAUAAAUCUGGUUCGAACCGAAUCCAGGGGCUGCUCAUAACUCACACAUAAAGGCGCAUGAUCGGACAAAGUGCGCUCCAAAUGAACGACCUUCAAAUUUGGAAAAGAAAGGUGAAACGAGGGAUUGACCAUGAUCCGAUCAAGACGCUUCCAAAUCCUCGCAGGUCUCGUCCUAUUAUUGCUCCAAGUGAAUGGAUUCCCAAUAAAUCCCGCGUCCAUUAAACCACUUUGCAACACCAAAUUCUGAAAAUCAUGUAGACGGGAGAUAUCAACCAACCCUCAUUUCUUCUCCGUAACGUCUAAAAUGGCAUUAAAGUCUCCACCUACUAACCAUGGAGUGGAUAUAACAGCAUGCAUGGCCGUAAUGUGAUCCCCAAAGAUUUUUCCGUUCAGUAUGCGAACAACUUGCAUAAAUGAAGGAAGCAGUGAACAACGGCUGGCUAGGACUGGAUAUAGUAUCAAUGAUUGCUUGGGCGAAAAUAUUUAAGCAUUGUAUAUCAACAAAAGGUUUCCAUAAAAUCCAAAUAUAUUGAUUAGUGUAUGCCCCAUCCAUGAACGAAGGAAACCCUAGUUUCCAGGCGAAAUUUUACAGAUGGUAAUUUAGGCUCCAAAAUAACCAAUACUGUAAUUUUAUGUUGGCGAAUAAGCUUCUUAAGGUGAUUUACUGUAGCUUUUUGAUUUACCCCCCGAGCAUUCCAAAUCGAGCACGACAUAUUAAACUUGGGGAUUAUUGAAGAACUUUGCCGGAGACCUGGUAACUCGAUCUGUAGGUGGAACGUAAUACCUACUUGAAGGAGGAAUUAUUUUUCUCUCCUUAUUGCCAGCUUUCCCAUUUGCUGGGACUUCACUAUCUGAUUUAGGGGACAUAAAAAUCCCUGCUUCGGCAUCAUGUUCACCCUCUGAAUGGUACAUAGCAAGCGCAUAAUUCUCCUCACCAAGGAGUUGAGCUUCAAAAUGGUUAUCCACUUCAACAUUAUCAGUCCUCACUGCAUGAGUAAUUUCUAGAGCCUGGAAAUUGUCAACGUUCUCCGGCAUAGUGUUUUCAGUCUCCUUGAAUUCUUCAUGGUUUGACAACUGAUCUGCUACUGCACCCAUAUGUAGGUUGGAGGCGGCAUCUACACCAGGUUUGUGGCUUUCAGCCAAAGGUGUAAGGUUUGUGCGUUCCUCUUGGGGUUGUUUAGACAUGUUCCCCUUCUCAGAAACGUUUAACGUUACAGCCGUAUGUUUAUGACCAACGAAAAAAAUUGUUCGUCAAAAAACUUUUGCGGCUCAGAAUGUAUACCAUCGGUACCAACGACUGUAUCAUCUUCUACUACAACGGGAACGGUCUCAGCUACACCCCGACGGAGCAUAUGUCGAGGUUGUCCCACCGGGUUUGUCUUCGCUACAGGGGGUUUUGUCACUCCUUGUUUCUUUCGACACGCUCCUACUAAGUGCCCCAAUAAUCCACAAUGAGCGCAAUAUGUGUGAUUGCACUCAUAGUCUACCUUCUGCCACCACCCAUCAUCCUUCGAUACGCCGAUAAAAAUCGACUCCGGCAAAUGUUGAGCCACAUUAACCUCAAUACACACCCCGGCGUAAUGAGUGUGCGUGAAUGCGAGAGUUCGGUCAUCCACUCGUAAAACAUUACCGAGCGCCGCUCCAAUUCUUUCCAACGACGAAACAUUGAAAUAUGGGAGCGGCAGUUUCGGUAAACGAACCCAAACCGCUACUUUGCUACUGUCUUUACCAAUAGUAAAUUCCGGCGUCCAACGAAACAAACAGAACAUACAAUUCUUGAUGUUGUUAGAGUUGCAGGAGAGUUCUAACUUCGCAUCGUGGAUAGAACCCGUAUGAAUGGUGAUAUGUCGGGGAUCCAAGAACCCAAUUGCAGGCUCGGACGUCAAGUUCCACCCCGAGUUGAUGUGGGAUUUGAUAUCUUGUAAACUUGGACGACCAGCAGAGAAUUUCAUGAUCAACGUGUUAUUGACUUGACGAUUUAAUUGAUCUAUUUCAAUCGGCGAGAAAAACACCGCAGGGGCGUGUUCGACGGAGGCUGUGGGACGAGGCGCUAGGGCCACGGGGACGAGGCGAGGAGGAGAUGUCGUGCGUUUGGCCGCGAGCAUCGCUGCGAAUGAAGGACGGCGUGCCGGUGACGAUGAAUAGUAUGGUUAGACGGCGUGCCAAUGACGAUGGGAGGCAGAUUAAGGAUUUUUUGAUAGAUCGGGCGGAGAACGGCGCAUGUAGAGAAAUUCGCGCAGACAGUAACCUUAAUCGACUAUGUACAUGUUCAAUAGUCGAUUAAGAUAAUCGACUAUCGUCGAUUAAGGUUGAUCGACUCCAAUUUUUUUUUUUUUUUUUUUUUUUGUAUUUUUUGUUUAUUGAUUCUUACUGUAUAAAUCAAUUAUAAUGUUUGUACAUUUUUUGUUUUUGUAAAAUAUAGUUGAUUUUGCAUUUUUUUUGCAGUUGUGAUUUAUUAUUUUUAGUAGCAGAUUCUUAAUCUAGUAUGCUUCAUCAUAGUCGAUUAAUAUACCAGAUAUAGAAAAAAAAUAAAACAAAAAAAUUAAAGAAUUUCCUUAAUCGACUAUGCUUCAUAGUCAUUUAAUAAAACUGAUACAGAAAAGAAAAAAAAAUCGCUAAUGACUAGCGCGUGGCGCCGUGAUGAUGUGGCGGGCGGGGGCAAAAUUGGAAAAUAUAAUGGCUGAAAAUGGGUGUGGACUUUUCUCGAAUGGAGCAAAAUAUUUGGGCAUUUCCCCGCUAAAAGAAGUAAUGGGGGUUUUCUCAAAGAGCCCCUAAAAUAUAAAAGAAAAAAACAUCUCCCGCUAAAAGAAAUAAUGGGGGUUUUCUCAAAGAGCCCCUAAAAUAUAAAAGAAAAAAAAAAAGAAACGCGUAAAUCUUAUUUCAUCCAUAAUAUAACUAAUAAAUUAUAUUAUAAUAGUGCAAUAUAUUUUGUUAUUAUAAAUUUAUAAUUGCAUAUUUAAGUAGUUAUUUUCUCAGUUUUAAAAUGUUAUCAUGCGCAUUACACAAGGAUAAUUACUAUUUUUAAUAAUAUUUUAAAAUGUUAUCAUGCGCAAUACUAUUUUAUUAACAAAUUUUAAUAAUUUUUCAAUUUACUUAUUUACUAUUUUUAACAAUAUUUUAAUUUUUAAACAAUCAAAUUACAAAAAGAAAUAUAUACAUAUAAAUACAUUUUAAGGGUCAAUUUCGUCAUUUCACAUCCAAAAACCAACUCCCAGUCGCGCAACUCGCGAGUGAGCCACACACUAGUCAACCAGGGGGGUUUUUGCCUUUAACUAAAUUUCACAUGGGAGUUUUUGCUAGUUUAUUUAUCACAGGGAGGUUUUUGCUAUUUAGAGAUUAUACAUGGGUACAUUUUGCAGUUUACUCAUAGAAUAUGAUAGGAAAUUCUAUUAUUUAUAUCUAAAUAACAUAAUUACACAGGGAAAAUAAGAAUCCUAGUAAAAUAAAAGUUAAUUCCAAGUCAAUACAAAUAUAAUUUAGAAUCCGAACCAAAAGGAACUCUCUCAGCAAGUCUGUUACAAACAAAGCCGAUUUGUUUUCUUCAAAGAAAUCCACCACACGGAUCUAUUGCAAUUCCGUUCCACUCACCUUUUUAAAUCAAUACUCAAUCUGUGUGAUUUAUUCCAUUUCGUACAACAACAGCAUUAUGUUUCUUGAUAAUGGAGUUGAGUUCUCUCUAAAAGUUCUGAUAAACAAAGAGAAGAACAAAGUACUAUUUGCAGAAGUCGACAGCGAUUUCGCAGAAGUUCUGCUGAGUUUUUUAACUUUGCCACUGGGAACAAUUGCGAGAGUUCUGAAGAAGCACUACGGAGACAAAGACGCAACGACACCUGUCAAUAUCGGAAGCCUAACCACUUUGUACGAUGGAUUAUCGAAUCUUGAAAGCAUCAAUGUACAGAGUCCAUUCCGUAAGUCCAUGCUUCUCUACCCCGUAAGUUCGUUUGAAGGUGAAUGCCGAAAGCUUAAACUCGAUAUCAGUGAUCCUUUGACCGUUACCUACUUUUCUUGCCCGGACUGGAAUUGUACGCACCGAUGGUCAAAGAUGGCAAUGCGAGGAGAUACUACCGGAACUUGCGUUUGUGGGAAAAUGAAGAACAAAAGCGUUUGUUUAGACGAGUCUGAAACUGCUGUUCAUGGAUCCGGUGGAGUUUUCACGAUUAAGACGACUUCUUUCUUGAUCUCUGAUGAUCUGAGAAUGGUGCCUAAUGUGGCGGUAGGCUUUGUGCAAACUCUCCGAAAUCUUGGCAUCACCGAUACUAAAGGCGCCGAGCUAAGGAAUGUGACUUUUGGGUUCAAUGAGGUAAUAUAAUUUGUUUGUAAUAUAAUUUGUUUCUUGAUUAUGUUUGUAUACUGUAUAUAAUUAGGAUUUAUUUUUUGUAAUUUUGAUUCUCUAUGUUGUCUAUUUAGUGAUUUAGUCAUCUAAGUUAUUAUAUUUCAAUUUCACAUGCAAUAAAAUUGCAAUUUAGCAGUUGUUGGUUCACUACAAAAAAAAUCUUUAGAGUGACAACACCUAUUUUUCAAUUGCAUAGCCAAUAAAAUUGUCACUAUGCUUGUCACUGAUGGGGUGUCGCUAAUGCUCUAUAGUGACAAUAAAUAAGGAUUAAGUGACAACAAAAAGAGCUAUAAGUGACAAGAAAAAAAUAUUGUCACUUAAUGUAUAGAUUAAGUGACAACUUUUGCAUUUGUCACAAUUGUGGUGUCGCUAAUGCAACUUUUUCUUGUAGUGGUUUUAUGUUGCUUGAUUUUUGCAUUUCAUGAUGUGGCAUUUGUUGGAUUUUGCUUGUACGGACUUUUAGAAGUUAUGAAUUCUUCAUCAAACUUACUGUUCAUAGAAUUCUUAAUCUGUGAGUUACAAAUCAAAUUAAAGGACCAUUUAUAAUAUUUAAAAUAUUCGUAUAAGUGCAUUCAAAUGAGUUUGUUAAAACUAAAAUUUCUGGCAAAACAGGACCAAAAUUGCUAAAUUUGCAAAGUUAUUGCACGCAAACUUGAAAUAGCAUAACCAAAAGGACUAAAUCACUGAAUUGGUUAAUAUAGAUGAUCUAAAUUACAAUUUUCUCCCAUAUAACUAUGUCGGUUUUGUGAAUUUUAAUAAUCAUUGUCUGCCUUAGGUUAUGGAUUUGCUCAAGGCCUCGUUAAUGUCGCGUACUCCGCUAACCGACCUUAUACUCAAUAAAACAAAGGUUUAUGAUGACUUUGUCAGGCUAAAAUACGACGCGGGAAUUUCCUUCCAAGAGAAGGAAAAAUCAGAAGCGACCAAGAAGAUGAAUAUAAGGUUGGUGGUAAAAAAAUCGAACAAUAAGUUAUUGUUUGCUCAAGCGGAUGAUGAUUUCGUAGAUUUCCUUUUUUCUUUUCUUACCAUCCCACUAGGAGGAGUUGAGUGCCUUUUGGGCAGUAACACUUGUCUUAAGAGUAUAGACAAUUUGUAUAAGAGCAUAGCGGAUUUUAUCGAUGACAAGUAUUGGGUGAGUCCAAGUAUCAAAAAUAGGGUGAUGAAACCCAAUCUACCUAAAGGUUAUGUUUCCGAAGGUACGAUUCUUCCUCUUAGUGAACAAGUUACUCUAUAUUACCAUCGGGAUAUGAACCAGAAAAAAGAAUGGUUGUCAUAUUCAAUUGGAAAAAAAUCGGGAUGGGUUGGUGAAAUGGUGUUCAGUCGAGGCCAAGAGAAUUUUGUUAGAGGAACAAAAAUGUACAUGGUGAUCGAUGAUUUAACCGUGACUCCUAUGUGUAUGACCUCAACCCUUUCUAUACUGAAGAAAAUGGAAAUCCCUUUAUCUGAUGUCAAAGAAGUGGAGGUGCACGUUGGAUUGCAAGAGGUAAUUAAUAUAAUUUGAUUUUAUAAUAUCUCGUGUUUAAUUUAUUUAUAUUUUCCCAUGCAUGCAUGUCGAGAUUCGUUUUGGGUGCAGGCUUUAAGCAUACUGAAGGCAUCUCUGACAUCGACGUCUGCUUUGACCGAUGGCCUGAAGAUCAAUAGCAUGUUAAAGAAAAAGCCUAACCAUGCAAGUGCAUUUAUAAGGCGGUUCGCACAAUUGUUUAAUUAGUAAUUUUAAUUGCACCAUGCAUGGAUUAUUUUGUUUCCCAAUAAUGGUAUUAGGCCAGUACUAUACAAGUUGUAGUUACUUCAUUGUUCAGGCCUUCAGGGGUAACUGAUAAUUUAGCUAAUAUUUACUGAAAUUGUGUUUUCUGAUCGGAAUUGUUUUAUGGUCGUAAUAAUAAGGAUUGAUUAAAAGAUUGAGCUUUGGUCCCUUUACUUUUUUAUAUUAUUAUUGCCUCAUAGAUUUGUAUUUUGUUAUGCAAUUGUCUAUGCAUGUUAGUAUUAAUAUUAUUAUCAACUAUCCGGUUGCAAUUGACCAUUAAAUUAUGUAAUUAAUUAGGAAAAUAAUAAAAAUAUUUUGAAAUUUGCUAUUCAAACACAAUUCUAACUUUUCAGAAAUUACGAAGAUAGUAAAAUUUUUCUCCCUCGUACUUGCUUUACUUUUGCCAAAUGCGAAAUAUGGAAAUUCUAGAUUUUAAAUUUUGUUUUCCAGAAUAAUAGUAUUCAAUAUUGAAUCAAGACAAUGAGGGAGAACCCCUUAAAAAACCCAUUUAUCAAUAUUAGACCAAUUCUUUUUUUUUUUUCUUUUUUACAUACUUCUCAUAUGAUGUUAUGGAUUGACAUACCUCCAUUAAUUUAUUAUAACCUAAUUUUAUCCUUUUUAAUUCGUUUAACCCUAGAAACACUAUGUUUACUGCUCAAUCACUUUUUCACUUUCUCUCCUUCGUCAAUGCUUCUCUCUCCCCUUUCUCUCUUUUAUCUUCCACCACCGCCACCACUCUCUUUGUGGACUGCUAUCUUCCACCGCAACUGUCGCGAGUUCUUACCCACACAGAAUUGGAGGAUUCAUUGAGGAACAUGGAGAGACGACAGAGGUCGUCUUCCGCCAAAAUUUGUAAUUUCCGACGACACCAGCCGCUGCUUCUUCGAGACCCAGACGAAUUACUCCUCAUCUUCAACCAACAAUAACAAGAUCCAAAGCAAUCUCUCCCUAUCAAUCCUCCCCUAAGUCCAUUCUCUCCACAUUCUCCCUUCAAAACGCCCCCGCAAAUUUCGUCGCCGCAGCCUGUCGCGCCCACGUCAAUUUCAUCGCCCUCUAUAACAACCGGAGAGCGGCCGCACGGCGAGGAGAUUUCAAAGACGGAGUUUGAGGCAUGGCAUUAGUGAUUGGAGCAGGGGGAGGUUGUUGAAUUGGGGAGUGAUGGUGGAGGAGCAUCUGCGGCGGCUCAUCAUUGUACGAAACGCCGUGGGAUUUUGCUGAUUUUACAGAUAUUUCAUUUAGUUGUUUCGGACAGUGGAAAAUGGACGGUCUUGUUCUGACGCCUGGCAAAUUAGAGUAGUUUUUUUUUUGUUGGUUUCGGUGAUUUAUAGUUGAUUUCAAUAUUUUUCAUAGUAGGUUUUGAUAAUAUUUUAGUUGAUUUCAAUAUAUUGUAGUUGGUUUCGAUGAUUUUGUAGUUGGUCUUGAUGAUUUUGUAGUUGAUUUUGAUGAUUUUGUAGUUGUUUUCGAUAAAUUGUAGGGCAUUACUAUAAAUUGUAGCUUGUUGGUUGCUAAAAUUUGUUGUUGGAUUGAGGUGUUUUAUAGUUAUUUUUGUUAUAAAUUGUAGUUGUAUUGAAAUUUUGUAGUUGAUUAUUGUAAUUUAUAGUUGUUUACGAUGUGGUAAAUCUCCCAAAAAAAAAACACGAAUUUAUUAAAAAAAUAAUAAUUUAUUAAAAAAACAAAUUUAUUAAAAAGAAAAAAAAAAUGUAGAAAAUAAAACGAUAAUAUAUAGGUAUUGGGAAAGAGGGGUGGGCAUUGGAAUAAUAUAAGGAUAAAAUAGGGAUAUGAAAAGUUAGGGGUGUCUCUCAAAUGCAAAUAAUAAAGUGGGUCUAGCUUUAUUAAAACACGGGGUAAUUUUUUAUAAAUCCUCCACUCUAAGAUUAUAUAGGUCCUAGUCCAAGUCAUAAGACCUAUUUUUCUAAAACCCCUACUAAUAUUUUUGGCUGAUUUGCCCUUUGCAGCAAAAUAGUAAAAUUCCCUUUUAAAUAUAAUUAUCCACCAAAUCAGUUUUUUAGCUAAAAAAGAGGGAAAAAAAUCUCAAGUCGUGAGAUUGAAACUGCAAAACCUUACCUCUCAUUUCUUUCAAUGCACCACCCUAUAGCCCUAAUUCUCAAAUCGACAAAAAGGGUUGUAUAUCUGCAAACCGCCACCGAAGAAACAAACUGCAAAAACUCACUUCUCGUUUCUUUCAACGCACACUAUAGCCCCAAUUCUCAGAUCGACGAAAAAGUUGUAAAUCUACAAACCGCCAUCGAAGGGAAAAAUCUGCAAAUCUCGUCAAAUCGAAACAUGCAAAAACUCUCUCCCCUUUCGUUCAACACAAACUCUGUAAUCUUAGCCCCUUAUUGCUGAGAUCGAUGGAGAGUCUGUAGGUCUGGAAACCGAGAAGAUGGCGCAAAAUCGAAAACGUACAGGUAAUUUGCUAUAUAUUGCAUUUUUUUGUAUUUUUUUUAAGUCGCGAUUCAUUGACGAAAUACAAUGGGUUUUUUUAUGAAUGAAGUGAAAGACAGAGAUUUGGAGCCUAUGACCCAGGUAAUAACUUUGUUUUCUACAAAGAAUUUUUUUUGUUUGUUUUUCAUUUUGUUGUUUUUAUGUGUAUUUUGCACUUUGAUGUUUAUUGUGUAUUUUGCACUUGUUGUUGUAUUGUAUAUUGUAUAUUGUAUUUUUCAUUACACUUUGGUGGCAUGUCGAUUUUUGCAAACCUGCUAUUGUAUUGUUGUUAGUUGUGUUGUGAUUUUGAAACUGUGUAUUGCUGUUUGGAAUUAUAAUUGGCACUUGCUAUUACAAAUUGCGGUUACUGUUUCAAGAUACGCGUUAUUAUGUGCAAUUGAUGUACAUGGUUUUUAUUGGUUGACCUGUUGUGCAAAUUUUUGUAUUAAUUCAACAGUUGAUUUAUUAAAGGGGAAGAGAAAAGUAAAUGAAUCAGCGGAGUCAUCAAAAGGAGGAAAACAAAGAUCGAAUUAAGUUGAAUAUGUUCGCACGGGAGAACAAAUCAAUGCGGAAGAGCCAACAUAUGGAGAUAAUAAAUCACCCCUUCUAUAUAGAUCAAAUCUAGUUUCAGUUGUUCGCUCUUUCCGGCAAUAUAAAUAUACAGAAAAACAUAUUGACUGCAUUGGGCGGACUGCGUUGGCUGCUUUUAUAAUUCCAUUAAUGCCAAGGAAGAUCUCUACACACCAUGUUCGGAAGUCGACAGAAGAGGUGCACAAGAUCCUACUUACUUACAACAAGGACAGACACAGAUUUAUUAUUGGCGGAAAGGAACUUCAAAUAUUUCCUAUUAAGUGCCAAUUAAUUUUCGGCAUAAAAUGUAGUGAAGUUGGGAUGCAUAUAGCCAAUCCUAAAGGUUGUCGUAAACCGACCGGUGGCCUAGUCCCUGGGCAAUUUCGCAAUGUAAAGCGACUGAACAAUGCAAAACUAAAAAAAACCAUGAUUAGGUUGAUUAGUGGAGACAGAGAUUCAGAUAUAAAAAAUGUGGCGAGGAUCAUCAUACUAAAUCUCACUGUUCUAAAAAUCGGCCGAGGCGGCUGAUUAAUCGGUCUCCGAGGUGGAGGCGGUCAAAAACCUUUACGAUUUUAGUGUAAAAGUUUGAAAAAUAGGUUUUUUGCCUGUGAGGCGGUUUGAGGCGGUCUGAGGCGGUCAAACCUUUAUGGCGGGUCAAACUUCGAUUCCAAAAAUCGGGGUUUUUUUUAAUAUAUAAUUCGAAUUAAAAGUUAGGAUUUUAAUAAACAAAAUAUGAUUUUAUACUUUAUUUUGUUUAUGUUAACUGUUAUUGUUAAAAAACUAAUGAUGUAUGUUAGGAAUGUUCAAGAAUAAAUGUAAAUUCAAAAAAAAUGCCUUUUUAUUUAUAUUUUAUAAGGAUAUUUAUGAGUUAUAAUCUUAUUAUUAUUAAACUUUUAUUAUUUUAUCAGGAUUUAUACAUGAUGGAGAUAUAACUAUGUUUAAAUAUCUUUUUAUAUAUAUAUUUUUAAUAUUUAUAAAUAAAAUCUAGAAAUAUAUAAUAUUAAAUUUUUAAAAUCGAUUUAUUUCCGAUUUAUCGCCGAUUAAUCACCGCCGCACCGAUGAAUCGUGAGUCGGUCCCUGGCCGCCUCCGACCCAAUUACCGCUUUUUACAACCUUGCUAAAUCUUAUGUUCAAUUUCUUCUUCACUACCAGUGGGGAUUUUGUUCCAUGGUCCUGCGUUAAAUAUGUGGAAGAUCUGGAUGGUACAAAAAGAUACAAUUGGGCGAGAGAGAUAACAAUGCCAUAGAAAAAGGUACCCCUGAGUUGGUUCCAGGAUGCAAUAUGCUGUUAAUGGUGAGUAUUUUUCAAUGGUUAUUACUGUCAUAUGUUGUAAUAAUAAUCAUGUCCAUAUUCUUAAAAAAGAUUGUUGUCAAAUCAUAGUAUUGGCUGGCCGAGAAGACAACGGUAACACUGCCUAUGACAGUCAACGCUUUUCAAAGGUUUAGAAAGUGGAACAUCCAAACUAUUGCUGAAUGGUUGAAUCAAAUACACUGGAAUCAAUCAACGUAUUUGUGGUGGUAUUUGUUUGCAUUUUAUACACGCAUAUAUAUGUAUAUAUGUUAUGUUUUGCAUUUUGCUAUAUAUAUAUAUAUAUAUAUAUAUAUAUAUAUAUAUAUAUAUAUAUAUAUAUAUAUAUAUAUAUAUAUAUAUAUGUUAUGUUUUGCACUUUGCUGUUGGUUUUAACUUUUGCAUCUAAAAUGCUAAUUUUACUAUUACAUGUUUCGUAGGCAAAAUUGAAUUCUUAGCCAAAAAGAAAAAAAAAAUCUACUGUUAUUUGAGUUAUCUUGUGAUUUAUAUUAUUACAAUUUUGCAUUUGCUAUUAUGUAUUUUGAAUUAGCAAAAUGAUACUGUUAUAAUUCGUUGUUGCUAUUAAAUUUAUGGCUUUUGCAGUUAUCUUGUGAUUUAACAAAAUUGUAUUAUUCCAAUUUGCAUUUGCUAUUAUAUCAAUGGCUUUUGCUGUUAUGAAAUGCAAUAAUAAUUAGCUCACAUAUUUUGAUGUUUUUAUGUCUGUUUUGGUUGCUAUAUUAUUUUACAUAUAGAUUGUUGGCCCCCCUUGUUUUUAGGUGAUUAUAAUUUUCCACUGUUUGAAUAUACCCUCAUCGUUAGGGCUCUAUGGCAUCAUAAAAGUUCUUUUCCUGAAAAGAAAAAAAACAACAAUAACAGAACCACGAAAUAACAAACAAAAUACAUCAUAUUGACAAAAAGUGGAAAUAAUAGCAUGAAAUAGACUAGUGUAUAAAAUAGUCUGACAGAAAAAAAAAAAAAAAAAAAAAAAAGUGCAAUCGACAUAAAAAAAUGAAAACAAACCAAAAAAGGAAAGAAAAAAAAACAAAUCCAAAUCGUUGUAGACAGAAAUUCGCUUGAGUAUAAAGAAGCCAAAUAAAUACACGAAUUACAUUUGUUUCAUGCACGACUUCCUAUUAUGGUUUCCGAGUUCAUUACAUUGUCCACAUCUAAUUUUCCUCUUUAUCUUCUGUUAAGUAUAUAUUUUUAUACUUUAUCGUACCUUUUUAUUUGAGCUUUUGGUGUGAUUUAACGAUAAUUGGUGCUUAAAAAGUUGAUUUAUUGUAUUUUAGGUAUAAAUUGAAGAAUUGGAAAAGUUUGGGGUCAAAACUGCAAAUUUGGAGAAAAUAUGGGCCAAAAGUGAAAUAAUCAAAAAUAUGUUGAAAUUGGCUGAAAAUAGGCCCGCACGGCCGUGCCAAAAUUAGCCUAUUUUUGGCACGGCCGUGCCAAAUGCUGAAAUUGGGCAGAAGGUUCGGCGAUUCUCGCGCGGCCGUGCGAGAAUUGCACUGAUUUUCGCGCGGCCGUGCGAACACACGCUGGACACAAUUUUGGACUUUUAAUCACACAAGGAAACCUAAAAUCAUCUACCAAGUUGGGACAUCUAUAUAAGGGCAAACCAAGCACGAAUUAGAGGACUUUGGACACAACCUUGGAGCAAGAGGAGCGAGAGAACGAAGAAUUGAAGACGGAGAAUUGACAACUCUUCAUCACAAUUCUUCUUUUAUCUAUCUUUUCUUAAUCUUUUCUUUUUAUGUUUUUAUUUUGUUUAUCAUAAGAAUUACGCGUAGCUAAGUUUUUAAUCUAGGAUUUUGUCGGAACCCUAUGUGGGGAUGGUGAACCCGUUUUCUUGAGAUUAUGCAAUUAUGAUUUUAUGAUUAUUUCUUCUACUUGAUAUGAUUGUUAGUGCAUGAACUUGAUCAAUUUAUGUGCUUUAUCUGUGAUUAUUGGGAUUGACUCGACAGAGCUAUUUUGAUAAUUAGACGGUAAGUAUAAGAACCUUCGAGUAGUUUUCACCGGAUGAGUGUGUCAAUUGCAUGUGGUGUCGUAGACAUACAGAUAUCACAUUAGGUAGCCAAUUACGAGACUUGUUAGUUAAUGCUUUAUUCAUAAUUUGUUUGCAUAGACAUAUAGUGAACCGUUUAUGAAUAAUAGACUCAUAAUACACGCGACAGCGGGUUAUGAGUAAAUUAGUGUCUCGGGUUAAUAAUCAUGAAUCAUAUAUUUCAUAAUUGAGGGGUUUUGGGUGAGCAAUUCUUGCAUAGGGGGAAGAUAAAAUCCUAGGUCCGUUUUUAUAUUGAUAUUCUCUCUUCUUUAUUUGCUUUCCUAAUUAGUUUAAUUUAUUUAGUUGAUUAAAUUUGACAACCUUGCGUAGGCUGGAUAAAAAUCAUAAUUGUUAGAAUUUGGUACUUAGGAUUAGAUAAUUUGAGUAUUCCCUGUGGGAUCGACAUCCGACUCUCACGAGUCCACUUUUACUACUUGUUUGCGAUACGUGCACUUGCGUGUUAGGUAUUUAGCACCCAACAAGUUUUUGGCGCCGUUGCCGGGGAAUACAGCUAAAUUAUCUAUUUAUUCUGAUAUCAAAUUUGAGCAAUUUUUCUUACUUCAGCCAUUUAAUUUUUUUUAUUUUAUUAUUUUUUUUUAUUUUUUUUUUUGUUGUUUUUGUUUCAUGUCUGGUUAUAAUGUUAGGGAACCUCAAACGGGAUAUGAAUGGCUUCCAUCUGACGAAUACCUCCAAAACACCUAUGAUAUGCCUCCGUUUUGUUCAGCAUGUGGUGGAAAUCAUUAUUCCGAUGAAUGUUGGGGAUCACCAAAAGCGACAAAUUUCGUCGAAAUUACCAACGGAAGUUAUUGGAACACUUACACCAACACAUACGAGCAAAGUUUUCAGGACCAAGAUUUGAACGAGUUUCAACAUAGAGAGCCACAAUUCGAUGAUCUUCAAAAUUAUUAUCCAUUGCAGCAACAAACCACUAAUGACCAACCUGAUUUGGUAUCCAUCAUUGGCGAAUUCAUGAAGUCCACUCAAGCAUCAUUUCGAAACAUGGAGAUACAACUGGAAGAGAUGACGCUCAAAUUAAAAUCUGAGUCUCUUGAAAAUAUUCCAGACGAAAUCGGCAAUGAUUACAUCAAAGAAAAUUCGGGUGAAGCCUGCGGUGAGAAAAAUCUUCCAUGUCCAGAAAAUAGUGUCGAUAUGAGAGAAAUUGAAAUUACGAAGACACUUGAGCAUGAUGAAUCUGAGAAGGCAAUCGAGCUAAACCACGAAGAUACCUCAGAACAAGAGAAGAAGGAGAUGGAUGUAAUGAUUGAAGAUAUUCUAGUUGUGGACCAUGUCGUUGAUCUAAAUGUGGAUUUGAAGACAUCAAUAGUGGUCGAUGAGAAAGCUAAUGUGUUUGAGGUGGAGGUUAUACGUAGACUGGAGAUUUUUGUAUACCGAUUUGAGGGAGCGGUCGAUGAACAUCCUAUCUUGGCUUCGUACCGAUUGAUUACCACAAAAAAAGACUACAAGCUAAGGUGUAUCGUAACAUAUUGCAAUGCUAUCCAUGCCUUGGUGGAAAUUGAAGUGAUAAAGCUCAUGGGUGGAUGCGCAAUCUACAAGGCUUUGGAUUGGACAUAACAAUUUCAAGAAGAAAAGUCUGGCUGAAGACUUAAAACUUAGCGCUUCUCGGGAGGCAACCCGAGCAUUUAUCGAUUUUCGUAUUUUUCUUUGUUUUUAUUUUUCUUAGUAUUUGUGCAUGCGCAAACCAAUAAUUUAAUCUUGUUUUAAUUUUGAGGUCGAAAAUCAAACACUAAGGGAUCGGACGAUAAAGGUCGAGCAAACGAACAUCAAAGAGCGCAUCCCUUGGAAGGACCUUCGACUAAUCAGGUGUAUUCUAUCCUUGAACUUCGUGUUAAUUACAUUGAGGGCAAUGUAAAUUUUAAGUUUGGGGGUGGUAAAUUACUUGUUUUUAUGUGCUUUAAUUUUUUAGUUUGCACGCCUUAGGAUUUUUCAUUUUAUUUUAGUUGUUUUAGUUUAUUUAUUGCUUUCGAAAAAAAAAAAAUUAAAAAAAAAAAAUUGCUUGAGAUAAAUGCUUUGAUGAAUCAUGAUGACGAAAGAUGGUCGAUGUUUAAUGAUGGAAUUGCUUGCUUUAUCUUGAUUUUGAUCGAAUUUUGGUGAGCUUUUGAUUCAAAGUGUCGUAAGAAGGAGUCAUUGUUAGGAAUCUCGAAUUAUGUCUUGCUUUGGUUGAAAGUUUUGUGUUUUAAAACAUGGAAUUAAUUUAUGCUAUAUCAUAUGCUAUUCAGUUUUAGAACUUGCCUUAGGAAUUUACAAAGUGAAAUAUUAAAUUGUUGAGCAAUUUGGGAAGUGAUUUGGGCCAUCUUUGAACCGUUUGAGCCUUUCAAGCCUACCUUUAAAUUUUUAUCAUUCGAACCUUGAUUGAGCCUUGGAGAAACGGUGUUCUUUCUUUUAGCGAAUGUGUAUAAGGUAGAAUAAGUGGAGAUUUUUGAAAAAUUAACCCUUGGAGUUCGGUCGAAUUUUUUUUUAUAAGGUCCUUCUUCUUCUAAAAAAAAAAAAAAAAAGAAAAGAAAAGAAAAAAAAAGAGAUAUAUAUAUAUAAAAAAAAAAAAAAAAAAAAAAAAGAGAAAGAAGAAGAAGAGACUAGAAGGGGAAGUAAGGACUAGUUGUUGAAUUGUUUUGAAAGCUCGAUCCAUUGUUUUAAGAGCAAAAGUGGAGACUUUUGAACUCUUAAGAAUCGAGUUUAUUAAAGUCCUUAGAGGUGAAUUCAUUGUUUCAAACGCCUAUCUUUCAAAAUUUGGCGUAAUCACCUCAAUUCAAGAAGCAUAGCCACAUAUACCCAUAUUUCCUACCUCGAACAAAAAAGCCCAACAUUUGAAAGCCAAAAAGUCCCAAUGAUCCCAAUAGCUCAAUUAUUUGAUACUAGCCGAGUAGAGAAAUUUGGGGAGUCUUUGGAGUUGAAUAUUAUUAUGUAAGUAUAAAUUUUCUCCAUUUUUAAUUUGCAAAUAUGGGAUACUUUAAGCGAUAGCAUGGUUUGUGGGUUUUAGCAAUGGUGAGUGAAUACGUAUCUUUGAAUUACGAGCUUGUAAAUAUUUGAGAAUUGUCAUGAUAAUUGCAAGUUCUGAAAAAAUGAAAAUUGACCAUUAAUCUAUGUGAUGAGAGGCAUUUGUUGAGAGUGUUGCUGUGAAAGUUGCUAGUUUUUGCUUGAGGACAAACAAAAGAUCAAGUUUGGGGGUGUGUUAAGUAUAUAUUUUUAUACUUUAUCGUACCUUUUUAUUUGAGCUUUUGGUGUGAUUUAACGAUAAUUGGUGCUUAAAAAGUUGAUUUAUUGUAUUUUAGGUAUAAAUUGAAGAAUUGGAAAAGUUUGGGGUCAAAACUGCAAAUUUGGAGAAAAUAUGGGCCAAAAGUGAAAUAAUCAAAAAUAUGCUGAAAUUGGCUGAAAAUAGGCCCGCACGGCCGUGCCAAAAUUAGCCUAUUUUUGGCACGGCCGUGCCAAAUGCUGAAAUUGGGCAGAAGGUUCGGCGAUUCUCGCGCGGCCGUGUGAGAAUUGCACUGAUUUUCGCGCGGCCGUGCCAACACACGCUGGACACAAUUUUGGACUUUUAAUCACACAAGGAAACCUAAAAUCAUCUACCAAGUUGGGACAUCUAUAUAAGGGCAAACCAAGCACGAAUUAGAGGACUUUGGACACAACCUUGGAGCAAGAGGAGCGAGAGAACGAAGAAUUGAAGACGGAGAAUUGACAACUCUUCAUCACAAUUCUUCUUUUAUCUAUCUUUUCUUAAUCUUUUCUUUUUAUGUUUUUAUUUUGUUUAUCAUAAGAAUUACGCGUAGCUAAGUUUUUAAUCUAGGAUUUUGUCGGAACCCUAUGUGGGGAUGGUGAACCCGUUUUCUUGAGAUUAUGCAAUUAUGAUUUUAUGAUUAUUUCUUCUACUUGAUAUGAUUGUUAGUGCAUGAACUUGAUCAAUUUAUGUGCUUUAUCUGUGAUUAUUGGGAUUGACUCGACAGAGCUAUUUUGAUAAUUAGACGGUAAGUAUAAGAACCUUCGAGUAGUUUUCACCGGAUGAGUGUGUCAAUUGCAUGUGGUGUCGUAGACAUACAGAUAUCACCUUAGGUAGCCAAUUACGAGACUUGUUAGUUAAUGCUUUAUUCAUAAUUUGUUUGCAUAGACAUAUAGUGAACCGUUUAUGAAUAAUAGACUCAUAAUACACGCGACAGCGGGUUAUGAGUAAAUUAGUGUCUCGGGUUAAUAAUCAUGAAUCAUAUAUUUCAUAAUUGAGGGGUUUUGGGUGAGCAAUUCUUGCAUAGGGGGAAGAUAAAAUCCUAGGUCCGUUUUUAUAUUGAUAUUCUCUCUUGUUUAUUUGCUUUCCUAAUUAGUUUAAUUUAUUUAGUUGAUUAAAUUUGACAACCUUGCGUAGGCUGGAUAAAAAUCAUAAUUGUUAGAAUUUGGUACUUAGGAUUAGAUAAUUUGAGUAUUCCGUGUGGGAUCGACAUCCGACUCUCACGAGUCCACUUUUACUACUUGUUUGCGAUACGUGCACUUGCGUGUUAGGUAUUUAGCACUCCAAUAGAUGGUAUCCUCUUCUUUUUUGGUCUUCCACGUCGAGAUUUAAAUUCAGGUGGGCCAACACAAAUUUCCUCUUCGUUUGUAGUGUAUCUAACAUACGGUAAAUAGGGAUCAUAUAGUCAUAUGGUUCUGUCCUCUCGUUCCCUAAUACACACACCGCAUGAACACAAGAAAAUCCAAGAAUCUGCCAUUCUCGACAUGUGCAAGAUUUUUGCGCCAAGUCAACAACAAUAGACGGAUUACUGGGAACUUCAAAAAUAUUGUCAGCGGCCUUCUCAGGCUUCCACGACCUGCCUUCAACUUCAAUAUCUUGCGAAAUUUUCUCCUUCUUAGGGUAGCACAUAGAUGACCAAUUAGCUGCUUUAUCUCUUCUCUUAGUCAUCUGCUUCAUUAAUUUGCUUCUAAUUGCGUCUAUCAUAGUCAUAACUGGUAGGUCGCGCAACAGAAGAAUUUGCGAAUUCCAAGAUUCCACGCCGUUCGAAUACAUGAUUUCACCGUAUCUAUGCCCAUCAAAAUACGCAUUCGCCCAUUUAUUAUAAGGCAAGUCAUUCAAGAAUUUCACAACUUUGCUAGAACCAGUGACCUUGAGCUUCUCGAUCUUCUUAUCAAAAGACGUCUUUGAGAAUUCAAAUACGCAUGAUACAAAUUGGCCAACAAUUGCCUCCCUAUAACUUGUUGGAACCCCUUUAAAUUUGUUGUUCAAAUUACCUAUCAAAUGUCUGAGGCAAAAUGAGUGAAAACAAUAUGGAAACAUGUUCUUAACCCCUUCUAGAAUGUCAUGUUGCCAAUCAGAAAUAAACGUAAAGAUACGAUCCUGGUUAAUUGGCUCCUUUAGCAAUGUUAAGAACCAAAACCAGUUAUCGUCAUUCUCCUCAUGAACAAUAGCAAAUGCGAUAGGGAAAAGUCCUGCAAAAAAACUUAUCCAAAAAAAAUGCAAAAAUUUUAAGAACUAAUCAUAAUUUUGCUAUUAUAAUUUGCAUUUUGCUCUCAACAAAAUUAAUGGUUUGCAUUUUUCAUUUUUUCGUUUCAUGUUCUGCAUACUAACCAUUAGCAAACGACAACAUCAUUAACAGCCAUAAAAAAUACUAGAUUAUGAUAAAUUAAAAUAUUGCUAUUGUAAUUUGGAUUUUGGUGCCGCCAAAAUUAUUGAUUUGCAUUUUGCAUUAUACAUGUUUUCAAUUUUUCCUUUCGUCUUCUGCAUCCUAAAAACUUAAAUAAACAUUGACAUCUAAAAAAAUUUAAAUUAUUUUUUGUAAGUAACAUCGAUCCGAACUUGUCUUUCACUUGGUUUACAACAUCUGUAGGUGUCAUUUGUGGCAUGAUUCGUAAAUCACCAACCGUCAAUUCACCAACAAUUUGUGUACUCAUCCUAAUUUUUUUCGACCGACGAAGUGCAACACCACAAGUAUGCAAUUGAUUAAAUGUCCUUACGUAGAAAAAACCAUUAAUUUUGUUGGCAGAUGCAUGGGUUCUAUAGGGAAGUUCUUAGAUUCUUUGAGUUUGCAAACAACAGUCACCCUAUUACUUUCGUUCUUCACAUAAUCAAAUUGAAAUCCAUUGUGAUAAGCAAAUUUGACUAAACAUUUCCUAAAAUUCUCUACCCCCUCUUUAAAUAUUUGCCCCACAUCUGUAAUUAAGUUACUCCAAUUUGAACUCAACAUCACCAUUGGAUUACGUGAUCCUUCUGAUGCAAGACUACCCAUCUUUGGAUUUGCAUCAAGCAUCGACAUUUGGGUUCCAGUUGGAUAUUCAAGGAAAUCUGUUGUUUUAAUUUAACAUUACACCAUCUUUCAACUUCACAUUAACACAAAUUUCAUCAAUCAAAAAUUUCUCAACAUACUCCAUCAUCACGCCGGCCAACAUCGUCGUCAUCCGCCAACAUACAUUACCCGUGAUUUAAAAAAUUGUAUGUUAAUGUAAAAUUACCAGGAUAUAAAGUACUCCACUUCAAGCAAACAAAAUUUACUAAACACUUAUAUCUCGAAGCACCCGACACUUUUUUACUGCUACGAAACCAUCGAACUUAAAUACCAAUUUAAUUGAGCGGGGCAAACUGCAUAACGAAAUUAACAAAUAAAAAACCUCAAUUAUGCUAUGGAUCGACCAACAAAGAAAAACGAUAGUAACGAACAACAAAACAAACCUGUUGACGUAGCUCCUCUUCAUGUUCAUAGCAAUACGAAAAACAAAAAUAUACCUAAUUGCAUUUGAUUUCACAAAACUAAAGCCAUACAAUUCUAAGAUCUUAUAAUGACGAAUGAGUUCUUUAAUUCUACCACGUUUGAUAAACGCCCGAUAUUUUUUUCCAUACCACGUCUCAUAACUCCCUUCCAAAUUGGGCCGGUCCGACCCGGUUCGAUCUGGUCUGACCCGACCUGAUUUUCUUUCUUUUAAUUAAUUUUUUUUACAGCGGUGGUCUGGCUCAUUGGAGCUUCGGUUAGCUGACUCAACAUUAGUAAACUUCAACAUUAGUUGACUAUUGACAUUUUUUUUCGGCAGCGUGUCGUCGCAUCUCUAGUUAAUUAGCACACUCAACAUUAGUUAACUUAAACAUUCGUUGACAUUCGUCGGAGCUACGAUUAGCUGAUUUCAACACUAAAACAAUCGGGUGUCUGCUAAUGCUUAGUCAGCUAAUCAGAGCCCUAAGUACCCGCCGCCGACAAAAAGAGUUAAAAUAAAAAAUAAAAAAUAAAUGGUCGGAUGUCAGCUAGUGCGAACUCACCUAAUGCAUAGUCAGCUAGUGUCAACUCAACUAAUCAGAGUUACGACGUCCCGUUGCCGGAAAAAAAAUAAUAAAAAAAAAAGAGUUGGACGUCAGCUAAUGUUGAAGUCAGCUAAUGCAAGUAAACUAAUCCGAGUUCUGACGAUCCGCCGCUCGGAAAAAAAAAUUAAAUAAAAAAUAGUAUGUUAACUAAUGUUGAAGUUAACUAAUGAUGAGUCAAAUAAUCGGAGCUUCCAAGACAAGCCGCCGGAAAAAAAAAACGAUGUCAACUAAUGUAGAGUCAGCUAAAUCGAAGCUCAGACGACCCACCACCAAAAAAAAGAAUUAAAAGAAAAAAAAAUGUGAUAUCAAAUGUUAACUAAUGUUGAAGUUAACUACUAUUAAGUCAGCUAACCGGAGGUCCGACGACCCGCCGCCGAAAAAAAAAAAAAAAAAAGGGAUGUCAUAUGUUACUAAUCUCGAGUCAGCUAAACGGAGCUACGACGACCCAGGCCACCACUGUAAAAAAAGAAAUUUAAUAAAAUAAAAAACUUAAAUUAUUUGUUUAAUAAAAUGAAUAGAUAAAAAUAAUAACAAACCUUAAUUACGGUUUGAAUGGGUAAAAAACUCGAAAAUGGUAUAAACUAAUUAUUUGAGUUUAUAUCAAAUGAAACUUACAAGAAAUGAAUUUUCUAUACUAUAUUAUCUAUAAAAGGAUGAAUAUGCUUGGAGUUUCUUCCAUUUUUUGAAUGUCCAAAAAUGCCCCUAGGUAAUUAAGUUAGUAAAUUUAUUUAGUAACAUAAAAUUAAUAAAUUGAUACAUCUACACGUAGUGCAUCCACAAUGAAUGGGUACAUGAUGAAUGUAGUGAGUAACCGAUUCUACUUAUACUUGGGAAUGAGCAAAAGAAUUUGAAGAGUUGGGAGAAUGAAUGGUAAAAUAUACUCUUUAAAUACUGGUGUGCUACUAUAAAACAUAUCAUAUGUGGAGUGGAAAGAAGUGAAAUUCCCCACUUUCACAUUUCGGUGAACUAAUAUUCAUAUUUUAUUUCUAUAAGUACCUUUUUCAACAGUUAGUAAUUAAAUUUGCAAUUCAUUUGUUGUUCAAUUUUUUGUUGCAUAUUAAAAUAAAAUGGCGUCCAUCACAAAGAAAAGUUUAGCAUUGAAAUAAACAGGCAACUUCUCCUAAGAGACAGCUUAUUUACUUGACGUGCAUCGAGAGUGGCAUGUCGGAAUUUUCAGGUUUAAGAAAUAUUUUAUUCAUAUUUUACGGUGUUUCAUAAUAUCGAAUUUCCUAGAAAUUUAGAUUCUACUACAAAUAUUUCUUAUUUUCUACUACAAAUAUUUUAUUAUUUUAAUAAUAUUUUAAUUUUAAACAAACCAGUGAAGGAGAACUUGUACAAGCAUCUCGAAUAAUUCUCCAGUUUUGAAAAUUGUCAUUCUCAAAGGUUGGCGGCGCUAUUCGCCAAAGGAGAUGUAAGGCUUGUGCGCGAUGGACUCUACCUGCGAGGGGAGUGUGUCGGUCGCAUUCUUUGAUGAUGGUUCUGUGUAUGGAUAGUUUGGUGGCUAAAGAGCAAAAUAUGGAAAAGUGGUGGUGACGGCGGUUUUAAAGCUUAAAUAAAGAAAUAGAAUUAAGCCUCUUUCUUUGGGUGAAUUGCAUUUUGCACCCCAAAAAUGGUAAGAAUUGGCGUUUUGCACCCUUCGAUUUUGGAAUUGGCAAAAUACACCCUCAAAUUAAAUAUCUAAUGACAAAAUGCAUCCUACAACUGUUUCGUAUGAGAUUUUAACCAAAAUUUGAAUAUAUCAUGAUAUUUAAUAUUUAGGAGUUUCAGUAUUUUUAACAAAAAUGAUGAGAAUUCAAUUUAGGACAAACAUAAGCUUAUUUCAUACAAACAAUUUUAAAACAACAUAAAAUGUGAGGUUAGAAUAUAACUAGAAAAAUAAUCGAUCAUUGAGAUUUAAAAAGACAGAAUAAAUCUCAUAAAAUAUGUAAUGAAAAUUGUUAAUAAUGUAGAUGUUUUUUGAGCAUAAAUUAUAACCUUUUAAAUUACAUUAAAAAAAUAUCAUUGUAUAAACAAAAUUAUUAUUUUUUAGCUUAUAUAUAAUUUCAAUUUUGAUACGAAAAACUAACAAAAACAAAUCAUUAUUUUUUCCUUUGUGAUUCAUUUAUAAUAUAACGAAAUAAUAAUUUAAAAAUAUAAAGUACAAAAAAAAAAAAAAAAUCACCAAGCAAGAAUAUAUUUGUAUGGAGUUUGCAAACACCACAAACUUUAAGGAAAAAAAGUUAACUAUAUCACCAACUUCGAAUUUUCCAGAUGUUUCUGCAAACUACCUUGAUAUGAGAAAGUUUGCAUUGUAAAAUAGUUAGCUACAAAGACUACUAUUACUACCCUGUGUAUUUUUAUUUGAUUUUCAGUGUUGAUGUUGGUGUUUUUAUUUUAUUUCAACUAUUGAUAUUGUCACGACACGUGCAACGCACGUGCACAUGCCUAGUACUCAAAAACAUAAAAAUGCUUGGGCUUAUCUACAUUAUGUAAGUUAGUGAGGCUAUCUCAAUUAAACUCAAUUUGAUUUUGUAUUCACAAGAAAUUCAACAAGUGAAGGCCGCGGCCCCGCAUAUCUUGUGAAGAUUUUGGAGACAAAAUCAUGUGAUUGUUCAUGUGCUUUUGUUUCUCCGAGUUUGUCAUAAACCACAUACCAUUUGGCUUCUUCGCAAGGACUAUGGUAUUUACAUGUUCAUCUAUAUAUACACAUUCACACGACACAUUUCUAUAGUUACAACCCAACUUUCAAUUCACAACUUCAGAGCUUAAACCGAACGGUGUUAAGGUCAAAUGUCUGACAACUAACAUCGAGGGCCACAUUAAAACAAGUUUUCAAGUGCAGGGGUCAAAUCGAUACAAUUGAGAGUAGAAAGGGGUAAAGUGAUGCCAAGUCAAAGUACAAGAGGGAAAGUGGACAUAAAAUGCACAUGUCAAAAUGGCUCGGAGUAAACAAAAGAUCAUUCAUAAGUAAUACCGUUAAUCUAUCUGUCCAUGAGUACAUCUUCUACCUGCUGACAAAGUAUCUUCUUUUUGUACAAAAACAAAAAAAUGAACAAAAUCAUCCACGAACUAGCUAACAAACAUUCUAUUGCCCUAAGACCUAGCUUAUGUAUAACUGUAUAUAUAUCAUUUUCUGCUCAAGCGAGAUGUAAGAUCAAGGAAUAAAUCCUCACUGCAAGGAAUAGUGAGGCCGCCCAUUGGAUGAUGGUAUCGAAAUUCUUCUUCGGCUUGGCAUAGCAAAUCUUGAAACGAAGGAUGGUUUAAAUAUGACAAUGGAAUAACAAAUCUCUUCUUUUCAUUUUCUCCGACGUAAACAGCUAAAUGCCCUUUUGGAACUUCAUUUGAUCUUCUUUCGUUGGAUAAAGAUCGUUUCAGUAUUUGGCGGAUGGCCAUUUUUGUAUGAAGUGUGAAUCUUGGGGAAGUAUUUGAAAUAAGUGAGAGCUGAGUAAGGAGGAGUUGUUGAUGAUGGUUGUAAUCAAGAAAUGGUGUUUGUAUAUAGAGUAAAAAGCAGUUUGCCCCCUAAACUAAUGUCCGUUUUGCACUUUGCCCCCCAAACAAAAAAAAUUUGCACGUUCUUACCUGAACUCCGUUUUUUGUUGCACGGUGCCUCAAAAUUGGAAUUUUCAGGUCAUUUUGAUCGGAAUCUUGCACAUGUGCUUUUCACGUGAGUUUUAAGGGGGCAAAAGAGUCUAUUCCUUACAUUCUUCAUAGUAAAUAAAAAAAAACCAAAAAAAAAAAAAAAAAAAAAGAAUGAAAGAAAAUAAGGGGCUGCUGAUCUGCCAUUUCGGAACCAGCUUCGUCUUCAUCUGUAUCAACCACGGCGGCGCCAACGAGACCCCCUCUCCCCUCGUAAUCGAUUCCGUCUCCCGUUCGCCGAUUCUCUCUCUUCAGGACACCGUCGGAGUUGGGUGGCGUCGCAUCGAUGCUUCCGCUGUACUUCUCCAGAUCUCUAAGUUGGGUCUCUGUUCCGAGGUAACAUUCUUAGCAAAUUUGCAGAGUUAUAUCUCUCUUCAUGUGAGUGGGAAAAUUGGCAGCGUUUCUGGUGGAGGAUGAAGUUGAGGGUUUCCACAUAUAGAUGGAAAAGCCGCCGGAUGUAGCGUCGAAUUUGCAGGCAGAGCAGUGUGAGUUUCCAUCGUUGGGUCUGCAGAGGAGCAGUGUAGAUGGUCAAAAGAAUCCAAAAUUUUCAUUCCAAAAAAAUCCCAAAUUCAAUUCAAUCAAAAUGUAUUAGAUGAUUCUAUCUUGGCUUCGGAUCUUGGAUUUGUUGGAAGAGGAAAUAAUGAUAUCUCCCCCACAAGCUGAAACCUACACUCAAAUCCCCCACACACAUUUUCUUCUUCUCUAAUUCUUCUUUGCACAAAAUUUGCCACCCAUCAAUUUCUUUUUGCUUUCACACAUUUUAUAGUUUACAGUUUGAAAAUUUUUCUGAGGAGCAGGUUCUCUCCAGUGGCAGAUUUCCCCACCUUGUUUUUCACUUUUUUUUUUUUUUUUUAAUUUACUAUGAAGAAUGUAAGGAAUAGACUCUUUUGCCCCCUUAAAACUCACGUGAAAAGCACAUGUGCAAGAUUCCGAUCAAAAUGACCUGAAAAUUCCAAUUUUGAGGCACCGUGCAACAAAAAACGGAGUUCAGGUAAGAACGUGCAAAUUUUUUUUGUUUGGGGGGCAAAGUGCAAAACGGACAUUAGUUUAGGGGGCAAACUGCUUUUUACUCUUUGUAUAUAUAGGCUAUAAACAAAUGAUGUAUCCUCUAUGAAAUUGAAAAAAACAUAAGCAUAUGAAAUCACAUGGAUUUGUCUUAAAAAAAACAAAUUCAUAAUGAAUUAAUUAGGCCAAUAACAUGAACUUAUGAGAUCGAAAAUAUUGUAUCCGACCAACUAUGGCAACAUGGCCCUAAUUAAACCACCCUAUAAGUUUUCUCUUGUAACUAAUGCAUGUAAGCCUUACAAAUUACAGUCCCUACACAUAUAUCACAUCAUCUAACUUAUACUGCAUUUAAUUCGGUGGGUCUUAUGAAAUUUUCUUGCUGAAAUGUUUUGAAGAUUUUAGAGACAAAAGCAUGUGAUUCUUCAUGUGAUUUUGUUUGUCAUAAAUCAUAUACCAUUUGUCCACUUCGUAACCACUCUAUCCAGCUAUGAGGAAUAUGGCAUUUACAUGUUCAUGUAUAUAUAUGUUUACACGACACAUUUCUAAACUCACAACCAGCUUUCAAAACUCGAUUUUCAAGAUUUUCAAGAUUUUCAUCUGCUUCACUAAACUCUCGUAUAUUUCUUUGCUUUCAUCUUCAGCCUCACCAAGAUUUUCAUCACUUCCAACAAAAAUCGAUGGCUAUUCACAAAAUUCUUAGACGGUCUUUAUCGGCUGAAAAGAGGACAAUUGAAGUUCCAAAGGGGCAUUUGGCUGUUUAUGUCGGGGAGAGUGAAAAGAAGCGAUUUGUUAUACCAUUAACGUAUUUGAAUGAUCCUUUGUUUCAAGAAUUGCUAUGCCAAACUGAAGAAGAAUUCGGAUUUCAUCAUCCAAUGGGCGGCCUCACUAUUUCUUGUAGUGAGGACUUAUUUAUUGAUCUCACCUCUCGCUUGAGCAGAGCUUGAUAUAUAAGACUAGGUUCUAGAGCAAUAUAAUUUUUGUUAGCUAGUUUCUUUACAUAUUUUCCUAUUUGUAUACACAAAAGAUACUUUGUCGGAUACAAAAUGUAUUCCCGGACAAAUUGAUAGUAAUUACAACUUUUAUCAUAAGCUCGUUUUUGAAUUUCUUUUUUCAAAAAUUUUAUACCCAUAACUUUUUUGUUUGAUGUUGGUCACACGCAGAAAAGUAUGUUCAAAACGUAGAUCAUUUUGUACUUGUAAAUAAGGCAACUCGAUCAUUGGAAUUUCAUGAACCCCAAAAAAUGAAUCGGCUGAAGAGUUUGUAACUAGUGCCUAUGCUUGUAAUUUUAUCCAGGCAAAUAAUCUCAGAUAAUAAUUUAUAGCCAGAGAUAUAUAUACAAAGGCAUAAUUCCAUAGCAAAAUACGUACCGGUGAGCACAUAGCAAACUAUUCUUAAGGGUUUUUUUUUAUUUAUUUUUUAUAUUUUUUUAUUUUUUUAUUUACUUUUUUUUUUAUAUUUUUUUUAUAUAUUUUUUUUAUGCAAACAUGGUGUGCUCGCUGCAAUUUUUUUAUUUUUUAUUUUACUUUCUUUUUUAUAUUUUCUUUAUAUAUAUAUAUAUUUUUUAUGCAAACAUGUGCUCGCUGCAAUUCAAGUAGCAUACGCCUUAUUUUGGAGGUUAAUUAAUUUCCUUUUGAUCAACUAUCAAACUUAGCACUUACAGGCCCGCCGCUUGAUCAAUUAUCAAACGUAACGCUCACCCUUAUUAAAUAAUUUAAAGGGCAAAUGGCAAAAAGGCCCAUCACAUGGGACUUAAAUGCAUUUUAGUCCAUAAAAAAAACAGUCACUCAAUUAAGCCCAUCCCUAUGCCUUUAGUCUAAAAUACCCUCAAUAAUAUAAUUCUUAACAAUUCCACCCAUUAUGCUCUAACUUCCUUAAUAUUACACAUUGACCCCGAAUUUAAACAAAUAUAUCACAUAAACCCCCAAAACUUUUUUUUUUCAGAAAAUAAUUUUUUUUCUGAAAUAUUAUUUUUCCGGCCAGAUUCCGGCGUUGACUGCCGGAGACCGCCGGUCUCCGACGUUGACUUUUUUUUUUUUUUUUUUUUUUUUGAAAAUUUUUUUUCCUGAAUUUUUUUCCGGCCGGUCAACCACCGUUGACCACCGGUCUCCGGCGUUGACUUUUUUUUUUUUUUUUUUUUUUGAAUUGUUUUUUCUUAGAAAAAAAAUAUUUUAAUUAAUAUUACUGUCUCCGGCAGCUAUUUAACUGUCGGAGACAGUAAUUUAACUGUUAAUUGACUGUUUUUUUUUUUUUUUCUUCAAACGAACAGUAAUAUUAUUAAUAUUAUUUUCUAAAUUACUGUCUCCAGCAGUUAUUUAACUGUCGGAAACAGUAAUUUAACUGUUAAUUGACUUUUUUAUUCUUAAAAAAAUAUUUUUAAUUAAUAUUACUGUAUUCGUUGCUAAAUUACUGUCUCCAGCAGUUAUUUAACUGUCGGAGACAGUAAUUUAACUGUUAAUUGACUUUUUUAUUCUUAAAAAAAAUAUUUUUAAUUAAUAUUACUGUAUUCGUUGCUAAAUUACUGUCUCCAGCAGUUAUUUAACUGUCGGAGACAGUAACUUAACUGUUAAUUGACUUUUUUUUUUUUUUUAAAUUUUUUCCCUUAAAAAAAAUUUAUUUAAAUUAAUAUCUUGGAUGUUAAAUUACUGUCUCCAACAGUAAUUUAACUGUCUUAGACAAUAAUAUUAAUAAUAUUACUGUUCGGAAAAAUAAUAUUCAUAAUAUUACUGUCUCAAACAGUAAUAUUACUGUCUGAGACAGUAAUUUAGUAGUCAAUACAGUAAUAUUAAUUAAAAUAUUUUUUUUCUAAGAAAAAACAAUUGAUCAAAAAAAAAAAAAAAAAAAAAAGUCAACGCCGGAGACCGGCGGUCAACGGUGGUUGACCGGCCGGAAAAAAAAAAGCAGGAAAAAAAAAUUUCAAAAAAAUAAAAAAUAAAAAAAAGUCAACGCCGGAGACCGGCGGUCUCCGGCGGUCAACGCCGGAAUCUGGCCGGAAAAAAAACAGUUCAGAAAAAAAAUUAUUUUCUGAAAAAAAAAAGUUUUGGGGGUUAAUGUGAUAUAUUUGUUUAAAUCCGGGGUCAAUGUGUAAUAUUAAGGAAGUUAGAGCAUAAUAGGUGGAAUUGUUAAGAAUUAUAUUAUUGAGGGUAUUUUAGACUAAAGACAUGGGGAUGGGCUUAAUUGAGAGACUGUUUUUUUUGUGGACUAAAAUGCAUUUAAGUCCCAUGUGAUGGGCCUUUUUGCCAUUUGCCCAUAUCUUUUUCAUAUAUAUCUUAAAUAACAGUUUCUUAAAUAAUUCCACAAUUCCCGCUUAUUGAUUGCAGAAUUCUAAUCAUCAUAAUUUUAAUAUAUCUCUCCCCCCUCUUUCUCUCGCAGGAAUUAAUCUGCAAAUAUAGGAAUAUUUUUUGGGUUUAAAAAACAGUGUGUGAAUCUUUGUUUGAUGAUUGUGUUAAAAGAAGUGUAUAAAUAGUUGAAUUAAUCAAUCUCUGCGAAAUUAUUAUAAUUAUUAAUUAAUGACGAGUGAUGAGAUUAAGGUAGUUUAAUAUGGAUCAUAGUUAUCUUAAACAAUUAAUUUAUAUUAUUUGGUGGGUGAAAAGGUGUGUUCAUAUAUAUAUGUAAACAAAGAGAUGUUGUGUUCCUGGUGUGUAGUGUCGAGUGAAAAAGGAAUUUUGUAGCAGUGUUGAUUCCCUCUCUUUCUUUCUCUCUCUCUCACUUUAUAGUGAGUGAAAAAGUGUGUGAGAGAAAGAGAGAGAGAGUGCGUGUGUUUUGAGUACAUAUGUUGAUUGUAACCACUCUGUAUUUGUCUCUCUCUCUCUAUAUACAAAAUACAGAGUGGUUUUCACAUAAUGUCGGUUUUCAUAAUAUAGAGUGGUUUUCACACAAUGUCGGUUUUCAAAGUUACUUUUAAGUCAUGGGUAUAAUUGUGCAUUAACGUAACAAAAUACAGUGGUUUCGAACAAAAUACAGAGUGGUUUUCGUCUCAACAAAAUAUAGAGUCUAAUUAAGCAGGAAGUUUGUCUCAAUAAAAUACAGAGUGGUUUUCGUACUUUUCCGCAAACUAUGUAAGUGCUUAAUAGUCAUGGUUUUAGCACUGUUCGAAAUAAUGUUAAUAUGAAUGCACAUACUUUUUCUUCCCCAUUGUUAUGUGGUUUUAGCAUAUAGUCGAUUGAUCCUUUAAAAUUACAAAGUGGUUUUGAUAUAUUGCCGGAUUUCAAAGUUACAUGUCCGUUUUUAUUAUUAUUAUUAUACAUGUCAGAUUUAUAUGUAUUUUCUCAAUCGUGGUAACAACUCUUUUUUUUCCCUUGUUAAAUUAAAGACAACUUCUACCGUAAUUUGGGGGAAUUCUGAAAACAAUGGAGAAUGGGCUAUGCCGGAGUGGUUUUUCUACAGUGAUUUGGGGGAGAAAUAUUUGGGAGAAUUAUACGUAAUAUGAUUUUUGGGAGGGAUUUGGAAUUGACUUACUGUAUUUUCAAUUUUAAUAAUUAUACUAAUUAGUGGGGGCAUAUAUGGUUUUUCAGGCCCAUUGAAUUUAUCUCAAAUAUCAUUUAUAAAUAAUGGAUUUAUUAAAAAUUAAAAUCCUAACGAAGGGUGUUUGGCAUAUAGCCCCAAUAAUAAAAAAAGGAAUCAAGUAAUGAGUAUUAGAUAGUGGAAAUUGACUAGUGAAGAAGGACAUAUUUAGAAUAAGGAAAAUGCUAGACCUACUACUAAUAGUGAAAAUAAGGGUGAAUCCACUCUUAUUAAAAAAGGGGCUCUUUGAGGAAACCCCCUCAUUACUUUUUUUAAUGGAGAGAGGUCCAAAAUAUUUCAGUCCAUUGGGAAAAGCCCACACCCAUUUUGAGCCAUUAUGUUUUCCAGCUUUGCCCCCACCCGCCACAUCAUCACAGCUGGGUCACGCGCACAACGUUUUUUUUUUCCCGUUAUUUCCCCUUCUUUUCUGUAUCAGUUUCCUUAAUCGACUAUGAAGCAUAGUCGAUUAAGGAAAUUUAAUUUUUUUAAUGUUUUUAAUUUUUUUAAUUUUCUUAAAUUUUUUUAUUUUUUUAUAUUUUCUAAUUUUGUUUUUAAAUUUUCUUUUUUUUGUUUUUUUUUAAUUUUUUUUCUCUAUCAGGUUUAUUAAUGCAUAGUCGAUUAAAAAUUUAACUAUUAAAAAUAACAAAUCACAAUUACAAAUAAAAUGCAAAAUCAACUAUAUUUAAAUAAAAUAUAUACAAACACUGUAAUUGAUUUAUACAUUGGAAUCAAUAAACAAAAAAUCAAAAAAAAAAAUUAACAACUGGAGUCGGUUAACCUUAAUCGACUACUGAACAUAGUCGAUUAAGCCUUAAUCGACUAUUGAACAUAGUCGAUUAAACCACACGUAGUCGAUUAAGGGCCCUGCUUGUGCGAAUUUCUUUUUAUGCGCCGUCUUCCGCCACAAUCUACCAAAACUAGAUCUGCUCUUCAUCGUCACCACGUCGUCGCCACACCACACCAUCACCACCCCACUUCCAUAUUCUAACGGUUUUUUAUACAAACAAUCAAAACAGAACCAUGUACUACGGUCAAAAUCACCAAAACAAAGCCACCUAUAUAAAAAAAUAUGCAGCAAAAUUAGAAUAAAAAUCCAUAACAAAUAAGUAAAAUGAAACAAAACUACAUUGAGUGCGUGUUUUGCAGCCCCCGUACAACUCUGAGAUUUCUAUCUGCAAUUAGAUUCCCGAUCUCCAAUUUUCAAAUCUCAAACCAGAAACAACAGAAACAAACAUUACUCCAGAAAAUCAAAACCAUAAAUAAAGAGUAAAUCUUAGAAAUAGACGAACGUACGCAUCUCCUCCGGUGUGGAGACUCCCCUCGAAGCUCCAAUCGCCAAACCUCCGCCAGCGCCGCCUCGGCGCCGCCUUCUACCAUCGCCCCAUAGUCGGACCGCCACCAAACACUCAGAUCAGAUCAUGUAGAGAAGGAAAAAAAAGAGAGAAAGAGAUGAGAGUGUGAAGAGAUGAAAAGAGAAAAAGAAAGAAAAAAAAACGGCGUAAAACAUAAUUAGGGUUUUGAAAGAGUAUAUUGGACAAUUAAGGGUAUAUUUGAAAUUGUGAAAUAAUAUGAUGGAAUAUUAGGUAAGGGGGUUUUAUCUAAUUAUUUUUUGGAGGAGGUAUUUCCUUAACUCAUUUUCCUAGAUAGGGGUUCUUGUUAAUAUCCUAUUAAAAAAAGCUAGAGGGCGGGGUUAUCACUAAUGGUCCAAAUUACAAAAUAUAAAUAAUACUACAAAUAAAAUAGGGUUAAUAGCAUUUUGCCACCUGUACUUUGCCCAUUUUUGCGCUUUGGCACCUUAACUAAAAAAAAUUGCACGGGCACACCCAAACUCGUUUUUUUUACGCACACAACCACCUAGGGGGAAUAUUACGGCGAAUCUUGAAAGAUUCCGGCACACGUGCGAUGCACAUGACUAAAUACAUGGGUUUUGUCUUUAAUCUGAAGAUAUCAUGUGUGGUAAAACUGGAAGUUUUAAGGACUCAAUUGAACUUAAUUUGAAACUUUCCUAAAUUCUAAAUUAAUUGAAAUAGAGUUGUGGUUCUUCUUCUUCCAUGGGAGUGGGUCUUCUUCUUCUAUGGGAGUUUCUCCCCAUUAAUAUUUUUCAAAGAAACCCUUUCCAAUGCUUCAAAUACUCCACUAUGCAGGCAAUUCUCUCUCUUUCUUUCUAAUUCUCAGUAUGUUUCUGUGGUUUACAGUAAAUGUUAAAAUUAAUUACGCUUUAGAUAUGUGUAUGUGUGAGAAAAUUCAACUAUGAUAACAAAUGUGAGAUGCAAUGCAUAUGAAGCAGUAGAAGAAGAGCAGCAACAGGUGGAGUCGCGUGGUGUGCAACCAGGUGGAAUUUGUGAGGAAGAUUUUUGCCCAAUCAUCCAUGGCCAGAGAUGCACGUACGCAAAUUCGUCCAGACUUUUGAACAUGCCUCGCUAAUUCUCUAAUCAAAAUCACUUCCAUCUCCCCCAUGAACACAACCGUACCUCCAAUCGUUCUCCAAUCCAAGAACUAACGAACAAGACUAAGAGAAACGAUUGGACUUAAUAUGUUAAUGAUGAUGAGGAGGAACAUCGAGGAAAAAUCCAAGUUGAGGACCAAGAUCGUCUCACAAGGUUUUUGAUUAAAUUGAUGAGAGAAGAUAACCCAUUAUUUUCUGUAAAGCUUGGAUUUUUUUCAAAAGUUGUUGUUAGUUCAAAGAACAAAUUAAUGGGGGCGAAACUUCCAUUGAAGAAGAAGAAUGAGAGUUUUAUAUCUUUCAAUUUCACCCCUUGGAAUUUUCAAUCUUUCAAUUUCAUCCUUUGGAACUUUCAAUUUUAACCCACGUGAUAUCUUCAGAUUAAAAGACCAAAAAAUUCUCACAUUAAGUAUGUGCAUCGCACGUGCGCCGGAAAAAUGAGAAGAUUCGCCAGAAUAUUCCCCUUAAGUGGUUAUGUGCGUAAAAAAAUGAGUUUGGGUGUGCCCGUGCAACUUUUUUUAGUUAAGGUGGCAAAGUGCAAAAACGGACAAAGUACAGGUUGCAAAAUGCUAUUAACCCAAUAAAAUAUAUGAAAAAAAUGAAAUGGUGAUACAAAUGGAUUGUUGUAAGAUUGGGCUUCAAAAGUUUUUAUUCCGUAAUGAGCCCAAAAUAUAAAGUCACGGCCCAAGGAAAGAACAGUUAAGUAUUUUCUAGAACAUGUUCGAAAUUCUAAUUGUACUGAAAUCCGUAUCGCUCUCGAUAUUUCAAGAAUUUGCAAGAUCAUUCUGAUCACCCAUAUAAAUACGCGUGCUUCUUCAACCAAAUCCCGUCAAAAAUUAGAAACCGAGUUAUCAAAUCAACAAGUUCAUCAUCCACCCAGUAUUAUUUUUUGCAGAGAUGUCUCUGAUUCCAAGCUUCUUUGGCAACGGCCGCCGGAGCAACGUCUUCGAUCCAUUUUCAUUGGAUGUUUGGGACCCAUUUGAGGGCUUCCCAUUCUCCUCAGCCGUCACCAAUCUCCCUUCCUCCGCCAGAGAAACAACCGCGGUGGCCAAUGCUAGGAUCGACUGGAAAGAGACGCCGGAGGCACACUUGUUCAAGGUGGAUGUUCCCGGGUUGAAGAAGGAAGAAGUGAAGGUUGAGGUUGAAGAUGGCAGUAUUCUUCAGAUCAGCGGAGAGAGAAGCAAAGAGAAAGAGGAGAAGAACGACAAGUGGCACCGUGUGGAGAGGAGCUCCGGCAAAUUCAUCCGCAGAUUCAGGCUGCCGGAGAAUGCUAAAUUGGAGGAGGUGAAGGCGGCGAUGGAGAAUGGGGUGCUGACUGUGACUGUGCCCAAAGAGGAGGUGAAGAAGCCUGAGGUCAAGGCGAUUGACAUCUCUGGUUAAUGUUUGAAUUUUAUAUUUCAGCAAGUUUUGGUUUGUCUCGUUGUAAUGAAUAAUGAAUAAUGUUGGCGUAUAUUUGGGAGCGUAUUUCUAUCCGGUUUUGUGCAAAGUGAAAUAUCACUAUGUAUAAUAGAAAUUCCGGAAUAAAGCCCAACUAGUAAAUAACAAAUUACAUUUUGCUUUUCACAUUAAUUCAUUUCUAUAUGUUAAUUUGUUAAACUCUUGUAUCAGUAUUCAGUACCAUUUUUAGAUUUAAAACAUUGGGAACUAGUUAUGGCAAUUGUAAAUAAUGGCUAACUCUAUGAGGUAAGAUUAAAUUAUGAAAAAAAUCUAUCUUCUUUGGAUAACUACAACCACCUUCCUUCACUACGUAUUGUUUUACAAAAAAAAAUUUUGUUAAUAGUUAAACUUAUAAGACAAUAUAUAGUUCAUGGGAUGUUGUAAUUAACUCUGCCUUGUAAUUUGAUUUUGCUUUAGGAGUGACGGUUUGCCCCUUUUUAUUAGUGAAUAAACACUAACUGUCUCGACUCUCAUGUAAUAACCAUCAAGUUCACACAAACAUCAAUCUUCUCAUCAAGACACAAAACUCUCUCCCGCAUUUCUUCUCACCUUCUCCUCCCACAAUCACUCUCAUAAUAACCUCUUCAAUCUCACCUCUCUCCAUCCAACAUUUCUCCAUUUUGAUCCCUAUUUUCCAAACACCAUACACAUACCUCGAAUUCACCAUUUGUUCGCCGAAAAAAGGCAAACAAAUCAUCGGUACUCCUUUGCAAAUACUCCCUAGCGUCGAAUUCCAUCCACUUUGCGUCCAAAAUCCACCAACUGCAAAAUGAGACAGAACCUCAAAAUAGAACUCCUCCCCCUAAUCGAAUCCGAAACUGGAGGUCCGUCCGUUGCGUUCCGGGCGUUCUAGCGAACCAUGGUCCCAUAAUUCAUGUUUAAUUUUGUCAUUGUUAAGUAGAAAUAUCAGAAAUAUUUAUUUACAGCAUGCUUAUAAUUAAAUUUAAUUAUUAUUUUUUAACAUGUGGAUAAAAUAUAGGGCAAAUUCCAUUUUCCACACCUUUUGUACCACUUUAUCCCAUUUUACGUACGAUCGUAUCGAUUUAUCCCAAUGUACUUGUAAAAUUGUCCCAAUGUAGUCCGCGGCGUUAGUUUAUAGAUUUCUGACCUUGACAAUGUUUGAUCAAUUUGACCAUGGCUUCUCCCCUUUCCAUUGUGUUGUCCCUUUGGUUUAAGAAUUGUCGCUCGACCAACUGUUUCAGCUCGCUCAGUUAAACCAGACUUUGUUAAACAUCAUUCACGGUGUCGUCGGUCGGGCUGAGAGAUUAUGGGAGGAGCUGGCAGCACCUGAAGGAUAAAGAGAUAAAUAUGUGCGAAAUGAAAAGUCUCUAACUAGAGUUCCUUGCAAAUUGAUGCGAUUGAGAUCUACAGCUACCACAACUGUACGUCUGGGAUGUUUAAUGAAAUCUCGAUAAAUCGAACAAAAGACCCAUGAUUUGGUGACUCCUAUUGGGUCGUCUGUAGUGGCUGAUUCCUUGCCUCGAGAAUAUUGUAUGCUCUGUUCGGGAUGGUUGUCAAAUUUUCCCUACUUCAUAAGAUAAAAAAAUGCAAGUAAAUCUAGAUUGAUUUGAACGUACUGUUUAGUUCAUAUGGAAUUAUUAUUUCCAACUCAAACCACACAAUACUUUUGCAUCUUAAAAUGGUUCAAUGAUUUUCGUAUAUAUAUACUCUAAUUUUGUGCUUCUAUACAUUUUUUUUCUCUUGAUAAACUAUCAUAUUUGUCUACAAAAUGAAAACAAACAAGAAGAACUAAUUUUACAAAAUUGUGAUCCUCCUACACAUGUAUAUCGAUCAUGUUCUGCUCAAACGGGAGGUUAAAUCAAUGAAUAGAUCUUCACUGCAAGGAAUAGUGAUCCCACCCAUCGGAUGAUGGAACCCGAAUUCUUCUUCGGCCUGAAAUAGCAAUUCUUGAAACAAAUGAUGGUUUAAGUACGACAAUGGAAUAACAAAUCGCUUCUUCUCGCCCUCUCCAACAUAAACAGCCAAAUGCCCUUUUGGAACUUCAGCUAAUCUUCUUUCGUUGGAUAAUGACCGUCUCAAAAUUUGACGGAUUGCCAUCUUAGUUUGUGUGAAGUGAAUUUCGCUUUGGUCAACUAAAAACGAAGAGGUAUUUGAAAUAAGUGAAAGCUGAGAAAGAUAAGAGUAUUUUGAUCAGGAGUUGUCGUUUGUAAUUAAGAAACGGUGUUGUAUAUAUAUAUAUAGGCUAGAAAGAAAUGAUGAAUUCUUCAGAUAUCUACAUAACACGGUCAACAUAAAUGUGGUUGCUCUAUGAAACUCGAAAAAACAUACGCAUAUGAAAGCACAUGGAUUUGUCUUUAAAAAAAUGAAAUGAAGUCAAGGCAACAAGAAUUUGUGUGAUAGAAAAUGUUGUAUCCUACCAACUCUGGCAACACGGCCCCUUAAACCAUCAUCUCAACAUCUCUAUUUAUUUCGAUAUAUCUACUAAUUAGGCCAUCUUAUCCUAAAUGCCACAUUCAAUUCAAUGUGACGUUUUCUUGCUGGUGGUGUUAGGGAUGAUAUAUAAUUCAUUAUGUUGCUCUAAUUAAAGGACAAAACCAUGUGAUUUUUCAUGUGCUUUUGUUUCUCUAACUUCUCCAGCCACCACAUAUCCUUUGGUCUUUUCAUCACCAUUCAAUCCAGCUAAUUUGGAUAUACCAUUUACAUCUUCAUCAAUAUAUAUAUAUAUAUAUAUAUAUAUAUAUAUAUAUAUAUAUAUAUAUAUAUAUAUAUAUAUAUAUAUAUAUACUUAUACGACACAUAUCUAAACUCACAACCAGCCUUCAACUUCUCAUAUUUCACUUGCUUCAUAAAACUCUCCUAUAAUUCCUUCAUAUUCUUUCAUCUUCGGCUUCAUAAAGAUUUAUUUUAACCAAAAUCAAUGGCUAUUCACAAAAUUCUUAGACGGUCUUUAUCGGCUGAAAAGAGAACAACUGAAGUUCGAAAGGGACAUUUGGCAGUUUACAUCGGAGAAAGUGAAAAGAAGCGAUUUGUAAUUCCAUUAUCGUAUUUGAAUCAUCCUUCAUUUCAAGAAUUACUAUGUCAAGCUCAAGAAGAAUUCGGAUUCCACCAUCCAAUGGGCGGCCUUACUAUUCCUUGCAGUGAGAAUUUAUUCGUUGAUCUAACAUCUCGCUUGAGCAUAGCGUAAUAUAUAUACUAGGUUUUAGAGCAUAUAAUUUUUGUUAGCUAGAUUCUUUACAUAUUUUGUAAACACAGAAGAUACUUGUCGGAUACAAAAUGUAUUCCCGCACAAAUUAAUCGUAAUACAUAUGGAAGAUUUUAAUGUAUACUAGUUUUGAGCCACUUUGAUACAUGAAUAUAUUGCCUAUUAUUUUUAACCACAACCAAGAAAAAAAAAUAACUUGUCAUAUGCUACUAAACUGUACUUAUCAGAAUACAAAAAAGGCAACUCAUUAGGAAUUUCAUUCAAUCACCAACAUUUGAAUUUGUAGAAGAGUAUUUAAGUGCCAAUACUUCUAUUUUGGCUCGGAAAACGAAUCCCAUAGGAAUUAAUAGUUUAUAGCCAGAGAAUAAAUGAAAUGGCAGUAAUAUGUUCGAGUUCACUCAGCGAGUAAAGAGAGCAUAGUGAAUUAAUUGUUCACCUUUUGCUAAAGAAUAUCGUGUUGUCGUUUUAAUUCAAGCAGCAUACGUCUCUUUUUGGAGGGCCAAUUUCUUUUGGGAAUUUUUCGUAAUAAAUCCAGUUCAAUUUUGAAGUAUAAUUAUAGAGAAAUUCGUGUUAUAAGUAUGUUUUGGAGUCGACCUCACUCAUGUACGAAUCAAGGUUCACAGAAUUUAGAAUUGAGUUUUGGGAGGUAGCUGCCAACCCUCGAACCCGAGAACGAAUUGGAGCUGGUUUAGAUCUAUUUUGUGCUGCCGACUUCCAAACGACGCCGUUUCGGAGUUCGAGUGCUGGUCGGAGGUGAGCCCGACGAUGCCAUUUCGGGGUAGAAAUCGAGAUUGAUGUUUUCUGAUGAGGAAGACGUCGGAGAUGGUGUGCAGCUGGUUGAGUGAAUUUUUUUGUUUAUUUUGGAGAAGAUGGUUUUUUUUAAAAGGUUAAGGAUUGAAUUGAAUUUUUUUCAAAACUUGAUUUUGGGGCAUAUUGAAUUUCGGGGUGAAUCUGUAAUUUUUGAAAUUUAUAAUUAAAGUGAAUUUUGGUCCUUUCGGGUCAAAAAUAAACUUACAGUCGCACAAUCGGCGUGUGGAGCACGCGAUAAGCUGGCAGGGCCCUUGUUGCCUCUGACUAAUUUUCAUAGGGAGUUAUUGCUAAUGUUUUUAACAUGUGGGUUUUUUCAGCAAUUUUAGAUUAUAUAGUGGUGGUUUUUGCAAAAAACCCAAAAAUAUAAAGUGAAGGCCCAAAGAAAGAACAAGUAUGUUCUAGAAGAUGUUCGAAUUGUACCGGGAAUCCGUUUCGCUCUUGAAAUUUCAGGAAUUUGCAAGAAUCGUCUGAUCACCCAUAUAAAUACGCGUUCUCCUUCAACCAAAUCCCAUCGAAAAUUAGAAACUAUCAAAUUCAUCAUCAAAAACCAAAUCAACAAGUUCAUCACCAUCAAGUAUUAUUUUUUGCAGAGAUGUCUUUGAUUCCAAGCUUCUUUGGCAAUGGCCGCCGAAGCAACGUGUUUGAUCCAUUUUCAUUGGAUGUUUGGGAUCCAUUUCAGGGAUUCCCAUUCUCCUCCGCCGUGGGUAAUCUACCCUCCUACGCCGGAGAAACUGCCGCUGUGGCAAACGCUAGGAUCGACUGGAAAGAGACGCCGGAGGCACACUUGUUUAAAGUGGAUGUACCUGGACUGAAGAAAGAGGAAGUGAAGGUUGAGGUUGAGGAUGGUAGUAUUCUUCAGAUAAGCGGAGAGAGAAGCAAAGAGCAAGAGGAGAAGAACGACAAGUGGCACCGUGUCGAGAGGAGCUCCGGCAAGUUCAUCCGCAGAUUCAGGCUGCCGGAGAAUGCUAAAUUGGAACAGGUGAAGGCGGCGAUGGAGAAUGGGGUGCUGACUGUGACUGUGCCCAAGGAGGAGGUGAAGAAACCUGAGGUCAAGGCGAUUGACAUUUCUGGCUAAUGUUUGAAUUUUGUAUUUCAGUAUGUUUUGGUUUGUCCGGUUGUCGUAUAUUUUGGAGUGUAUUUCUUUUUGGUUUUGUGGCAAGUGAAGUAUCACUAUAUAGUAUGUACAAUAGAAAUUCCAGAAUAAAGCCGAACUGGUAAAUAAGAAAUUACAUGUUGCUUUUCAGUACUUUACUUUUAAUCAUUUCUAUAUGUUAAACUCUUGUAUCAGUAUUUCCUUUAGAUCUAAAACGUUGACAAAUUAUGGCCUUCUCUCUCAAGUUAAAUUAAAUUAUGAAAUGAUAAUUACAACCACCUCUCUCAGUUAACUAUUAUCUCUCUCAGUUACCUAUUAUCUUACGAAAACUUCCUCCUUUAAUAAGUAAAUUUGACACCGUAAAUAUGGACAAUAUAUAGUUGAUGAGAGUGAUUGUAAUUACCCAAAAAUGAGAAAUUUUCAUAAUUUAAUCUUAUCGAGAAAAUUACAGUUUAUGUCCCUAAACUUUACCACUAAAACGAUGUAUGUCCUUAAACAUUUCAAUCCACAAAAUAUGUCCUCAAACUUGCCACUUUUGAUCACUUUAUGUUCUGCCGUUAACGUCGGCAGCUAACUUCGACGGAAAUUGCACGCGUGGCUCACGUGACGUCUAUGUGGCCGUUAAAUGUGACGUGGAAUAAUAUAUUGAAUAUUAAAUGUUGACGUGGCACAAGAAUAUACUAAUUUCCUCCAACUCACUCUCCCAAAUCACGUUCAUUCCCAUUCCCAAAUUUUCAAUCCAAUCUGCAUUCUUGCUCGAACCCAUACUAAAAUCGAAGUCAUAAACCCAUAAAAAAUCCAAACAUUCUCACAUUUGAAGAGUUUUUCCCUUCUCAGAGAACAGCAGAUUCACGUGCAAACACAUGUCUGCAAUCGAGAGGAAGAAGGUAAUUCUUCUCCCAACUCCGUCUCUAGAACAUUGGGGUCGUGUGAUUCUUCGCCUGCUGAUGCUUGUGCCCCUUGUGGUCUCGAUGAAGCGAGCACAAGGAUGGUGAAGAUGGCACAAAUUCUACCCAACUCCGCAGUUUCAGAACCUGCCCAGAAGGUGUUCGACAAAAUGUCUGAACCAAUUCCGGAAAAAAAAAACAUGCAGCACCUGUCAAAGCUGCAUAUAAUUCUUUUUUGGCCAAGAAUAAAGUGGCCAAGAACGGAUUCCAGCUCCCCGACUUCCCCAACGAAGUGGAAGAAGACAUGAUAUUUCAGCCCGAAGAUGAAAAUGAAAUCGAGGAAACAUUCGGCAUUUGUUUAUUGGGCUAUUUUGCAGGUAAAACACCACGAAAAAUGGCCAUGGAUUCACAGACGAUUCUGCUAUUUUCGAAUUUCACCUUAAUAGAAGGAUUCGAAAUGGGGUUUUAGGGAUUGGAUUUACGGGUUCAUUGGGGAUAUGGAGAAUUAGGGAUUUUAAAAUAGAAAUAGGGGAGGAGAAUGACGUGUCGCUCCACAUCACGUUUCGUCAACCAAGUAGGCACUGGGUGUUGUACAACUCGACAUUUAACGGCCACAUAGACGUCAUGUGAGCCACGCGUGCAAUUUCCGUCGAAGUUAGCUGCCGACGUUAACGGCAUAACAUAAAGUGAUCAAAAGUGGCAAGUUUGAGGACGUAUUUCGUGGAUUGAAAUGUUUGAGGACAUAAAUCGUUUUAGUGGUAAAUUUUAGGGACAUAAACUGUAAUUUUCCCUAAUCUUAUCUUAUGGCUGAGCGUAAUUUGGCCUUAUUUUAUGAGUGAAUAUGCACAAAAUUGUUGUAUGUAACAACCAAUAAAACACAAGAUUUAACAAAUGAUGAAAUGAGAUUAACCAAACCAUCAAAUGCUACAUAAGAAGAACCACCCGAUUUCACACAAACAUCAAUCUUCUCCUCAAGACACAAAACUCUCUGCCUCAUUUCUCCACUUUCUCUUCCCAAACAAUCACUAUCUAAAUAGCCUCUUCAAUCUCACCUCUCUUCAUCCAACAUUUCUCCAAUUUAAUCCCGGUUUUCCAAACACCAUACACAUACCUCGAAUCCACCAUUCGAUCGCCGAAAAAAGGCGACCAAUUUAUUGGUACUUCUUCGCAAAUACUCUUCAGCACGGGAGGACUGUUCCCAUUGCGUUUCCGCGCAAACCAUGGUCCCAAUAAUUCAUGUUUCAUUUUAUCAUAUUUAAGUAGAAAAACUCAGAAAUAUUUAUUUAAAGCGUGCUUAUAAUUAAAUUAAAUUAUUAUUUCUUAACAUGUGGAUAAAAUAUAGGGCAGAUUCUAUUUUCCACCCCAGUUGUACUUACGAUUGCAUCGAUUUACCCCAUGUACUUGUAAAAUUGUCCCAAUAUAGUUCUCGUCGUUAGUUUUCAGAUUUCUGACCUUGACACUGUUUGAUCAAGGCUGGAAAAUUACAGAAAUGACCAUGGCUUCUCCCCUUUCCAUUGUGUUGUCCCCUUUGGUUUAAUAAUUGUCGCUCGACCAACUGUCUCGCUCCAUCAAACCAGACUUUGUUAAACAUCAUCCACGAUGGCCAAACCUUUAUGGCGUCGUCGGGCCGAGAGAUUAUGGGAGGACCUGGCAGCAAAUGAUUAUGGGAAUGAUAAAGAGAUAAAUAUGUGAGAAAUGAGAGGUCUCUAGCUAGAGUUCCUUGGAAAUUGAUGCGAUUGAGAUCUACGGCUACCACAACUGUACGUAUGGUAUUUUCCAUGAAAUCUUGAUAAAUCGAACAAAAGAUGACUUUGUAAGAACAAACACUUUUGGGCCAACCCAUGAUUUGGUGACUCCGAUGGGGUCAUCUGUAGUGGCUGAUUCCAUGCCCGGAGAAUAUUGUAUGCUCUAUUAGGGGUGGUUGUCAAAUUUUCCCAUAUGAUAAAAAAAUGCAACUAAAUAUAUCAAGAUUGAUUUGAACGUACUGUUCAGUUCAUAUGGAAUUAGUAUUUCCAACUCAAAACCCGCAAUACUUUUGCAUCUUAAGAUUUUUGUAUAUACUCUAAUUCAGUGCUUCUAUACAUUUCUUGAUAAACUAUUAUGUCUGCCUAGUAAAGGAGAACAAACAAGAAGAACUAAUUUUACAAAAUUGUGAUCCUCCUAAAUAUGUAUAUCAAUCAUGCUCUGAUCAAACGAGAGGUUAAAUCAAUAAAUAGAUCUUCACUGCAAGGAAUUGUGAUCCCACCCAUCGGAUGAUGGAAUCCAAAUUCUUCUUCGGCCUGGAAUAGCAAUUCUUGAAACAAAUGAUGGUUUAAGUAUGAUAAUGGAAUAACAAAUCGCUUUUUCUCGCCCUCCCCAACAUAAACAGCCAAAUGCCCUUUUGGAACUUCAACUGAUCUUCUUUCGUUGGAUAAUGACCGUCUCAAAAUUUGACGGAUUGCCAUCUUAGUUUGUGUGAAGUGAAUCUUGCUUAGCUCAAGUAAAAACGAAGAGGUAUUUGAAAUAAGUGAAAGCUGAGAAGGAUAAGAGUAUUUUGAUCAGGAGUUGUUGUUUGUAAUCAAGAAACGGUGUUGUAUAUAUAGGCUAGAAAGAAAUGAUGAAUUCUUCAGAUAUCGACAUAACAUGGUCAACAUAAAUUAAUGUGGUUGCUCUAUGAAACUCGAAAAAACACACGCAUAUGAAAGCACAUGGAUUUGUCUUUAAAAAAAUGAAAUGAAGUCAAGGCAACAAAAAUUUGUGUGAUAGAAAAUGUUGUAUCCUACCAACUAUGGCAACACGGCCCCUUAAACCAUCAUCUCUAUUUAUUUCCAUAUAUCUACUAAUUAGGCCAUGUUAUCCUAAAUGCCAAGUUUUGUUUUGCAAUUGAAUUUAUGCCACAUUCUAUUCAGCGGGUCAAUAUGACGUUUUCUUGCUGGUGGUGUUAGGAAUGAUAUAAGGGUCCCUCACAAUUGACAAAUAAUUCAUUCUUCAUGUUCUUUUGUUUCUCUAACUUGUCCAGUAGCCACCACAUAUCCUUUGGCCUUUUCAUCACCACUCAAUCCAACUAAUUUGGAUAUAGUAUUUACAACUUCAUCUAUAUAUAUGUUUAUACGUCACAUAUCUAAACUCACAAACCUGCAGCCUUCAACUUCUCAUAUUUCACUUCAUAAAAUUCUCAUACAUUCCUUAAUUUUAUUUAAGAUUUAGUUUCACAAAGAACCGAUGGCUAUUCACAAAAUUCUAAGGCGGUCUUUAUCGGCUGAAAAAAGAUCAGCUGAAGUUCCAAAGGGUCAUUUGGCUGUUUACAUAGGAGAAAGUGAAAAGAAGCGAUUUGUAAUUCCAUUGUCGUAUUUGAAUCAUCCUUCAUUUCAAGAAUUACUAUGCCAAGCUGAAGAAGAAUUCGGAUUCCACCAUCCAAUGGGUGGCCUUACUAUUCCUUGCAGUGAAGAGUUAUUCGUUGAGCUAACAUAUCGCUUGAGCAGAGAGUAAUAUAUAUACUAAUUUUUAGAGGAUAUAAAUUGUAUUAGCUAGAUUCUAUUACAUAUUUUGUGAACACAGAAGAUACUUUGUCGGAAACAAAAUGUAUUCACGAACAAAUGAAUCGUAAUACUUUAAUACACGGAUGCCUUAUCUUCUUACAAAUUGUUAUCAAUAUUUCUAGUUCUGCCAUCAUGAAUACAUGGUUGUCAAGAAAAAAAAACAUGUCGUAUGCUACUAAAUUGGGAAUUUCAUGCAACCCCAAAAGAAUCCCAUAGGAAAACAACCAAAUAAUAGGUUAUAGUCGAGUUCACUCAAAGAGCAGUGAGAACAUAGUGAACUAUUUGUUCGCCUUUUGCUAAAGAAUACUAUGUUUUCGCUGUAAUUCGAGCAUCAUAAGUAUGUUUGAAACCAAAUUCAGCCAUUCUGGUUAUUAAUAACGUUUACUGACCCAUUAAUUGUACAUUAUUAGUAAACCUAGUGAAAUGGGAAUCUAAUAGAUUUACUCAUUACUAAAGAGGCUACUAGAACUGGAAAAAAUAAAGAAAAUAAUGAAUCUUCGGCCUAAGAGAUUGAAUCUUCAAUAAAGGUGAAAGCCAACGAAAAUAUUAAAUUGAAUUUGUCUUCGUAAAACAACAUUGGUAGGUCGACGAGAAAACACAAGAGAGAGAGAGAGAGAGAGAGAGAGAGAGAGAGAGAGAGAGAGAGAGAGAGUUCAUAAAGUCUGUUCCUAAUGGUAUUGAUCCUGCAAUCAUGAUGCGAGAAAAAAAUUAACUAGUCAAUGUUCCUUGGAGUGCAUUUUGGAUGGGAAAAUUAAUUGAGGAGGUAUUGCAAAUCCGUAACAGCAACCUCAUUGUACUUGUUUGGACAAAGAGAUUCAUUGUGGAUUUCAAAUCCACAGUUCUCAUUUUUAGUUUUUCUUUUUUUAGCAAUUGUGGUGAAUUUCAAACCCCUUCCUAAAUUAUAAUUGUUUCAAAUCCUCCCCAAUUGAAUUGAUUAAAAACCAUUCAUUUCAAAUAACUCAAUCUAAACACAACCUUAAUGAAAUUUGGUCUACCCUUAUAAGCACGAGUAUAGUUCAAAGAUGCUUGUCUAUUUCAAUUCAUUCAUCAUUCGACAACAAACUAAAAAGAGAACGGGGUUCAUAAAAUCCCAUUCAUAAUUAACUUCUCUUAAGUUGUUAAAAACAAGGAAAAUAGUACAAAGAACCAUAGUGCGUCAAAAACUAGUUAUGUUGGAUUCAUAAAUAUUGUUUACCGUUGUUGUGUUGAGUAUUAGAACAUUGUUAACGAUGCUUCCGCUUCCUCCACCCUCGAGUAACACUUCUUUGGUUGGUCAACAACAAAAGAAAAAUGAGAGAAAAUUCAUAAACUUUGUUGAUCAUGAAACCUAUGAUUUCACAAACAUAGUGCAAGAAAAAAGUUUACAUUGUUAGAAAACUGGUUUAACCACUAUGUCGCUGACGAAUAAGAAUAUUGUUCGAGAUACUUCUCUAGUGCAUCUACAUAUGUGUUCCAUCUUCUGUCUUUGGGGAGGCAACCGACUCAAUAGUAUCCCUUCCCAAGGUGAAAAUGAGGUUCCGAGGGAAAAUCUCAAAGAAAAGAAAGACCUCUUAUGCGGUAACUGUCAACAAAAAAUAAAUAAUAAUAAAUCAAUAAAUAAAGAGAGAGAGAGAGAGAGAGAGAGAGAGAGAGAGAGAGAGAGAGAGAGAGAGAGAGAGAGAGGCAAAAUGAACUACGCUCAUAAUUAACUUUAAUAAUUAUUAAAAUAAGAAAAUUAGUGAUAGAAACAAUGAAUGUGCCAAAGGCUUCAAAUUUGUGGCCGUAAAGGUUUAUAAAUAACAAUACUUCGUUCUACAUUUAAAGAUUAAAGACCUAUUCGUUUGGCAGUUUGCUUACAAACUCUCUACCUCUACCAACUUUAAAAGUAUGAAUCUUUUUUGUUUCUUAACAUUUUUUGUGCUUUCUUUUAUGCCGCUUAUAACAAAGUUAUACCAUCAACUAGUUGGUGUACUCAAUUCUGUGAUAAAAAAGAAUGAAAAUAAUAAAUUAACAUAGCUUAAUAAUGUAGUUUAAAUAUCAAAUGUCUUUUCAUGUGCUAUAUUUAUAUGAAGGUGAGAGUUUAUUUUCUUCUUAUUAUAAUUUUUCUACAUAUAGAUAUUUUCGAUGUAAUUUAAUUUUGUAUAACACUACAUUUGGACAACUUUCAUUGAUAUAUUAUAAGCAUAUAUGUAAAAAAUUAUUUUAAAAUAAAUCAUGUUAUUUUAGGGACAAUAAAAAAUAGGGUCUUUCUAGGGUGAGAUCCUAUGUUCUAAACUUUUAUGAGAUACCCCCUUUAUAUUGCGCCACGUGUCCCUGCCAAAAAAUCCAUUUUUUCCUCAUUUACGUAUUGUCGUAAAUACCCUUCGUAUAAUUAAUAUUUUCAAAAAAUCGGCCAUUAUAUAAUAUUAAUGUAAUGUCAAUUUUACCCUCUAUAUUUUUAAUGCAAUUUUAAAUAUAUAUUUAUUGUUGAAUUAAAAUUUAUAAUGUCAAUUAUAUCAUUAUUCGUAAAAAUCAUUAAACCACCCAUCGAAAAUUGCAUCAACCUGAAUUCGAACUCGUGACCAUCUGAAAACACACAAGAAUACUUACCAUUAAGACACAACACAUAAUUGACAAUAAACUAACAAUACGGAUAUAUAUCACAAAGCUACAAUUUAUAAUGGUUAUAAAACUUAUAUAAAUAAUGUUAAAUAAAUUAUUAAUUCUCAUAUAAUUAUUAUUAUUAUAUAUUAAAAAUAUCCCAUACUAACAAAUCUUUAUAUAAUAUAAUUUAAAAAUCUAAGGAAAUGUUGUUCAACUCGUGUAAUUUAAAAAUGAGUUUCGAAAGAAUUUGAAGUUUGAAUUGAAUCGUAAAUUGGAAGAUUUUAUUAAAUCGUAAUAUUUGAAUCAAUUAAACUCAUGUGUUUUCAAUUCAAAGACAAUAUUCAAAGAUUUGAUCGAUUAAGCUCAACUCAUUUCAAUUCGUAUACAAUAUUCAAAUAUUUGAAUCGGUUAAACUCAAUAAUUUACAAUAGCGUAUUAAUCAAUCUGUGUAUAGUUAAAGUUUAGUAACCUUUUUUUUAUUGAAUUUUAUCAUAAAAAAUAAUAAAAUUUAAUUCGUAAAAAUCGUAAGAUUUAAUCGGUUCAUGGUUAGAUUAAAUCUUACGAUUUACGAUAUGAUUUUUACGAUUUUACGAAUUAAAUUAUUAUUUUGUUGUUAAAAUUGAAUUAAAAGGAUAGUAGACUUUAAUUAUAAAUAGUUAACUCGAUUAAUACGUUCUUGUCAGUGGUUGAAUUUAAUCGAUUCAAAUUUUUGAAUAAUAUUUACAAAUUAAAAGGAUUUGCGCUUAAUUGAUUCAAAUCAUACGCUUUAAUUAAUCUUAUGAUUUGAUUCUUGCGUAAUUUAGGAAUUAUUUUUUUAUGAUAAAAUUGAAUUAAAAAUGUAUUACACUUUAAUUAAUAAUAGUUAAUUUGAUUAAGACGUUCUUGUCAAUAGUUGAGCGCGCUAAUGAAUCGAUUCAAAUAUUUGAAUAAUUUUUACGAAUUGAAAGCACUUGAGCUUAAUUGGUUCAAAUAUUACGCUUUGAUAAAAUAUUAUGAUUUACGAUUAGGUUCUUACAUGUGUUAGGAAUUAAAUUUACUAUUUUUUAUGACAAAAUUGAAUUAAAAAGAUAUUAGACAUUACUUAUAAAUAGUUAAAUCAAUUAUGUAACAUGUUAUGUCAAUAGUUAAGCAACCGAUUAAAAUAUUUGAAUAAUGUUUACUAAUUGAAAGGAUUUGUACUUCAUCGAUACAAAUCUUACUAGUUGAUUAAAUUAAAUAUUAAAAGAAAUUCACAAUAUAGUAUUUGUAGUAUAUAAUUUUAUUUUAAAGUAAGAAAACUACUAAUUGGAAUGAGUUAUAAUUUUUUCUUCUUCUAAACAAACAUAUUAUUUUAUUUUUUAUUUGGAUUUGUCACACUAUCGAUUAAAUAACAUAAGUGAGUUUGAAUUAAGUUAUGCAUUUUUUUAUAUUUAAUUGAGCAUUCUUUACAUUAAAUGGUGGAGUUUAUUAAUACUUCUAAUAUUAUAUAAUUAAUGAUAGAUGUUUGGCGUAUUGAACUGCAAUUCUUUAUAUUUUUAAAACUUUAUUUUAUUAAAUUUGUUAAUAAUUUAUUUAAUAUCAUUAUUAAUUUAAUAAUAAUGAAUGUUGCAAUUAAUAUUUGAAUUCACAGUAUGUAUACAAUUAUUGUUAAAUAUAUCAUAAUAAGUUAAUGUGCUUGGAUGGUUAGGAGUGAUAAAUGUAUUAAGAGGUCACAAGUUCUAUUCCUAAUGAAUGCAUUUUUUUCGAUUAUUUAUCAAAUAAAUCUCGGUCACAAUGAAUUUAAAUUAAUUAUUUAAUUAAAAUAUAGUAGGGGGUAAAUUAGACAAUUCAAUGUUAAUCAAUUUUAUAUUAAUUUAAUAAAAAAAAUAAUCGAAGGAUAAUUUGGUAAAAUACUUCAUUUUUUAGAACAUAAGCCAUGUUAUUUUCCUAGGGUCCAGAUUUAAUCUUAGAAAAUUAAUGGUGAUUAAUGCAUAUCUCAUAAAAGUUUAGAACAUGGGGUAUCUCACCCUAGACAAACCCUAAAAAAUAAACCCAUCAUGAGCUACUUAUCCAUAAAGGGGCCAAGACAAAAAAAUAUUUUACAAAAAAAAUCUAGACAAUGUCCAAAGGUGCGUAAAAGACUAAAAUACCCCCUCACAUUUUAAUAUGCUCCAAUUUUAUCAUUUAAUUCAAUUUAACCUCAAAUUUCAUCUAUUAUUCAAUUUUUUCUCCUAACCCAAUUUUGACUACAAUUUCGUCAGUCGUCGCCGUUGAGCGGGGUUGUUUUUUAUUUUUUUUUACCUGUCUGCUUUUUCCGCUGGUUUUCAGCGUUGAGUUUUUUGAUUUUUUUUCCUUUCUGCCGCGUCUGACAAGCGUGGCCUUGACUUUUUUUUUCUUUUCAUUUUUUGGUCUGUUUAAACAGUGAUACUGCUGUGGUUGACAGCCAUAUUAACUAUAUUACUAUUUAACACAAUAAUAUUAACUGUAUUACAGUUCAACACAAUAAUAUUAACACAACAAAAAUCACUAUAAUUGUGUAAUAGAGUAAUAUUAAUAUGUUGACCGUUCAACAAAUGCAAACAUAAUACAAAGUCAAAAGAAUUAAUAUUCAUGUGGUUGACAGUAAUAUUACUGUCAACCACAAUAAUAUUACUGUAACGAAAGUAAUAUUAUUGUCAACUAAAAGUAAUACUAUUGUGUUUGUAAAAAGCGGUAAUCGGAUCCGAGUCGGUCAGGCACCGAUUCACGAUUAAUCGGUGCGGCGGUGAUUAAUCGGUGAUAAAUCGGAAAUAAAAUUUAAUAUAAUAUAUCUCUAGAUAUUAUUUAUAAAUACUCGAAACAUAUAUAAAAAGAUAUUUACACAUAGUUAUAUCUCCAUCAUGUACAUAUUCUUAAUAACAUAAUAAAAGUUUAAUAAUUAUAAGAUCAUAAUACAAUAUCCUUAUAAAAUAUAAAUAAAAAAGCAAUUUUUUUGAAUUUACAUUUAUUCUUGAACAUUUCUGGCAUACAUCAUUAGUUCUUUAACAACAAUAAUUAGCAUAAACAAAAUAAGGCAUAAACUCAUAUUUUCUUUUAUUAAAAUCCCAACUUUUAUUUUGAAUUAUAAAAAACAAAAAAAAAAAAAAAAAAAAAACCGAUUUUUUACCGAUUUUUGGCCGAUUUUUGCAACCGAGUUUGAUCCGCCUUAAAGGUUUGACCGCCUCAGACCGCCUCAGACCGCCUCAGACCGCCUAAAACCGCCUCACAGACAAAAAACCGAUUUUUCAAACCUUUACACUAAAAUCGUAAAGGUUUUGGACCACCUCCGCCUCGGAGACCGAUUAAUCGGCCGCCUCGGCCGAUUUUUAGAAUACUGUUUACAGUAAUAUUACAAUCAAACAAAAUAAAAGGCCAAAAAAAUUAAUAUUGAUGUGGUUGACAGUAAUAUUAUUGUAUUUACAACAAUUUUACCGGCAACGACAGUAAUAUUAUUACGUUGACUGGUCAACAAAUCAAACAAGAUACAAAAGCCAAAAGAACAAUAAUAUUGAUGUGGUUGACAGUAAUAUUAUUGUGUUUACAGUAAUUGUCCUGUCAACGGCAAUAUAAUUACUAUCAGCGACAAUUCAAUCAUCAUCAAUGAAAGUAUAAUUACAGUCAACGUUCAGUUGCGGGCGUUACAAGCAAAAACUUCGGCAAAGCCUAUGAAAACACCUCAAUCCAACAACAAAUUUUAACAACCAACUACAAGUUACAAUUUAUAGUAAUCCCCUACAAUUUCUCGAAAACAACUACAAAAUCAUCAAAACCAACACAAAAUCAUCGAGACCAACUACGAAAUCAUCGAAACCAACUACAAUAUAUAGAAAUCAACUAAAAUAUUAUCGAAACCUACUAUGAAAAAUAUCAAAAUCAACUAUGAAUCACCGAAACCAACAAAAAAAAAAAAAAAACAACUCUAAUUUGCAAGGCGUCGGAAGACCGCCCAUUUUCCACUGUCGGAAACAACUAAAUGAAAUAUCUGUAAAAUAACCAAAAUCCCACGGCGUUUCAAGUACAAUGAUGAGCCGCCGCAGAUGCUCCUCCACCGUCACUCCCCAAUUCGACAACCUCCUCCUGCUCCAAUUACUAGUGCCAUGCCUCGAACUCCGCCUCUGAAAUCUCCUCGCCGUGCGGCCGCUCUCUGGUUGUUAUGGAGGGCGAUGAAAUUGACGUGGGUGCGGCAGCUACUGUUGAGGUUGGAGAGCGGAUUGGCUGCGGCGACGAAAUUUGCGGGGGCGUUUUGACCGAGGGAGAAUGCUAGCUAUGGAGAGAAUGGACUUAGGGGAGGAUUAAUAGGGAAAGAUUGCUUUGGAUCUUGUUAUUGUUGGUUGAAGAUGAGGAGUAGUUCGUCUGGGUGUCGAAAAAGCAGCGGCUGGUGUCGUCGGAAAUUACAAAUUUUGGCGGAAGACAACCUCUGUCUCUCCAUGUUCCUCAACGAAUCCUCCAACUCUGUGUGGGUAAGAACUCGCGACCAGCGGCGGAUCUACUAUAUGUCUAGGGUGUGCAGCUGCACACCCUUGAAAUUAAAAAAAAAAUAUUCCCUAUAUAUAUAUUGUUAUAUUAUAUUAUAUGUGAUUAUUUAACAAACGUAAUUGGUAGUUCACCUGGUAAGUAGCUUUAAUCUUUUGUGAAAUGUCAUAGGUUCGAGUCCCAAAAUCAUCAAAUUUUUUAUAGCUUUUCCAAAACUCUACAAAUCCAUUUAUACUCACAUUUUCUCUCUACAGAUCCAUUUAUACUUAACAUUUUCUCUCAUUUUUCCAAAAUUUACUCACAUUUUCUCUCUACAAAUCCAUUUAUACUCUAACAUUUUCUCUCAUUUUUCCAAAAUUCUACAAAAAAUUGCAAUUGGUCUUAAAAUUUCGAUUUUCCUACAUAUUAAUAUUAUUUUAUGCUGGUAUUAUUAUUAUUAAAAAAAAUCGGGGGCGCUGCCCCCGAACCCCGUAAACUUUCGCACCCCCUUGGCUAAAUUCCUGGAUUCGCCACUGCUCGCGACGGCGAAUUGGAGAGGCAUGAGUGAUAUUUGCGGUGGAAGAUAUCAGUCCACAAAGAGAGUGGUGGCGGUGGUGGAAGAUAAAAGAAAUAAAGGGGAAAGAGAAGCAUUGGCGAAGGAGAGAAAGUGAAAAAGCCGUUGAGAAGUAAACAUAGUGUUUCUAGGGUUAAACAAAUUAAAAAGGAUAAAAUUGAAUUAUAAUAAAUUAAUGGAGGUAUGUCACAAUUCAUAACAUCACAUGAUAAGUAUGUCAAAAUGAAAAAAAAAAUUUGGGCUAAUAUUGAUAAAUGGGGUUUGAGGGGUUCCCCCUCACUGUCUUGAAUCAAUAUUGAAUACUAUAUUCUGGAGAACAAAAUUUAAAAUUUGCAAUUUCCAUAUUUCGCAUUUGGCAAAAGUAAAGCAAGUACGAGGGAGAAAAAUUCUACUAUCUUUGUAAUUUCUGAAAAAUUAUAAGUAUGUUUGAAUAGCAAAUUUUAAAAUAUUUUUAUUGUUUUCCUAAUUAAUUACAUAAUUUAAUGGUCAACUGUAAAUUGAUGGUUGAUAAUAAUACUAAUACUAACAUACAUAGACAAUUGCAUAACAAAAUACAAAUCUAUGAGGCAAUUAUAAUAUAAAACAUUAAAGGGACCAAAGCUCAAUCUUUUAAUCUAUCCUUAUUAUUAUGACCAUAAAACAAUUCGGGUCAGAAAACACAAUUUCAGUAAAUAUUAACUAAAUUAUCAGUUACCUGAACAAUGAAGUAAAUUACAACUUGCAUACUGCUGAAACGUGAAUAAGGAUUAAGGCCUAAUACCAUUACUGGGAAACUGAAACGUGAAUAAGGAUUAAGGCCUAAUACCAUUACUGGGAAACAAAACAAUCCGUGCACGUUAAAAUGACUAAUUAAACAAUUGUGCGAACCGCCUUAUAAAUGCACUUGCGUGGUUAGGCUUUUUCUUUACCAUGCUAUUGAUCUUCAACCCAUCGGUUAAAGCAGACGUCGAUGUAAGAGAUGCCUUCAGUAUGCUUAAAGCCUGCACCCAAAACGAUUCUCGCGUACAUGCAUGCAUGGGAAAAUAUAAAUAAAUUAAACACGAGAUAUUAUAAAAUCAAAUUAUAUUAAUUACCUCUUGCAAUCCAACGUGCACCUCCACUUCUUUGACAUCAGAUAAAGGGAUUUCCAUUUAAUUUUCUUCAGUAUAGAAAGGGUGGAGGUCAUACACAUAGGAGUCACGGUUAAAUCAUCGGUCACCAUGUACAUUUUUGUUCCUUUAACGAAAUUCUCUUGGCCUCGACUGAACACCAUUUCACGAAACCAUCCGGAAUCUUUUCCAAUUGAAUAUGACAACCAUUCUUUUCUCUGGUUCAUAUCCCGAUGGUAAUAUAGAGUAGCUUGUUCACUAAGAGGAAGAAUCGUACCUCCGGAAACAUAACCUUUAGGAAGAUUGGGUUUCAUCACCCUAUUUUUUAAGCGUGGACUCACCCAAUACUUGUCAUCGAUAAAAUCCGCUAUGCUUUUAUACAAAUUGUCUAUACUAUUAAGACAAGUGUUACCACCCAUAAGGCACUCAACUCCUCCUAGUGGGAUGGUAAGAAAAGAAAAAAGGAAAUCUACGAAAUCAUCAUCGCCUUGAGCAAACAAUAACUUAUUGCUCGAUUUUUUUACCACCAACCUUAAAUUCAUCUUCUUGGUCGCUUCUAAUUUCUCCUUCUUUUGGAAGGAAAUUCCCGCUUCGUAUUUUAGACUGGCAAAGUCAUCAUAAACCUUUGUUUUAUUGAGUAUAAGGUCGGUUAGCGGAGUACGCGACAUUAACGAGGCCUUGAGCAAAUCCAUAACCUAAGGCAGACAAUGAUUAUUAAAAUUCACAAAACCGACAUAGUUAUAUGGGAGAAAAUUGUAAUUUAGAUCAUCUAUAUUGGCCAAUUCAGUGAUUUAGUCCUUUUGGUUAUGCUAUUUCAAGUUUACAUGCAAUAACUUUGCAAAUUUAGCAAUUUUGGUCCUAUUUUGCCAGAAAUUUUAGUUUUAACAAACUCAUUAAAUUUGUUGAAGAAUUUAUAACUUUUAAAAGUCCAUAAGCAAAAUCCAUCAAGUGCCACAUCAUGAAAUGCAAAAAUCAAGCAACAUAAAACCAAAAAAUGCUAAAUUGCAAUUUUAUUGCAUGUGAAAUUGAAAUAUAAUAACUUAGACGACUAAAUCCCUAAAUAGACAACAUAGAGAACCAAAAUUACAAAAAAAAAAAAAUUCCUAAUUAUUAACAGUAUACACAUUCAAUAAAAAUUACAAAAGUAAAAUAACAUAAUCAAGAAACAAAUUAUAUUAAUUACCUCAUUGAACCCAAAAGUCACAUUCCUUAGCUCGGCGCCUUUAGUGUCGGUGAUGCCAAGAUUUCGGAGAGUUUGCACAAAGCCUACGGCCACAUUAGGCACCAUUCUCAGAUCAUCGGAGAUCAAGAAAGAAGUUGUCUUAAUCAUGAACACUCCAGCGGAUCCAUGAACAGCAGUUUCAGACUCAUCUAAACAAACGCUUUUGUUCUUCGUUUUCCCACAAAGGCAAGUUACGGUAGCAUCUCUUCGCAUUGCUACCUUUGACCAUCGGUGCGUACAAUUCCAGUCCGGGCAAGAAAAGUACUUAAAGGUCAAAGGAUCACUGAUAUCGAGUUUCAGCUUUCGGCAUUCACCUUCAAAGGAACUUACGGGAUUGAGAAGCAUGUGCUUAUGGAAUUGACUCCGUAAAUUGAUGCUGUCAAGAUUCGAUAAUCCAUCGUACAAAGUGGUUAAGCUUCCAAUGUUGACAGGCGUCGUCGCGUCUUUAUUAUCUCCGUAGUGCUUCUUCAAAACUCUCGCAAUCGUUCCCAAUGGCAAAGUUAAGAAACUCAGCAGAACUUCUGCGAAAUCGCUGUCGACUUCUGCAAAUAGUACUUUGUUCUUCUCUUUGUUUAUCAAAACCUUUAGAGAGAACUCAACUCCAUUAUCAAGAAACAUAAUGCUGUUGUUGUACGAAACGGAAUAAAUCACAGGUUGAGUAUUGAUUUAAAAGGUGAGUGCAUUGGAACGGAAUUGCAAAAGAUCCCUGUGAUUGGAUUUCUUUGAAGAAAACAAAUCGGCUUUGUUUGUAACGGUUUUCCCCAUGUAAUUAGUUUAUUUAGAUAAAAUUGGAUUUCCUGUCAUAUUCUAUAUACUAAUAUUUCCCGGUGCAAUGCAAUGCAAAUGAUAACAUUUUAAAACUAACUAGUACUACACCCUUGGGAUGCACGGUGAGUACAUAUUUUUAAUCGUCAAAUAAAUAUAUAUAUAUAUAUAUAUAUAUAUAUAUAUAUAUAUAACAUGAUCUGAAAAAAUCUGUACAACAUAGAACACAUUGGGGAUACGAUGCUACACCCAGUGAUUUUCACCGAAUAGCUCUCUUCUUGACAUAUAUCCUUUUUAAUUUAUUUUAUAAUUAUAUUUCUAAAACUCCAUGGGAUAUAACUGUAUUCGUAGUGGUAAUCUUAUUAACUAGGGUGCCUGGUUAUAUUAACUAGGUGUAACAUCGAUAUUGCCGAACACAUUGGCCACCAAAUGUGAUUGAGUAACCUAUACCUAUUUCAUCUCACAAUCGUCAGGAAAAACUCCAAACAUCUUACUAUACAAAAUUGAAUGUAUUUUUUCUAAUAUUCAGCAAUUAGUUAAAACAUUCAAACUUUUUUCAUAAUAAGGAGAGUUCUGUAUAAAUUUUGUUGAUUAAUCACAUUCAUAUUAGUUAUUAAAUGCUAGGAAUUACAUAUUCUAUCAUUCUUGUCAAUGUUCUGAAAACCGAACCGGACAUUGACCUGGCCAAGAUAUCGGGGUCACGCUUGGACCUGUUCAACCGGGGUCCAACCGGGGUUUUGAAUAAUUUAUUUUUAAUUAUUUAUAUUUAAUUUAUAUAGUAUUAUUUAUGCAAAAAAAAUACGUAAAAAUAACCUGUUUAUCACCAACUAGCAUUUUUUCUCGUGCGAUGCACGGGGUAUUAUUUAAAUAGUGAAAAAAAAUCAAUUUAAUGCAUAAUAAGAAAUUAUAGUACACUAAUAUACUAAAAUUUAAUAAUAUAGUAUUAUUCAUAUUUUAUAUAACAUUAGUUUUUUUAAAUCUUACAUAUUAAGAUUUAUAAUCCAAAUAAAUAGACUAAAAUUUAACAAAUCGAAUUUCUAGUUUUAUCUCUUAAUAAUUUUUGAAAAUUAUAGUUCAAAAAAUUAGUAUAGAAAAAAUAUUAAAAAUAAAUAAUUACAUAAGUAGCAAUAAGGUAGGAUUCUUCACGGGCUAGUUUUAAUUUUGAUAAUUGUUAAAAAAUUAAUUAGAAAUUAGUAGAGAAAAAAUAUUAAAAAUAAAUAAUUACAGAAAUACCAUUGAGGUUUUUUUGGGUUGCCCAACGUUUCUUUCUUUUAUAUAUUAGAUAAGAUACCAUUAGAGUUUUUUAGGAUUUCUUUCUUUAUUAUAUAAGAUAUCAAAUAUUCAUAUGAGUUAAGCAUAAAAUUAUAGUCAUCUUAUAAAUCAAAACUCAAAAGUUAACAUUUAAUUUGAAGUCAUACAUCUUACUAAAAAAAUAAAAAAAUAAAAAUAAAAAAGGUCUUGCAUCCAAUGCAAACAUUUAAAAUAAGUCUCACAUCAAAAUUAAAUAUUUAAAGUAAAUAGUAAAUGCAUAAAAGACACUAUCAUCUUCAUAUAUCACUCUUCCUCAUACUCAUCUCCAAUUCCAAUUUCUCUUUUUCUCUUUUUAGAAAAAAGGUGUAUGUUGUACUUUUUUUACAGAAAAAGACUUCUGUUGUUGUCUUCUAUUUUUUUUUUCUUUUUUCUGGGCAUUAAAAUGAUGCCGUUUUGACUUCCUUUUUUUUUUGAAUUAAUUAAAAACGCGUCUAUGCAGCCAAAAAACCAGUUUUUAGCCGGUUUCCGGGUUUCCGGUCAAAAGACCUGGUUUUGACAUUUUGACCGGUUUUUUGUAAUUUUUGGUUUUAUGGGGCUAACCGGACUGGACAAGGCACCGGUUUGCGGUCGAACCGGCCAGUCCGGUCCGAGUUUCAAACAUUGAUUCUUGUUCCUUUUUUUCCCACUAUUCAUAAACAGAUUGUUAACCUAGGUACCGAUGCUUCCGCGCCUUCCAGAAAAAGUUGCUACUGUUAUUCCAGUCUUGCUCAUUAAUAUUUUCAUUUUUUCCAACUCUUUGCUCCAAACCAGUACAACCAUUUAUGAUCCGUGGGUGACCUGAAAUUAACAAGCAAAUAUCCAACAGAAAAAUGAAUCGAAACACAAUAAUCAACAUGAGAAAUGCGCUUAAUAUAAUGUAAAAAACUGGCAGACAUAAUAAUGGCUUAUAGGAGUGGACGGAAAAGGGUCUGAAAUGUGAAGUUGAAAGCAAAAAUGGUCGGUGAGCACUUGAAUUGAGGGCCUGAAAAUUCACUUGUCAUUUGUUUCUCAAUGUUGGGUGCUAAAUACCAACACGAAAGUGUACGUAUCGCAAACAAGUAGUAAAGUAGACUCGUGAGAGUCGGAUGUCGAUCCCACAGGGAAUACGCAAAUUAUUUAAUCCUAAGUACCAAAUCCUAACAAUUGUGAUUUUUAUCCAGCCUACGCAGGGUUGUCAAAUUAAUUAACUAAAUAAAUUAAACUAAUUAAGAAAGCAAUUAAACACGAGAAAAAUAUCAAUAUAAAACGGAUCUAGGAUUUUAUCUUUCCCCUAUGCGAUAAUUCUUCACCCAAUUAAUCUCCUAUCAUGCAAGUUACGAUUCCCGAUUAUUAACCCAAGACACGAAAUUACUCAUAACCAGCUGUCGCUGCGUUAUAAGCCUAUUAUUCAUAAAAGAUUCACUAUAUGUCUAUGCAAACCUAGUAUAAAUAAAGCAUUCAAUAACAAGUCUCGUAAACGGCUACCUAAGGUAUUAUCUGUAUGUCUACGAUAAUACAUGCAAUCAACACACACAUUCGGUGAAAAACUACUCGAAGGCUCUUCUAUCCCUGUUCUAAUUAUUAAAACGAUCUGUCAAUCAAUUCUAACAAUAACACAUAGCAACAUAAAUUAGCUACGUUCAUGCGCUAAAUAAGAUCAAGAUAGAAGAAAUAAUCGAAGAAUUAAACUUGCAUAAAAGUCGAAAAAGAGGUUCGAAUUACCACAUAGGGUUCCAAUAAAAUCCUAGAAUAAAAACUUAGCUACUCAUGUUCGUUACGAAAAACAUAAUAAAAAUACGAAAAAUCAUAAAAGCUAAUAAAAGAGGAGAACUUUGAUGAAGAGUCGUCAAGUCUUCGUCUUCGUUCUUGUGCUCCUUGAUUGCGUGUAGAAAGAUGAAAAAUAAAAACCUAAAGAUUAAAGAUAAAAAGUAAAAGAUAAUCCUAAUUGUGUGCUUGUGGCCUUUAAAUAGGGUGCAAAAAUAUAAUAGGGCGGGUUUCCUUGUGUAAUUAAACUUCCUUCACUGCGCCCCUACGUCCAUCCAGACGGCCGUGCGAGAAUAGGCUUUAAAAUCCGGACGGCCGUCCGGUCCUUGAUUCUCCAGAAUUCUGAUUUUUUUACUUUUGGCCCACUUCUUCUCCGAACUUGCAGUUUUCACCCCAAAAGUUGUCAAUUCUUCAAUUUGCACCUAAAAUACAAAUAAUAACCAUAUUAAGCACCAAUUAUCGUAAAAACACAUCAAAAGCUCCAAUUAAAAGGUACAAUUAAGUGUAUAAAUAUACACUUAACACUCAACAUAAGUUACAAUUGUUGAUUGUGUCGACAUCUUAAUAAAUUAUUAUUUGUGUUGACAAACCUGCAAGAAAAACAAAUAUAUUUAAAUACUCACCAAAUUAAUUUACUCAACUAAUAUUGAACAAUAAGCUAUUGGGAUCAUUGGGACUUUGUGGCUUUCAAUUGUUAGGCACUUUGGUUCGAGGUAGGUAAUAUGGGAAUGUGUGGCUAAUUUUCUUGAAUUGAGGUGAUUACGCCAAAAAUUGAAAGAUAGGCGUUGGACACAAUGAAUUCACCUCUAGGGACUUUAAUAAAUUUGAUUCUCCAAAAUUCACACGUCAACGCUUUUGCCUUUGAGGCAAUGGAUCGAGUUUUCAACACAAUUCAACAACUAGUCCUUAUUUCUCCCUUCGAAUCUAUUCUUCUUCUUCUUUUUCUCUUUUUUUUUUUUUUUUUUUUUUUUGAAUCGAAGAAUUUAGAUAUAUAUAUAUAUAUAUAUAUAUAUAUAUAUAUAUAUAUAUAUAUAUAUAUAUAUAUAUAUAUAUAUAUAUAUGAAGAUGCACAUAUAUAUCUAUUUUUUUUUUUAUUUUUUUUUUUAAUUUUUUAAUUUUUUAUUUUUUUUUUCGGACGAAGAAGAAGAAGAAAGAUCUUAUAAGAAUUUUUCGACCAACCUCAAGGGGAUAAUUAUUAAAAAAUCUCCACUUUUCUACCUUCUACAUAUUGGCUAAAAGAAAGAACACCUUUUCUCCGAGGCUCAAAUCAAGGUUCUAAGGAUAAAUUGACAAAAAGGGUAGGCUUGAAAGGCUCAAACGGUUCAAAAAGAAGGCCCAAAUCAUAUCCCAAAUUACUUACUACCAACACUUCGUAUCAUAAAUGUCCUAAGGUGAGAUUUAAAACCGAACAAAGCAUGAUUGAGCACAAAUAAAUUCCAAAUUUAAAAUGCAAAACAUUCAACCAAAGCAAUGCACAAGGUGUGAUUCCUAGCAAUAAUUCACUUCUACGUUCCGUUGAAUCGAAAGCUAAACGAAUACAUACUCCUUAUCAACAUAAAACAAGUAAUCACAUCAUCAAACAUUGACCAUCUCCCAUCAUCAUAGUUCAUCGAUGCAUCGAAUUUUUUUUUUUUUUCAAAGCAAAUAAUAAAACGGAAAUAAUAAGACGCAAAUAAAGCAUGCAAACUAAAAAUAAAAAUUAACUAAAACACAAAUAAAGCGCACAUAAACGAAAACAAGUAGUUAACCACCCCCAAACUUAAAAUUCACAUUGCCCUCAAUGUGAUUCGCCCGGAGUUUAAGGAUAGAAAACACCUGUUUUUAAGCGUCGGGACCAUCGUCGGGUUGCUCACCAACUCCAACUUGCGCAUGAGCAUCACCAUCUCCUUCAUCAUCCGAAAGCUCGGGUACCGGCUCAAUAAUCGGUGCGGGAAAAUCGUCGAACACCUUGUGGGCGUUCUUGGUGGAAUGGGUUUUUCGAGAACAUUGCACCGUUCUUGAAUCUCCCUGCACAAAUCAAUAACAAACCAUCUUGAUUACGUAUUAUGUGUGUGUAGUUGGUAAAUUUUCGGUGAAAUUUGUCAAAGAAAAGAGAAAAUUUCGAAAAAAGAAGGCGAAGGUUCGAAGUGGGGGAGAGAGGGGAUUUGAAAUUAUGGAAAUUGUUUUUUUUUUUUUUUUUUUUUUUUCUGCACGGCCGUGCGAGAUUUAGGUGAAAAAUCCGCACGGCCGUGCCCUUUCUCAGAAUUAGGCAGUAGCCUCUUCAAAUUUCACACGGCCGUGUGAAAUUCCUGCCUUUUUCUUGCACGGCCGUGUGGAUAAUUGCAAAAUUUGCAAUUAAGCCCCUGAAAAAUAAAAACUUCUUAUUAGUACCCCUGAAACUUUUUUUUUUUUUUUCUUAAGUAAAAAUAAAAUAAGAACUAACACUAACAAGAUAAAAACAAAGAUUAAAAGAAAAUAAAAUAAAAGAAAGAAAAACGAAAUCUCGGGUUGCCUCCCGAGAAGCGCUAAGUUUACAGUCUUCAGCCGGACUUUGUCUGCUUCUUUGUUCAAGCUAACGUGACCGAAGUCACUUGGCAAUUGAAUUCCUCUCCCCGAUGACUCUCGUUUGAUUUUUUAGGUGGCCACAUCCUCCUUGCACGUUCAUCACCGUUAGCACCCCAACUCUUUUAACUAUCUCUCGGAGGUGUUGAAAUUGAGUUCGCACAACAAACGUGCUCCUUCCGAUUCCCUUUUCCGUUAUCAUCUCCUGCACUCAACGAUGCUUUCCCAUGGUCCAAAAUUGAAACAUCAAAUUUUUCAUGAUUUGUAAAAUCCAUAAGAUCAAUAGUAAAACACUCAUUAUUCUCACAUGGAUUUUUAUUAGCACAAAAAACAUUAAAUUUGAUCGUUUCAUCAUGCACUGUCAUUGUAAGAUCACCAUUCGCACAAUCAAUUAAAGUUUUUGAAGUGGCUAAAAACGGUCUCCCUAAAAUCAGAGGUAUCUCCCUAUCUUCAUCUAUAUCGAGUACAACAAAAUCAACCGGGAAGAUAAAUUUGUUCACCUUUACUAGCACAUUCUCUAAAAUACCUUUUGGGUAAACCAAAGACCUAUCGGCUAAUUGCAGAGUUAUAGCCGUAGGUUCAAUUUCACCUAACCCAAGAUUUUUAAAAGUGGAAUAAGGCAUAAGAUUAAUGCUAGCACCUAAAUCAAUAAGCGAUCUAAAUUUUUUACCUCCUAUAGUACAAGGGAUAGUGAACUUACCUGGAUUGCCGAGUUUUUGUGGAAGGGGCCGUGUAAGAAUUGCACUACAUUGUUCCGUGAGUUGGAUCAUCUCGUUCCCUUGCAAUUUCUUCCUCUUUGUCACGAGAUCCUUGAGGAACUUCACCCACUUUGGCAUCUUUUGAAGGGCUUCAAUAAACGGAAUAUUUAUUUGGAUUUCCUUCAGCUUGUCCAAAAAUCUUUGAUAAUCGGCAUCGAGCUUCUUCUUUAUAAGCUUCUGAGGAUAUGGAAUUGGAGGGGCUCGUGAUUUCACUGGAGAUGAUAGUGGUUCUUUGUGAGUUGCUUCUUUUUCCCCAAUCACUCUCGGCUUCUCGAUUACCGUGUUUUGCUUCUCCUUUGGUGGGGCUUCCUCCAAUUGUCUCCCAUUCCUUAAACUCACAGCGUUGCACUGCUCGACGUUGUUUUUCCGAGGAUCUUCUGUAUUUGACGGCGGUGCUCCCGAUGGCCUCGUGGUUAGCUGGGUUGCAAGUUGACCCAUUUGUGUUUCCAAAUUCCGGAUGGAGGCUUGGGUGGUUGUCAUGAAUUGCGCCAAGAUAUUUGCGAGAUCUACACCUUGAGGUUGAGCUUGAGGCGGAUUUUGGAAUCCGGGAGCUGGUCGUGAAUGAUUUGGUGGUUGACCUUGAGGUGUUGCUUGCCUUUGUCCUUGCUGAUUUCCUCCCCACCCAAAGUUAGGGUGAUCCUUCCAUCCGGGAUUGUAAGUAUUGGAGUACGGGUUCCUCUGUUGUCGGUUGGUGUCAUGCACAUAAUUCAGAGACUCCGUUUCUUCUACGCGCUGAUCGGGAACUUGGACUGCGUGGACUUGCUGAGUCUGCAAAGCCGUUACUUGCUUCGAUAGCUUCUCCAAUUGGGCCGUGAUUGCAGUGACUCCGUCUGACUCCAAAAUUCCUCCCGUCUUGACUGCUCCGCUAUUCGACCGGUCCGAUGCUCGCAUGUAUUUAUUCCUAGCGAUUCGUUCCAAGAGCUCGUAUGCUUCGUCGUAGGUCAAACUCAUGAACAUACCUCCAGCUGCAGAAUCGAGCACUGUCCUCGAGUUGUCUUGCAGUCCAUCGUAAAAUAUUUGCAGUUGGCGCCACUCUUGUAGUCCGUGAUUCGGGCACCUCCUUACUAACUGUUUGAACCGCUCCCACGUCUCGAAUAAUGCUUCACCGGCUUCUUGUAUGAAGUUUUGAAUUUCUCGCCGGAUUCUCUCAGUUUUUGUUGGGGAGUUGUAUGUGUUCAUGAAAAGUUGAGCUAGCUGGGCCCACGACGAGAUGGAGUGCGGUGCACGAGUUUGCAACCAUUCUCGGGCUGCUCCUUGUAAGGAGUGUUUGAUCAGGCGGAGUUGCAAUGCUUCGGGUGAUACUCCGUUCAUCUUGUGCGAGUCACACGUUUCGAGGAAAUUGACUAAGUGGAGAUGUGGGUCUUCAUGAGCCAAUCCGCUGAAUAACCCAUUGUUUUGGAACAUCGUGAGGAGUCCCGCUCGAAUCUCGAAAUUGUUGGCUUCAAUGGGGGGCUGCUGGAUACUUGAUUGAAACCCAUUAAGCGUUGGAACGGUGUACUCAUGCAGUGCUCGUUGACGCGGUGGUGGAUUAAUUAGCUGGCGUUGCUCUUGCUCAUUGACGACUUCCCCAACCGCAAUCGGUAUGCGCCCUUGGUCAUCUUCCCUACGAUUGAUCUCUUCUUCCAUCGUUGCGGGAGCGUUUUGAGCUAACCGUUGAUUUCCCCUGGCUUGCCUAAACGUUCGCUCAAUUUCGGGGUCGAGAGGUAGCAAGCUCGUGUCGUGUCCUCUUCGCAUAAAAAGUACCUAAAACAAAAUAAUAAAAUGAUUAAAUAAAAUAAAUAAAAUGGCUGAAGUAAGAAAAAUUGUUUAAAUUUAAUAUUAGGAUAAAUAAACAAUUUAGCCGUAGUCCCCGGCAACGGCGCCAAAAACUUGUUGGGUGCUAAAUACCAACACGCAAGUGUACGUAUCGCAAACAAGUAGUAAAGUAGACUCGUGAGAGUCGGAUGUCGAUCCCACAGGGAAUACGCAAAUUAUUUAAUCCUAAGUACCAAAUCCUAACAAUUGUGAUUUUUAUCCAGCCUACGGAGGGUUGUCAAAUUAAUUAACUAAAUAAAUUAAACUAAUUAAGAAAGCAAUUAAACACGAGAAAAAUAUCAAUAUAAAACGGAUCUAGGAUUUUAUCUUUCCCCUAUGCGAUAAUUCUUCACCCAAUUAAUCUCCUAUCAUGCAAGUUACGAUUCCCGAUUAUUAACCCAAGACACGAAAUUACUCAUAACCAGCUGUCGCUGCGUUAUAAGCCUAUUAUUCAUAAAAGAUUCACUAUAUGUCUAUGCAAACCUAGUAUAAAUAAAGCAUUCAAUAACAAGUCUCGUAAACGGCUACCUAAGGUAUUAUCUGUAUGUCUACGAUAAUACAUGCAAUCAACACACACAUUCGGUGAAAAACUACUCGAAGGCUCUUCUAUCCCUGUUCUAAUUAUUAAAACGAUCUGUCAAUCAAUUCUAACAAUAACACAUAGCAACAUAAAUUAGCUACGUUCAUGCGCUAAAUAAGAUCAAGAUAGAAGAAAUAAUCGAAGAAUUAAACUUGCAUAAAAGUCGAAAAAGAGGUUCGAAUUACCACAUAGGGUUCCAAUAAAAUCCUAGAAUAAAAACUUAGCUACUCAUGUUCGGUACGAAAAACAUAAUAAAAAUACGAAAAAUCAUAAAAGCUAAUAAAAGAGGAGAACUAUGAUGAAGAGUCGUCAAGUCUUCGUCUUCGUUCUUGUGCUCCUUGAUUGCGUGUAGAAAGAUGAAAAAUAAAAACCUAAAGAUUAAAGAUAAAAAGUAAAAGAUAAUCCUAAUUGUGUGCUUGUGGCCUUUAAAUAGGGUGCAAAAAUAUAAUAGGGCGGGUUUCCUUGUGUAAUUAAACUUCCUUCACUGCGCCCCUACAUCCAUCCGGACGGCCGUGCGAGAAUAGGCUUUAAAAUCCGGACGGCCGUCCGGUCCUUGAUUCUCCAGAAUUCUGAUUUUUUUACUUUUGGCCCACUUUUUCUCCGAACUUGCAGUUUUAACCCCAAAAGUUGCCAAUUCUUCAAUUUGCACCUAAAAUACAAAUAAUAACCAUAUUAAGCACCAAUUAUCGUAAAAACACAUCAAAAGCUCCAAUUAAAAGGUACAAUUAAGUGUAUAAAUAUACACUUAACACUCAACAUAAGUUACAAUUGUUGAUUGUGUCGACAUCUUAAUAAAUUAUUAUUUGUGUUGACAAACCUGCAAGAAAAACAAAUAUAUUUAAAGAGCUUGAAAUCUCAACAGAAGGAACAAAUUAUUGGUGUGGCGUCUUUGUAUCCAUUGUAAUCUUGGUUCGUGAUUUACUAAUCAUUGGGUCAGGGUUCGAUAAACUUGUUUCUUUAGGGGAUCUUGGGGUUUCAAAACCAUAUAUUCUUAUUGGGUUUCGUCACAUGUCGGCGUAGUUCAUAUCACUUGGGUGGUUAGCGGUGGCUAGGGUUUUUGGUAGGAGGCGAUUGGGGUGAGGAGUAAUUGGCGGUUUGGUCUAAAAUUCUUAGCAUUUUGAAGCUAUGACCUCCAAAAGAAAGAGCUCGACGAGAGGAAACCAACGGUAGUUAAACCAUCGAAUUUCGACCACCGGAGAGAGAUAUGACUCCGGGAAGCAACUUCGCCGGUUGGAGAUCUAUGGGGGCCGGAUUUUAAUAUUGGAGUUGAGAGAGGAAGAGAGAGACGACUGUGAGUGACUAGGGUUUAAAAAUGAUUAUAAAAGGGCAUUUUAAGUACAUCAGGGUGGGCUAGGGGGGUCUAUCAAAUUAAUUUCGAAAUGAAGGAGUACGUACAAGGAUGUAAUUAGUUAGGUGAUUAGUUAUAUAUCAAUUAAAUGUAUAUCUCAGCGCAAAUUUGGGGCCGGUCGGAUCAAUCAAAUGAGCUGAUUGCAUCGACAAACGCGUCGGUCACGUUUAAUAGUGGCCGAAACUGAGCUAAACGGUCUCUUUUCACUGCGAGCGCAUGGACAAUGGGGCUUUGCCCAACUAACAUGCCGACGGCGCCUGAAAGAGCUUCGCGUUCAUAUGCAGAUCGCCUCGAAACUCAUCCGAGUCAAAAGUUAUCAACGCUUUAAGCCGCUACGGUACAAGUUUUUCAACAUAAAACCAAAUUGUGUGCAUAGAUUUCAGGUGCGAUCAUACCAGCACUAAUGCACCGGAUCCCAUCAGACCUCCGAAGUUAAGCGUACUAAAUAAGGGAGGUCUCUAAAAUAAUCGCUACAAUAUAUAUAUGGAUAAUUAGCUAGAACCCCCGUAUUUGGAAUUUAUAUAGAUGGGGUCCAUUUUAUUAGUUGAUUAUAGCUAUAAGUCACUUCAUCAAUAAAUGUAAUAUAAAUUAAAUUAAAUUAUUUUUCUAUUGACAUUAAUACCCUUAGUUAUUAUUUAUAUUAAGAUAAUUAGUUAUGGAAAAUAUGAAUAAAAUAUCACAUUUCACUCUCCAUUUAACUCCUCUCUCUCUCCUCUCCCUCACGUCUCUCUCUAAUUUAACUCCUAUCUCUCUCUCUCCUUUUUUUUUUCUUUUUUUUUCUUUUCUAGUUUAGUAGCCUCACGGCUCUCUCACUCUAAUGAAUCUCUUGUUUGUUUUCUUAUGACCUAUAGUUGCAACGACGGUAAAAUGCAAGUUCAACCAAAAAAGCUUCCAAUUAUAAUAUGCACACAUUUUCAUCAAUGCAUAUUUACAAUAUCAAAACGCAUCAUAGAAUCCCUAUAGAAAAAUACAAUGUUCGAAGUUGCAACAACGAGAUACAAAAAAUACAAUUACUAUUGCAAUAUGCAAUACAUAAUGAAACAGUAAAAUACAAAAGAAAAAAGCUACACACACAUUAACUUUAAUACGAGUUUACAAAGAGAACCAAAAAAUAUUUCAAACAUUUCAUAGUUAUUCCCAAAGAAGAAGAAAAAACUAAUAUUAAUUUGCAAUAACGAGCUGCAAAUUAAAAUAUGCAGAACUGCCAAAGUGAAAUUGAAAACCGUCUAAAGGGACAACAUCAACAAACUUCACGUUGCAAACAACAACAUAAAAAAUAUAAACUACAACAACAUCAACAAAAUAGUGGCAACAACAACCAAAUAAAAGUAUGCAAAUAACCAUAUCCAAAUGUAAUUGUCAACAAUAAACUGCAAAAUGCAAACGAUACAAUGACAAUAAGUUAUUUUCAACAAGUAUUUUGUUAUGAUAGAUGAAACCACUUGUUACGACACCAAACUGCAAAUAUUACAGUAAAGUGCAACUUAUACUAUGAUAACAACAAAGUCGAAAUGAAAUAUAAUAUAAAAGCAAAAUAUGCAUCAUAUAAGUAAAAUCCAAAAUAAAAAGCAAAGUGCAAAAAAUACUAUGCUAAAAACAAAAAAAAUCCAAACAAAAACCGAUAAAAUGUUGCAAUUGACAUAAAAAAAUUAUAUAAUAAAAAACAGCAAAAUCAAAAGCAAGAAACCAAUGAUUUUCACAUAAAACAAAUAUGGUAAUUGGGGUCGAAGAAUCAAUAUAUCAACAUCUUUGAAUCCAUUGAUGAAAAUGUUCAUGACAAUUCGUGCAUAAAUUGCCGUUAAAAACAUAAAAGAACAGACAUAAAAGAGCAAAUCACCUGAACUUUUUCCAUCUUUAAUCAUUAUCUCUGUUUUUUUUUUUUUUUGUUUUUUUUUUUUUUUUGAAAUUUACAUCUACGAGAAUAACGAUUAGAAAAAUCAAUUUUACGAUUGUUUCUAGGAUUACAGUAUUUGUUUCGCAUAAAAAGGGAGAGAAUUUUUUUUUCUUUCAGAGAUUCAACGAUCGAGAUAAUCGCGGCCCUAUUUUUGCUAGAUGGGUUCACGGGGAAUAAAUUUGCUAUUUAUUGAUUUAAGAAUAAAAAUUUCCUAUGUUAUUUAAGGGUAUAUCAGCCAUAAUUAAUUAUAGGGGGUUCUAAUAAAAUUGGACUUAUAUACCUACAGAAUCUAGUAACGGGACCUAUAAAAAAUUACCUCAAUAUAUAAUACUACAAAAUAAAUGAAGUGGAAAAAAACCCCGAAAUGAAUUCAUAAUUAUGGAUAAAGGUGAUGCAGAUGGAUUGUAGUAAGAUUGGGCUACAAAAGUUUAUCCAGUUAUGAGCCCAAAAUAUAAAGUCAAGGCCCAAGCAAAAGAACAAUGAAGUAUUUUCUAGAACAUGUUCGAAAUUCGUUUGGCUCUCGAAAUUUCAAGAAUUUGCAAGAAUCGUCUGAUCACCCAUCUAAAUUAUAAAUACUCAUUCUCCAACCAAAUCCCCAUCGAAAACUAGAAACUCAGUUAUCUGCAAACUAUCAAAUUCUUCAUCAACAACCAAAUCAUCCAUCCAGUAUUAUUUUUUGAAGAAAUGUCUUUGAUACCAAGCUUCUUUGGCAACGGCCGCCGUAGCAACAUUUUCGAUCCAUUUUCAUUGGAUGUUUGGGACCCAUUUGAGGGCUUCCCAUUCUCCUCCGCCGUUGCCAAUCUCCCUUCCUCCGCCAGAGAAACAACCGCGGUGGCAAAUGCUCGGAUCGACUGGAAAGAGACGCCGGAGGCCCACUUGUUUAAAGUGGAUGUUCCCGGGCUGAAAAAGGAAGAAGUGAAGGUUGAGGUUGAAGAUGGCAGUAUUCUUCAGAUAAGCGGAGAGAGAAGCAAAGAGCAGGAGGAGAAGAACGACAAGUGGCAUCGCAUCGAGAGGAGCUCCGGCAAGUUCAUCCGACGAUUCAGGCUGCCGGAGAAUGCAAAAUUGGAACAGGUGAAGGCGGCGAUGGAGAAUGGGGUGCUGACUGUGACGGUGCCGAAAGAGGAGGUGAAGAAACCUGAGGUCAAGUCCAUUGAUAUCUCUGGUUAAUGUUUUAAUUUUGUAUUCCAGUAACUUUUGGUUUGGUUUGUGUGGUUGGUUGUAAUGAAUGAUGAAUAAUUGUUUUUAUGUUGGCGUAUAUUUGGUAGUACUGUAUUUCUUUUGAAUUUUGUAUUUGAGCAAGUUUUUGAAAUUGUUUUAGUACUGUAUCACUCACUAUGUAUAACAGAAAUUCCAGAACUGGUAAGUAACAAAUUACAUUUUAAACUCUUUUCACAUUAAUUCAUUUCUAUAUGUUAAAACUCUUUUUAUCAGUACCUUUUUCAGACCUAGAACAUUGUGAACAUAUUAUGGCAUGGGUAAAUAACAAAAAUCUAUCUUGUUUGAAUAACUACAACCACCUUCCUUCACUACGAAUUAUUUUAUGCAAAAACUUCCUCUUAAAUUAUUGAACUUGUAAGACAAUAUAUAAUUGAUGGUGAUUGUAAACUCUCCCUUGUAAUUUGAUUUUCCAUUAGGAGUGACGGUUUGCCCCUUUUUAUUAGUGAAUAAACACUAACUGUCUCGUGUAAUAACCAAUCGAGCAGAAGAUUUAACAAAAGAUGAAAUGAGAUUAACCAAACCGUCAAGUGCCACACACUAAGAACCACCCAAAUCAUUAAGACACCAAACUCUCUCCCUCAUUUCUUCUCACCUUCUCUUCCCACAAUCACUCUCAUAAUAGCCUCUUCAAUCUCACCUCUCUCCAUCCAACAUUUCUCCAUUUUGAUCCCUAUUUUCCAAACACCAUCCACAUACGUCGAAUUCACCAUUUGAUCGCCGAAAAAAGGCGAACAAAUCAUCGGUACUCCUUCGCAAAUACUCCCCAGCGUCGAAUUCCAUCCACUGUGCGUCCAAAAUCCACCAACUGCAAAAUGAGACAGAACUUCACAAUACAACUCCUCUCCGUAAUCGAAUCCGAAACUGGAGGUUCAUUCCCGUUGCGUUCCGGGUGUUCCAGCGAACCAUGGUCCCAAUAAUUCAUGUUUAAUUUUGUCAUUGUUAAGUAGAAAAAUUCAGAAAUAUUUAUUUAAAGCGUGCUUAUAAUUAAAUUAUAUUAUUAUUUUUUAACAUGUGGAUAAAAUAUAGGGCAAAUCCCAAUUUCCACCCCUCUUGUACCACUUUAUCCCAUUUUACUUACGAUUGCAUUGAUUUACCCCUAUGUACUGCUUAAAUUGUCCCAAUGUAGUCCGCGGCAUUAGUUUUUAGAUUUCUGACCUUGACAAUGUUUGAUCAAGGCUGGAAAAUUACAAAAAUGACCAUGGCUUCUCCCCUUUCCAUUGUGUUGUCCCUUUGCCAAACCUUCGGACCUCAGGCGUCAUCGGCCUUAGAGAUUAUGGGAUGAGCUAAAGAGAUAAAUAGGUGAGAAAUGAGAGGUCUCUAACUAGAGUUCCUUGCAAAUUGAUGCGAUUGAGAUCUACGGCUGCCACAACUGUACGUAUGGGAUUUUGUAUGAAAUCUCGAUAAAUCAAACAAAAGACACCUUUGUAAGAACAAACGCAUGAUUUGGUGACUCCGAUUGGGUCGUCUGUAGUGGCUAAUUCCAUGCCUGGAGAAUAUUUUAUGCUCUGGUCGGGAUGCAGAAUAUUUUAUGCUCUGUAGUGGCUGAUCAAGAUUGAUUUGAACGUACUGUUUAGUUCAUAUGAAAUUAGUAUUUCCAACUCAAACAACACAGUACUUUUGCAUCUUAAAAUGGUUCAAAGAUUUUCGUAUAUAUAUACUCUAAUUCUGUGCUUCUAUACAUUUUUCUUCUAUUGAUAAACCCUCAUAUUUGUCUACAAAAUGAGAACAUACAAGAAUAACUAAUUUUACAAAAUCGUGAUACUCCUAAACAUGUAUAUCGAUCAUGUUCUGCUCAAACGAGAGGUUAAAUCAAUAAAUAGAUCUUCAGUGCAAGGAAUAGUGAUCCCACCCAUCGGAUGAUGGAAUCCAAAUUCUUUUUCGGCCUGGAAUAGCAAUUCUUGAAACAAAUGAUGGUUUAAGUACGAUAAUGGAAUAACAAAUCGCUUUUUCUCGCCCUCCCCAACAUAAACAGCCAAAUGCCCUUUUGGAACUUCAACUGAUCUUCUUUCGUUGGAUAAUGACCGUCUCAAAAUUUGACGGAUUGCCAUCUUAGUUUGUGUGAAGUGAAUCUUGCUUAGCUCAAGUAAAAACGAAGAGGUAUUUGAAAUAAGUGAAAGCUGAGAAGGAUAAGAGUAUUUUGAUCAGGAGUUGUUGUUUGUAAUCAAGAAACGGUGUUGUAUAUAUAGGCUAGAAAGAAAUGAUGAAUUGUUGAGAUAUCGACAUAACACGGUCAACAUAAAUGUGGUUGCUCUAUGAAACUCGAAAAAACACACGCAUAUGAAAGCACAUGGAUUUGUCUUUAAAAAAAUGAAAUGAAUUCAAGCCAACAAGAAUUUGUGUGAUAGAAAAUGUUGUAUCCUACCAACUCUGGCAACAUGGCCCCUUAAACCAUCAUCUCAACAUCUCUAUUUAUUUCGAUAUAUCUACUAAUUAGGCCAUCUUAUCCUAAAUACCACAUUCAAUUCAAUGUGACGUUUUCUUGCUGGUGGUGUAAGUGUUAGGGAUGAUAUAUAAUUCAUUAUGUUGCUCUAAUUUAUGGACAAAACCAUGUGAUUUUUCAUGUGCUUUUGUUUCUCUAACAUCUCCAGCCACCACAUAUUCUUUGGUUUUUUCAUCACCAUUCAAUCCAGCUAAUUUGGAUAUACCAUUUACAAGUUCAUCUAUAUAUAUGUUUAUACGUCACAUAUCUAAACUCACAGCCUGCAGCCUUCAACUUCUCAUAUUUCACUUGCUUCAUAAAACUCUCAUAUACUACUUCAUUGUCUUUCAUUUUUGGCUUCACAAAAGAUUAAUUUUAACAAAGAAUCGAUGGCUAUUCACAAAAUUCUAAGGCGGUCUUUAUCGGGUGAAAAAAGAUCAACUGAAGUUCCAAAGGGACAUUUGGCUGUUUACAUCGGAGAAAGUGAAAAGAAGCGAUUUGUAAUUCCAUUAUCGUAUUUGAAUCAUCCUUCCUUUCAAGAAUUACUAUGUCAAGCUGAAGAAGAAUUCGGAUUCCACCAUCCAAUGGGUGGACUUACUAUUCCCUGCAGUGAGGAUUUAUUCGUCGAUCUAACAUCUCGCUUGAGGAGAGCAUAAUAUAUAUGCUAGGUUUUAGAGCAUAUAAAUUUUGUUAGCUAGAUUCUUUACAUAUUUUGUACACAGAGAAGAUACUUUGUCGGAUACAAAAUGUAUUCCCGCACAAAUUAAUCGUAAUACUUUAAUACAUGGAUGCCUUAUCUUCUUACAAAUUUUUAUCAGUAUUUCUAGUCCUGCCACCAUGGAUAGUUUGUACUUGUUAGAAUAUAAAGAAGACAAGUCACAGGGAAUUUCAUGCAACCACAAAAGAAUCCCAUAGGAAAGCAGCCAAAUAAUAGUUUAUAGCCGAGUUCACUCCGCGAGCAGUAAGAACAUAGUGAACUAUUUGUUCGCCGUUUGCUAAAGAAUACUGUGUUGUCGCUGUAAUUCAAGCAUCGUAAGUAUGUUUGAAACCAAAUUCAGUCAUUCUGUUUUUAACCACUGAAAAAGAAAAACAUAUUGAACUUGAAUACUCGAACUUGAGUAUUAUCUUUAAAGAUUUUAGUUAUUAUAUUGGUAAAUUUGUAGUCUUUUAUUUACUCUAAGAUUUACCUAUUGGAUAUGCUAUUGUAGCUGUAGGAAUUUUUUCAGCUAAUGAGCUAUAUUUAUCUCAGCCAUUGGAGACGGGUUUUUUUUUUUUCUCUCUGUCGACAAAUACCAUAUUUACUAAACUUGAACUUAGACCUUGCAAUUUUGUCUUGGAGAUAGUACAAAUUGAAAUUUGUGAAACCACCAUGACAAACAGCAAUAAAUCAAAUAGUUUCAUAACUUUUCACCAGUGAGGAUACUGGAAUAAUCACAUCUUCAGAAGGAAUCUGUUGGGGCUAAAUACCUAACACGCAAGUGCACGUAUCGCAAACAAGUAGUAAAAGUGGACUCGUGAGUGUCGGAUGUCGAUCCCACAGGGAAUACUCAAAUUAUCUAAUCCUAAGUACCAAAUUCUAACAAUUAUGAUUUUUAUCCAGCCUACUUAAGGUUGUGAAAUUUAAUCAACUAAAUAAUUAAACUAAUUAUAAAAACAAAUAAACACGCGAGAAUAUCAAUAAAAACGGAUCUAGGAUUUUAUCUUCCCCCUAUGCGAUAGUUCAUCACCCAAUUAAACCUCUAUCAUGUAAGUCACGAUUCCCGAUUAUUAACCCAAGACACUCAAUUACUCAUAACCCGCUGUCGCGUGUAUUAUGAGUCUAUUAUUCAUACCCGAUUCACUAUAUGUCUAUGCAAACCAAUUAUGAAUAAAACAUUAAAUAACAAGUCUCGUAAAUGGCUACCUAAGGUAUUAUCUGUAUGUCUACGAUAAUACAUGCAAUUAACACACUCAUCCGGUGAAACUACUCGAAGGUUCUUCUAUCGCUGUUCUAAUUAUUAAAACGAUCUGUCGAUUCAAUUCUAACAAUAACACAUAGCAACAAAAAUUAGCUAGAUUCAUGCACUAAAUAAGAUCAGAUAGAAGAAAUAAUCAUGGAAUUUAAACUUGCAUAAUAUUAGAAAAAUAGGUUCGAAUUACCACAUAGGGUUCAAACAAAAUCCUAGAUUAAAAACUUAGCUACUUAUGUUCUCUACGAAAAGCAUAAAAAUACGAAAAUUCAUAAAAAUCGAGAAAUAAAAAUAAAAAGGGAGAACUAUGAUGAAGAUUCGUCAAGUCUUCGUCUUCGUUGCUCCGUUCUCUUGCUCCUAGAUUGUGUGUAAAAAGAUAGAUUCCUAAUUGUGUGCUUUUUUGGCCUUUAAAUAGGGUGCAAAAAUAUAAGAGGGCGGUUUCCUUGUGUAAUUAAACUUCCUUCACUGCGCCACUUCCUGAACCCGGACGCCCGUGCGAGAAAUAGCUCUGAAACCCGGACGGCCGUCCGGUCUUUAAUUCUUCAAAGUUUUGAUUUUUUUACUUUUGGCCCAUUUUUUCUCUGAAUUUGCAGUUUUUACCCCAUAAGUUGCCAAUUCUUCAAUUUGUACCUAAAAUACAAAUAAUAACCAUUUUAAGCACCAAUUAUCGUUGAAACACACCAAAAGCUCCGAUUAAAAGGUACAAUUAAGUGUAAAAAUAUACACUUAACACACCCCAAAACUUGAACUUUUGCUUGUCCUCAAGUAAAAUCAAUUUAUGAGCACAAACCUCGACUAUACAUCUCAUUACAUAGGUCGAUUUGAUCAACUUCGCGUUUUUAGAACUUGCAAUUAUGAUGACAAUUCCUAGGUAUUCGUAAGCUUAACAUUCAACGGCACUUAGUCACUUACUAUCACCAAAAACCACAAAUCAUACAAUUGCUUCAAGUAUCCAAUAUUUGCAAAUUAAAGAUAGAAAGAAUUUAUACUUACAUGCAUAUAUUUGACUCCAAAUACUCACACAUUUAUUCUACUCAACUAAUAUUGAACAUUAAGCUAUUGGGAUCAUUGGGACUUUGUGGCUUUCAAUUGCAAGGCUCUUUAGUUCGAGGUAGGAAAUAUGGGUAUAUGUGGCUAUUGUUCUUGAAUUGAGGUGAUUACGCCGAAAUUUGAAAUAUAAGCGUUGAAAUAAUGAAAUCACCUCUAAGGACUUUAAGUCAACUCGAUUCUCAAAAGUUCAAAAGUCUCCACUUUUGCUUUUGAGGCAAUGGAUCGAGCUUUCAAAACAAUUCAACAACUAGUCCUUACUUCUCCCUUCUAUUUUCUUCUUCUUCUUUCUCUCUAUUUUUUUUUUUUUUUUCGUGGAAGAAGAAGAAGGACCUUAUAAAAAUUUUCAACCGAACUCCAAGGGGUAAUUUUUCAAGAAUCUCCAUCUAUUCUACCUUAUACACAUUGGCUAAAAGAAAGAACACCUUUUCUCCGAGGCUCAAAUCAAGGUUCUAAAGAUAAUUUCGAUAAAAAGGUCGGCUUGAAAGGCUCAAACGAUUCAAAGAAGGCCCAAAUCAUAUCCCAAAUUACUCACUACUCAAUACUUCGAAUCAUAAAUUUCCUAAGGUGAGUUUUAAAACCGAACAAAGCAUGAUUUAGCACAAAUAAAUUCCAAAUUUAAAAUACAAAACAUUCAACCAAAGCAAUCCACAAGGUGUGAUUCCUAGCAAUAAUUCACUUCUACGUUCCGUUGAAUCGAAAGCUAAAUGAAUAUCUACUCCUUAUCAACAUAAAACAAGUAAUCUCAUCAUCAAACAUUGACCAUCUCCCAUCAUCAUAAUUCAUCGAUGUGUCGAUCCAAGCAAAAAAAAAAUUUAAACUUUUUUUUUUUUUCUCAUGCCAUUUUUUUUUAAAUAAUAAAACGACAACUAAAACAAAAACUAAAACAUGCAAACUAAUAAACAAGUAAAACACAAAUUAAGCGCACAUAAAAGAAAACAAAUAGUUAACCAGCCCCAAACUUAAAAUUCACAUUGCCCUCAAUGUGAUUCGCCCGGAGUUUAAGGAUAGAAAACACCUGUUUAAGCGUCUGGACCAUCAUCGGGUUGCUCACCAACUCCACCGUGCUCAUGAGCAUCACCAUCUCCCUCAUCCUCCAAUAGCUCGGGUACCGGCUCAAGAAUCAGUGCGGACAAUGGUUCCGGUUCGGCGCACUCGGGCGUACCGCACGCCAAAUGGCGCACAAUGGCUUGGAGCAUCUUCCCCGACCACCGUUGAAGAGAUUCGAUUGUGCUCACCUUGUGCUCCACCGUGGCAAGCCGAUUUCUAGUAAUGACCAACUCUCGCUCCAUUCUUCUUUGAAAACGGCGGUCCGAACUUGUGCUUGGACCCUCGGGUGGAGCUAAUGGUUGGCUAUCGACGGGUUGCUCGCCACCGUGGAUGGGUGCCUUGAAUUGUCGGGCCGCAAGGUUACUCAUCGGCUUCCGAAUUUGUGUGAUAAUAUCCGUCGUUUUGGUUGGGACCUUCGCCUUCUUGCAUAGGCCGGUAACGAGGCAAGGGAAAUAGAACCCUUUGGAGUUGUUGAUCAUGGAGAUCCAAAAACGGUCGGAUAUGAUUUCGCCAUUAUUGAUCGGUGUGCCCUUUAAAAUGUAAUAUGCAAGAGCACACCGUUCAUGGUCCACGUGAGUCCAUGAGCGGGUGGGGAUGAGGUCGGCGCAUAUGAAAGUAAGGCAUGCCUUGCCUAUUUGGUGGAUGCAUUUCCACUCCAACUCGUAUUCCUCCUCGGUGGAGAAUUCGGACCAAAUUGGGGGCCCAUCACACAACACCUCGCCGAGUUGAUCUUUUGUUACCGCGAGUUGCAUUUGUUCCCAGUUGAAUGGCUCAUGUCGGACGUUGUAGAAGGAGUUGAUGGCCUUGGCACUCCAAUCGACCCGCUUCCCUCGAACCGUGCUCGUCUUCCUAUCCGAAGUUAGGAGAAUACGGGUGUUGGCGUAGAACUCGCGGACCAAAGAUAAGUUUAUCGACUCCGCCGGUUCCAACAAUGAUUGCCACCCUCGUCGUAGGAAUUCUUGAUGCAACGAUGCACAUUGCGGUAGGGUGACCUCAUAUGCGCGCUCCGUCACAAGUUUCUUCACUUUUUGUUUUUCAAAACGAACCUUGGCGCCUUCGACACAAAAUGCAUCGUCAUCGGGGGUUGGAAUUUGAUAGGCUUUCUUGCCCUUCCCCUUGCCUUUUGAAGUGCCUUCGCCUUGUGAGGUGCCCUCCCCGUCAUGUCCUCGUUUCCCCAUGAUGUGAGAAUGCCUUGUGGAAGGGAUUUGAAGUGAAUUGGUGUGCAAAAUUUCCCCCAAACUUGACUCGGGCAAAUCGUCGAACACCUUGUGGGCGGUCCUUGUUGAAUGGGUUUUUAGAGAAAUUUGCACCUUUCUUGAAUCCUCCCUGCACAAAUCAACAACAAUCCACCGUGUUUGAGUAUUAUAUGUGUGUAAUUGUGAAUUUUCGGUGAAAUUUGUCAAAGAAAAGGGAAAAUUUUGAAAGAAGAAGGUUAGGGUUCGAAGUGGGGAAGAGAGAGGAAUGGGAAUUGUGAAAAUUGUUGUGUAGAAAACCCUUCUUUAAUACGCACUGUUUUUAUUUCGCACGGCCGUGUGACCUCUUGCACUGUUUUUUCGGACGGCCGUGCAAAAUUCAAAAGUUGGGCAGUAGGUUGCUGUUUCUCGGACGGCCGUGCGAGAAUUCAGUGUAAAUUCCGCACGUCCGCGCCCCUUCUCGAUUUUAUACAGUAGCGUCUCCAAAUCUCGGACGGCCGUGCGAGAAUUCAGUUAUUUGUUCGCACGGCCGCGCCCCUCGCCGAUUUUAUACAGUAGCACCUCGAUAAUCUCACACGGCCGUGUGAGAUUUCUGCCUUUUUUCUUGCACGGCCGUGUGAAUAAUUGCAGAAUUUGCAAUUCAACCCCUGAAAAAUAAAAUUUUCUUAUUAGUGUGCAUGCUUUUUUUUUUUUUUUUUUUUUUUUUAUAAAUAAAAUAAAAACUAAAACUAACAAAAUAAUAAUAAGAAAAAAAUUAAAAUAAAAUAAAAUAAAAUAAAGAAAAACAAAAUCUCGGGUUCCCUCCCGAGAAGCGCUAAGUUUACAGUCUUCAGCCGGACUUUGUCUGCUUCUUUGUUCAAGCUAACGUGACCGAAGUCACUAGGCGAUUGAAUUCCCCUCCCCGGUAAUGCUUGAGGCGUUGCCCAUUGACUUUGAACGAUUUUUCGGUUUCGGGAUCCAAUAACUCGACUGCGCCGUGCGGAAAUACUUCGAGUAUAGUAAACGGUCCGGACCAUCUUGACUUGAGUUUUCCUGGAAACAACUUUAGACGGGAGUUGUGAAGGAGAACCAAUUGCCCCUUUUGAAAUUCUCGAUGCAAUAUCUUGUUAUCGUGCCAACGCUUGGUUUUUGAUUUCACGAUUCGUGACCUCGGCUUGCCCGUUCGUCUGAGGGUGGUAGGCCAAUGCGACCUUGUGCUUUACACCAUACUUGGCCAAGAGUGUUUCGAAUUGUUUAUUGCAAAAGUGAGUGCCUCCAUCACUAAUAAUUGCUCGUGGUGUUCUAAAGCGGGUGAAAAUCUGUCUUUUCAAGAAAGCACAAACCACUGCAAAAUCAUUAGUAGGAAAGGCGGCCGCCUCAACCCAUUUAGAUACAUAAUCAACAGCCACUAAGAUGUAUAGGUUAUUGAAUGAUGGGACAAAAGGCCCCAUAAAAUCUAUUCCCCAUACAUCGAAGGGCUCUACUUCGAUCAUUGUAUUUAAUGGGAGUUCGUGCCUCCUUGAAAUAUUACCAACUCGCUGGCAUCUAUCACAACUUGAAACAAAAUUAUAGCAAUCUUUAAACAAAGUUGGCCAAAAGAAACCUGAUUGAAGCACCUUUCUCGCCGUGCGCUCACCUCCAUAAUGUCCCGCAUAAUGCGAGCCAUGGCAGUGAAAAAGUAUAUCUCCUUUCUCGCUUUCCGGUACACAUCUUCGAAUGACUAAAUCGCUGCAUUGUCUAAACAAAAAGGGUUCUUCCCAGAAGUAGAAAUUCACAUCGUGUAAAAACGUUUUUCGUUGAUGAAAAGUGAGCUCAGGUGGAAGUACAUGGCUAACUAAAUAAUUCACAAAAUCCGCAUACCAUGGUACUUCUUGAUUAUCAAUAACAAGCAAUUGUUCAUUCGGAAAGUUUUCAUUAAUGCAAAUUGGAUCUUCUAAUUUCGUUUCUAGCCUAGAUAAAUGAUCGGCUACUUGGUUUUCGCUACCCUUACGAUCACGAAUUGCCAAAUCGAAUUCUUGCAACAAUAAGACCCACCUAAUAAGUCUAGGUUUUGCUUCUUUCUUUUCUAUCAAAUAUUUCAAAGCCGAGUGAUCCGUGAAGACAAUGACUUUUAUGCCUAUAAGAUAUGAUCUAAAUUUUUCGAAUGCAAAAACAACUGCUAGCAACUCUUUUUCAGUGGUGGUAUAAUAUAAUUGUGCCUCGUUUAGAGUUUUAUUAGCAUAGUAAAUUGAAUGAAAUUUUUUAUUCUUUCUUUGACCCAACACGUCACCUACCGCAAAAUCAUUAGCAUCACACAUAAGCUCAAAAGGUUCAUUCCAAUCGGGCACAACAAUAAUAGGAGCAGUUACUAACCUUGUUUUCAAGUCGUCGAAGGCUUUGAGGCAUUCGUCAUUGAAAUCAAAUUUGACGUCCUUCUCCAACAAAUUGCACAAUGGCUUGGCAACCUUGGAAAAAUCCUUGAUGAACCGCCUAUAGAAUCCCGCAUGUCCCAAAAAACUUUGAAUCCCCUUUACGGAAAUUGGUGGCGGUAAUUUCUCGAUUGUCUCGAUUUUUGCUCGAUCGACUUCUAACCCUUUCCUUGACACCUUGUGUCCUAGCAAAAUUCCUUCUUGCACCAUAAAGUGGCACUUUUCCCAGUUGUGCACCAAAUUUGUCUCUUCACACCUGCGAAGAACCUUAGCCAGUAUUUGGAGACAGGUAUCAUACGUAUCACCGAAAACAGAAAAAUCAUCCAUAAAAAUUUCAAGACCACAUUCAACCAUGUCCGUAAAAAUUGCCAUCAUACAACGUUGAAAAGUAGCAGGAGCAUUGCAUAAACCAAAAGGCAUACGUCUAAAGGCAAAAGUACCAAAAGGGCAAGUAAAAGUGGUUUUGUCUUGAUCCUCGGGAGCUAUGGCGAUUUGGUUAUAACUGGAAUACCCAUCUAAAAAGCAAUAAAAUUCUUGACAAGCUAGCCUAUCAAGCAUUUGAUCAAUAAAGGGCAAAGGGAAGUGGUCUUUUCGAGUGGCUUUAUUCAAUUUUCUACAAUCCAUGCAAAUUCGCCAACCCGUUACUGUCCUAGAAGGGAUUAAUUCAUUUUUUUCGUUUUUUAUAACAAUCAUUCCCCCCUUCUUGGGUACACAUUGUAUCGGACUAACCCACGCACUAUCGGAAAUAGAAAAAAUAAUACCUGCGUCUAACCACUUGAUGAUUUCUUUCUUCACAACUUCCUUCAUGAUGGGGUUCAAUCGCCUCUGUUGUUCCACUGAAGAUUUAUGGCUCUCCUCCAAUAUGAUCUUGUGCAUGCAAAAAGUUGGACUUAUGCCUUUGAUGUCGGCAAUUGUCCAUCCAAGUGCUAGCUUGUGCUCUCGCAAGACCUCCAAAAGUCUCUUUUCCUGUAGACCUGUCAAAGAUGAAGAAAUAAUAACAGGUAAGGUCUCAUGAGCUCCAAGAUAUAUAUAUUUUAAAUGAGAUUGUAAAACUUUAAGCUCAAGUUUCGGAGGUUCGAUCACUGAAGGCUUAAAAGUGACAGAUAACGGGAGCUCCGUUUCCAAACUUUCAAAGCGUGGUCUUGACAGCGGCUUUCCCACAUAAUUGUUCCGUCACUGCUUCUUCCUCAACUGAUGUUCCUACACUCAAAGAUGCUUCCAACGGAUCCGCAAUUAAAGGUUCAACAAAAUCAAAAUUCAAUUGAUCUAACACAUCAAAAGCAAAACAUUCAUCACCCUCUUGAGGGUGCUUCAUUGUACGGAAAACAUCAAAUUUAAUCGUUUCAUCCCCCAAAGACAUAGAUAAAAUUCCAUUAUACACAUCAAUUAUAUUUCUACCCGUUCUCAAAAAAGGUCUUCCCAAAAUCAUAUGAAUUUCUUUAUCUUCUUCCAUAUCAAGAACUACAAAAUCUGCAGGAAAGAUGAAUUUAUCUACUUUACCUAACACAUCCUCUACUAUUCCUUUUGGGUAUAUGAGUGAUCUAUCGGCUAACUGUAAAGUCACAGAUACCAAUUUUAUAUCUCCUAAUCCCAAACUUUGAAAAACUGAGAAAGGCAUGAGAUUAAUGCUCGCACCUAAAUCUAUGAGAGAUUUUGCAAAGAACUUACCUCCGAUAGCGACUGAAAUCGUAAACUUACCCGGGUCUCCAAGCUUUGGUGGAAUUGGGCGAGUAAGAAUGGCACUGCAUUGUUCGGUUAAGGCUAUCAUCUCAUGUUCACCGAAUUUCCGUUUCUUUGAUACCAUGUCUUUCAAAAAUUUCACCGAAUGAGGCAUUAGUUCAAGUGCUCGAGUAAAAGGAAUAUUAAUAUGUAAUUCACUCAAUUGCUCAAGAAAACUUUUGUAAUACGACUCAUUCUUCGCCUUUAUCUGGCGUUGAGGAUAAGGUACCUGAGGGGUCGGCUUAGGUGCAACGACCCUUUUCUCACCUGGUGGAUCUGUCAGAGUCAUAACUUCUUUUUCUCGUUGCUCUCUGUUAACCACAAAUUUUUCGAGUCUGCAAAAUAUAAUAAAAAUACAAGACAGGAAAAUAGGGAACAAAUAAUUUAUUAAUCAAAACGAUGUGGAUUACAAUCUUCGUAAUUCCCCUGAUUCUUCUCUCCUAUUCUAAUUUUGAUUCAAGGGCUUAAAAGCUUGUUCUUGAAUCGAACAUAUGAUUUCCUAUCACGAACAUCUCGAAUUUAAAUAUGUUAUGAAUUCGAGGAAUCGAAUACAUGAUUUCCUAUCACGAACACCUCGAAUUCAAAUAUGUUGUGAAUUCGAGGCGGAGGCUCGAGACGUGAGCUUGAGAGCUCGAUAUGUGUCUGUGUGAGUCUAAUUUUUAGAUGCACCAAAGAUCUUCUUUUAUAGACACAAUCUAGGGUUAGGGUUUCUCGACUUGUAGAGUGGGCCAGACAUUUAAAAGCCCAAAUAUAUUAUGGACUUUAAUCUGAGACCUAAAUUAAUAACCGAUUUAUUUUGGUUAUUAAUUAGUAAUUUAUCUCAAAAUUUCGAUGUCUACAAAUGCCCCCACUUCUAGUCUCGUCGAAGAACAUGUUGAAUAUUUGUAAGACGAGACUUGAAGUAAUCGAAUUUUCUUUCAUUUAUUGGCUUCCACACCUCUUUCCUCAACUUUGGGGUUUAAUUUGAUAAGUCCUUCACCUUGAGGGACUUAAAUGAUAAGUCCUAUUCUUUGAUAAGGGCUCAAACGCAAUUUAUUGCUUCUUGAUUUGGGGAUCUAACUAAUCCAUCCGCAGCACUUCACAAUUACUCCGACGGCCGCUCACACUUUGGUCUCAACAUCUCUCUUUGUAACUUUGAAAAUUUCUCCAUAUGCAUAUGUUUUUCACAUAUUCACGACCACACCAUGGGCGGUGGUAAUGAAGAGCGGCGCAGUAGCAUCUUUGGAUUCGCCGGAAGAGUUCAGCGCAACACCUAGACGAUGGCGAGCUUGGACUAUAGGCAGCAUCUUUGUUGUCAUCGGAGGAAUAGGUGGCGCGGCUCUUCAGUCUACGGUGAGUUUGACUGGUGGAUUUGAGCGGCCAGCGGUUUGCGGCGGCGAAAGAGGAUAUAACACCGUCGAGGGCUUCCGGCGGCAAAAAUUGAAACGGAAUUCUCCAGGCGCCGAUGUUUGUCGGCGGGCAUAUUCCGGCGGCCUCCCGGAUUUGACAUAACGGGGAGAAUUGUUGGCAAAGUCAAAUGAUCGCCAUGGCUGGCCCCUUUUUUUUUUAAUUUUUUUUUUAAAUUCAUUUAGGGACCAAGAUUGUGGAUCUGUAUUUUUUUUUCUGCUGCCAAAGAGGGGAUUUGCUGGAGAUUUUCUUCCUUCGUCAAUACUCCAAAUCUUUUGGCAACUCAAUCGGUCGAAGCAUAGUAGAUUGGAGAAGAAAUCGUGCCACGCGUCUUUGCCCCCAAGCGAAUAAAUAAAGAGUUUUACCCCUUUUUUUUCUUUUUUUUUUUUUAUUCCCGUCCGUAUUCACGAGUAGCAAUGGUUUCUUAGCCGCCAUUGGACAGUUGAAUGGACUUAAUUUUGACAUCGGAGGAAGAGAUGAGGGGCGAAGAUAGUCCCACUGGGCGUGCCAAAAUUUGUUAACCACAAAUUUUUCGAGUCUGCAAAAUAUAAUAAAAAUACAAGACAGGAAAAUAGGGAACAAAUAAUUUAUUAAUCAAAACGAUGUGGAUUACAAUCUUCGUAAUUCCCCUGAUUCUUCUCUCCUAUUCUAAUUUUGAUUCAAGGGCUUAAAAGCGUGUUCUUGAAUCGAACAUAUGAUUUCCUAUCACGAACAUCUCGAAUUUAAAUAUGUUAUGAAUUCGAGGAAUCGAAUACAUGAUUUCCUAUCACGAACACCUCGAAUUCAAAUAUGUUGUGAAUUCGAGGCGGAGGCUCGAGACGUGAGCUUGAGAGCUCGAUAUGUGUCUGUGUGAGUCUAAUUUUUAGAUGCACCAAAGAUCUUCUUUUAUAGACACAAUCUAGGGUUAGGGUUUCUCGACUUGUAGAGUGGGCCAGACAUUUAAAAGCCCAAAUAUAUUAUGGACUUUAAUCUGAGACCUAAAUUAAUAACCGAUUUAUUUUGGUUAUUAAUUAGUAAUUUAUCUCAAAAUUUCGAUGUCUACACUCUCAUCCAUCCUUGUUUGUCGCCUUCUUCGUCACUUCUUCCAGUUGUCUUCCAUUCCUCAAACUGACGACUUUGCAUUGCUCGUUGGUGCCCUUUCGAGGGUCUUCCGUAUUUGACGGUAAUGUACCGGCUGGCCUCGCGUUCAAUUGGGUUGCAAAUAUGCCCAUCUGUGUUUCCAAAUUUCGAAUGGAUGCUUGGGUGGUCGUCAUAAAUUGGGCCAAGAUAUUCGCGAGGUCUCCACCUUGAGGUGGAGCUUGAGGCGGAUUUUGGAAUCCGGGAGCUAGUCGUGAAUAAUUAGGAGGUUGGCCUUGAGGUGGUCCUUGCAUUUGCCCUUGCUGAUUUCCUCCCCACCCAAAGUUAGGGUGAUCUUUCCAUCCCGGAUUAUACGUGUUGGAGUACGGGUUCCUCUGUUGUCGGUUGGUGUCGUGCACAUAAUUUAGAGAUUCCGUUUCGUGUAUGCAUUGGUCGGGAGCUUGGACUGCAUGAACUUGCUGAGUCUGCAAAGCUGCAACUUGUUUUGAUAGCUUCUCCAAUUGGGCAGUGAUUGCGGUGACCCCGUCCAAUUCCAAAAUUCCUCCCGUCUUGACUGCUCCGCUAUUCGACCGGUCUGAUGCCCGCAUGUAUUUAUUUCUAGCGAUUCGUUCCAAGAUUUCGUAUGCUUCGUCGUAGGUCAAACUCAUGAACAUACCUCCAGCUGCAGAGUCGAGCACGGUUCUCGAGUUGUCUUGCAGUCCAUCGUAAAAUAUUUGCAGUUGGCGCCACUCUUGAAGUUCGUGAUUCGGGCACCUCCUUAUUAGCUGCUUGAACCGCUCCCACGUCUCGAAUAAUGCUUCAACGGCUUCUUGUAUGAAGUUUUGAAUUUCCCUCCGGAUUCUCUCAGUUUUUGUUGGGGAGUUGUAUGUGUUUAUGAAAAGUUGUGCUAGCUGGGACCAAGACGAGAUGGAGUGCGGCGCUCGAGUUUGGAGCCAUUCCCGGGCUGCUCCUUGUAAAGAGUGCUUGAACAGGCGGAGUUGCAGUGCUUCGGGUGAUACUCCGUUCAUCUUGUGCGAAUCACACGUUUCGAGAAAGUUGACCAAGUGGAGAUGGGGAUCUCCAUGAGCCAAUCCGCUGAAUAACCCAUUGUUUUGGAGCAUAGUGAGGAGUCCCGCUCGAAUUUCGAAAUUGUUGGCUUCAAUGGGGGGCUGCUGGAUGCUUGAUUGAAACCCAUUGAGUGUUGGAACGGUGUACUCAUGUAAUGCUCGUUGACGAGGUGGUGGAUUAAUUAGUUGGCGUUGCUCUUGCUCAUUGACGAUUUUCCCCACCGCAUUCGGUAGGCGCCCUUGGUCAUCUCCCCUACGAUUAAUCUCUUCUUCCAUCGUUGCGGGAGCGUUUUGAGCUAACCGUUGAUUUCUCCUAGCUUGCCUAAACGUUCGCUCAAUUUCGGGAUCAAGAGGUAGCAAGUUCGUGUCGUGUCCUCUUCGCAUAAAAAGUACCUAAAUCAAAAUAAUAAUAAUAAAAUAAUUAAAUAAAAUAAAUAAAACGGCUGAAGUAAGAAAAAUUGCUCGAAUUUAAUAUUAGGAUAAAUAAAUAAUUUAGCCGUACUCCCCGGCAACGGCGCCAAAAACUUGUUGGGGCUAAAUACCUAACACGCAAGUUCACGUAUCGCAAACAAGUAGUAAAAGUGGACUCGUGAGAGUCGGAUGUCCAUCCCACAGGGAAUACUCAAAUUAUCUAAUCCUAAGUACCAAAUUCUAACAAUUAUGAUUUUUAUCCAGCCUACGCAAGGUUGUGAAAUUUAAUCAACUAAAUAAUUAAACUAAUUAUUAAAUCAAAUAAACACGCGAGAAUAUCAAUAAAAACGGAUCUAGGAUUUUAUCUUCCCCCUAUGCGAUAGUUCAUCACCCAAUUAAACCUCUAUCAUGUAAGUCACGAUUCCCGAUUAUUAACCCAAGACACUCAAUUACUCAUAACCCGCUGUCGCGUGUAUUAUGAGUCUAUUAUUCAUACCCGAUUCACUAUAUGUCUAUGAAAACCAAUUAUGAAUAAAACAUUAAAUAACAAGUCUCGUAAAUGGCUACCUAAGGUAUUAUCUGUAUGUCUACGAUAAUACAUGCAAUUAACACACUCAUCCGGUGAAACUACUCGAAGGUUCUUCUAUCCCUAUUCUAAUUAUUAAAACGAUCUGUCGAUUCAAUUCUAACAAUAACACAUAGCAAAAUAAAUUAGCUAGAUUCAUGCACUAAAUAAAAUUAGAUAGAAGAAAUAAUCAUGGAAUUUAAACUUGCAUAAUAUUAGAAAAAUAGGUUCGAAUUACCACAUAGGGUUCAAACAAAAUCCUAGAUUAAAAACUUAGCUACUUAUGUUCUCUACGAAAAGCAUAAAAAUACGAAAAUUCAUAAAAAUCGAGAAAUAAAAGUAAAAAGGGAGAACUAUGAUGAAGAUUCGUCAAGUCUUCGUCUUCAUUGCUCCGUUCUCUUGCUCCUAGAUUGCGUGUAAAAAGAUAGAUUCCUAAUUGUGUGCUUUUUUUGCCUUUAAAUAGGGUGCAAAAAUAUAAGAGGGCGGUUUCCUUGUGUAAUUAAACUUCCUUCACUGCGCCACUUCGUGAACCCGGACGCCCGUGCGAGAAAUAGCUCUGAAACCCGGACGGCCGUCCGGUCUGUAAUUCUUCAAAGUUUUGAUUUUUUUACUUUUGGCCCACUUUUUCUCCGAAUUUGCAGUUUUUACCCCAUAAGUUGUCAAUUCUUCAAUUUGUACCUAAAAUACAAAUAAUAACCAUUUUAAGCACCAAUUAUCGUUGAAACACACCAAAAGCUCCAUUAAAAGGUACAAUUAAGUGUAAAAAUAUACACUUAACAGAAUCCAAGAUGAACAGUUUCCACCAAUCGCAAUGCAUGGAUCGACUUCACUAGGAGUGCUGACGUCAGCAUUACUCAGAACUUAAUUGGGGUUAGUUAUAGCUUGAAUGAGCUUGUAACAAGUCAUGUAACCGAAUCAGAGAUUCUUCAAUGUAUUCGUUUUGUAUUUAAAUAGAUAGAUUAUAAAGCUUGGUAGAAUAUUUUUCGUUUUCUCUUCCAAAGCCUUUAGCCAUUGUUGUUCGAUGGAUAAAUCUCGAAGCUUUAUUUAUUCUUCCAAUGUCUUUGAUCUGUAGAUUCUAAUAUGGUGUCAAUUGAUUAGUUUCUUUUCUUUGGAUUCAAUUUCUUUUCCGUUAGCAUCUAGUUUCUAGAAAACUUAGUACAUGAUAGCCAAGCCUUCAUUUUGAAUUCUGAGGAAAAAAAAAAAAAAAACUAGUGUUGCAAAAACAUGCCCGUACUCUCAUUGAUGGGAGGCAAUGGCUUUUUGCUUGGCGAAGUGAAAACGCGCCACAGAUACGACAAGAGAGAGAGAGAGAGAGAGAGAGAGAGAGAGAGAGAGAGAGAGAGAGAGAGAGAGAGAGAGAGAGAGAGAGAGAGAGAGAGAGAGAGAGAGAGAGAGAGAGAGAGAGAGAGAGAGAGAGAGAGAGAGAGAGAGAGUUCAUAAACUCUGUUGCAAAUGGUAUUGAUCCUGCAAUCAUGAUGCGAGAAAAAAAUUAACUAGUCUAUGUUCCUUAGGGUGCAUUUGGAUGUGACGAUUAAUUGAGGAGGUAUUUCAAAUCCAUAACAACAAACUCAUUGUACUUGUUUGGACAUAGAGAUUCAUUGUGGAUUUCAAAUCCACAGUUCUCAUUUUUAUUUUUUUAUUUUUAGCAAUUGUGGUGAAUUUCAAACCCCUUCCUAAUUAUAAUCGUUUCAAAUCUUCCCCAAUUGAAUUGAUUUAAAACCAUUCAUUUCAAAUACCUCAAUCUAAACACAGCCUUAAUGAAAUUUGGUCUACCCUUAUAAGCAUGAAUAUAGUUCAAAGAUGCUUGUCUACUUCAACUCAUUCAUCAUUCAACAACAAACUAAAAAGAGAAUGGAGUUCAUAAAAUCCCAUUCAUAAUUAACUUCUUAAGUUGUUAAAAACAAGGAAAAUAGUACAAAGGACCAUAAUGCGCCAAAAACUAGUUAUGUUGGAUUCAUAAAUAUGUUUUACCGUUGUUGUGUUGAGCAUUAGAACAUUGUUAAUGAUGCUUCCGCUUCCUCCACCCUCCAGUAAAACUUCUUUGGUUGGUCAACAACAAAAGAAAAAUGAGAGAAAAUUCAUAAACUUUAUUGAUCAUGAAACCUAUGAUUUCACAAACAUGGUGCAAGAAAAAAGUUUACUUUGUUAGAAAACUGGUUUAACCACUAUGCCGCUGACGAAUAAGAAUAUUGUUCGAGAUGCUUCUCUAGUGCAUCUAGAUAUGAGGUUCCGAGGAAAAACCUCAAAAAAAAAAAAAGACUUCUUACGCGACAACUGUCAACAAAAAAUAAAUAAUAAUAAAUAAAAAAGAAGAAAAAUAAAAAAGAAAGAGGCAAAAUGAACUACGCUCAUAAUUAACUUUAAUAGUUAUUAAAAUAAGAAAGUUAGUGAAUUUAGAAACAAUAAAUGUGCAAAAUGCUACAAAUUUGUGGCCGUAAAGGUUUAUAAAUAACAAUAUUAUGUUCUACAUUUAAAGAUCAAAGACAUAUUCGUUUCGUAGUUUGCUUACAAACUCUCUAUCUCUACCAUCUCUACGUACCAACUUUAAAAGCAUGAAUGUUUUUUGUUUCUUAACAUUUUUUGUACUUCCUAUUAUGCCCCUUCUAACAAAGUUAUACCAUCAACUAGUUGGGGUACUCAAUUGUGUAAACAAAAAAAUGAACAUAGCUUAAUAAUGUAGUUUAAAUAUCAAAUGUCUUUUCACGUGCUAUAUUUAUAUGAAGGUGAGAGUUUAUUUUCUUCUUAUUGUAAGUUUUUCUACAUAUAGAUAUUUUCGAUGUAAUUUAAUUUUGUAUAAAAUUACAUUUGGACAACUUUCCAUUGAUAUAUUAUAAGCAUACAUUUACAUAUGUAAAAAUUUAUUUUAAAAUAAAUCAUUUUAUUUUAGGGACAAUUACAAAUAGGCCUAUUAUGAGCUACUUAUUCAUAAAUGGGCCAAGACAAAAAUAUAUUUUACAAAAAAAUCCAGACAAUGUCCAAAGGUGCAUAAAAUACUAAAAUACCCCCUUAAAUUUUAAUAUGCUCCAAUUUCAUCAUUUAAUUCAAUUUAAACUCAAUUUAACCCCAAAUUUCAUCAAUUAUUCAAACUAACCCAAUUUUGACUACAGUUUCGCCAGUCGUCGCCGUUGACCGGCGUUGGUUAUUUAUUUUUUUUUUCACCUUUUCCACUGGUUUUCAGCGUUGCUUUUUUUGAUUUUUUUCUUCUUUCUGCCGCGUCUGACAGGCGUGGCCUUAACUUUUUUUUUAAACUUUUUUUUCUUUAACAUUUUUUGAUCUGUUUAAACAGUGAUACUGCUAUGGUUGAGAGACAUAUUAACUAUAUUACUACUUAACAUAAUAAUAUUAACUAUAUUACAAUUUAACACAGUAAUAUUGUUAUAUUACUCUGUAGCACAGUAAUAUUAACACAACAAAAAUCAUUAUUAUUGUGUAAUAGAGUAAUAUUAAUUUGUUGACCUUCAACAAAUGCAAACAUAAUAGAAGGUCAAAAGAAUUAAUAUUGAUGUGGUUGACAGUAAUAUUACUGUCAACUACAGUAAUAUUACUGUAACGAAAGUAAUAUUAUUAUCAACCACAGUAAUAUUAUUGUGUUUACAGUAAUAUUACAAUUGAAGACAACAAUAGUAUUACGUUAAUCGGUCAACAAAUCAAACAAAAUAAAAAGGCCAAAAAAAUUAAUAUUGAUGUGGUUGACAGUAAUAUUAUUACGUUGACUGGUCAACAAAUCAAACAAGAUACAAAAGCCAAAAGAACAAUAAUAUUUAUGUGGUUGACAGUAAUAUUAUUGUGUUACCAGUAAUUGUCCUAUCAACGACAAUACAAUUACUAUCAACAACAGUUCAAUUACUGUCAAUGAAAGUAUAAUUACGGUCAAAACAAAUAAAAACUUUAGGAAAAAAAUAAAAAAAAAGUCAACACAGGAAAUCGGCAGCAGAAAAAGCAGGCAUGAGAAAAAAAAACUCAACGCCAGGAAUCGGUGGCAAAAAAAAAAAUCAGAAAGAAAAAAAUUUAAAAAAGAAAAGGUCAAAAUUGAAUUUUUGUGGUCAAAAUUAAUGAAAAUGAAGUUAAACUGGGGUUACACUUAUGAAUUGAGUUUAAAGGGUUGGGGGUAAUGUUGUUAUAUAUUAAAUUUUACCUUUAUUUAUAAUACAUGUUAUAUGAACACAGAGAUGGUUGGUGAGGGACUUAUGCAUAAAAUGUAAUGAACACAGAGAUGGUUGGGAAGGGACUUAUGCAUAAAAGUAGACACGACCACGGACCGAGUUUGACCCGGAUCCGAUGACCGCCCAGCCCCUCCAAUGUAUGGUAUGCAUAAAAGUAGACACGGCCACGGACCGGGUUUGACCCGGACCUGAUGACCGCCCAGCCCCUCCAAUGUAUGGGUCGGUUUCGGGUCCCGAGACCCGACGAGUCCACGCAUGAGACCCGGCCCGAGGACCCGACCCGGGACCUGGGUAUUAACUGUAGCAUUUUUGUCCAAAAACCGCUCGGCAAGGGGUUCGAACUCGGGGAAGAUUGGUAAGAAUCUUACCUAUCGGCCAACCAACAUGUUUGAUUAAAAGCAAACAAUAUAAUAUAAAAAGCCGGUGUAAAAUGAUAAAAUGACUUAUAAAUAUGUUUAAUAAAUUAUUAAUUUUUAUAUUUAUUAGGGCAAAGUUGCACCCCUAGACUAUGACGGUUGUACCACUUUGCCCCUCUAUACUAUAAAACGUCUCAAAUACCCCUCUCCGUUUAACUUCUCUUUGUGAAAGCUAAUGUGGCACUUUGACUUUAUUGCUUAUAGCCCUUUUUUGUACCAUUGGAUAUUUUCUGAUGAUUUUACCCCUUCAUUCAAGUAUAUAUAGGUGUGUGUGUGUGUGUGUGUGUGUUGAAGUCCUUUUCACGAGCUCAAGUUUUCCUAUUUUUUUGAUAAAUUGCUGCAUUUUUUGGUCAAGUCUUUUUGCUCCAUCUUUUGUGAAGUCUGAAUCAUAUAAUGUGCCUCCAUGAUGAAAUCUUAUGGUCUAAAAUUGAUCAAACAUGUGUUUUCUGCACAAAAAUCAACAAAACUGAAAUUGUAAAAAACAAUACCAAAAUAAAAUACCUACAAUUACAAAAUCAAUCCUAAAAAUGAAAAUUUUCCCAAAAAAUAAACACAGUUGUAAAAAUCAAGUAAACCCUAAGUUCACUUCACUCACAAUUUCUUAUCAAAAUCGACAAAUACAUCAACUAUUAUACAAUUACUAAGUUUCACACAGCAAACCCUCAAUCAAAAUUCAACCCCUAAACCCUUAAACAAAAUUACAAACAAAGACGAGAAAAACCCUAGAAAUACGACUAACCUUUGCCACGGUCUUCAAAUGUCUUCUAUCAGAAUUUUCGUCGGUUAAUUAGCUACCAAAUGUUCGAUGAUGAUUGAUUUUUAGACGAUGGCGAGAUUCUAAGAAGAACAAAUCACUUUUUUUUUCCAAAGUUGUUUUCUGCAUUGUUUUGGUGUUCUCGUGAGUGAAGUUGUGAGAUAGUGGAGAAGAAAAGGUGAGUCAACAUACUAUUUUACACUGAUAAAGGUAGAUAAGUAAUUGCACCUUCAAACUAGCGUUGUUAAUAAUUUAACGUUUGACCACAAAUAAGAGGGAGGUAUUUGAGACGUUUUAUAGUAUGGGGGGCAAAGUGGUAUAACCCUCAUAGUUUAGGGGUGUAAACAGUACUUUGUCCUAUUAAUUACUAUUAUUUUUUUUAAUUAAAUUAUUAACAAAAUGCAAUACCUUUCAUAUUUAUCAUAAAAUAAUUAUUUAAAAAUAUAGAUGAUGUUUAUUUUAACAAAAAUAGAUUAUAUCUCAUUCCAAUUAAUUUUCUUACUUUAAAAAUAAAACUAUAUAUGACGAGUAUAAUCAAAAUAUUAUGAUGUCAUUUCUCUUUUUAAUAAGUGGUUUAAUUUGUAAAAAUUGUAAGAAUUAAAUCGUAGAUCAUAUGAUGUAAUCAAUUUUUUUUUUACAUUUUAUUCAAAUAUUAGAAUGGAAUUGUAAGAUUUAAAUGGAUUAAGCUCAAGUCCUUUCAAUUUAUUUUAAAUUUUUAUUAUAUUAUAUUUGUUAAUAAUUUAAUUAAAAUUGUAUAAUAAUAAUGAAUGUGAUAAUUAAUAAUCUAUUUAACAUUAUUUAUUAUAAUUAUUUUACACUUUUUGUUUAUAUAAUAUAUAUUUCUUGCCUGGAUUGCCAUUUAUGUUUGAGGAACCCAAGUUCGAAUCCUAUCCUAAGCAUUUUGAACAAAAUUUAAAAAUCCGCUUUGGACCCGGACCCGACUCACCACGGGUCGGUUUCGGGUCUCCAAAAUGUUGGACCCGGACCUGGACCCGACCCGUGGUCGUGUCUACAUAAAAGGCCAUUUAUUGUAAAUUAAGUAUUAGAUACCUACCUAAAAUAGCUCCAAAUUUUAAGUAUGAAAAUAUAAUAAUGUAAACUCAAACUAAUUAUUAUUUAUAAUAUGCUAUAUUAAAAGUAUGAUAAUCUUUUCAUAUAUUAUAAUUUAUUUCGAAAGUUGAAGUUUAUUUACUUACAAAUUCCACAAAUAUGAAAAUUUAAACUCAAACUAAUUAUUAUUUAUAUUAUGCUAUAUUAAAAGUACGAUAAUCUUUUCAUAUAUUAUAAUUUAUUUCGAAACUUGAAGUUUAUUUUCUUAUAUUCUUAAAUAAAAUGUAUUUCAUGUAAAACUCAUAAUAUUGUUUUUCAGUGACAUAUCAUAAACAUGUAAGUGAACGUUAUCAGGUUAAUUUGGAUUAUUUAGAAAUAACAAAUUAAAAUUAAAAAUAAACAUUGAUAACCAAAAUAUAAGAAAUAUGUCCAGAAAUAAGAUAAAAUAGUUGUGAAUAACUAAGAUUGAUUUUAAAAUAUUGAGAUAAAAUAAAUUCUUAAAUUUUAUUUACUAUCGUUAUUUAUGCAUUUUAUUAGUGAAAGUAAUAAUAUGAUUUAACCAUAGUCAAUUAUAUAAAAAAAACCAUAAAAACAUAAUAAGUAAAUACAUGAUAGUGUAUGUUACUUAUUUUUUAGUAAUAUAAUUUUUAUGUCAAGGACCUGUUAGUAUACUAUAAAUUAUGUUAAACGUUGUUUAACAAUAGUAAAUUAUGUUAAAAGUUGUUUUUUUUUUUUCAUGGUUAUCGUAAUUAUGUUUAUACAAUAAAUUUCAACAUUCUUUUUCUUUAGAGUUACAUUUCAAGAGCUUUCCAAUGAUCUUAAUAUUAUAAGCAUAUAUAUGUAAAAAUUUAUUUAAAAUAAAUCAUCUUGUUUUAAGUUAACCACUAGAUACCUAAAGUAGUUUCAAAUUUUAAAUUAAUUCUAAUUUAAUUUGUAUUACUCAAACUAAUUACUAUUUCCUAAUACCAGUAAUAAUAGUUAUAUUUUGUUAUAUGAAAAGUAUGAUCAUCCUUUAAUAUAUUAUAAUUUUUUUGAGAAGUCAAAGUUUAUUGUCUUAAAUUUAUAAAGAAAAUUUAUUACAUAUAAAACUCAAAAUAGAGUUUUUCAAUGAUAUAUUAUAAAGAUGCAAGUGAAGGUUCAUGUAAAAAAAAGGUUUAGCUGGCUAUUAGAAACUUAAUGUACUUUUGAUUUUCAAAUUGGUGAACUUUUCAUUGUAGAUGUCAAGUUAAUUAAGGAAUAUUUAAAAAUAAUAAAAUAAAAUUAAAAAAAUACUCAUAUGUAAGAAAUAUGUCUAAAAAAAAUAGUGGUGAAUGAUUAAGAUUGAUUUUAAAUAUCGAGGUUAAAUAAAUUCUUAAAUUUUAUUUACUAUUUUUAUUUAUGCAUUUUAUUAGUGUAAGUGAUAACAUGGUUUUUGUUUUUCAUGAUUUAACUAUAGUCAAUUAUGUAAAAAAAUAAAAAAAAAAUUAAAAUAUAAUCCGUAAAUAACUAAUAAUGUAUAUUACCUAUAUUUUUAGUAACAUAAUUUUUAAAUUGAGGGCUACACGUUUAAUGUACUUUUAAUCUUUAGAUGUAAUAAUUAGCCUUAUUAUAUAAUUCUCUGUCAUGUAUUCGAUAUCGUUUUGGAUCGCUGCACGCAUAUUCAGAAACUCAAUAUAUAUGCAUAGAUCAUACCAAAAAUAACAUAAUAAAUACUAAAAUAGCCUUGUCAUUAAUUAUUUUUAAAUUAACUAAUUAAGAGUGGUAAGGGGCAAAAUUGAUAAAAAAAAUGUAAUUAAUACUUUAUUGGAACUCUAAAAUGACAAAAUAAUUUGAGACAUAAAAACACCCCAAAAAGACAAAUUAUAUGAGAGAGCGGGAGUACUUCAUAAUUAGUCUUAUUGUUUACUUAAGUAUAUUUUAUAAAUGAGUUUAUUAGGGAUAACCCCCUUGUUCAUAUUUUCUAAUGAGGUAGAUCCAAUUUUUUUUCCCCUUUUUGAGAUAGACCCAAUUUUGCCAACUUGGCAAAAUAUAUUAUAUAAUUUGCCUUUAAUACCCUUGUUUUAUUUUUAAAAGGCAUUUAUUUCCUUUACUACGUGAUUUGAGAUUUGCUGAUACGUUGCCUAAAAUCACGGAAUAAAAUUACGUGAGAUCAUUGGCCGUUAUAUCAAAUCGUGUACAAUAUUUUUCGAAGGUUCUCUUCAGCGUUCCAGAGGUUUUUUAUCGUCUUUGACGAUUUCUGCACCGUCGUUGAAAUAGGAUCGAAUUUGAGUGUUCGUUGUUGGACGUUGUUAACCGGGUAUGAAUGCGUUAUUCGUUUUUAUUUUUCGCUCAAUGUCUAGGAUUGUCGAUUACGGUGGUUAGAAAUUGUUAAGAGUUGUGUUGAUACUUGAUUCUAUUAAGUAGAACGUUUUUUUAACAAAAUUAUUCCGUCAUAUAUACAUCGUUAUUUUUUGGCGGAUGAUUUUUGUUUGGAAGAGGAUUGACAGAGUUAGAUGAGGAUGGUUCACGUAUAUCGGACCAGAGUUGUUUUAUAUGAACAUCGUAGUUGGUUUACGCAUUAAUUGAAAUAAUUGUCCGCCGUCGUGGAGUUCAUGAGUCUGAUCCCGGUCGAUAGUUGGUUUAUUUGUUUAUAACAGCCGAUUUAAGUGUGCUGGGUAGUACAUUAAAAUAUAGUUCGUAGUCUUUUUUAAAUUAGCGUAUGGAUUUUGCAUUUAAAGUUUAUUUUUGAUGAUAUUAAUGUAUUGUCAUUCAUAUGUAUUUGCAGUCUAUUUAAUCAUUUUUUAGUAUUCUGCAUUUUUAAUUUUGUUUCAUGAUUAUAGGUUUUUUCGAUGGCGAAUUUCGUACGGAUGUUGUUGAGGUUUGGUGGGUUGGUUGCUAUAAAGAGGUGUUUACGAUGUAAUGGCUCGGUAACUUCGGUUAAGUUUUAAACCGUUGUAAUACAGUAGUAUACUAUUAUGAAUACCGUAUGAUACUACCAUUAUCAUUUUAUUAUACUAUUAUGAGAUUAUUAAUGUACUAGAGUUUUUUAAGUCGACAUAUUGGUUUGAUUGUGUUAUGAUGUGUUUUAUGUAUUUUAUCAAAACCCUAGAUUGAAAUUAUGAGAUUAUUAAUGUACUAUUUUAUUGGUUAUGUUGGAAUACUUUACGUUGGUGUUGUUCUCAAUGUUCUUGUCAUUUCAGUGGUAUAUUGUUUGUAACACAAUUCAUAUCACUAUUAUAACCGUAAUAUACUAUCAUAGCAGAUCAAUGUACUAUAUGAAAUUAUUAAUAUACUAUGUGGUUGAAUAAUACGNNNNNNNNNNNNNNNNNNNNNNNNNNNNNNNNNNNNNNNNNNNNNNNNNNNNNNNNNNNNNNNNNNNNNNNNNNNNNNNNNNNNNNNNNNNNNNNNNNNNUAUACUAUGUGGUUGAAUAAUACGGGAUCCAUAGUCGAUUAACGAGAUCCAUAGUCGAAUUAGAUCAAUAAGAUAGUCUAUUACAUGAUAUAAGGAAAAUUACCCUAAUUGAUUAGUAUUCCAAACAAACAUAUUAUUCAGUUUCCAUAUGUAUUAUUAUUUUUUCAUAUAUAUUAUUAUUUACCUUAAUCGUUUUCAUAUAAUAAGGAAAAUUACCCUAAUUGAUUAGUAUUUCAAACAAACAUAUUAUUCAGUUUCCAUAUAUAUUAUUAUUUUUCCAAUAGUCAAUUAACUAAACCCAUAGUCGAAUUAGGUACAUGGGAUAGUCUAUUAAAAGAUAUGAGAUAGUCUAUUAAUUUUAAAACACAAAUCCGCCGCCGUCACUUCUCAAAUCUAGGGUUUUGAUGAUUCUUCGGCACAUAGUCGAUUAACGAGAUCCAUAGUAAAAUUAUACCAGUGGGAUAGUCUUUUAAAUGAUAUGGGAUAGUAUAUUAAUACAGAUGUAAUUCGACUAUGCAUCUCGUUAAUCAACUAUGGGCCGAAAAAUUAUCAAAACCCUAGAUUUGAGUAAUCCUAGAUUUGAGUAACCCUAGACUGGAGCAGUGACGGCGACGGCGACGGCGGCGGCCAAAGACGAUAUCACUUCUGGUGGAUGUUCUGCCCAUCAAUUGUUGCAAUAUCACUGAUUAAGUGCUCGAAUUCGGUAUGCGAUUAUAACAGCUCUGCAAUUACACAAACGUAAUAGUCGAUUUAGCCAAAACAUAUCAACAAAUCGAUGGAUGAUAGCGAUUCAGCGAGUGGCGAUGACGUACCUACGACAGCUUGCUCGGAGUGCACGAAAAUCGUCGUUUCACGGCAGUGCAGACGUCUUCCCCUUUCAAUCGGCCGUACCGGAAAGUUGUUCUGGGAGGUUUUGCAGUUUAUUCGAUAGUGGAUUUGGGAUGAUAGUGAUUUAACGGAAAAAUAGGAAGGGAUUUGAUUUUAUUUCAAAAGGUAAAGUAACGGGUUUUGUGGGAUUUGAUUGAGGGUAAUUAUGUAAUUAGGAAAAAUUUGGGCUGUUAUAAAAAUGGCAAAUAUAAAUUUGGGUCUACCCCUAUUAUUUGAAUGUUUAAGGGGGUUAUAUCUAAUAGACCCUUUAUAAAUAUUAUAAUGUAACUCAAAUAUCAAUAUUAAUAAAAGAAUUUAUGAAAAUAAAAAUAAAAAUGAAAUAAUAGACGUGGAUGAUUAAAACUAUUUCAAAAUUUGAGGUCAAAUAAAAAAAAUACAAGGGUGUAUACGUAGAAUUAACCGAAGGAAGGUCAACAUAGUUUACUCAACAUUUGGUCAGAGGUAAAAAUAUAAUCUAAGAAAAGUAACUGAUCAAAUGAGUUAAAUCUUUGCUACUAUUCAAAUUCAAGGGAGAUAUGCAUUUCUCAAAUUAGAUGCAGUCUAAUUGUAAUUACACCAAAUAUCAGGGCCUUGAUGUAGUAAAUUGCACUUUCUUUAAGGAAAUUAUUGGUAAAUUUAACCACAGUGAUCAUAACAUACGAGUAACACGAAAAAAUACUUAAUUGUUUCAAACAAUAAUUAUGCAGAGAAAUUUAAGAUAAUAAAAUUAGCAUCUAUCACAACAAAAUAAGAGAAAUUUUAGUGUGAGAAUGAAUUAAUAUAUAACAAUUUAUUUUAGCUAUUUUAUUGUGGUUUUAAAUUCUUAUUAAUAUCAAAUUGCACUUUCUUUAAGGAAAUUAUUGGUAAAUUUAACCACAGUGAUCAUAACAUACGAGUAACAUGAAAAAAUACUUAAUUGUUUCAAACAAUAAUUAUGCAGAGAAAUUUAAGAUAAUAAAAUUAGCAUCUAUCACAACAAAAUAAGAGAAAUUUUAGUGUGAGCAUGAAUUAGUAUAUAACAAUUUAUUUUAGCUAUUUUAUUGUGGUUUUAAAUUCUUAUUAAUAUCAAAUUUGGACUAAUUUUAUUUCAUCAUACGUAUUGAUACAUAAGGAGAACAUGAAGUUUUGUACUUAUUUAAUUUUAUUUAAAAAUAUCUUUUGUUGUUAAAUAUAGUAUGAAACUUUUAUUUAUUAAUAAUAAGUCAUAUAUGUUAAGUAAAAUUAUAUAUAAUCACGUGCAACACACAUGGUGCUUGCUAGUUCCUAUAAAAACUCUAAAUAAGUAUAUUCAAACAUGGUCAUAGUGUUAAGGCUCCCAAAUUCAAUCAAAUCAAAAGUAAAAUGACCCUCUAUAUACACUUAAAUCUUAAUCCUUCAAUGACAUAUAUGACUAAACAUUCAGUAAAAAGAAAACCAAAAAUACUUGAUUCAAUGCAAAUUAUUCAUCAUUCAAAAACAAACUUGUACAUAUCAAUCACCAUUCAACAACAAACUGAAAAGAGAAGAGAAAAUUCAUAAAAUCACAUUCAUAAUUAACUUCUGAAGUUGUUACCAACAAGAAAAAUAGUGCAUUAAAAACAAAGGACAAUACUGCAUCAAAAACUAGUUAUGUUUUGAUCAUAGAUAACUGGUACCAAAGAGGGCUAUAAACUUGCCAAAGAAAGGUGCUCAAUAUAAUUCAUUUUACCGUUGUUGUGUCGCUCCCAAUAACAUUGUUGAAGAUUGAAGCUUCUGCUCCCUCCACCCUCCAGUAAAACUUCUUUAGUUGGUCAACUACAAAAGAAAAAUGAGAGUAAAUUCAUAAACUUUGUUCAUCACGAAACCUAUGAUAUGACAAACAUGGUGCAAGAAAAAAAUUUACUUUGUUAGAAAAUUGGUUUAACCUGUAUGUCUCUGACGAAUAAGAAUAUUGUUCGAGAUGCUUUUGUAGUGAAUUUACAUAUGUCUCCCAUCUUCUAUUCUUCGGGAGACAACCAACUCAAUACUAGCCCUUCCCAAGGUGAAAAUGGGGUUCCGGGGGCAAAACUCAAAGAAAAGAUAGACCUCUUACUCGACAAUUGCCGACAAAAAAUAAAUAAUAAUGAAUAAAAAAAGAAAAAUAAAAGAGAGAGACAAAAUGAACUACACUCAUAAUUAACUCUAAUAGUUGUUUAAAUACAAAAAUAAGUGAAUUUAGAAACAAUGUACGUGCAAAAGGCUACACAUUUAUGGCUGCCAAUGUUUAUAAAUAACAAAAUUUUGUUCGACAUAUAAAGAUCAAACAAAUACUAGUUUGGCAGUUUGCUUACAUACUUCCUAGAAAAACUCCAAAUAAAUAUAUUCAAACCUGAUCAUAGGGUUAAAAAAAAUGAUAUUCCUCGCUAUCACUCUUUGCCCCACAAAUUGACUCCCAACUUCAAUCAAAUCAAAAGUAAAAUGACCUUCUAUAUGCACUUAAAUAUUAUUCCUUCAGUGACAUAUAGGACUAAACAUUAAACAAAAAAAAAAAAAAACCAAACAAAUACUAGAUUCAGUGCAAAUUGUUCAUCAUUCAAGAACAAACUAGUGCAAAUAAUUCAUCAUUCAAUAACAAACUUAAAAGAGAAGAGAGAAAGAGAGUUCAUAAACUCCCAUUCAUAAUUAACUUCUAAAGUUGUUAACGACAACAAAAAUAUUGCAUUAAAAACAAAGGGCAAUAGUGCAACAAAAACUAUUUAUUAUUCCAACCCUAGAUAACUUGUACCAAAGAGGGCUUUAAACUUGUCAAAAAAAAAAAAAAAGGUGCUCAAGAAAAUUUAUUUUACCGUUGUUGUGUCGCUCACAAAAACAUUGUUCAAGAUCGAUGCUCCUGCUCCCUUCACCCCUUCACCCUCCAGUAAAACAUCUUUGGUUGGUCAAGUACCAAAGAAAAAUAAGAGGAAAUUCAUAAACCUUGUUCAUCACGAAACCCAUGAUUAUACAAACAUGGUGCAAGAAAAAAAGUGCACUUGGUUAGACAACUUGUUUAACCAAUAUGCAUUUGACGAAUAAGAAUAUUGUUCGAGUUGCUUAUCUAGUGCAUCUACAUGUCUCCCAUCUUCUGUCCUAGGGGAGACAACCAACUCAAUAGUUGCCAUUCCCGGAGUGAAAAUGAGGUUUCGAGGGCAAAUCUCAAAGAAAAGAAAGACCUCUUACUCGACAACCAUCAACAAAAAAAUAAUAAUAAUAAAUAGAAAAGGAAAAACAAAAAAAGAGAGAGACAAAAUGAACUACGCUCAUAUUUAACUUUAAUAGUUGUUAACAUAAGAAAAAUUAGUGAAUUUAAUAACAACGUAGGUGCAAAAGGCUUCAAAUUUGUGGCCAUAAAUGUUUAUAAAUAACAAAAUUAUGUUCUACAUUUAAAGAUCAAAGAAUUACGGCAAAUUGCUUACAAACUUCCUAUAAAAUCUCAAAAUAAAUAUAUUCAAACAUGAUCAUAGGGUUAAAAAAAUGAUAUUUCUCGCUAUGUCUCUUUGCCCCACAAAUUGGCUACCAAAUCUAAUCAAUUCAAAAGUAAAAUGACCCUCUAUCUGCACUUAAAUCGUAAUCGUUCAAUGACAUAUAGGUCUAACCAUUGAAUAUAAAGAAAACAAAAAAUACCUGAUUCAGUGCGAAUUGUUCAUCAUUCAACAGCAAACUAGUGCAAAUCAUUCAUCAUUCAACAACAAACUGAAAAUAGAAGAGAGAGUUUAUAAACUCCCAUUCAUAAUUAACUUCUGAAGUUGUUAACAACAAGGAAAAUAGUGCAUUAGAAACAAAGGAGAAUAGUGCAUAAAAAACUAGUUAUGUUCCCAUCAUAGAUAACUUGUACCAAAGAGGGCUUUAACUUGCCAAAGAAAGGUGCUUACGGAAAUUUAUUUUACCACUGUUGUGUCGCUCAGAAGAACAUUGUUAAAGAUCAAUGCUCCUACUCCCUCCACGCGCCAAUAAAACUGGUUUGGUUGGUCAACGAGAAAAAAAUGAGAGGAAAUUCAUAAACUUUGUUCAUCAUGAAACCCAUGAUUUUACAAACAUGGUGCAAGAAAACAGUUUACUUUGUUAGAAAAGUGGUUUAACCAGUAUGUCUUUGACGAAUAAGAAUAUUUUUCGAGAUGCUUAUCUAGUGCAUCUACAUAUGUCUCCCAUCUUCUGUUCUUGGGGAGACAACCAACUCAACAGAAGCCCUCCUAGGGUGAUAAUAGAGUUCCGAGGCCAAACCUCAAAGAAAAGAAAGACCUCUUACUCUACAAUCGUCAACAAAAAAAUAAUAAAAAAAUAAAAAAAGAAAAAGAAAAAGGAUAAAAAGAGAUACAAAAUAAAGUACUCUCAUAAAUAACUUUAAUGGUUGUUUAAAUAAGAAAAUUAGUGAAUUUAGAAACAAUGUAAGUGCAAAAGGCUAUAAAUUUGUAGGCGUAAUGUUUAUAUAUAACAAAAUUAUGUUCUACAUCAAAGAUCAAGAAAUACUCCGAUUGGGAGUUUUUUUCUUACACACUUCCUAUAAAAACUCCAAAUAAGUAUAUUCAAAAAUGAUCAUAGUGUUAAAAAAAAUUGAUAUUCCUCUCUCUCUCUCUCUCUCUCUCUCUCUCUCUCUCUCUCUCUCUCUCUCUCUCUCUCUCUCUCUCUCUCUCUCUCUCUCUCUCUCUCUCUCUCUCUCUCUCUCUCUCUCUCUCUCUCUCUCUCUCUCUCUCUAUCUGCCCCGUAAAUUGGCUACCAAAUUCAAUCAAAUCAAACGUAAAAUGACCCUCUAUAUGCACUUAAAUCAUAAUCGUUGAACGACAUAUAGGUCCAACCAUUUAACAAAAAGAAAACAAAAAAUACGAGUUUUAGUGCGAAUUGUUCAUCAUUCAACAACAAACUAGUGCAAAUCAUUCAUCAUUCAACAACAAACUGAAAAGAGAAGAGAUAGUUCAUAAACUCGCAUUCACAAUUAACUUCUGAAGUUGUUAACAACAAGGAAAAUAGUGCAUUAGAAACAAAGGGCAAUAGUGCAUCAAAAACUAGUUAUGUCCCAUAGAUAACUUGUACCGAAGAGGGCUUUAAACUUGCCAAAGAAAGAUGCUGACGAAAAUUCGUUUUACCACUGUUGUGUCGCUCAGAAGAACAUUGUUAAAGAUCAAUGCAACUACUCCGUCCACCCGCCAAUAAAACUGGUUUGGUUGGUCAACUAGGAAAAAAUGAGAGGAAAUUCAUAAACUUUAUUCAUCAUAAAACCCAUGAUUUUACAAACAUGGUGCAAGAAAAAUGUUUACAUUGUUAGAAAACUGGUUUAACUAGUAUGUCGCCGACGAAUAAGAAUAUUGUUCGAGAGAUGCUUCUCUAGUGCAUCUACAUAUGUCUCCCUUUGUGAAUAAAACCUCACAGUAGCCCUUCCCAAGGUUAAAAUGGGUUCACACGGGCAAACCUUGAAGAAAAGAAAGACCGCUUACUCAACCACUGUAAAAAAUAGAAAAAAUAUUAAAUAACAAAAUGAGAGAGACAGAGUGUUUAUGACUUACGCUCAUAAUUAACUUUAACUAUUAUUAAAAAUAAGAAAAUUAGUGAUUUUAGAAACAAUGUAGCUGCAAAAGGCUACAUAUUUGUGGCCGUAAAUGUUAAUAAAUAACAAAAUCAAUUCUACAUUUAAAGAUCACAUAAAUACUUAUGUGGCAAUUUGCUUACAUGCUUCCUCUAAAAACAUCCGAAUAAGUAUAUUCAAACAUGAUCAUAGAAUUAAAAAAAUGAUAUUCCUCGCUCUCAAAAUGUAUCAAUCAUAAGUAAAAUAACCAUCUACAUGCAUUUAAACUUUAACCCUUGAAUGACAUAUAGGAUUGAACAUUUAGUAAAUAGAAAACUAAAAAUACCAAAUUCAGAUACCGAGGUCUUAAAUUCUAGCACUACCAAAAUUUGCUACAUGAUUAUUUAAAUAGUUUCAAAGAAUAAAAAACAACAGAUUUAAGGCAACAUGCAGAACAAAACAUCAUAGAUCCGUUUCUCCAAAUCAUAUCUAUCAGCACUUGAACAAUCAAUCUAAACAAAAUUGGAAAAAAAAACUUUGGAAAGUAUGGCAAACACCUCGGCGGCGGAGGUUCACGAGGAGGUCUUAGGCGGCAGAGAUCUUCAGCCGAUGAUCGAUAAGCCCACACAAACAAUGGCAUUGAUGUCGGAAUUCAGAAACGGCUGCGCACAGACAUGUAUAUUUCUUUUGAUCAUUUUCUAUCAUGUAUAUAAAGUGACAGUGACCCAGUAACCUAGGAAUCAAAAGGCUCACUUAAAGACAAGGCCCAUUGGGCUUAGAUUUAUGUAUCACUGUGUCUUAAAAUGAUUUAUACAAUUUGUAUUAUUUUCUUAAUUUCUUUUUAAUACUUUUAUUUUUUAUAUAUGAAAUUGCACAUACUGUAACAUCUUAAUUUAAUGUGAAAUAAUGAUUAAGUCGUAAAAUGUGAAAGCAAGAUUACGGAGCGAAAGGUGAAAAUGUGUGGUGGCUAGAAAACAUGAAAUAUGGAUUUCUUUUAGUUUUCCUAUUUCAAAUUAUUUAUCGAUUUACAGAGAUUAAAAAAAAAAGUCAUGUUAGAUAUUUUUUUUAGAUAUAUAAAUGUUGCACGUAGGGGUGUGAACGAGCCGAUCUCGCCUAUUUUGGCAGGCUCGAGCUCGAGCAUAAGCUCAUUUGGUUUUUUUUUAAUUAUUAAAUUUUGUUAUUAAAAAAUAUUUAGAUUAUUGUAAAAUAAAUUCAAAAUAAACAAUAAACUGUAAUAAUAUAUAAUUUUUAAUAUUUAUAUGUUCUUUCCAUAUUAUUUAUAUACUAUUUUAUAUUAUUAUACAUUAUGUAAGUAAAAAUAAUAAAUACAAAAAUCAUUGUGUAAUAGGUUAAUAUGAAUAUGUUGACCGUUUAACAAAGGUAAACAUGAUAAAAUGCUAAAAGAAUUAAUAUUGUUGUGGUUGACAAUAAUAUUACUGUCAACCACAUUAAUAUUACUGUAACGACAAUAAUUUUAUCGUCCACCACCAAAAUAUUAUUGUGUUUACUGUAAUAUUACUAUAGUAUAUAAUAAAUAAAAUUACGUUAAUCGGUCAAUAAAUCAAACAAAAUAAAGAGGCGAAAAAAAAUAUUGAUGUGGUUGACAUUAAUAUUAUUGUGUUUACAGUAAUUUUAUAGUCAACGACAAUAGUAGUAUUACGUUGGUGGUCAACAAAUCAAACAAAAUAAAAAAAACAAAAAAAAUAUUAAUAUUGGUGUGGUUGACAGUAAUAUUAUUGUGUUUACAGUAAUUGUACUGUCACAAUCCGUGAAAGUACAAUUACUGUCAAUGACAGUACAAUUACGGACAAUGUUUAGCGGCGGGCAUAAAAAAAUGGACAAAAUUUUGAGGGAAAAAAAAAAGGACAACGCCGGAGACCGGCGCUGACUGCCGAUCAACUCCGGAAACCGACGGUGUAAACAACAUAAGAAAAAAAUUCAAAAAAGUCAACGAGCCGGAAAAUGGCGGCGGAAAAAAAAUGUCAACGCCGAAGACCGGCGGUGAGGAAAACAAAAGCCAAGAUUUUUAUGGUCAAAAUUGAUGAAAUUGAAGUUAAAUUGGGGUUAAAAUUAGGAAUUGAGUUUAAAGGGUUGGGGGUAAUUUUGUCACAUACAUUAUUUUAUAUCUCUCUUUUCACUCUCUCUUAGCCUCCAUUUUCUCUCUCUCUUUACGAAGAUCACCAUCCUCCAUAGAUGCAGCCGCAAUCGCCACCGCCGCUACAAUAUCGGAACCGUGCAAGAAAUCUGGUUGUAGAUCCCUUUCUACCUCCACCGCUUGUCUCUGAUGCAAGAUCUGUGAUCUCGCUGCCGCCGUUACAUUUCUCGAUUCUCGAUAAUUUGGAGAGGGUAUACGACUUCAUCGACAGUAGCUCAAUUAUCUCCAGUGAGUUAGUUGCCGUUUUAAUUACAUUUUAUUUUAUUUUGUUCGUCUAAGGUUGGUGAUUUUUAUGCCGUAUGUGUACAUGAUUGUAAAUGGAGUUUUAUUGUUGUUUCAGUAUACUGAUAGAUUUUAGUGUGUAGUUUAAUUAUGGAGUUUUAUUGUUGCUUUAGUACAUUGAUGAAGUUUUGUUAUGUAAUUGAAUUAGUGAAGUUUAUUGAUGCUUUAGUAUUUUUUCAUGGAUUUUUCUGUUUCAUAGUUGAUUAGCACGAGAGAGUAUAUUGAUGUAUUGUUAUGCUCUAUAGUCGAUUUGCAUAGUUAUAAUCGAUUUUAUUUAAUUUUCAUAGUCCGGUAAAUUUGCUACCUUACUCAUAUCAUAACUUUAUGCUAAUUUAUUUUUCAGAUGAUGUGGCUACAACUGCAAAAUCGAGGGGAGGACAUUCGAACAUUUCAUAAAGAGAAGUUGGAUUCGGGUCGGAAGCUUUUGCCAUAGUUUAUUCAUUUUGUGAUGGCUCAAUUGAUAUUUUUUCUUAGUUGAAGGAUUUCCGCCUGUGGAUUGGGGGAAGAUCGUGUUUUUGUAGAUGUAUUUGCUCAAUUACAUAGUAGUUUUCGUUGCAAUUGGGGUGUUCUCUUUUCUAGUUGAUUUCGAUAAAUUGUAGUUGUUUUCGACUUAUUGUAAUUGACUUCGACAAGUUAUAGUUGAUUUCGAUAUUUUGUAGUUGAUUUCGACAUUUUAUAUUAGAUUUUGAUUUUUUUAUAGUUGAUUCAGGAAAGAAUGAAAAAAAAAAUAGUUUUUAGUAAUUUUGUAGUUCAUUUCAAUUUUUGGUAAACUUAUUGAAAACCACAAUUUUGAAGUUGUUUACGAUAAUUUUAUAGUUGAUUAUGGAAAAAUAUGAAAUAAUAAAAAUUAAAUUAUAGUUGCUUUAGGAAAUAUUAUAGUUGAUUUCGAAAAUAUAAUAGUUGUUUUCGGAAAUACUGUACUUGAUUUCAGAAUUUUUUUAGUUAAUUCUGAAAAGGAAAAAAAAACUGAUUUUUGAUUUAAGUUUUAUUUUUUUAAGUCAGUUUUAAAUAAAGGGCUAAAUACACUUUGCACCCCUGAAGUAUAGCCUAUGUAACACUUACCCCUUUAAAGUAUCAUUUGUGACACUUACUCCUCAACAUCAAAUAUUUUAUAGUUUAAAAUUAAAACAUAAUAAACAUAACAAUCUAAUAAUUAUUGGAUCAUAAAAAUUGAAAAGCAACUAAAACUAAAUUAUUGGAAAAAAAAAAAAAGUAAUAUAUAUUGUAUAAUAAUUAAUGAAAAUAUAUUUUAAGAAAUUAAUGAACUAAAAUAAAUAUAAAUACUUAAGAUUACUAUUAUUUAUGUAUUGAUUUCUUAAAACUUAUCGAUAUGAUUAUAUUCGAUUAGUUGGUCCAAUAGCAAUUAGAUGUUAUUAUUAAUAUGUAUCCAACAGUACAACAUAAUAUUUUUAAAUGUUCAAAUAUUGCAUUUUUCAACAGAUAUUUUUAUUUGUAUAAUUUAAUUAUUCUUUUAGUUAUUAUUUUAAAUAAAAAAAAGAAAAUUUUUAAGGUAUUAGGAUUUAAAAUACAAAUUGAAUUGAGUUUGAGGGGUAAGUAUAACGAAUGAUACUUUAGGGGUAAGUGUUACAGAUGAUAUACAUUAGGGGUGUAAACUGUAUUUCGCGCUUAAAUAAAUACACGAAAAAAUUAUUAAAAAAAAAGGAAAAAGAAAAAGACACUAAAAUGGUGGGUAAUGGGUAGUGAAUAGAGGGAGGAUAAAUUUGAGAAUAAAAGAAAGGAUGAGUCUAUCACUAAUAAGUAAAAAGGCGUUGGACCCAUCCUUAUUAAAAAUAAAAAUAAAAACGAUAGAGGUGUUUUUUUACUAAUAGUCCCUAAAAAGUAAUGCAUAAUUAAUAAAUAUAUUGGAAAACUAAUAAGAAAGGUGCAAUGCACAUUCAACUAGUAAAAAUAAAAAGAUGUCUUAAUCCCAGAAGCAAGAAAACACACUUCUUCACGGCAUUUUGCUUCCAAAAAAUACUAAAUUUCAAUAAUUUGGUUGUUUGCCAAUAUUAUUACUAUUCUUUUUUUUACUCCAUCCGUCCCAUAUUAUAUGUUAUUUUGGGGUGUUUAUGCGUGUAUUAAAAUAUCAAUAAAUUUUACCAAAUAUAACAUAGUAAAUACUAAAAUAUACUUGUCAUUAGUUAUUUUUUAAUGGGGUGCAUAAGUCCCUAACCAAUCAUCUCUAUUAUUCUAGGUCUAGCGGGCUAUAUCUCUUUCGCCAAUAACCUCAUCCCUUUAAUAUUUAUUAUAAAUAAACGAAAAAUUCAUGUAUGUGACAAAAUUAGCCCCAACCCUUUACACCCAAUUCUUAAUUGUAAUCCCAAUUUAAUCAAAUUUGAGCUGAAAAAUCCAAUUUUGACUUCUUUUUUUCAAAAACUUUUUUUUUCAAAAAUUAUUUUUUAACCGCCGGUUUCCGGCGUUGACCGGCGGUUAACGUCGGUCUCCGGUAUUGACUUUUCGAUUUUUUUUCCCCGCCGCUAAAUGUUGAUCGUAAGUGUGCUGUCAUUAACGGUAAUUAUAUUGUCACUGACAGUAAAUUUUUUUUUUUUUUUUUCAAGAGAACGACACCCGAUGAGGGUGGGGUUAGGCUUGACCCCCUACCUGUUUAUAAAACAAAAUUUAAGAAGUACAUAAUGAGUUUCGCUCAAAUUGCUACUGCCCAACAUAUGGCUAAUAAUAGCAAUUGACAAACAAAAGACAAUAGGUAACUAACAAAACGUUAAGAAAACGGGCAAAACAGGUGGCCCAAAUAAUAAAAAGGACGGGGUGGGAAUGAUCAUAGAAGGUCGGGGAAGACCAAGGUAGACCGUUCGCCUCACCACAACAGCCGAGGCCACUUACACUUUCGCCAAAAAUGGGCGAAACAGGUAUAACGGCUGCGAAAUGUGUGGCACCAUUCGGCAAACAGUCUAGUCUUGAUAGACCCAAACAAUCCAUAAUCACCCCAACCCUUCCUAACAUGUAAAGUUCACGAAAAUUCCUAAAUUGCCAAUAAUAUAAAAACGUGGAAUGCAUGGCACCUAUGUGCAAGACUGUCGUCGAAAGGAUGGAUAUCCAAGCUGGUCCAUCCGAAUCAUCUGCUGAAUAGGUCGGGGAAGUUCCGCUGUUGUGAAGGUACGAGCCAACUCGGUCUGACACCCCAAGUUAGCUAAUGCAUCAGCUACUUUAUUGCCCUCCCGGUAGAUAUGUGUAAUCCUGUACUCCAAAGUAGAAAGAGAGUUCCGGAUCGCCGUGAGAGAACUCUGAAGACUCCAAUGACCUUGGUCCGUGUGCGAAAGAAGUCGAACAACGACUUCUGCGUCAAGCUCGAUCCAAACUCUAGUGAAUUGCCUCUGAAUAACAAAUCGCAGCCCCGAGGCAAGGGCAGCAAGCUCGGCCGCAAUACUGCUCGGGGCAGAGAUCCUCUCGUGAAAUGCAACUAUGGCCUCAGCGUCCGAACCUCUGAUAAUCCCGCCAAUAGCUGCAAUCUGGGUGGAUGCUCUACGUGCUCCGUCUGUGUUUAGCUUCACCCAACCCGGAUCCGGUGGAAGCCAAACAACUCGAUGAGGUGUGAGAGUUGGUGUUCUGACUCGGUAAUAUAGGCCAAGAGACUCAGCCACGUGGGGAAUGCCAGUCCAGCUGUCCGCCGAAAGUAAGUUGGUUUGGUGAAGAAUCCUGAUGUGCUGGAUGACCCUGUAAAUGAUGGAAGAAGCGCGAACCGUGAUAUCCUUGUGCUUGCUGUCAUUUCUUGCAAUCCAUAAGUACCACAAGAUCAAGCAAGGCACAAUGGUCGUGAUGUGUGUGUGGUGUGUGAGUGUGUGCGAAGUGAAGUGCUGCCAAUAAAGUAAAAUCUGGGGUAUGUGCGUAGUGUGUGCAGGUGUAUAGCCAAAAAGAUAGAAAAAAUGAUGCCAUACCCUCUUAGCCGUCGGGCUCUCCACGAAGAUAUGAUCAAUCGACUCAACAGAAGGAGACUCGACAGACUGAGAUACAAGACUCGACACAGGAAUAGAUGGAUCUGGACAACAAUAGCACCUCGAGGCAAGAGAGGUGCCUCGAGACUGAAGUUUGGUAUCCACUGGAAGACGCUGAAGAAGGAGACGCCAAAGAAAGAUAGAAAUUGUAGGAGUAAGACAAGAUCCCCAAAAUAUACGAAGAAGAGGGGUAGGGGUAUGCUGCUGUCGUAUCAAGGCCCAAGCCGAGGUCAAGGAAAACUUGCCAUCCGAAGAAGCUCUCCAAAUGGGCAAAUCACCCGAAGCACCAGAGAUUGGGACCGAGCAAAUCCUAUCGAUCCACUCAAAAGGAAUAUCCUCAGCUAGCUUGUUUCGAUCCCACUGACCGUUAACCAAAUAAUACUCCACACGAACUGACGUUAGCCGACCACCAUCAAUAAUGCCCGAAAGGGGACCAUCGCCAAACCAGUGGUCGUGCCAGAAAUAAACAUGACCUGGACCAAUCCGCCAAAAUAUUUGAGCUUGAACACGCUCUCGGACACGGCACAUGCGCUUCCACACCGUGCUAUAGAGUGAAGACACAACGGAUGAACCUGGGAACCGAUUCCGACAAUACUUGUUUCGGAGAAAACGGGCCCAAAGAGAAUCCUGAGCACGGAAUCGGAACCAGAGCUUGUAAGUGAAGGCGUCAAUCACAUCCGUCAAACGCCUCAACCCCAAGCCACCCUCACCAACUGGCCGACAAAUCGUCUCCCAAGCAACCCAAUGAGGCCGGCGCUGAUUACCACAAGAUCCCCAGAGAAAUCGGGCCAUGCACUGCUCAAUCUGCUGAAUAAUGUACUGCGAAGGUUGAAUAACCUGAACAAGAUGCAAAGCCAUAGUCGAAAGCGUACUCCGGAUCAAGGCAAGACGGCCCCCGAAAGCCAAAGCGGUCCGAGCCCAUCCCGAAAUCCUGGCUUGCAUGCGAUCAAGCAAAGUGUGAAACAAACUGCCCCGGUCCCUCCCUUUGUAUAGUGGUGCUCCAAGAUAAAUGAUAAAUUAGCAUAAUUAUACUAUCACUGACAGUACAUUAACGUAAUUGUACUGUCGUUGACAAUACAUUUAUGUAAUUGUACUGCCGUUAACAGUACAAUUAGAGUCAAUGACAAUAUUAUUAUUAUUUUUUUUGUUAUUUUUUUUUUAAUUUUGUUUGAUUUGUUGACAAGUCAAAGUAAUUAUAUUACUGUCGUUGACAGUAAAAUAACUGUAAACACAAUAAUAUUACUUUCAACCACAUCAAUAUUAUUAUUUUUUUGGGUUUUUUUGUUUUGUUUGAGUUAUUCAUGGAGUAACAUAAUAAUAUUACUGUAUAUUAUUCUAAUAUUACUGUAAACACAAUAAUAUUACUGUCACUCACAGUAAUAUUAAUAAUUUUGGCUUUUUAUUAUGUUUACCUUUGUUGAACGGUCAACAUAUUAGUAUUACUCUAUUACACAAUAAUAAUGAGUUUUGUUGUGUUAAUAUUACUGUGCUAGAGAUUAUUAUAGCAAUAUUACUGUGUUAAACUGUAGAAUAGUUAAUUUUACUAUGUUUAACAGUAAUAUAGUUAAUAUUACUCUCAAUCACAUCAAUAUUGUUGUUUAAACAAAGGCAAAAAGAUGUUAAAGAAAAAAAACCAAAAAGUCAACGCCGAAAAUCGGUGGCAGAAAAACCAUGAAGGAAAAAAAAAAAAUCAACGCCGGAGACCGGCGGUGAUGGACGAAAUUGUUCAUAAAUUAAAAAUGUGUUUCGGGUCAAAAUUGAAUAAUUUGUGAAACUUGGGGUCAAAUUGAGGUUAUAUUAAAUUAAAUGGUAAAAUUGAAGCAUAUUAAAAUAUGAAGGGCUAUUUUAGUCUUUUACAAACCUCUGGACCAUGUUUGAAUUUUUUUGUAAAAGAGUUUAUUGUCUGGACCUCUUUAUGAAUAAGUACCCAUUGAUUAUUUGUAAAGUGCCCCUUUUAAUUAACUAAUUAAGAGUGAUAAGGAGAAAAUUUGAAAAAAAUACAAUUAAGUUUUAUUGAAACUCUAAAAUGACAAAUAAUUUGGGACAAAAAAAACCCCAAAAAGACAUAAUAAAGGACAGAGGGAACACCGUAAGAUAAGUUGACAAUAUUUUAUUUAAUAAAUUAAAAAAUAGUUUUUUGUAAUUAAAAUUUUGAAAUACUAAAUUUUGGGGUGCAAAUCAGACGGAAUGGAUCGGAAAUGACUUUUUCGGAAAAUUUAAAAAAAAAUCGGAAGUAAAAAGUGGGUUCCAAUUUCUGUUUCAAAAAAAUCGGAAUGCCAAAAUUCAUUCCGAUUUCCGAAUGCCUCGGAACCAGAGGAAUUUCGGAAAUUUCAGAAAUUACAUUAGUUAAUAAUCUUUUAUUCCAAAUUCGGAUAUAAUGAAAAUUUUCAAAAUAGUUUUCUUUCAUUUUAAAAAAACAAUUGCAUGAAAAUGCAAGAAUAUCCAAACGAAAAUUCGACAAAACGCAAUAAAUAAAAACACAUGUCGGAAGAACUAAUUGAAACAUAGAUCUUCUUACAAGGAAAUCAUGCAAACAUAAAGUUUAUGAUAUCAAUUAAUAGUUUCUAAGGUCUUAAUUGACUUGAGCCUUCGAUAUUUAUAUUUUUCAUAUUCAAUAUAACAUAAGUUACAUUAUCGAAUUACAAAAUAUAUCAUAAAAUUAUAUUAUAUAUUUUGAAAAAUCAUAGAAAUAUUCGGAACUAAAAUCGGAUCGAAAAUCGGAAUUUUCAGUAAUUUUAUAUAUCAUUUCGAUUCCGUUCUAAAUAAAUUCGGAAGAAUCGGAAAUCGGAACUUCAUAAAUCGCAAUGAAAAAUAGGGUUCUUAAUUCAGAUAUUUUUGGAUCGGAAUUGACGGAAUUCGGAAAUUCCAUUCUGAUUUCCACCCCUAGGCAUAUUUUACUUGAAUUGCAACAUGCACACUGUAUUCUUUAGUAAAAGGCAAAAGAAUAGUUCGCUAUGUGAUCACUGUGUAGCUGCGAGGAUCAGAACAUGUUACUGCACUUGUAUUUAUCUCUCUGGCUAUAAACAAUUAUAUGGUUAUUUUCCUAUAGAAGCAUAGGCACUUAAAUACUCUCUGUCAGUUCAAAUGUUGGGGGUUGGAUGAAUUUUCAAAUCAACUUCGUUUCUUUAUAUAUCCCCAAUUUGGUAGCAUACGACAAGUUUUUUUUAUCUUAACAAUUUUGGUUGUGGGUUAAAACUAAUAGGCAAUAUAUUCAUGUUGGCGGGACUAGAAAAACGAUAAGAAUUUGUAAGUAGAUAAAGCAUUCAUGGAUCAAAAUGGCUCAGGACUAGUAUACAAAAAAUUUCAUAGGUAUUGCGAUUAAUUUGUGCAGGAAUACAUUUUGUAUCCGACAAAGUAUCUUCCGUGUGUACAAAAUAUGUAAAGAAUCUAGCUAACAAAAAUUAUAUUCUCUAAGACCUAGUAUAUAUAAUAUGUUCUGCUCAAUCGAGUACAUAUAUCAUGCUCUGCUCAAGUGAGAGGUGAGAUCAAUGAAUGACUCUUCACUGCAAGGAAUAGUGAGGCCGCCCAUUGGAUGAUGAAAUCCAAAUUCUUGUUCAGCUUGGCAUAGCAAUUCUUGAAACAGAGGAUGGUUUAAAUAUGAUAAUGGAAUAACAAAGCGCUUGUUAUUGUUUUCCCCAACAUAAAUAGCCAAAUGACCCUUUGGAGCUUCAGUUGAUCUUUUUUCCGCUGAUAAAGACCGCCUAAGCAUUUUGUGAAUGGCCAUUGAAUUUUUGUUAAAGUAAAUAUUUGUGAAGUUGAAGAUGGAAAUGAAUCAAGGAAUAUAUGAGAGUUUUUUGAAGCAAGUAAAAUAUGAGAAGUAGUUGAGUUGUGAGUUUUAAAGGUGGGUUGUGACUUGUGAGCAUAUAUAUAUAGAGAUGAAGUUGUAAA
rnacentral:lncRNA from 1 species